rnacentral:lncRNA from 1 species
CAGUAGGUGAAACACUUGACAACCAAAUACAUAAAAAGAAAUAAAAAAGAGUUAGAAAAAUUCACAAAAAUUAAAAUUGAAAAUACAAAAAGAUUAAAAAAGAAAUUGCUUUUGAAAAAUGAAAAUAUCAAACCCCUUCUUCAGAACAAUUCAAACAGGGGGCUGCAGGUUCUUAAUCUAACAGUAAUUAAAAUUCCACUGAAACCCCAACCCUCUAUUUGAUUUUUUUUUUUUUUUUUUUUUACUCACAAGAAUUAAUUCCAACAUAGAACUCGAGCUCUGGAAGAGAUAAAAGGAAAAGACACAGAUGACUGAGUCCGACUGAGACAGAGUCGCCAGUAUACCGCAAAGGUCAGCACCCAGUUGAAUUUGCGAGUUUGGGUUCGAGUCCCAGUCACACAGGAAAGUAGGUAAUUAUCCUAACCAGCUGAAGUAUCAAAACCUGUUUCUAUAAGCCUGCACAUUACAAGUUAAUUGUCAGCAAAGGAGGGGCCGGCAACGAUAAACAACACAUCAUCUCCUAAUUAUAAAACAUGUAAAAUUAAUGUAUUUUACCAGUCCCAAAAUCCCUUUUCUUUAGAGAUAAUCUCCCCAUAGCAACUAUAAAUAUUGUGGGGGUGGAAAAAAUGACCACAAAGAAGAACAGUCCCUUCUUUUUCUCCAAACAAAUACAACCAUUUCAGCUCACAUCUAAGCUGAGAACCAUUCUAGUUCCAAGUUUCAACCAAUGAAACAACCAUAGUAUUCUCAUAAAAAUAAAAAAUGAAAUAACCAUAGAAUAAAAUAAUUAUACUCUAAUUCAAACAUUGCUUCAGAAUUUACGAUUUAUGGUAGACUCAAUUGGUCAAACCUACGGAAUUGGAAUUAAGGUUCUUACAAUACUGAAAUGAUCAAAUUUCAUUCACUCUAAACAUGAGAUGCAACUUGUACUAUUUCAAGUUAUUCAGUAAGCAUUAAGGGUGUGUUUGGUACCCCACAUUAUAUGGUAUAAAAACACCGUUUUGUAUUAAAUUUAUGCAGACCCACACGUUUGGCGCUAAAAGUAGCUACAACAACAUUACAUUAAUGAGCCGUGCUAAUGCGGCAACUGCCGCAUUAGCUAAACCCGACUGUGCUUGCCUCUUUUUUUUUUUUUUUUUUAAAAAAAAAUCUUUAUGAUUAUAAUAAUUAAAAAAUAAAUAAACUUUUGAAUUUAAUAUAGUAUUAUGUAAUAUUAAUAUUAAUCUUUUAUUUUUAUGUUAUAAUUAUUGAUAUAAAUUAAUAAAAUUACAAUUUAUUAGUAAAUUUAUAAUUUAAUAUAAUUAAUAAUAAUAUUAGUUUAAAUAAUAAUAUAAAUAUUAUUACAUAUACAAAUAUACUACAGAACUCUUACUUGAAUUAUUUAGCACAAUUCAUUUUGUUAGUGAAUAUGUUAUAAUUAAAAAUUAAUACAAUACAGUGUAGCACCAAACAUUGUACAAUAUUAUUAUAAUACAAUGCUAAUGCAAUACAGUAUAAUACAAUACAUCAGCAUUAAAAUAAUGCAAUACGAUAUAAUACAAUACAAUAUACCAAACACACUCUAAAAGAAAUUUGUUCAUCCUACGUGGUAUAAGUAGUAUACUUCAGCUAGUAUUAUGCAUCAUCAGUUAAAUCAUUUGGAUUAUUAACAUUGAUAUUUUUUUAUUAGCUGAAUUGAUGACUGUCGCACCCCUGACUUAGAGGCACGUGUGAUAAGAAAAGUUUAUCUACAUCAGAUGCAAGUAUAAGCUUUUAACAAUUAAGCUGUGACAGUUUGCUUGCAAGAACAAACGUAUACUAAUUAGAGAUGAAUAAGACCCAGCACUUCAAGAAAAAUUUGACAUUAUCUGCCCUAAAAUAUGGAUACUAUCCAAUAUAUCAAACCAGCAAUUUUUAUACCCAGCUGCUUAAAACUUCAAAAAAAUAAAAAAAUAAAAUAAAAUAAAACAUAACCUCCUCAAGUCAACUCUAUUACUCUACUACCACCAUCGGUCAAUAUGACAUUUGGGGCCUCCAGGACCCUAUUACUACAACACUAACGGAUAUGAGUGCAUCCUACUAAUAUUGCUUAGUCAUUCUUAAUACAUGUAAUAAAAAGCAUAAUAUCUACAACAAGGUAGCUUACAAAGUUUACUAGGCCAGCAAUGUCAAAGUACAACCAGAACAAUAACAAAAAUAUACGAAGACUGUUCUUCAUUUCAAAACACAACUUUCAAAAGAGGUAAUCUCCAUGUUAAGCCCCAAAUCAAAAUCAAUCCUCCACUGACCUCAAUUUCUUCACAAUAAUUUACCAAACCUGAAUAGUAAGGGGUGAGCUAAUGCCCAGUAGAUAGUUACGCACAAAAAAUGAUCUUUUUUUUUUUUUAACACCAAAGUAAUUCACACAACUUGGGUACAUUUCUAACAUGAACCAUUUAUAUAAAUAUAAAAAAAAAAUUAUUUCUUAAAACAUUUUAAGUUUGAAAGUUGGUAUUCAACAGAAACGUCAUAAGACAAGAUCAAAACAACAUACACACAUAAAUAUAGUGUUGCUCAUACUUUCUGUAGUUGUGUAAAGAAAUCCUAAAAUUACUCUUUCAAUAAUACAAAAUAAAAAAAGUGCCUGACAGUGGCGGUGCCAGAAAUUUAACUUAGCAGGGGCUAAGUUUAAAUAAUAAUGUAAUUUAAAAAAGGUCAACAAGUAACAAGUACCAAAAAUAAAAAUUCAUUAAUAUAUUCAAUACAUUUAUAAUUGAUCUCGAUGUGUUUUCAUAUGUUAAAAACGUUAAAGAAAAAACUUAUCAUCAAGAAUACAAAAUAAAUCUUUUUCUACAUGUGUAACAAUAAUGUUACUCAAUUAUUAAUCUCUAAUCUGAUUUCACAGACGAUUUUUCACAAAAUUCAUAGUUGAAAAUGCCUUUUAUUACUGUAGUGAUGACAACUAGUAAAAUCAAUGCUAAUGUUAUCAAUAAAUAAAUUAAUGAAUACAAUUUAUCUUUUUUAGUAUCAACUAUUUUUCUUGUUAGCAUAUCAAUCUGUUUCAAUUUUGAAAAUUUGUUAUUAGAACCCACCUAUGUAAUGUAAACAUCAAAUUGAAUUUUAAGUGUCAUAAGAUUCAUUGAAAAAAAAUCAUUUUGAUAAACUCAAUAAGAUAAAAUAAUUUCUAUUUUUUUGUGCGAGGAGAGUUUGGGUGCAACGAAUCUCAAAAUGACAAUUUCUUUGUGGGUUGGAAGUUAAAGAUAAAUACUUAAUAUUUUGGUUAUUUUUAAAUUUUAACAUUCUUCGAACAAAUUAAAGGCCAACAAUGAAAAUUUCACAUAAAAACAACCAAAAUACUUGCAAAUAGCUUAAAUUAAAAGUUUUCUGUCUCGUUCAAUAGGGUUGGCAAUCAAGCCCAAGCCCAACCCGAUCACACAAACAAAGUGCCCGAGCCCUAAAAAAACCCAACUGUUUUACAUUUGGGUCGGGAUAGGGUCAAGGUUGGGCUCAGACUUUCUUGAGCCCGACCAAAUUUUUUAAUUUUUUAAUAUUUAAAUAAUUUAAAUUUAUAUCUCAUAAUACCAUAGUGGUGGUUGGCAUGGCAGCAAGCGGUGCUGAUGAUGGAAGUUGCAACAACAUCUGUCGUGGGCUCAUGACGUGAGUCGCAGCUGCGGUCAAUUUGGUGGCGGGCUAGUGGCGUAAUGGAAGUAGCAACAGCAACUGGUAGCUCGCUUCUCUUGCAUUAGGGUUUAGAAUGGGAUAUGUGUGUGUUUGUGUGGUGUGAGUCGUAUGAAUGUGAAUAUGUGAUACUGUGAAUCUAUGAUCAUGUGAUGUGAGUGUGUGUUAUAUGUUCAUGUGUGCGUGAGAAAUUUUGUUAAAAUUUGUGUGCGUGAGAAAUUUUUUUUUUUUUUAAAUUUGUUAACUAAUUGGGUUGGGUCAGGCCUUAACUUGAAUUUGAUUGAGCUUUUAUUUUUAAGCCUAGCUUGAAUUUUAACCCUUAAAUUUAAAUCAAAUCUCAAAAAUUUUGGAUCAGGUCAAUUGGGUCGAAAUUCAAGUCGGACUUUUUUGCCAUCUCUAUCAUUCAAAGAGACGCCAACAAUUUUGGAAACUUUUUGUUAGACCUCAACUUUAAAAUACAGUAAAAUCUCUAUAUAGUCAUAUUAUUGGGACUGGAGAAAUUUUUUCUUAUAAAAAGGUUAUAACUCAAUAGAGGUAUAGUAUAAAAAUUUAAUUAUUAUCUUUGCUUAAUUAUCCUUAAUGCAAGUGAUAUAGAGGUAAAUUAUGUCAUGUAUUAAUAAAUUAAUAAGUGUGUCAAAUUUAAUGUAUAGACAUUAAUAAACUACAAACAUACUUGAGAAGUUAGAAAUAUUUUAGUUUCAACUUGAUAUUUCUUGAAAACUUCAUGUGUAUAGAUUGUGGACAUUUGUUUCUCAAAGGGUAAAGGAGACUUCAACACCAGUUUCUUGUGCUAUGUAUUGAAACUUGCAUAAGCUUCCUUUUCUUGUCUGUCUUGUAAAGCCACUUUGUAUUGUUUAACAAAUUCUUCCACUGAUGUCUUCUUACUAACAUAUUUGUCAAAAAAAGAGUUGAUACUUUUGGAUCGUUGGAUUGUAGAUAAUCCAGCAACGAACGUAUCAUUCAUAUAAGUCACCCAAAACUGCAGUCUUCAUUUAAUGAUCUUAGCCACUCAUUCCCUUCAAGCUCAAACUCUUCAAUUAUACCCCACCAUUUUUUUCUCAACGUCCUCCUCUAACCAUGAGUUGUAAACAUAUUCAUUGAAUAUUUUCAUAAAAGAUUCAUCUUUCUUUAUCACAUGGCUAAGCUUUUUGGGAAUCUUCCUAAGUAUGUGCCACAUACAAAAUUGUUGUCAUGAAUUCAUAAAGGCAAUAGAAAUGGCUACUUUCAUAGCCUUGUCUUGAUCAGUUAAUAUAGCAAUUGGAUGCUUUCCACCCAUAGUCCUCAGCCAUGUUUGCAUUAGCCAAACAAAUGUUAACGUAGUCUCAUCAGCAAGCAAUGCACAUCUAAGAAAUAGAGAUUAAAAAUGGUUAUUCACACUAAUAAAAGGAGCAAAUGGCAUUUUCUUUUUGUUUGUAAUAUAUGUAGUAUCAAAGGAAACAACAUCUCUAAAAAUCUUAUAAUCCUCUCUACUAGUUGCAUCCACCCAAAAAACUUCUUCAUCUAAGUCCACAGCUUAAAAGAAAUUAAUAUUCUUUCCCUGCAUUUGCAUAAAGUGGAUAAGCAUUGCUCUAGCAUCACCUAAUUCCAAUGCUAAUCGAUGUUCUUUAUCCAAAUGGUUUCUAAUAUCUUUCUUUGUGUACCCAACAUUUUUAUAUCCACCAUUUUUUUGGCCAUUACAGCAAAAAUCUUAUUUAUACCAAUACCAACUGCAUGUAACAUAUUAAUACUAUGUUUAUUGGAAAAUGCAAUACUUCUAUGACAUGAAAAAUAAUGUGCAUGUCUAGGAUAAAGUUCAUGGUUAUGUUCUUUUAUGAAAUUUUGAACGUACCACUUGCCACGAGAGUUUAUUUUGUCAUGCAACAAAGCCGUUGAUUGAUAGCACUAGAUUCUCAUUUUAUCUCAUAUCUACCUUGUACAUGUGAAUUUUGCAUCAAUAAUUUCCCUAGAAAACUUUGAUCAACGGCUAGAUUUCUUUGAGGUACCGAACCUUGUAUACUUAACAUACUUUAGAUAGAAAAAAUAUGCAUUAUCUUGUGUAUCAAACUCCAACCCAGUAUAAGGUUCUAAAUCCAUGUCAUCGUUACCAUCCACCAUGUUUUUAUUCACCAUAUUUCUAUCAAUCACAUUCAUGCACUCAUCGAAAUUUGUAUUUAAGUCAAUCCGUAAAUUCAUGACUACCUAAAGACACAAAAAGAAAAAUGUAAACAACAACAUUGUAUAAAUAAUCGAGCAUUAUAAAUGCAAAUAAUUGAUUUUCAUAUAAACUUACUAAUUAUUCAAACAUAAUUAUAAAGAAUUAGUUCUCUAAUAAAUAAAUACCAAUUACCUUAAUAAUCUUCAUAAUAUAAAUAGAAAAUAAAUACACAAAUUUUCUUUUAUUAUUAUACAUUAACAAUGACAAAUCAUCAUGACAUCUAAUCUAUAUAAAAAAGAUAAUAGUAUUUUUAAUUUUAGGAGCCAGCUACUUUGCAUCGGUGAUUCCAAAUCCCUCAAUUUUGUUUUUACCAAACCUACCGUUGGAUAUUAUCUCUAAUGGAUGGAAAAGAUACACACACAAGUCAAAGUAACCUGACAAACAAGUUAGGAGCCAGUACCAAGGAUUAGGAAUGACCAUUUGAUCGGUGCUUUUCUUGUAUAAUCUCAGGUUGGUACAAUUAUGUAAAAAGGGGUCGAUUCCUAUUUUCCUUCAUUGUUGAUUAAGGACAGCAUUCCACUUAUUGACGCUAUUCCCAAAUACAAUCCUAAUUUCUUUCAAACUAAAAUUUAUGUAACUGGGUGUGAAGGAACUUUAAAGUGACAUGAGAUUUUUAAGUAGGCAAAUUUAAGAAUAUAGUUAAUGCUAAUUGGGAGCAACAAACCGAAUUUUUCAGUUCAACCUGAACAAAAAGCUAAUUUUUUUAUGGAGUUUGUAGGAUUGGAGAAGAAAAAGUAUUGACACCGGUAAAGUCGGUAGCAUUUAAUCUCUUUUAUCUCACCUAUUCUAUUUGAGCCGUUGGAUUACUAGACUUUCAAUCCACCGGCAGUUUUUGUAAAAGACAAAAUAAAGGGGUUACUUAUCACCACAAUAAAGUAGCCGGACCCUUAAUUUUAAAUAUAUAAUAAAAAAUUAAUGUAAUUUAGGUGAUAUUAGAAAAUGUUGUUUUAUAAAGGAAAAGUUAAGUGAAUCUACCUGAAUCAAUUUUGCAAAACAACUCAUUUAUGGCAAUUGAGACUAUAUUUCCAUAUUAAAACUUUCACUGACAAAUGCUCUGCACUCACAUGGUGCUUUUGAGAGUGAGAACUAAGGAGUAGGUGAAAAUGUAAUGUGUCGAAGAAGCUUCACAAAAAUAGAAGAGCAAUUUAGUAUUUGAAUAAAGAAGUAAAUGGCAUUUGAGUGUAAAUAUGUUUAAAGUAACGAGUAAAAUAAUAUCCAAUACCUUAUUGAAAGAAUGAGACAGAAUUAUUACAUGUGGUACUAGUAAAAUAUAAAAUUGGACACUUAUCGAAUUUGAGAGAAGCAAGCGAGUCAGUCGCUCAUGUAGCACUCUUCGGUUUUAAAUAUCUUUUAAAAGAGGUGCUAAUAGUCCAACUAUAUCCGUUUUUCAUUAAGCUAACUUUGCAUAACAAAGUGAUAAGAUAAUGAGACAUAAAUAGGCCAUCAAGAAAAGUAGAUACAAGAGGCAACAAAUGAUAUUGCCAAAAGAAUGGCGAGGUUUCCAAAAUGCAGAGAAAUACGACGGAUAGUGAGCUGGAAUUUGAUGGUUGUGCAGAUAAAGAUCAGUAACAAUGGCAGGGCAAGAACCAGAAAGAAGAGUUGAAGCUUUAGAGGAUAUAAAAGGAGUCGAUUUGUGCCAUCUUGGACCGAUCUAGUGUUCCCAUUAUCAUAUUUUAAGAACCCAAAGAACACGAUCAAUAUGAUUUAGAAAUUGUAGCAAUUAAACCCUUGAUAAUCAAUUAAAACCUUGAUGUAACUGAUUGAUUGACCUACCUUUUUAUUUAUUUUGAAUUUAUUUAAAAAUUUUGUGAAUUUUUUUGUAACUCCGAAAAACUUGUUAUUUAUUAAAGACUAUUGAUGUUUUUAACACCCCUUUAAAAUCCCAUUUUAAAUUUUGUUUUUUUUGGUCUUAACAAUAAGGUAUCCUAAGGAGGGCCCCAACUGUAGAAGGCACCUUUAAGCCUGUACCACAAUCCAAAUUAGAAGUUCCCGCUCGAACCGGGAGACACAGGUUCUCCCAACAAAGGCGACUUCCCUGCGACUCGAACUGGAGAGCAAACCCAGUCAAACCACUUAAGAAGACUCCAUUGCUAGUGGAGCCAACACUUUGUUGGUCCAUUUUAAAUUUUAUUUCUUAACAAAAUCAGUCAAAGCGUCACUUUCCUUCGAAAAGGUACACACACAGAGAGAGAGAGAGAGAGAGAGAGAGAGAAUCCAGCCUACAACAAUUUCAUUUCUCAUUAAUGCUAACUUAGCUAAGGCCAUUCCAUCCACUUUAAAGUAACUUCAUGUGAAAACAGAUUGAAUUUCAAUUUUACUAGGAGAUCGUUUGUAUGAUGCACCAUAUGUAUCAUACCGUUCUCUGGAUAUACCUGUUUCAAGAUAACUAUGCUUCAGACUUCAGAGAACAAUAAUAUACAACAAGACCAAACAUAAAAAAGCCAAUUAAAUUACUGCAAAUAAAAGUCUGCAAAUACAAUAAGACCAAUAUAUAUAUAUAUGUGUGUGUGUGUGUAAAUAAAUAAAUAAAUAUAUUUUGCACCGAAACACGGUCUUAGAAAGAGUGAUUUUGGUUUUUGAUUCAACAAGAGUGAGAGUGAUACAAACCGAUUAUUUUUAUUGAAACAUAAAAUAAAAUGAAAAGGACAAACAAUAUAGAAGAGUAAAAAUAGAUUAGUUUGAGGAAAUUUAAGCCUUCAAAAUAAGUAUAGAGCAUUAGAGAAACCAAUAAACUUCUAUAUACAACUUAAGUUGUAGUAAAAAACUAUAAAUCUAUAAUCAUCCCAUGCUUUAUCUUAAUCCAAUUAUUCCUGAAAAUAAGAGACUUCAUAGCUUCUUCAUUUCGAAUUUCCUAUAGACAAGUACAACUUUUACUUUCUUUUGGCAUUUCUCAAAUAUUAGCUCUCUAUAAACUUGAGAAGUGUUUAUAUGGGUUGAGAAAAGCUCCUUGUUGUUUCCAUAAAGGUAAAUAUAUCUUGAAUUCUUAACCUUUUGGAGGAAUUUAUAUCUUUAGGUUUACGAAGAGAAAAUGCCAACAAUCUUCAGCUAACCCACUUGAACACACCCUUCUUUCCUCUAUUGACAACUAAGAUUACUGCGGGGAUCUCAUAAUCGGGCUUUGGUUCUCGAAUGAGUUUGAUAAACCUUCGUCUCUAGAGCUGGACCCAAUUGAGGUUUUUAGAUUUAUAGAAACCCAUGGCCUACUUCAACCCAAGAACUAAUUCAAAAAUAGAAGAUUCCUCAAGUUUAUAUUGUUAGCCUAGUUACCAUUAUCCUUGAGAUAAUAUCCUCAACAAUAUUCCCAUUUUACGGCGCAGUUCGGAGAUGAUACAUGUAAUGGUAGGCAAUCUGGGGGGCUGAAUCCAAUUUGGUAAUCGCCACCUUUCGGCUGCUUUAAAAUGAAUAUUAUUGAUGCUGCAAUGGAUCAGACGGCUGGGAUAGCAGGACUUGAUAGGAGACAGCAAGAUUCUGGGCCUAGUCCUUUCUUGGGCUUCUCUCCCUUUUUAAACUUGUAGUUUCAUUUUCGUAAUGGACCUUUUGCUCUUCUUAAUUAGGCCUGGGCAUGCUGUAAGUGUUUUCUUGUCGGAGUUAAAGCGAGUGAUGACAAACUUUACGCAACGUGGCUCCUGCGUUUCUACUGUGCAAGUCAUUUUUAUUAAUCAAUUGUCUACCAUACUAUUUACUUUGAAAUAAAUUGAUAUUUCAUUCAUCAUAGAGAACUUUGAGUACCAUCGUACAUCCACUACAAACACACAUAAAAAUCGAUUAACAGAUUAUUUAUUGCAAGUAGACAAUAGAUUAAGUUAUUGUAUUUUCAAGUUAUGAGAGGAAAAACGAUUAUUUAUAAAAUGCAAUGUAUAUUCAUUCUUCCCUUAAUCCACAGGUAAUUAAAGUUUUAAUAAAUAGAUGUAUACAGGUAAUUGCCUAAGGUCUACCAAGCUUCUCAGUUAAUCUACUCAAAAGAAACUUCUCAACAGUCACGUUUUGAUAAAUUGGGAUAUUUUUAACGCCUUUAAUCUUUGAAAGCUCACUCUUAGAAUUGGUUGCCGAGUUUCCGACUAUUAAUUCAACUGUAGUCAUUACUACACGCACACAUAUUUAUGCUUAUGAUACAGUCAGAUUGAAUCUGUUAUAGGCUAAUUAAUUACAAUAUGUUUCUUUUACAAGCUAUAUGAUUGGACCUUAAUUAAUGAUCGAAGAAGAAAUUAUAAGAUUAAGUACUUCUCCUAGAGCUAAUAUUAAUGUAACAAAACAACUUCAGAUAUUUCCCAAUAAGCCACUAGAUCAGGAUCAAAUCCACCAGUCAAUAUUCCACGAGAUUUUUCCAUUUCAUGAAUUAAUAGGUCUGCCAUCACUAGAUUGAGUACGGAAAUUAAAAAAAAAAAAAGAGUAGAAAUGAAAAAUAAAGGAAAUAUCAAUCAUACCUUUUCUUCAGGAGAAAUCAGAUGGAGGGUGGCGCUGGUUUUUUUAUCUAAAGAUGACUCCAUGGAUAAUCCCUUGAAGCCCCAACGCUCUAUUUUUUUUUUGGUUGUUUAAGAAUUAUUUUCGACAAAGUACUUGAACUCGGGGAGAGAUAGGCCUGGAGACAUAUAUAGAUAAGGCAGCGUCUUACGGUCCUAAUGCUGCAACGUGGUCCAAUUCCUUCUCAACGGAGAAAACGUUCUGUCAUCGUCAAGAAUUUUGGACAGAAACAUGUUACUGUCACAUGCAUGUGGGCUCCGUUUUGAAACCUUUUUUCUCAUCUCUUUUCAGGGUCCAGCUACUAUACCCAUGAGGUUUGGUACCCUAUUCUUUUGUCUUUUUCGAAUCCACCGUUGGAUUUAACUUGAGAGUUGUAUAAUGGUCAGAUGUAAUUAUUGGGUCAUUAACAUUAAAAACCCUUGUUGUUCAUGUAAAAUAAGAAAAAUCAAAAGUUUUAUAAUUAUGACAUAUAAGUCCACAAUAUUUAUUUUUUUACUCUAUUGAACUAGGUUUUCAAUUAAAUAACUUAUUCUUAUAUUUAUUAAUAUCUAUUUAAAUUAAUAAAUUUACUUAUUAAUUUAUUAAUUAAUUAAUAUAUUAACUAAUUUAUUACAUAGUUAAACUAUGUAAAUUAUUUGCUAACCAUAAUUGAUGAUAAAUAUAAAUAUGAUUUUUUUUUAAUUUAACACGGCAACCAAUUUCCUUUCACCCAUGUGAGCAGGGUUCAAACCCCAUAUCUUUUUCUUCUUUUUUUCUCGAACAAGAAAUUUUAUAUGUAAAGUAGAUGGAAUACACAAAAUACGAAAAUAAAUUUAAUUUUAUAUUCUAUGUAGGUAAUGUUUUGUUAUUUUUUUAUAACAUAAUAUUUAAUUAACAUACUAAAUUAUUUAAUUAUGUAGUAAAAAUAUUUUAAUUUACUAAUAAUAAUAAAGUGUUGUUUAUGAAUUUGUAAAAUCAUUUUUGUUUGUUUGAGCAAUGAGUUUUUUAUUUUUGAUUGAAUUUUUGUCCUAAAAUAAAAGGAGUAAAUUUAAUUGUAUACUUAAAUAAAUUUAAUUGAGUUUUUGUCCUGAAAAUCGUGGCUUCCAUAAGCAUUAAUGCAAUUAAAAAUUUGUGGGUGUUGGACUAAUAUGUGAAAAUUUAAAACUUUUUAGCUUGUUUGUUUUUAGAAUAAAUUACAGGACUCUAUUAUAAUUGACCUUAAGAAAAAGACAAAAAGGGAUACCAAACCCCUGUUGCAAAGUAGUUUUGCCCCACUUUUCAUUGGGUGAUUUUGUUUGUUUGGAACCUUUGAACAUCAGCCAGUGUAUGCUAUUUAUUUAUUUUUUAAAUUUUAAAUUUAUAAAUGUAAAAUCUUAAUUUAUAAAGUUGAAUUGGUAUUUAUGUAUAUAAAACCGUCAGUCCGACUGCCGAUAAAUAAAAUGGGUCUGCAUUUGGCUACAAGCCAAUUCUCAAUACUUAUAUAAAAUUUUAAUGGCUAUUACUGAGUCGAGGGUAGGGUACUGGAUUAAAAAUGAAAAACAGAAUAAAUUUGCCAGAAAAUUUUAUUAAUAUUCCGUUCUCCGCAUCAUAGCUAAUUAAACAACCGCUUCUUUCUUAGAAAUAUUACGAUAAAAAGACUAAAUUAAAAUAAGCCAAUAUAGAAAUAAGUACAAGAAACGGUACCUUUCGGGUCUUUUCUUUAAUAAAGACGAAAAUAGCAACUAAACUAAAAGUUAACUGCCAUUUCGUGAUUUCCACUUAUAUUGACAAUAAAAAACCGAACACUUUCCACCAAUAAAGUAUUGGUUCCACUGGCAAUGGAGUCCCCUUAAGUGGCUUGAUUGAGUUUGCUUCCCAGUUCGAGUCGCAGGGAAGUCGUCUUUGUUGGGAGAAUCUGUGCCUCACGGUUCGAGCGGGGACUUCUAAUUUAAGUUGUGGUACGGGCUUAAAGAUGUCUCCCACAGUUGGGGCCCUCCCCAAAAUACCUCGUGGUCAAAAAAAAAAAAAAAAAAAAAACCGAACACUUUCCCAACAAAAAAAGGACAUAGAUGCCACUUUAUAAAUAUAAAUAAUGUAAUUACAAUUAUUAAGUUUACUAUUAUAAAUGAUACAUAUUUAUUAAAUCAAAAUGUAAAUAUAAAUAUAAAAAGAAUAAUUAAUGUAAAAUAAGUUUCUUUAAAACAUCACAAGAAGAAGCAACUAUUGUUUGUUAUUUUAAUUUAACAAAGAAAUCGUAAUGAAUUACCAGAUUAAAAGUUUUAUUGAAGAAGAAAAGUAAUUAAUAUAUAUAUAUAUAUAUAUAUAUAUAUAUAUAUAUAUAUAUAUAUUUAAACUUGAGUACUGCGAGAUGAUGAAGACAAAAUGAAAAGCAUUAACAGAGAGAGACACACAAAUCAUAUCUCAUAAAUAUUAUUUAAAAAAAAAAACACUCAUUGUCCACUUCAUCUAUACGGAGUCGUAUACAUAACUAAAACAACAGAUCUGAAUUUUAUCUUUAAAAAAAAAUUAAAAGAGAAAUAUAUAUUAUUACUGUGGCAACUGUAGCUAGCCCUAGGUAGUAGUAGUUGCAUGGAACUUCGAGUCACCACAAUUGCACCAGAUCCCCUGGCUGCAGGUUUUGGAUGCCCUCGUGAGGUUCGGCAGAAGCUAUUACCGCAGCGUGUCCGUUGCAGCAGCGCUUAAACAGAGAAGUUAGCAUUACAUAAAAGAGUGAUAGGAUUAUGAGACACAAAUAAACCACUAAGAAAAGAGAUGGAGCCAAAAUGAGAGAAGCGAUUGUGGAUAUUGCCAACAGACAAGGGAGAUGAUCUCCACAACUCAUGGACAUGGGGCUUCUCACACUGACAGGAAGUCUGAUGGCUGUGAAGAGAAAGACCAGUAAUAUCAGGAAGGGGAAUUGAAGCUUUAAAAUUGGGUACAAAAGUAUCUGAUUGGUUCCAUCUUGGAGGUACCAAGACUGACCAUCUUGAGAUUUCAGGAAGAAAAAGAAGAUUACAAGAUUUAGCAAUGGUGGAAACAAAAAUCUCACAUACAACAGGGCAGUUCAUUUCUGGAAAUGGAAUGUCAAAAAGAAAAUUUCAUACAUUCGCAAUGGAAGAAGAUUUGAGUGCUCAGCCAACCGUAUGAGAGGGCUGCUAGCUCUUGGGGGAUUUAUAGGAUGGCAACAUUAAUUCCUUACGGACUCAUUUUCAUAAAACAAAGGAGAGAGAGAAAGAGAAGAAAACCCUUGCCCUAGCCUCGUAUCAAAAGACAAAAGCGAGCCUCAGCCUCGUGCACAUCUAAUACACACGCGCACUGCAGGCAAAUACGCUUAUGGUCCAGUCAGAUCGAAUCUGUUAUAGACUAAUUAAUUACUCUAUGUUUCUUUUACUAGCUAUAUCAUUGGAUCUUAAUUAAUGACCGAAGAAGAAAUUAUAAAAUACUUCUCCUAAAGCUAAUAUUAAUCGAUCAAAACAACUUCAGAUAUUUCCCAAUAAGCCACUAGAUCAGGAUCAACUCCACAAAUCAAUAUUCCACAAGAUUUUUCCAUUUCACGAAUUAAGAGGUCUGCCAUUACUAGAUUAAAAGGUAAUAAAAUUAAUUACUUAACAUACAUUCUAAAUCAUCCUUAAAUUUUAUAUGUACGGUUCCAGCUGUAGGCGAAACUUUGGAUAGGUAUAAAAAAAAAAAAUUACAAAAAAGGAGUAAAAAUGAAAAAGAAAGAAAAUAUCGAUCUUCGAUCAAACCUCUUCUUCAGGAAUCAGGAGAAAUCAAACGGAGGGGCGGAGCUGGUUUUUUAUCUACAGAUGACUCCAUGGAUAAUCCCUUGAAGCCUCCAAUGCUCUAUACGAUUUUUUUUUUUUUUUUUUGUUGCUGUGUAAGAAUUUUUUUCCAGAAAGAACUUGAACUCGGGAAGAAGAAGACCAGGAGACAUGUAUAGGUAAGGGAGCGACUUACAGUUCGUAAUGCUGCAACGUGGUCCAAUUCCUUGUCAACGAAGAAAAACGUACGACUCUUGUCAUCUUCAAGAAUUAUUGGACGGAAACAUGUUAAAUGUCACGUGCAUGGGACCCGCUUUGAUAGCUUUUUCUCAUCUCUUUUCAUUGUGUUUGUUUGCGAAUCUUUGAACAUCAGGUAGGUGGCGUAUGUUAUUUAUUUUUUAUUUUAAAUUUAUAAAUGCAAAAUCUUAAUUUAUAAAGCUGAAUUGGUAUAUAUAUAUAGAAAACGGUCAGUAUAAAAUUUUAAAAAAAAAAAACAGAAUAAAUUUGACACAAAAUUAAGAUUAAUAUACCGUUCUCCGUAUCAUAAAUAACUAAACAACCGCUUCUUUCCUGGAAAAUCAUAAAUAUUACGAUAAAAAAAAAAAGAGAGCCAAUAUGGAAAUAAGUACAAGAAGCAGAAAAAUGCUUUUCAGCUCUUUUCUUUAAUAUAGACGAAACAGUUUCCAUUCCAAACGAAAAAAAUGUAAAAAAAAAAAAAAAGAUUUGCAUUCCACUCUGUAAAUAAAAUAAAUGUAAUUACACCCUCAUAAUAGAUACAUAUACAUUAAAACAAAAUGUAAAUAUAAAUAUAAAAAGAACAAUUAAGAUAAAAUAAGUUUCUUUAAAACAUCACAAUGAGAAUUGAGAAGCAACUAUUGUUUGUUGUGUUAAUUUAUCUGUGAGCCGCACGUAUUCAUUUAACAAAGAAAUCGUAAUGAAUUACCAGAACUAAAGCUUAACUGAAGAAGAAAAGUAAUUUAUAUAUAAUAUUCUUUUCAACUUUAGUACUGCGUGUUGAUGGAGAGACAAAGUGAAAAUUGUUAACAGAGAGAGACACACGAAUCUCAUAAAUAUUAUUAUUAAAAAAAAGCAUUCGUUGUCUGCGUCGUCUAUACGGAAUCGUAUGCAUAACUAACACAACUGAUCUGAUUUUUAUCUUUUUCUUAAAAAAAAAAAAAAUUAAAACAGAAGCAUAUAUUAUUACUGUGGCACCUGUAGCCAGCUAUAGGUAGUAGUAGUUGCAUGGAAGCUGAAGUCACCACAAUUACACCAUAUCCCCAGAUGGACUUGGCAGCAGGUCUUGGAUGCGCCCACCUUCUACUUUAACUUCAACUUCAGCUUCAGCUUCAGCUUCAUGUCCAACUUCAACUUGACCAUCAGAUUCAGGAACAACAGUGUAUCCUUUGCAGAAGCGCUUAAACAAGGAAGUUGACAUUACAUAAAAGAGUGAUAGGAUCAUGAAACACAGAUAAACCACCAAGAAAAGAGAUGGAGCCAAAAUGAGAGACGCGAUUGUUGAUAUUGCCAACAGACAAGGGAGAUGAUCUCCACAACUCACGGACAUGGGGCUGCUCACUCUGAGAGGAACCCUGAUAGCUGUGAGGAGAAAGAGCAGUAAUAUCAGGACGGCAAGACUCAUGAAGGGGAAUUGAAGCUUUAAAAUUGGGUACAAAAGUAUGUGGUUGGCUCCAUCCUGGAGGGACCAAGACUGACUAUCUUGAGAUCUCAGGAAGAAAAAGAAGACUACAAGAUUUAGCAAUGGUGGAAACAAGAAUCUCACAUCAACAGGACAAUUCAUUUCUGGAAACUGAAUAUCAAAAGAAAACUUCAUACUUUUGCAAUGGAAGAAGAUUUGAGCUCUCAGCUAACCAUAAGAGAGGGCUGCUAGUUGAGCUCUUAGGGGAUUUAUGGGAUGGCAACAUUCCUCACGGCCACAUUUUCAUAAAACCAAGGAGAGAGUAAAAGCAAGAAAAAGACAAAAGAGAACCUACACUUGUACUGUGGCAGCCUGACAGAUAUCUAAAGACAAAAGAUGAUAAAAUCUCUGAUUUGGCCCUCUAUUUUGUCAGACCUGGACUAAGACAUAUUCACACCCACAAACACAAGGAUUCCUCUAAAUUACAUUUAUCGCAACAUACAAUCAGUGAAAUCAUUAGUUGACCAAUAAACUCAUGCUAAGUGAACAUAACAGUGAUAAAUUAAAACUUAUUCAAGUGGUUGAAGCCGGUCACCAAAAAUAAUCAACGCAAAAGGCUCCCUUCCACAGCCGGUCGUGACAAAUAUAACGGCGUCGUUUUAACCAUCAAAUUACCACAACAGUUCCAUCUCUUCCACACAAUCCUCCUCAAAAUUCAGUCCUCCACCACCAAAUUCCAGCCAAAAUCAACGACACCAGUAAGGGGAUUGAUAAGGGUAUUCAUGUAUGAAUACCCUUAGCAAGCCCCUGGUUAGCUAAAGCAGACAUUAGUAUCCUAGCAGCUACAGCAGCAGAGAAAAGUCUCUGUUCACGUAUUCGCCUUAGGUUUAGGCAGUUAGAUGUCAUCGAAUUUGAAUUCCCAUUCAAUGAAGGUUUGACGCAGCAGGCUUGAUUAGGUUGUAUAGCUGGAUCUGGUUGAUUAGGGACGUCCCGGAGGAGAUUUGCAUCGAGCGAAAGAGAAACAACGGUGAGUAUACUCACAAGACGACAAACGUCACUCACUCUUGUGUCGGCAAUUUCACCAGCCCGCAAGCACUUAAUCUCAUCAUUGCGUAACGCCUAUUCCUCCUCUUCUUAUUCUUCUUAUUAUCUGUUUAUUUUAGUAUUUAUUUGAUUAAAUUAAUUCGCUUUGUCAUAAACAAGGAAGAAAACAAUUAUUUAGAGAGAGAGAGAGACUUGUCAAAAUGGGCAGAGAAACUCCAGUUAAAAGCAGGAGAGCAAGCACGCCACUGGCGGCUACGCGUCCGCAAAAGCCGCUAUUUUUGCGUGGUCCCCGACGUCGAUAAACUUAUCUUUAUUAUUUUGACAAGGAUCGAAAAUUCAAAAUUAAGAAAAUAAUAUUGUCAUUUGACUGAAUUCUUAGAUAUGAAUUUUCUUUAGAAUCUUAGAUCAUUAUUUUCUUUUUGGUUCGCUCAAAAUCUGCUGUAAUUUAAAAUCUUAGAUCAUUAUUCUUUUACUUUCAUGCAAUAUUAAUUCGUUAAAAAUUUUAGGCUGCAGUAUCUCAGCAUGGUGAAUGCAAGAUGAGACUCUAGAACUUUAGAUCAAAUAUUAAAUUAAUUGUGCUAUAUAUAUAAUCUCGUAUCACUUGUGUAUUUAUAAUAAUAUAAUUAUGAUUCAGAUUUAAUACAUAUUAUUUCUUAUUUAAUAUAUAACUAAUAAGCCCAAUAUUUCCCAAAAUAAAUUAAACUCAACUUGCUUUUUGAUAAUUUUAUUAGUAAAAAUUAUUGUUAUAUGUCAUAUCUUAUAUAUAUAUAUAUAUAAUGAGAUAACAUAUAACAAUAAGUGGAUAUCCUUGUUCCGCUAUUGAUUAGUGGUUCAUUUGGUCGGACGGCCCUAAGCCAUUUUCUUAAGCAAUAACGGAAAAAUGCAACAAUAUCAAUGAGAUAAGGCUUUCAAUUGGUGAUGGCAUAAAUUCAAAACAAAAACACAAGAACGUAUGAUAUCGGUGUCAUCAAAUUAAACUAUAAGCACUAUCGGUGCCAAAAUUUAUAGCUACGCUGCUACUUUUAACCAGUGUAAAUUCAGGCGAUCCUAUCAUACAAAUUAAAAAUGAAAAUUACGGAAGAAUGAAUUCAGAACAAGCUGAAUCCCUCACAAAACGUCCAUGCAUUCACCGGUUAACCAUGACAACCUUUUUCGUUUUGACGCAAAAAAAUAAUAGAGAGAAAGAGACAAGGAGAAAAAUUGAAAGAUGAAAGCGUUUUUCUCUCUCUUUUUGACACUUCAGCUGCUGGGCAUUUCGUCUGCUUUUUUGCCGGAAGCUUGUUAACCUGUGCCAUGGAAUGCCUGUCCCCCAUUGGAGAACUGAAAUCCACAUUAAAAAGGAAAAAAAAAAAGUACAAUCGAAUGUCACAUUUAGCAAAAGAUGAUGUCACAUUAGACUUGUGCCUAUUACGUGUAUAUAUAUAUAUAUAUAUGUAGAUAAUAGAUUGCAACACCUGUUGUUAUAGUGUCUCUCGUCUCACUAGAUUUGUAUCGACCAAGUCUCUGUACAUCGAUCGGAAGUUCGAAAAUUCAAUAUUCACAAUCCACUGAAGGAAACUUCCUGAGGAAGGUAUCAACUUGCAGACAAGCAUCCAAAAGGAUGGCAAAAAUGAACAUUAAUUACUUGUCCCACAUGCCAAGUAUAUAUAUAAGAUUUAAUUGGCAUCCUGAGAUUUCGAGUUCAUAAUGAAGAUUAAAAGAUUUAAUAUUGGCGGAAAUAAAAAUCUCAAAUAAAAAAAAUUCAAGAUGACUGUGAUUAAGUUUAGGGUCUUCAGAUUGGGAAGCCUAUAUGGCUUUUAUAUAGAGCCCCUUCUCAGCAUCAUAUGGAACCGCCUAUAAAACAAACUACCAUACGCCCAAAAAGAAGAAGAAGAAGAAGAAGAAAGAAAGGGGAAAAAAAAAGUAACGCCAUUAUAACUUUCGAACUUUGUUUUUCUAAAAAAAAGGAAACAAGGUUAUGCACUAUUUGGAUCUUGUUACAUGUGGCAGUGUUUACAAUUAAUGGCCAAGAUUUGUCCCUCCUAUGUCGUUGUUGACCUUUGAUUGAGUAUUAACCAAUGAGGUUUCCCACAUGAUGAAGGAGAUAAAAGAGAUGCAUUGUCAAUAAAUUAACGCUUGCAAAACAGAAAGUAGCCUGUAACAUCCAAUCAUGCACACACAAUCUAUGCUAAUACUGAACAGAAAAAUGAAACUUUGAUUUGAAGUGAGAGUCUUCGAAGGCAACAGCUUCUUUUCUUUUAAAUUGUAUAAUUAUAUACCCUGUAAAUAAGACAGCUUAUUUUUAUUGUAAAGGUGAUGUGAUUUUAACCCACUAAACUAAUCAUUAAAUUUAUUCACUAAAUAAACUUAUCCUAAUAUUUUGAAAUCUUAAAUUUUACUCGAUAAAUUCACCUAAAUAACUAAUGUACCUUUAUGAAACCCAGUUUGUACAAAAAUAAUAUUUUUACUCAUUAAAUUCAUUUAUAAACCCUUAAUGAAUGUUUCAUUAAAUUUCUUCCGUAAUCAUUCUUAAUCAAGAAGAUAUAUCUAGCGACACAUCAACCAUCAAACACAGACUCAUGUUGGCAAUACCAUGGUCAAGUAAGAAAAUGACCUAAUUUACUUCAAAAUCAAAAUAUCACCGCUCAAGUAAGCCAAAUGAUUGACGUCAAAGAAAAGAACCACCCACCCAACAAAGGAAAAAAUAUGGUCUUUCACUUUCAGCUUACUUCACAAAAACAAAAGAAUAGAAAAGAAUAGAAGGUAAAAGGCGCUUAGAUAACAUUAAAGGAGAUAUUCUGUAAUGUAUGGUAUAAGUGGUUUAGAAGAAUAUCCACUCCCAUGCAGUACCUGAUGAUUUUUUUAAAUUCUUUCCUUCUCAUAAAACAUGCGACUAUAUAUAUGUAUAUGAAACUUAUUAAGGAUUUAAUUAGUAGAAAAUCUUGGGGAAAAUACUUCAAAAACCAUCAAUUGUGUAUUAAAGAAACAACCAUGUUUAAUCUUCUGCAAGCAUAGCUCAUAUAACUUUUAAGGAACACAGUUUCCUUGCAAAAAUAUGAAUGAAUGUACAAAAACCCGAAAUGGAAACAAUCAGUGCAGUUACUGAUGUUAAAAGAUGCAUUCAGGGUGCGCAGCGGCCCCAAACGCACAAUCAAUCAAUUUCCCUGACUUCCAACCUUCAAUUUAAUGCAACCACAGUCAUGACCCUCCUAUCCUUAAAAUAGGAUAAGAUUUUCCAUUUAUUGUAUAUUUAAUUGCAGUGCUAGACUUUGUUACAGAGAUUGUCUGCAAAAGUAAAACAGCUCAUUCCUGUUAAUUUCCCUGGAUGAUCAGUUUCACUGGUAAAAUAACUCUUAGCAUAGCCGCUGGGACUUCAUUCAAAAGAAAACACAUAAUGGUGAAGUUAGACCAAGAAAAAUAAGCUAUUGGAAUUGAGUAAUACCAUAAGAACCACAUUGCUUUCCAAAACAAUGACUAGAGGCAUCAGGCAUGAUCAAAAUAACCAAAAGUGAACAUUGUCCCACAGACCAGAAACUUAGUCUUCCCUCUUAUCUUCAAAAAUGCAAUCUUGCCAAAUAACCCAAAAAAGACCUAGAUCAUCACACUGCCAGAUAACCUCGGGUUUCUAUCCUUGCCAAGAAAAGCAAAAAACAUUUUCCAUUAGCGAAGAGCUACAAGAACUUGGAGCAUCCCAAAAUCAAUAACAUAAUUGAGAAUCAAUGCAUGUAUCCGCAAACAUUUGUUUGAUAGACAACUGAUUCCCAAACCAAUUUUAAAUUUCUGACAGACUUACUUCAUUGCCUAAAUUCCUACCAAGAUUUUCAGUUAAUCUGCUCAAAAUACAAUCCAAGGGUGCAUUUAAACAAAUUGGGUUAUUUAAUGCCUAUACCUCAUCGAAUUGCUACCAAAGGUAAUCCCCACCAAACAAUCAACACAUGAAAUACAGGACCUUAACCUUUAGACAGAGAAAAUACGGCUGAAGAAGAAACUAAAAACCCAUAGAACCACUAAAUACUUCUCCUAAUACUAAUAAAGGAACAAAACAACAUCAUAAUACACUCAAUAUACCAUCAAAUGAAUAAAUCCAUACCAAUGACGAGCAAAAUAUGAAAAUUUUCAAGAAUUAACAAUUCUGCGAACAGAAAAUGAUAGUAAUUAUCUGCAUUUUAAAUAAUCCUAAAAUCAGAACAAAGACUUAUUUAUGUCAUAAAAAGAACCUACAAACACUUAGGCCCUGUUCAGUAUUGUUUUCCAAAUGUUGUUUUUGUGAAACAAAAUUGAGAAUGAAAAUACUAGUUUUAAAAUUUAAAAAUGUGAUCAGUAUCAUUUUCAAAAAUAAUCUUGAAAAUGGAAAAAUUAAAAUACGUUCAAUAGGAAUAUUUUAAAGAAUUAUUAUUGGAAUAAUGUCCAUAAACAUAAAAUUAAGUAAUGAAUAAUUAUUUUUAUUAUUUAAUUAGUUUGAUUAUGUUAAUUUUAAGAAUAAAUUAGGUGAUCUUAUUAAUUUUUUUGUUUAAAGAAAAAUGAUAAACUCUACGUAUUUGAUUUAAUUAAUAUAUAAAAACAUAAAUAUUAUAAUGUAUAUAAAAAGAAAAAAUAAUUGUGAGGGAAAUUGAUUUUUGGGUAUAAUAAUAAUAAUAAUACUGUUGAUAUUAUUAUUAUUAUUAUUUUGUGAGAUGGUAGAAGAAAAUUGUUCAUUUUGAAACUUAACAAUAUAUUAGAAAACAAGGAAAAUAAGAAAAAGUUGUUUUCUUAUUUCUUUUGUUAAAAGUGUAGAAUGAAUUUUACAUUUUCAAAAAAAUUUUCAAAAAGGAUCUAUCAAACACAUAUUUAAUAUUUUUUGAAUUAAGAAAACAAAAAACGAGAUUUGGAAACAAUACCGAACGCACCCUUAUUUUUCUUAUUUUUUUAUUUCCAAGCAAAAUCAACAUUCUUCUAUUCUUUCUUCAACAAGAAAACAGGUUAUGUUACAAUAGUCAAUAGGCAGUAGGCAAAACACUUGAUAACUGAAUAUAUAAAAAGAAAUAAAAAGGAGUUAAAAAAAUCAAAAAAAUUGAAAAUUGAAAAUACAAAAAGAUUAAAAAAGAAACUAUAUUUAGAAAAUGAAAAUAUCAACCCCCUUCUGUAGAACAAUUCAAACAGGGAGUUGCUGGUUCUUAAUCAAACAGUAAGUAAUAUUCCACUGAAACCCCAACCCUCUAUUUGAAUUUUUUUUCAUAAGAAUUAUUUUCAAAAUAGAACUUGAACUCUGGAAGACAUAAAAGGAAAAGACAUAGAUGACUGACUGAGUCUGACUGAGAGCGAGUCGCCAGGAUACCGCACCGGUCAGCUUCCAAUUGAACUUGCCAGUUUGGGUUCGAGUCCCAGUCCAACAGGUAGUGAAAGCAGGUAAUUAUCAUAACCAGAUGAAGUAUCAAAACCUGUUUGUAUAAGCCUGCACAUAACAAGUUAAUCAUCAACAAAAGAGGGGGCUGCAGCGAGAAUCAACACAUCAUGUACUAAUUAUAAAACACGUAAAAUUAACGUAUCUUACCAGUCACAAAACCCUUUUUCUUUAGAGAUAAUCUCCCAUUGCAAAUAUAAAAAUGAAAAAGAAAAAAAAAUGACCAUAAAAGUAGAAAAGUCCCCUCUUUUUCUCCAAACAAAUACAACCAUUUCAGUUCACACCUAAGCUCAGAACCAUUCAAGUUUCAACCAAUCAAACAACCAUAGUAUUCUUAUUAAAAAAAAAUGAAAUAACCAUAGAAUAAAAAAAUUAUAAUCCAAUCCAAAUAUUGUUUCAGAAUUUAUGAUUUAUGGUAGACUCAAUUGGUCAAACCUAUGGAAUUGGAAUGAUGCAUUUAUUUAACCCAAAAGGUGAAUAUCAAGCUUAAGGUUCGUACAUAUUGAAAUGAUCAAAUUUCUUUCAUGUGAACAUGAGAUGCAACUUGAACUAUUUCAAGUUAUUCCUAGAGAAAGCAUUAAAAAGAAAUUUGUUCAUCCUACGUGGUAUAAGUAGUAUACUUCAGCUAAUAUUAUGCAUCAUCGGUUAAAUCAUUUGGAUUAUUAACAUUGAUAAUUUUUUAUUAGCUGAAUUGAUAACUGUCGCACCCCUAACUUAAGGACACGUGUGAUAAGAAAAUUUUAUCCACAUCAGGUGCAAGUAUAAGCUUUUAACAAUUAAGCUGUGACUGUUUGCUUACAAGAACAAACAUGUACUAAUAGAGAUGAAUAAAACCCAGCACUUCCAAGAAACUUUGACAUUAUCUCCCCUAAAAUAUGGAUAUUAUGCAAAUACAUCAAACCAGCAAUUUUUAUACCCAGCUGCUUAAAACUUCAAAAGUAAAAAAAUUAAAAUAAAAUAAAACACAACCUUCUCAAGUUAACUCUACUACGGUAUCGGUCAAUACAAUACAGGGGCCUCUGGGACCCUAUUACUACAACAAUAACACAUAUUAGUGCAUCAUACUAAUGUCGCUUAGUCAUUCUAAAUACAUGUAUUAAAAAGCAUAAUAUCUACAAUAAGGUAGCUUACGAUGUCUACUAGGCCAGUAAUGCCAAAGUACAACCAGAACAAAAAUAACAAAGACUGUUCUUCAUUACGAAACACAACUUUCAAAAGAGGUAAUCUCCAUGUUAAGCCCCAAAUCAAAAUCAAUGCUCCACCGACCACAAUUUUUUCACCACCACUGCCAAAACCUGAAAAGUAAGGGGUGAGCUAAUGCCCAGUAGGAAGCCACACACUACAAAGGAUCCUUUUUUUUUUUUUCUUACGCCAAAAUAAUUCACAUAACUUGGGUACAUUUCUAACAUAAACCAUUUAUAUAUAUAUGAAAAAAUAUUUAUUUCUUAAAACUUUUUGAGUUGGAAGUUGGUAUUCAACAGAAAUGAAAAAAGACAAGUUUAUAACAACAUACACACAUACAAACAUAGUGCUGCUCAUACUCCCUGUAGUUUUUUUUUUUGGGAAAAAUACUCCCUGUAGUUAAGAGUAAAGAAAUCCUAAAAUUACUCAUUCAAAAAUACAGAAUAAAAACACGCCUGACAAGUCGGUAAGCUGUAAAUCCUCGGCAAACAUUUUCAACCAAUAAUAAAUUUAAAAAGAAAUACCUUACAUACUUUUGGGCAUUAUUCCCAGGGGCCACCGCCCAUGAUUUCUUUUGCGGACUUUCACCGGGGGUAGAAAUCUGACCAAGGUCAUUCCAGCAUACCGUACUUUUGGGGUGUUAUUCCCAGAGGCCAUCGCCCAUAAUUUCUUUUUGGGCUUCACUGCAGGACAGGAAUCUGACCAUCACCAAUUAACCUUCUGAAACCUCAACUUAAAUAAAAGGAAUAAAAAUUAUUAACUCAUUCAAUAGCAUCAAUGUAAGUUUCCUUACAAUAACACACCACACCAUGAUACUUCUCAAUAACAAUAGCCAUGGAUAACAGAACCCCAGUACAUCCCCAGUUUAACAACACAUCCACAAACUUGAACUGCAAUCAAAGCACCACAGGACACAUAAACACAAUUCAGCUAAACUUCCUAUUCCAAGCUUGGCUCAUAUCACAGUUAAAGUUUAAUUCUCAUUCAUGAUUGCAUCAACCCAAAUUAACUAUCAUAACUGAUUCAAGUAAUUUGACUACAUGGUCUUCAAUUAAAAAUCGCAAUCCUGUUGACAAUUCUAACAUGUCAAUUUUUAUUUUAGCCAUAUGGUCACGUAAUUAAAUGGCUAACCACACACCCACUGCAUUAAUUAUUAAAGGAAGCAAUUAAGCCGUUAACACAUUAAAUCUAAGCAAAACAACUUUUAAGGACUAAAAAAAAAUUCAGAUUAUUGAGCAAGAAAAACAACUUGAUUUUUCGGUUUUGAGAAACAAAAUCACUCAAUUGCAUAUAACCACCUACCUCAAUCCUCCACCAACAGCUCGUAGUUCUCCAAAGACUUCUCAUCUCAUCUAACUCCACUUCCUAUUGAUAAUACAGCGACAAAAAUUAACCAACUAUAAUGCCAAUAAUUUAAGAAUCCCAAAUUUAACACAAUCCUAAACUUGCUGUAAGUUACAGCAGCAGCUAGCAAGGAAACAAUUAAGAAAACAAAGUGGAAAAAAACAACAUUAAUAAAAGUAAGAAGAUUGCAAAAUUGAACCAUGCAUGCACGGAAACUUACCCAAACCAGGUCUAAAGAGUAAGAAUUAUGAGAAAAUCCAGCGAAAGCCAUGUUGGUUUCCCAUAAAUUUCAUACUUGCUGUUGUUCUCAGCUCCCUUCUCAGCUCCCUUAAGUGCACAAUUAUUCUCUGUAAAAAUCAAUUGCUCUCUUUCCCUCCAUUUCUUUUUCUUCUUCUUCUCUCUUCUUUUGUUUUUCCUCGUUAUGUCCCUGUUAUUCUUGUCCCUCUUAUCAUCAUCAUCAUCAUCAUCACCCCUGAACGUUGGUUUUGUUUGUUACAGAGCUUAACAAAAGAAUAAAGAAACCAUAUAAGUUGGUUGUGGGCUCGUCUUAGUUAUAGAUUUUCUUAAAAAAACAAAAAACUAGAGGAAGUUAUAGAACAAUUAAAACAAUAACAAUAAUAAUAAAAUAAACACACGCAACUAUAAAAUAAAUAGAUAAAUUCAACUUAGGAUAAAUUCGGAGCGUUACAAUAACUCUCCAAGCCACAACUGUAUUAUGACCAAUAGACAUUUGGAUAAUAACAGAUAGACAAGAAUAAAAUUUAAAAAAAAACAAAAGAGUUAAAAAAGUUGAUAUAAUGAACCUUGCAGUCAAAUGUCAGCUCUAUCUUCUUCGAACGAACUAAAGGCCAACAAGGAAAAUUUCACAUAAAAGCAACCAGAACACCUGCAAAAUAGCUCAAAUUAAAAGUUUUCUGACUCGUUCAGAGAGACACCAACAAUUUCCAAAACUUUUUGUUGGACCAUCUGACAACAUCAUAGAAAACAAGCAACACCAUAUUUAUUGUCUUUAAGUUAUAAAAAGCUUCAAGCUUUGCAGAUGCGAGGAUAAAAUGAGAAACCAACCAUAGAACAUGCCAUGAGAAAGGGCACAACCAGAGGAAAGAUCUCCAAUGUCUCAGUGUGACACUAAUCAUCAUGAAACGAUAUCAACAGAUAUGAUUUACGGAUACAUGAAAUAUAAAAAGCUUCAAAUGAAAUUAAUAUACAGCGAUAGAAUAUAAAAUAAAUAACUUCAUAAAGAAAGGGUUUACAUUAGGGAGAGGGGAAAAAAACUGAGGUUAAAAGCUGAACUCUGGCUACUGUUCUUUCAUUUGUACGUAAAGCCUCUCAAAUUCUUUAGUCAUGGCAUAAUAGAUUCUCAUAUAUAUAUAUAUAUAUAAUAAUGCUGUUGAAAGAAGCCCCUGAACUUAGAAUCACUUCCACUUCUUUAAGUUAUAAGUUUUGGUAUAUUUGAUGAGAUGUAGAAAGGUUCUUAACCCCAUUUUACUUUGCCACUUCAAAACCUGGAAAGUCUCUCGCAAAACCUGAAAUUAGAUGGAUGGAUUUGAAAUGAAAGGAUUUUCUUACAAAAGCUAAAAAAUACAAUGGCACAGUGAAAAUGGGAAAAUGAAAAUUUAAACUCUAUAUCUUUAGGUUUAUGAAGGGAAGACGCCAACAAUCUUCAACCAACCCACUUGAACACACCCUUUUCUCCUCUUUUGACAUACAAGAUUCCUGCAGGAUCUCACAAGGACUUUGGUCUCAAAAGAGUUUGAUAAGGCUUUAGUCUGUGGGGUUGAAUCCAAUUGGCGUUUUAAAUUUAUAGAAAGCCGUGGUCCAAUUCAACCCAAGAAUUAGUUCAACAAUAAAAAAUUCCUCAGGUUUAUAUUGUUAGCUUAGUUAUUAUUCUCCUUCAAUGUGAGAUAAUAUCAUCAAUAAGAUUCCAUCUUACGGUGCAAUUCGGAGAUGAUACGUGUAAUGGUAGACAAUCUAUGUGUGGGGCUGAAUCCAAUUUGGUGCAAAUCAUUUUUAGCCACUUACCUCAACCCCAUCAAGGCAAAUUUUUAGCAUUUCUAUGGUGAAAAUAAUUUUUCUUAAUCAACUGUCUACUUAUACUAUUGACUUUGAAAUAAAUUAAAAUUUCAUUCAACAUAGAACGAUUUGAAUAGGAUCAUACAUCUACUACAAAUACACAUCAAAAUUGAUUAACAGAUUAUUUAUUAGAAGAAGACAAUGGAUUAAAUUACUGUAUUUACAGUUUAUAAAUGCAAUGUAUAUUCACUCUUCCCUUAGUCCACAAGUAAUUAAAGCUUCAAACAGGUGUACACAUAUAAUUGCCUGAAGUCUACCAAGCUUCUGAGUUAAUAUACUCAAAAUAAACUUUUCUACAGUCACAUUUUUGAUAAAUUGGGAUAUUUAACGCCUUUUUUCUUUGAAAGCUCAUUGUUGGAAUUGGUUGCUGAGUUUCCGGUUAUUAAUUGGACUGUAGUCAUUAACACACACACAAAUCCUUGUGGUACAGUCAGAUCAAAUCUGUUAUAGACUAAUUCUUUUACUAGAUACAUGAUUGGAUCUUAAUGAAUGACCGAAGAAGAAAUUGUAAGAACCCAUACAAGUAUUAGAUCUUCUCCUAAAGCUAAUAUUAAUCGAUCAAAACAACUUCAGAUAUUUCCCAAUAAGCCACUAGAUCAGGAUCAAGUUCACAAUUCAAUAUUCCACAUGAUUUUCCCAUUUCAUGAAGUAAUAGGUCCGCCAUUACUAGGUUAUAAGGUAAUAAAAUUAAUUACUUAACAUGCAUUCUAAAUCAUCCUUAAAUUUUAUAUGUUCGGUUCCAGCUGCAGGCAUAACUUUGGAUGGGCACAGAAAGAAAUAAAAUUACGAAAAAAGGAGUAAAAAUGAAAAAGAAAGAAAAUAUCGAUCAAACCUCUUCUUCAGGAGAAAUCAAACGGAGGGACGGAGCUGGUUUUUGAUCUACAGAUGACUCCAUGGAUAAUCCCUUGAAGCCCCCAACGCUCUAUUUGAUUUUUUUUUUUUUUUUUUUUUGGGUACGUAAGAAUUAUUUUCCACCAAGAACUUGAACUGGGGAAGAGAAAGGCCCGGAGACGUGUGUAGAUAAGGCAGCGACUUACAGUCCUAACGCUGCAACGUGGUCCAAUUCCUUCUCAACGAAGAAAAACAUACGACUCUUGUCAUCUUCAAAGAAACAUGUCAAAUGUCACGUGCAGGGGACCCGUUUUGAAAACUGUCGUCUCAUCCUUAUUAUUUUAUUUUAAAUUUAUAAAUGUAAAAUCUUAAUUUAUAAAGCUGAAUUGGUAUAUAUGUAUAGAAAACGGAAAAGUGCUUUUUAGCUCUUUUCUUUAAUAAAGACGAAAAUAAAAAAAGAGCCAAUAUGGAAAUAAGUACGAGAAGCGGAAAAGUGCUUUUUAGCUCUUUUCUUUAAUAAAGACGAAAAUAGCAACUAAACUAAAAGCUACCUGUCAUUUCACGAGAUCCACUGACAUUGACACAAUAAAAAAACAAACACUUUCCAUUCCAAAAGAAAAAAAUAUAAUAUAAUAAAUGUAAAUACAAUUAUUAAAUUUAAUAUUAUAAUAGAUGCAACAAGGAGGACGAAAUCGAGAAUUUACCCUCCAAUUCGAUCGCAAUAGACGUGAUCGAAAGUCAUUAAUGCCCCUUCAACCAAUUGUAGCUGCGACAGCGACACGACCCGGCGCCCCGCAGCAGUCGCUUUCGAAGUGUGAAAUUGUGGAGGUUCUACCCCUAUAAUUGAACUUUAAAGUUUAAUGUCAUAAUACAAGUCUUAAUUAUGUAUAUCUAAUUAUUAAUCAGUAUUUAAAAAAAAAAAAACUUUAAAGUUUAGGCUAAUUCUCGCGUUUUGAAUAUUAACGAAGUUGCACUGAAGUUUCAUGAAUCUCGCGGAUGGUUGCUUGCUCUUAAGCUUUGUAAUUAGUAUCGUCGGGGGAAAAAAAAAAAAAAGCUUUGUAAUUAGUAGUUUGAUUUUUUUUUUUUUUUUUAUAUUGAGGCUAUAUGGUAAAAUGUUUUCUUUUUUGUCAGAAAAACUUUCCAUUAACACCCACCAUCGUCCUAGAGUUUUCUUGCAUGUUAUAAGCGUCAAAUUAAUGUUAUUUUAUUUUUUAUUUGGAAAUAAAUUUAAUAUUCCAUGCAUUCGAUGGAGGCUUCAGCACUGGCGAGCAGUACCAUAACAGAAUCUCAUAUUCUUAAUAUAUUUUUUUUUUCAAUUUUCAAUUUCUUCUUCACUCUAAAAGAUUAAAUUUUAAAAAUUUCAAAGAAACAUUUCUUUAAGAGAGCUUUAAAAGUUUAAACUCACUACUACAAAACUGAUUUUUUUUUGACAGAAUACCUUUUCACAUGUUUAUUUAUGUGUCAAAGUUUUGCCUCAUAUAUUAUUUUGCUGAUGUGGCAAACACAAUUAUUUCAAAAUCUUAGAGGCCUUGCAAUUUCGAUUAUUCUAUAAGAGACUAGUGACAAAAUACUGUUACAAAUAGUAAGUUAAAUGAUUCUUGAUAGAAUACUAUCAAAAAAUUUAAAUAAAAUCUCUCAUUUUAAUAUUUAAAAAACUGUGUUUUAAAUAUUUUAAAUUUUUCUUGACAUAAUUCUAUCAAUGAAUUUUAAAUUUUAAAUUCCAUGUAGGCAUUGAAAAAUGACAUAGUCUUAAAAGAUAUCAUUGACUUAAUUGAUGAGAAUAUAUCUAUAAUGAAUCAAUGACAAAAUUCUAUUAAACAAAAUUUAUUAUUUUAAUUAUUUUAUGUUGCCACAUCAAUAAAUUAAAAUGAUGACAUUUCAUAUGCUCAAAAGAGAAUAACUUAUUUAAGCCGAAUUCACCACCUCAUCAAAUUGAAAAGGUUUGCUCGACCAAGAAGAAUCUACCAUGUAGAAAAUUCAAUGAGUCUUUUGAAAAGUUGGGCUUCAGUCUAAGCCUAAGUGCAUUAGGUCGGGCUCAUCCAUUUUAAGUGAAGCCUAAGCUCGGACAAAGAACCCAAUAAAUGCUCAAAAAGAUAAAAGAAUAUAUAUUUAUUUUUAAUUAAAAUACACGUUUUAAUAUUUGCUUAAUCUAUCUGUAACAUAUAUUUAAAGUUUGAAUUCUUUAGCACAACUUUUAAUACCUAAUCUAAUAAAAAAAAGUUUAUAAAUUAUAAAAUUUAAAAAGUACAAUGAAAAAGGUUUAAAAAAAAUUGAAGUAUAAAUCUGAGCUUUUACAAUAAAAUAUCAAAUGGUGGCAAAAUGGGCCCGAAAAGUGCACCAAAUCAAAAUUAUUAAAAGUUCCACUAUUCUAGAGUUAUUACUAAUUAUCAAAAUUAUUAAAAAUUCCACAGCAAAGCAAAUGUGGAAAUUAACCCCUUUUUUUGGAGGAUAAGGAGGAUCUGAGAUUGAUAAUUGCACUGUGGUGGAUAGCAUGGAAUACAAGAAAUCUUUUUGUUUUUGAGAAGAAAAUGCUGGAACCACAGAGGGCAGUAGCUAAAGCUGAAGCUAUGGCGCAGGCAUAUGCUAGAGUUAAAAUGUCCAAAGGGAAAGUGGCAGCAAGAACAGAAGUAACAAGGAAGGUAAGCUGGCUUUCCCCUCCUCAAGGCACUUACAAGAUCAACUUUGAUGCAGCAAUUAACAGAGAAACACACCAAGGAGGGCUGGGAGUGGUGAUUAGAGGUGGGAAUGGAAGUGUUUUGACUGCAGCAGUUCAACAGAUAAAUUUUAAUGGUGAUGUAGCUCAGAUAGGAGCAGCAGCCGUUAAGUUGGGGAUCCAGAUGGCAAAGGAUGGAGAGUGGACCCCUUUGAUCAUUGAAACUGAUUGUAAAGAGGUUGUUGAGUUGGUGUUGCAAAAGAAGAGUAGCAGAACGGAGAUAUGUUGGAUCAUUGCCGAUAUCCAAAACAAAAUGGAGGGAGACAACAUGACUGUAAUCCGGCACAUUCCAAGUUGCGCAUGCUUUAGCUAAAAUAGCUGUAGUGAUUUAAUUGCCUUGAUUCUAAUAAGCAAUAAACCACUGCCCAAGAACAUUUACCAAGAUCAAUACAAGUUGCAAUUAACCAAUAAUCAAUCUGAAGCUCCAAUAACGAAAAAAAACCUUAGCUCUAGGUUAAUGGAGAUCUAACAGAAGAUUAAAACAGAUCAAGAAGCAAACACACUCACUCAAAGACAGGAUUUAACGUGGUUCGAUAGUACAUGGAAUGCACAAUCAACAUCCACGGGAGAAGCCACAGAAAAAGCUUUAUUGAUGAUUCAAGAUGACAAUUACAGAGCUUCUAUACAAGAGAUUACAAGCAACAAGAAGAUUACCCUCUCUCACUCUUCAAUCUCUCUGGAAAGCUCUCUUCAAAAUCUGUCUGUUUUCCCUUCAACAAUCGGCCUUUAUACUCCUGAUGUUGAAACCUAGAUUGCACAGCUUCUGGACGCGUGUAUAACGACUUCAUAACGGCUUUGAUUCCCUCCCUCACAUGCUGUUUCACGUGCCUAACUUAAGUUUGCUCAAAACGACAGAAGCUAGAGUCGUUUUUCCUUGAGUGUAGUGAAGAGAACAGGACGCACAAAGCACGUGAUUUGUAAAUGAUUUUACUAACCCAAAACACAGUCGUUUUAGGGCUUCUAGUUUUGGAUUCAUCUCAUUUUAGUCCACAAUAGCUUUAGCAGGCAGUGAUCUUUGUGUUUGGAGGGGAUCAUUUCCUCCUCAAAUCAUGGAUGUAAUCACUCAGUUGGUUUUAAUGAAAGCUUUUCUUUCUAUCCAAAAAAAAAAAAAAUCUACUAUUCAAUCCCCAAAAUUUUUAUGUGCCGCCGAAAUAAAAUUAGAGUAAUGAUAUAGCCACAAACUCUUGUAUAAACUUAUUUUGUAUAAACUGAUGUGGCAUGAUAAGAUUGGUUGAAUUAAAUAUCACUUGGUCCACAUGAUUUUUUUUUAUUAUUUUAUAUUUUCAUUCAACCAAUGAAUUAAUGCCACGUCAGUUUGUACAAAAUAAGUUUGUACAAGAGUUUGUGGCUGUAUCAUUACUCAUAAAAUUAACACAAAAACAUGUUGUCAUUGAAAGGUUAGAACGAAACUCUCGGCUCUCUCUGGCACUUUGCCUUCCUCUUUGGCACUUUAUCUCCCUCUCACAAAUGUUAAACCUCACCUGUCAAAAGUAACAUGCAAAAUUUAUGUUUCUUGAUCUAGUCCUGACAAAUAACCCGUUUGCUUUCAUCACUUCCUGAGCAAUCAUCUCCAAAAAUGAAACAAAUGAAAUUCAAAUAGGUAAUUUAAUAGUUUUGGGGUUCGGCUUUUUAUUCUUCUCUCCAGAUUUUUUUUUUUUUUUUUUUUUUUGGGCCUCUGAAAUAAUCUUAAAACAAUAAUUUUUUUUUUUUUGUAUAAUUUCAGCAAGGUCCAGAUUGCUCAAGAGGUAAUUUCAUCUCAAGAUUGUCUUUACCUCUUGCUUGGCUUUCAUUGGUUUCUCAUGUGCGCUAGCUUUUGACAUUACUUGACCUUGUUCUUUGUUUGUUAUAAAUUUAUUCAGGCUUUUUUACAUUAUAAUUUAAGGUCUUUGUUUACUUUUAUUAAAAUUUAUGAUAUACGAAUAGUAAUUUUGGCUUGUUUGCAUAAUUGUGGUCGCUAUUAUUACAAGAUUUUUUGUUGCAAUUUUUGACGUAUUUCUUGUUGUGAUUGUCGAAUUAGUCUCGAUUGUAAUGAGCAUGAAGAUUUAAAUAUUUAAUGGAUGUUAAAAUUUAAGUAACAACUAGAAUUUGUACACCAAGGCCAUGUUUGCUUGGGGGUAGAGAAGUGUGAAGAGGAAAAGAAUUUGAUUUCUUUUAUACUUUGUAUUGUUUGGUUAGACCAAAUUUAAUAGAAUUGAAUUUUCAUUGAAAUUCAAUUUCCAUCAAUUUGAACAAUUUGUAUUCCUUUUCAAUGACUAAGGAUUUCAAAUUCCUUAUCUAUUUAAACACAAAAAUUCCAAUAUUAUCCUCUAAACAAAAUCAAUUUUAAAUAAAUUAAAGUACAAAUAAUUUAUAUUUAUUUUCUUAAAUUAAUAGGAUAAACUUAUUUGAAAAAGAAGAAACAGUAAAGUAACUCGUUGGAGUUUCGUCGGAGACACGCUUUACCAUCAAAACCAGUACCAAUGGAAUCCUCAUGAGCCGAUCUACAACUCUAUGGGGUUAGAAAUGCUAAUAUACAUUUUUAUUUAACUCAAGUCUUGUUUAAAUGCUUGGGAAAUUUUUAACUCUCAUAUUUCCAACUAUAUAGUGUAUUUUCUGCAAAAUUAACAUUUCUGAUGAGUAAAUCGUCCAUUUUUAUCAUUAUUAUGCAUUUAACGAGAUGAAAAAUGGUGGUCAACAAUAGUCAAUGGCGGUCAACGGCGAUCAACGUGCAUGGCCAAAUGCUGUAAUUUUAAAAAAAUAAUUUUGUUAUUUAAUUAGGUAAUUUAUAGAUUAACUUAAUUCAUAUUUUUAUUAUUUUUUAAUUUAUUAACACUAUUAACAUUAAAGAUAAUGGGUAUAUUUGUCCAAAUAAAAAAUAUGUAAUUUCUUUUCCUUUCAAAUUUAAUGUGAAACCAAAAAAUAACAAUUAAUUUUUGCACUAUUUUCCUCUCAUCACCUCUCCAUUCCUCUCCUUUUUUCUCCUCUAUUUUCCUAUCCUUUUUUAAAACUAAACACCACCCAAAGUGUUUGUUAUAAUGCCGUGUGUUAUUGUCAAUAGUUUUUUUUUUUAACUAACAGCAUAAACUUGAUAAUAUUUUUUAAUUUUUUUUCCAAGAUGCAGUUUUUUGAUAAAGAAUAAACCAAAUGAUUAAGAGUGUUUAGAUACAAUUUUCAAAUUAGAGCAUAUGAUAAUUUAAAAGUAAUUGAUUUCCCAAGAGUAAAAUUAUGAUAUUUCAUCUCAAGGCAACUUAUAUUGUUAGCUGAUUUUAUGAGUCAGUUUAACAAUUUUCUACACAAAUAAAAUAGUUGUUUAAGUACUACAUAAAUAUAUGUGUUGUAAUUUCAUCUCAAAGCAGCAUGCGCAUGAAGUGGCAACGAAAUACAACAAAAAAAAGUUGUUAAGUAUUACAAAGUGAUAAUUCUCAUGAUGAAAUUAGAAUUUGUAAAUUGGCCUAAAUACUAUUUAAUAUUUACUUGUAAAAAGCCUAUGGCAUGAGAUUCACUUGCUAAGAUAUUGGAGUAGUGUUGAUGCAAUUUUCUGUCAUGCCUGCAGAUUCAACUUGCCAGGAUUUCGGUUAUGCCUUCAGGUUCAAGUAUUGUUGCUGAUUAAGCGAGCUGUUGAGAUAAUUGAGCAUGGCUUUAGAUUCAAUUUCAGCAAAUGUGUGGGGAGAGGAUUUAAUUCGAAUGAUUUAUGGUUCUGUAAAAAAAGAAAAUUUCUUUAUGUUAACUUGCAACAAUAUGUAUGUAAAUUUUUACGAUAUUAGCAAUAUUUAAUAACAGAAUAGUUGAAAUAUUUUUAAAUUGCAUUGUAGUUUUUAAAAAUAUAUAAUCAAUAUAUGAUUUUAUUAUUGUAAUUGUACAACAAAAAUAAGGGUUGUUGGUAAUUGAAAGAAAAACAAAUUAAUUAUUUUAAAAUAAAUAAUAAUAUUGACCCAAAUUUUUUACAUAAAUUAAGCUCAAAAAAAUUAAUCAGCAUAAAAUGUCAGAAGCUAUUGAUUAGCAUCUAUCAUUGAUUUGUGAUAGAAUUAUAAUGUUAUGUAAGCAUAAAAUUUAUUUGCCAUGUCAAAUGUCAUGUCUGCAAAAUAUGAUGACAUGUCAUCUACCAUGUCAAAUGCCAUGUUUGCAAAAUGAGAUGUCAUGUCAUUUGCUACAUUAGAUUUAAUGUAAAUAGUGAAUUGUAAUACAAUUCCUUGACAGAAAUAUUUUGUCACUAAUUAUUGAAUUUUUUGUCACUAUAUUCUUACAAGGACUUUUUUGACAGAAUAAAAUUAUGUCGGUAACAUGAUUUGUGACAAAAUUUUUCUGUCAAAAAAUCCCAUUUUUUUUAGUGGUGCAUGAGAAAGGAAUUAGUCUAUGGUUAAGGCAUGUGCAAUGAGAUAUCUCACUAGCUCAGAUUCAAUAUUGACGAGAGUUGUGUUGAUUAUUUCAAAGAUCUUGUAUUGUAUAUUUAUUUAUUAUAUUAUAUGGGUAUGAGUUAAUUACAAUAUAUAUCAUGAAAACAAUAUUUACUCAUAAAGGGUCUUCAGCCAUAGUUCUUUCAUCUUUGUUUCUGUGGCGUUACAAACAUUCGAAAAUCCAUUUGUGGUAUUCAUGGAUAAAGAAAAUGCUUCUAAUUUGAUCCAAUUAAUAAAAAGAGCGUGCUUUUGAUAUUCGUGGACUAAGGGGACGUUUGAUCUAAUUCGUUGAUUUAUAGAAAUUUAUGGUCUAACUCAACUCAAAAACUAGUUCAAAAAUUGAAAUUUCUUACCCCAUCAGUCUCCAUUUAAUUUUUAAAUACCUCUCCUGAGAUUUGAGGUAUUCAUUCAGAUGGCGGGUUUACUCAUAUUUUCACAUACUUCUCCCUCUGCUGUCUAUAUAAAUGCAUGUAUGGUAUUAGUAUACAAGGGUAAAUUCGUUAAGGUUGUUGGCUUGUGUGGGGAUCUUGUAAUCAGGCUUUUAUUCCCAAAGGAGAGGAUUUGAAUGUGUUGCCCGCUCUCCCAAUAUACAAAGGGUGAGCACAGCUAAAAUUAGGUUGCAGAUUAGGACAUUAACUACUUAGAGAAACUUUCUCAUUUUAGUUGCUAAUUAGUCACACUUAAAUUUACAAUAAUUGGAGCUUAAUUAAUUGAUAACGGUAACAAAUAUCAGACCUAACUUAAAGGCUGAGUGGUUAGAACAGCUGCUCCAUAUUUAAAAGUAGGGCCUUGACGCUUAUAUUCUUUGAAAUGAUCCUCCUAUCUUACAACUAAUGUAAGAUAACAAUGUGUGAACCCCAUAUAUGCACUGUUCAUGUGAGGGGGAUGUAUCUUACAUUAGUUGUAAGAUAGUGUUUGCCUCUUUGAAAACCUCAUUCUAGAAAUUGCUUUUUGAGUAUUAUUAGUUGAAAAAUUGUCAUUAAUACACACUCACACGCACACUUAUGGUACCGUUAGAUAGAAUCUGUUAUAAAUUAAUUAAUUCCAACAUGUUUCUUUUACUAGCUAGUUGGUUUUUUAAACAUGUGUAUGAAUUAUCUAAUGCUAUGUAACACAUAAUCCAGCACAACAAGAUUAAAUUAAACAGAAGACUUAUGAGGCUUGAAAGUCACAAAGCAGGCUUUUCUAUUAUAAUACAACAUGCAGUAUUGCCUUCGGUGGAAAAAAAAGAGAGCUUAAAUUUAAUGUUAAUUUUGGGAUAAUUAUUUUCAGGAGUAAUUUUUUAAAGAGAUGAAUCAAUUUUAUAAAUUGUCUUUUUGCGGCGGGGGACAAAUUAAUAUUUUCCAUUUUAUUUUAAAUCAGAGUUAGGAUCUAGCUAUGGUGCAGCUGAUGUGUGUAUAUGCGUGUGGUGUGUGAGUGUUGUGCGUGCGUUACUUUUUUUUUAAAUUUUAGCCAACCCGAUCGGAUUUUCGGAUCGGAUCGGGUUUGACCUGAUCCAAUCACGACCCGAUCGGGUGAUUUUAAAAAUCACCCGAUCAGGUAUUAUCCUCCAUCCGAUCCGAUCCGAUCUUAACCCGAUUUUUUUUGAAUCGGGUCGGAUUGGAUCGGAUAAAAUGCCCACCCCUAGUUCAUAGUUCAUAGGGUGAUGGCAGUUUUCAACUUCAAGCAAGAAAUCAGAAGUAUGGCAAGGUGUGUCAUGUUUGAACAGGUGCAUCUUCUGCACUUUUUUAUCUUUACACUCACUCUUUUACAAGGAAGAACAAUGUAGAUGUGAAGGAAUGGCCAAUAACAUCAGUACAAGAAAAAAAAAAUAAUAAUAAUAUUACUAUUAUUAUUAUUAUUAUUAUUAUUAUUAUUAUUAUUAUUAUUAUUAUUAGUAGGUAAAUUUAAUGUCCAACUAUCAAUUUCCUUUUUCCUUUUUUGGCUUAGAAUUAAGCUGCCAAUUUGACAAGCCUUGAGGAAAGGAAAGUUGUACUUUAAAAUUAUGCCUUGGCAUGGGCAAAUCAAUAUUUGCUUGCAGCUAACUAACUGUUGAGGAUGGGAACUUUAGAAUUCCAAAGAAGACUAGGAGUAACUUAGUGUAUUGAUAAUAACAAUGUUUAUGAUUCAUUUCUUCAUCUAGGAAACAGAAAAAUUUCAUUGUAAAAUUGUUUCUCUUUUUCACUUUAAGACCUAGCAUUACAGCCAUCAAUAUUAUUUCAUUAGCAUCAGUUUUUCAUCCUAUUCAUACCUCUAAUGUAUUGAUAUGGACAUGUACCAAUACGCCUUCAGCUCGAGAGGGGUCAACUGCUCAGAGUCGAUCCUUAUCUAGUCAGGAGAUGGAAACAACAUUUUCACCACCUGGAACAGUAUGGAAUUGACUAGAUAAUUGGAUGUAAUGGAUACAUCUGGAUUGGUGAGCAUGUUGAAGCCAGAGACAAGAUGGCGGUGGAUCAAGGAAGCGAUUCUGAACAACCGAUCACCAAAUAUGAUAAAAUUUCCAUGGAUCUUGAUGAACAAGAUGGAACUUGCACUCCACGAGAAGCGAGACAGAACAUUUGCAGAAUUGCAAUUCUUUUAUUUGGGGUUAGGCCUUUGGUGGUUUGGCAUUGUUUGUUUUUCCAAGUUGUACACGUUUCUGGGAUUUGCUUCAUUCGUUCGCAGGGAGCACGGUUUAUUUCUUGUUAUCUCCAUAGGCGUGAAUGCUUAUAUUACGUGUUAUUGUUAAGAUGCAUGUACUACUUCAGUUCUGAUAACUUAUGUCCAUCAGGAUUAGGCAGCGGCGCAUGUUUGUGUCAUCAUUCAAAGUAUCACUACUAUUCUUUUAUAAUUCUGUUCAAUGUUGUAGCCCUUAACUCAUAUUUGUUCCUUCCUUCUGGCGAUUGAUCCUUGAAGUCUCUUUGUUGGUUCAAUUUUAGUUUUUAUGGUUGCACAGAAGAAUGUGGUCUGCAUGUAUUCAGUGUCAUUAAUUUGCAGCAAUGAUCAUUGUAUCCCACUUUCCGCUUGCAGCUUUGGGAAAUUCACAAUAAGCCCUGUCAGUCUGGGUCUUUCUAUAUGCAUGUGCCUCUAUUCGGGUGCAUGCUUGUCUGUGGUAUGUGAGCAUGCUUGUGAUACAAUUAUCUAAUGCCUACUAUUUCAUUGAUUGUGGAGAAGAGUAGGGUGUAUGCACAUUGGGUUGAUUGGCAGAAUGGUAUGUCUGUCAUUGUUACAUCCAUUCCUUCUUGAUAACGGUUGCAAAAUUCUUGUUACAAAGUUCUUGGCCUUGCUAAAUCUUUCACUUACAAACCCGUACAGGUGGUCACUGACUCAAUCAUAAAGUUACUGAUAUGGAUUCUCAACAAGGAUUAGACACAGGUGUCGCUCUCAAGUUCAAUAAUAACACGGAUCCAUAAAUUAAGUCUUGACAACAUAACGAGUAAUUUCUGUUUCUUCAAUGCUUGUAACAAUGAAGUUGGUGAAGCUAGUCUUUUCAUUUCAAAUGUACUAGUUCUGCUUUCCAAUUCUUCAUCUUCAUCAUUCUCACCAUGUCCAUCUCUAGUAGAGGGGGUGGACUCCUCGGCAAUUUUGGCAGCAUUUCUUUUUUCAACAUUCAACCUGAUCUGCAACUUUCUUUCAACAGGAUCAUUUGAGGGUCCAAUUUUUUAUUGGCAUGAAACUUUUGUGCCAAGUCCAAGCCUACGACAACACGAGGAAUGUUAUUUCCAGCAUCCUAUGAUGACGAAAAAAAUUAGGAUGGAUACACUGACCUAGAAGGCCUGGCCUCCAGUGUUUUCUAAAAAAAUUUCUUGUCAUCUAUCUACUUGCUGUUUAUUACUACUAAAAAAAUUAACCCUGAACCUUCUAAUAAUACUUAUGGAUGCCACUGUUGCAAUAAAUAAUUUAUAUCUGCCUAUUUAAAGAUCAAACAUAUUAGAAAAAGGAAAAAUAAAACAAAACAAACAAAAACUGUCUGCCAAGUACACUGAGCAAGUAGAUAUUCCAACUUCAAUCAAUCGAAAAAGAAAUUAAAUCUUACCCAGAUGCAUCUCUAUGAAGGCGAUCUGCAACCCAUGCCAGCAGCUUGCGGAUGCAGUCAAUAGAUCCUCCUCUAGCUGCCAAGUGAAGAGGAGUGCUUCCUCUGCAAACAAACAGAUAAAGAAAUAAAUAUAGAAUAAAAAUGAAAAAGAGAAACGGACAUCAACAGGUGAAGAAUUACCAAAAUGAAUGUGAUCCCAAAGCUUCUCAAAGAUCUCGUGACUUCUAUACGGUGAGAUUAUGGCCACAACGCCAGGAUUUGCACUUUCGGCUUAGGUUGUUGUGUGUUGAUUGAAAGCUGCAAGGGCUUAGUCAUCCAUAUACAACCAUGUCAAAAGCUAGCCCUGCCCAACUAAGGCCAAAUGGAUGACAAAUAGUGAACAUUAUCCCACAGACAGGAAACUUGGUCUUCCCUCUUAUAUUAAAAAAUGAAUUCUUGCCAAAUAACCCAAAAAGGAGCUAGAACAUUACACUGCCCGAGAACCUUAGGUUCUAUCCUUGCCCAAAAGCAAAAAACAUUUUCCAUUAGCAAAUAGCUACAAGAAUUUGGAGCAUCCCAAAAUCAAUAACAUAAUUGAGAAUCAAUGCAUGUAUCCGCAAGCAUUUAUUUAGUAGACAACUGAUUCCCAAAACAAUUUUAAAUUUCUGACAGAAUUACUUUAUUGCCUAAAUUUUACCAAGCUUUUCAGUUAAUAUGCUCAAAAUACAAUCCACAGCUGCAUUUAAAUAAAUUGGGUUAUUUAAAGCCUACAAUCUUUGGAACCUCAUCGAAUUGCUACCAAAAGUAAUCCACACCAAACAAUCAACACGUGAAAUACAAGACCUUUUGAAAUACACGUGAAAUACGGCUGACGAAGAAAUUAGAAACCCAUAGAGGCACUAUACUUCUCCUAAUACUAAUAAUGGAACAAAAUAACAUCAUAAAACACUCAAUAUGCCAUUAGAGGAAUAAAUCCAUACCAAUGACGAGCUAAAUAUGACGUUUUUCUAGAAUUAAUAAUUCUUGAAACAAAAAAGCACAGUAAUUAUCUGCAUUUGAAAUAAUCCUAAAACCAGGAUAAUGACUUAUUUAUGUCAUGAAAAGAACCUACAAACGCUUAUUUUUUAAUCUUUUUAAUUUCCAAGCAAAAACAACAUUCUUCUAUUCUUUUGUCAACAAUAAAACAAGUUAUGUUACAAUAAUUAUUUUCAACAUAGAACUUGAACCCUGGGAGAGAUAAAAGGAAAAGACAUAGAUGUCUGACUGAGAGAGAGUUAAGACAGUGUGAGAGGUAAAAGAACAACACGGCUUAGAAGUUAGAAUCAUCAUCCACUUAUCUCCCUUAGUCGUUGGUGUAAAAGUCCUCAUAGAAGAAAGAAAUAUUAUUUUGAAGGGUAAAAUGUAAACAAAUUAAAAUUUUAGAUAAAAUUGUGACACGUUUAUAUUAAGCGCGUAUAUUAAGAUUUAAGCGAGAGUCGCCAGUAUACCACACAGGUCAGCUCCCAGUUGAACUUGUGAGUUUGGGUUUGAGUUCCAGUCCCACAGUUAGUGAAAGUAGGUAUUAGGUAAUCAUCUUUACCAGCUGAAAUAUGAAAACCUGUUUGUAUAAGCCUGCACAUUACAAUUUAAUCAUCAGCAAAGGAGGUGGCUGCAGUGAGAAACAAGACAUUAUGUAGUAAUUACAAAACAUUGAAAAUUAUCAUAUUUUAUCAGUCACAAAACCUAAGAUAGUCUCCCCAUAGCAACUAUAAAUAUUGGGGGGCAAAAAAAAGGACCACAACGUAGAACACUCCCCUCUUUUUCUCCAAACAUAUACAAAAUUUCAGUUCACUCCUAAGCUGAGAACCAUUCUACUUUCAAGAUUCAACCAAUGAAAUAACCAUAAUAUUCUUAUUAAAAAAAAAAAUGAAAUAACCAUAGUACAAAAUAAUUAUCCUCUCAUUCAAAUAUUGCUUCAGAAUUUACAAUUUAUGCUAGAAUCAAUUGGUGAAACCUAGGGAAUCAGAAUGAUGCAUUUAUUUAACCCAAAGGGCGAAUAUCAAGCUUAAGGUUCUUACAUAUUGAGACGAUCAAAUUUCAUUCGUUCUGAACAUGAGAUGCAACUUGAACUAUUUCAAGUUAUUCCAAAAGAAAGCAUUGAAAGAAAUUUGUUCAUCCUACGUGGUAUAAGUAGUCUCAGUUAGUAUUCUGCAUCAUCAGUUAAAUCAUUUGGAUUAUUAACAACGAUAUUUUUUAUUAGCUGAAUUGAUAACUCUCUAAGGCACCACUGUAAAGCUAGCAUUUGGAUUAUAACUGAUAGAGAAGAAUAAAAUGAAAAAAACAGAGCUAAAUAGGUUGAUAUAAUGAAACUUGUGGUCAAAUGUCAGAUCCGACUUCUUCAAACGAACUAAAAUCCGGCAAUGAAAAUUUCACAUAAAAGCAACUAGAAUACCUGCAAGAUAGCUUAAAUUAAAAGUUUUCUGACUCAUUCAGCAGAGAUGCCUCAAACCUUCCUCCACCAAUCUGACAACAUCAUGGAAAACAAGCAACACCACAUUUAAUUGUCUUUAAGUUAUUAAAAAAGCUUCACGCGCUACAGAUGCCAGGAUAUAAUGAGAAACCAAUCAUAGAACAUGUCAUGAGCAAGGGCACAAACAGAGGAAAUAUCUCCAUUGCUUCAGUGUGAUGACAAUCAUCAUGAAACAAUACCAACAUAUAUGAUUUAGGGAUACAUGAAAUAUAACAACCUUCAAAAUGAAAUUAAUAUACAGUGAUAGAACAAUAUAAAACAAAUAACUACAUAAAGAAAGAGCUUACAUUGUUGUUUGUGUUCGUGUGUGUGUUUUUUUUUUUUGGGGGGGGGGGGGCUGAAGUUAAAAGCUGAACUCUGGUUACCGUUCUUCCAUUUGUAUGUAAAGUCGCUAGAAUUCCUUAGUCAUGGCAUAAUAGAUUCUCUAAUAUAUAUAAUGAAUAAUGCUUUUAAAAGAAGCCCCUGAACUUAGAAUUACUUCCACUUCUUUCAAUUCUUAGUUAUAACAAGGCAUGAGUGAGUUUUGCUAUAUUUAGUGAGAUAUAGAAAGGUAUUUACCCUCCUUUUAUCUUGCAACUUCAAAACCUGGUAAGCCUCUCUCAAAACCUGAAUUUAGACGAACGGACUCCAAAUGAAAGGAUUUUCUUACAAAAGCUAAAAGAUUGAAUGGCAUGGUGAAAAUGGGAAAAUGAAAAUAUAAAGCAGAAGAAAAAGUUUCAAUCUGAUAAGGCAAAUACAGAAAAUCCAAGUUCUUAUUGGCCAUUCCAAUAUUAUCAAUGCAGAAUUACUCUAAUUUAUUUUUCAGUUAAGGUUAGUAACAAUUUAUCUGAAAAUAACUGAACCAACUCGGUUACUACGACAUUACUCUUUCUCUUCUACUUCUGGUUCAUCAAUGGCCACGUUCACCAACACGACUCCACUCUUCCCCCCUUGACUUAUUUCCCCAACCUUUAGGUCUCUCAAAGUGCAGUGGCAAGACAUGAUCUUUGCGUCAGUACAAGCAGUGUGAAGCCCUCCUAAGAAAUCGACCACCUGUUUGGCUAGAAAAACUACAUUACUCAUUGCCACACCUUAUACUUUCACCCCUUUCAUUAAAACACAAGCAUUACUUACCCAUUUUUAGACAUAAUUUAUUUUUCUGAUAUCACAUCAUUCAGGAAGGGAAAAAAAACACACACACACACACACAAUUAACUGACUUCAGCACAUAAAUUACAUCAAGCUGUCAAUUCACAGAAAAUAAGGAAAAUUAACUCAAUCAAGUGAAGAAGGCCACAAAAUGACCUCAAUGAGAUAUCGGGGACCUCUAAAAUCGAACCAAAUUCAGUUAAACAAAGAAUCACUCAUCAAAGAUAGGCAAAAGGAAAAAAAGAAAUGAAUGACAGAGAAAAUUUCUUAUAAAAAUUCAAUAAAAAAAAAAGCUAAUCAUCUAUUUUUGGUUUAGUGAUUUCGUCCGCAAAUAAGACAAAAUAGAAAUUCUGAAAUAUACCUAGGGUUUCUAGCUUUGGAAAUUUACCUUACGAGAAACCAGGCUCUCUGUUUCUAGCGUUGUAACUUUACCACAAUGGCCAAGCGACGACGAUCAGCUGGGAUGAUCGGAUUUCGCAGCGGCGACGAUGCAAAUGUUUUAUGUUUGGGUUUGACGGUAGACGAAGGAACGUUUAGCGUCUUGGGGGUAAUUUUGGGAUUUUAUUUUUUAUUUUUUUAAUUGAAGUAAAAUGACCACAAUGACCUUGCUAAGUUACAGCUUCUGCGAGUAACAUAGCCAAUGAGAAUCCUCCACUCGUGUUCGUGCUGAUGCAACCAGGGCAAGGCAGCUGUUCAUGCAAAGUAAAAAUGCCGAGGCCGUUAGUUGCAGCUUCUGCAACCUAGCCUUGUCCCAAUAAUUUUAAGUAUCCCCAAGUUGUAACACAUUUAAUGUUCAGGGUGGUUAAACAAUUAAUUUUUCUUUUGCAUAAAAACAGAAUAUAAAUUUGAGUUCUGCUAUUUGAACAAAGAAAUGACAAAGGGACGACGGAAAUAAGUUUCUGUGGGUCCUACUUCUGUUUCUCUUUUUGAUUAAAAAAUUAAAAUAUUAAAAUAAAGUUCACGGGCUCUUUGUUAUUAAAAUAACAAAGUUCACGGGCUCUUUCCUUUCUCCCUCAUUACACUGAUUUCCGUUCUUCCUCAUUGCAACUCUCUCGUAUCCCAGCCGCCAGCCAUAGCCAUAAGCUCCACCGCAGCAGCUGCUUUCUCCCGUCUACACGCAGUUGCCUCAUUCCCAACAGUACAACAACAAGUCUCUUUUCUCUCAUACCCUCACAUACACAACUAUCUCAUCCAAUGAAUCGAUCUGUUAACAUCAGUUGGGUUUUGAAGGUGGGUUAUGAAGAAGUCAUUCAAGGCGAUCAAGCUUCACUCCAACUUCCAAAAGCUUUGAUCUAGCAAUAAUUCCAUCACUGAGCCUUUGUUGUUGUUGUUCUCGGUUUUUGUUCUUGACUUUGCCAUCAGUCUCUUCCAUCAACUUUGCGGCCUCUAAAUUGUUCUAGUUUGUUUAUCAAAUUUAUUGCCCACUAUUGCCAUAAAAAAAAUUUAGAGUUUGUAACUUUCAUUAAAAUUCCUAUGCUUGUCAGUUAAAGUGAAGCAUUUUGUUUGUAAUUUUUGUAGUAUUUAAAGUGACUAUGUUGUUUAAUUAAUUAUUUUUCUUACUCUACCCGUGUUUUGUUUUAAUUUGCUUCUUUGUGUUUCAAUCCUCAGCAGGAUACUUCUAAGGUUAAUUACAAAUUCAGCAAAGUUAAAUCUAAGUGGGCUGAAAAGAUUAAGCAAAAGCACACAACUUAGUAAGCAAAUUAAUUUCGUUCAAAGCACCAAGUAAUACAAUCCAAAAAAAAAAGGAAAAAAAAGCACUACCGCAUUCUUCAUUCUUAAAAAAAAAAUAAAAUACAAAGCUAUUUUGUGAAAUCACUUCUAAAGAGUUGAAUCACAAAUGUGAGAGAAAGAGUCAUCAAAUUAUUUCGAAACACUACUGCGAUUAUGUUGUGAGAAAAGAGACUGCUGCGGUGGAGCUUGUUGCAGCGGCUGGCAGCUUGAAGACGAGAGAGAAAAAGUUGUGAUGAGGGAGAAAGGAAAGAGCCAGACGCGUGAAGGUGACUGUUCGGUGCUUUUGUUACGUGUGUGAGGUGUCCCACGCUUCACAAGAGACAUUUCAUACUUUGUGCACAAUUUCGUGAGAGCAUCACUUUUCUUUUUUAAACUUAUUUUAUUAUUUAUUGUCAGCCCCACAAAACAAAUUAGAAAAAGAAACGCGUGAAACGGCAGUAUUGGCUACCGUUUCUGACGUCCCUUUGUCUUGCAUUUGUUCGUUUAUCAUUUUCCUAUAAAUUUAGACACAGAAGUUUAUUAAUAAUAUAUCGCUGUUCAAUUGGGCCACAUAAUACAAAAACAAUAAACAAUUAAAAAAUUUUUUUUAAAAAAGAAGUAAAAAUCUAGUCUGCUUUGCGCUUUUUUCCUUCGAGCAAAAGCACUUUCACACCUUCUUCACAGCAAAACUUCUAACUAAUUAGAAAAUGGAAAGAUGACAACAUAUUUACGAGGACCCUACAGUGGCACCAGAAAUAUAUACAUAUAUAUAUAUAUAUAUAUAGACACACACACAGACAUCAAAUGGCCACAACUUCCAGGUUACUGUCAUCAUCAUCAGUUGAACUUGGCUGCAGGUUUUGGAUGUGGUUCGUUUCUGCUUCAAUAAUGUUCUCUUCGUCAACGUUUUCCGCAAUUUCUUGAUUCCGGUCCACACGACUGAUCAUGAUACGUCGAAUCCAGUUGAAGCAGCGCUUAAACAGAGAAGCUAACGUUGCAUAACAGAGUGAUAAGAUUAUGAGGCAAAAAUAGGGCACCAGGAAGAGAAAUGGAGCCAAAAUGACAGACGCAACCACCGAGAUAGCCAACAGAACAGAGGGUUCUCCACAACUCACGGAAAUGGAGCGGCUCACACUGACAGUGAGUCUGAUAGGUGUGAGGAGGAAGAGCAGUAAUGGCAUGAUGACGGCAGGAAUCAGGAGCCAGAAUUCUAGCUUUAAAAUUGGAUUCAAAAGUAUCUUACUGGUACCAUCCUGGACAUCCCAUGAGUUGCCAUCCUGAUACCUGAGGAACAGGAAAAAGAUGAAAAGGUUUAGCAAAGGCGGAAACAAAUACCUCAAAUCAAUUAACAGAUCCAUGCUUAUGAGGAAGAUCAAUUUGGCAAUGGCAGGGGCUUGAAUUUUGAUUUUAUUUAUUUUCUUUCUUCUCUUUUUUUUUCCUUUCUUUCUCUCUGCUGCUAAAGAUGCCGAGAGCUUGUGUGUGCAAAGGGUAACUGGAGGAUUUAUAGCUCCGGGGAUGUCUACGAAAGUACCCGGAAGGGUUACUAGCUCGAAAUGCUGUGUGUGUACAAAGGCUAGUCUUUUUGUUCAGAUAAAAACAAAAUAGUGCCAUGGUGGACAUGCAAGAUGACAUCACAUCUUGGUUUUUCAAACAACAAACAAGAUUGCGUCCAAGAUGGUACCAAGGCUUGAUGAGAUUUGACCCAGUCCCCCCGUUCCAAAGCCCUAUUGUUUUCAGUUAAAAACAAAUGAAGCAUACCUGGAACAAAUUGCAUAUGGAACAGUAUCUCACCAAAUGAAGCACACGUGGAAUAAAUUGAAUUUUGAACAGUAUCUGUAACACUCGAUCAGGUGAUAGGGUGAAAAAAUCUUGAAUUGUUCGCUGUGGCUUUCAAAGUAAAAUAUAUAUAUAUAUAUUUUUUAACUGACCUCCAUUGAGCCAAAGAACAAGAGGUUUUUUCAAAGCAGAUGAAGCAGCUUCGGUGAGCCAGUAAAACAGAGCUCUGCCAUGAUUCUCAUUCACUGUUAUAUAUAUAUAUAUAUAUAUAUUAAUGUAAUUUACAAUUUAAACAGGCAUGAAAAAUAGAACAUAAUUAACAGGAAAGAGCAAAGUAACACUAUGUUUUAUUAUUUCAUCAAUAACGUGCUAGUUAUUAACAUCAAUUAUUAAACGACCAGAUACCGUAUAUCAUGUCGCUUGAUAUACAAACUUAACAUACCAUUUUAUAUGUGUAGCAUUUUUAUUUUUUUUUAAGAAUCAUUUUUCAAGAACAUCCGGCCAAAUUCAAGUGUUAUUAUUAUUAUUAUUAUUUUGAAUGAAUGAACAAUCGUAUUUUGAAAAUAAAUAAAUAAAAAAAUACAGCUAAAAUUUUAAGGCUUCCAAAAAUAAGACCUAUUUUGGGAUUGUUGCCAGUUAUAAAUAAUCUUGUUAUGUUGUGUCACUGAAAUUAAUAAUCACAUGGACACAAAUAAUUAGGUGUUUGAUAAAUUAUCUUAAAAAUAGUGUGUAUCGAUGAUGGCAUUAUAAACUCAUUCUAACCCAUUUUAAGUUAAAAUAAUUUUUCAUUAAACAUUAUUUUUUUAGACUACUAUGACUUUUUUUAUUUCAGUUAAGUAUAUGAAUUUUUGUUUAGGGACUAAUACUUUAUUAAGAUUAUAAAGAAUCGUGUUAAGGACCACUAUGACUAUUGAUUAUUUUAUUAAGACUUGUAUGAGAUUUUUCAAAGAUCGCUAGGCUCAUAGCUUUCCAUUAGGUGUGAAUGUGAUUGACAACCAAAAAGAUAUAAGGUCAAAUUGUUUUAACUAGUGCCUACUGUCGACGUGCCAACGUCACUUGUUGGCUAUAUCCUAUUAUCCUGUCCAAAAUUUGGAGAAAUUUUUUAAUUUUAUAUCAUUUUUGGGCUUUCUCUCAUCGGCUAUUUCUGAUAAAUCUUAUGUGCUAUUCAUUAAUUGCUUUUAUUUACAUUUUUAAACACUAUUCAACACAAGUUACUUAACAACAAAGGCAUACGCAAAAUUAAAACUGAUUCAGGAUUUAUAGCUUUUGACAAAUCACAAUUUGUCUCGAGUCUGUGAUGCCGAUGCGGGACUACCCCUGACGAGAUAUGGCUGGAUAUAAAUAUAAAAAUUGCAUUCAGUCUUCUAGUACGUAGGCAACGAUGAUGUUAUGCGAAUUUUGUGAUCUAAUUUGUCUUGACUUUGGGUCCCUCGCCAUUUCAAUUGGGUAUGACAAGAAACAACCAUGCAUGUUUAAUCUUUUGCAAGCAUAGCUCAUAUAAACAUUUAAUCAAUUUGCCUGACUAGGGAAGGAUACAAAUAUAAAAAUUGCAUUCAGUUUUCUAGUAGGUAGGCAAAGAUAUUCUGGAAGGAAAUGUUAUGCAAAUUUUGUGAUCUAAUGUCUUGAUUUUGGGGUCCCGCACCAUUUCAAUUUCAAUUUCACCCACUUGGGCGUGUCAGUGUUUUCACUUCUUUAGACGAGGGAAGGACAUCCAAGUUUCUUGAUGAUUGACCCCCAUAGCUUUGCUUCAAUUUGGCUAUUGACUACAUAUUAUUUCUCAAUUUCUUCUAAAAAAAACGUUGGCUUUUUAAGAGAUUAAAAAGCGAAAAUUAAAAUAUGGAUGGAUGAUACGAGAUUUCUUAGCUCGUUCCCCAAGCUAAAGGGAAUGUUGUGCUUGGUUGAAGAAACAGGCUUCUAUGUGAAAGGGAUAAAAGAGAUGAAUUGUAAAUAAAUUCAAGUUUGCAAAAUAAAAGAGUAGUCUAAAACACCCAAUCGUGCACUACUUAUUUUAACACUGAACAGAAAAAUGAUUUGCAGUGGAGUCGUCGAAGGCAACAGCUUGUUUUCAAUUUUAUAAUUAUACACUCUCAAAAUAAUUUUGGUAUAAAAAGCUGCUUACAUAUUUAUUAUAAUUACGUGAAUGGAGCAGAUUAUUUUGUCCUUCAAGAAAGUUUAAUCAAGAAUAAAUAAUAUUCUAGUUAUAAGAAUGGGGUUUCAAAGAUCUCAAAUCAUGUUACUGAUGAUUUUAUAUGUCGGAAUAAAUUUGAUGGGGAAAAUAAUAAUAAUAAUAAUAUACUUUUAAAAAUAAAUGCAAAAUCGUAAUGUAUAAAACGGAAUGGAUUUGGCGCAUAUAGAAAUUAGUUUUUUUGAUCUUUUGACUGUGUUAUACUAAAGAAAAAAUGUCAAACGCUACAUGUUAGUUCAUUGGUCCAUCUGGCUUUAGUUCGUUGCCAUUGGUCGUAGGUACACGGCAUAAUUGACCAACCACUAACCUGCAUGCUAAAUCAAGGACACGGAUCCAAAUCGCUAAAUCAUACCAAUCUUUUUCCAUGUGUCUAUUUGCGAAUCUUUGACCAUAGUUAAUUAGCGAUGUUAUUUACUUUUUAUCAUAAAUUUACAAAUGCAAAAAACUUAAUGCAUUUUAUUUUUUUAUUUUUUCCUAAAUGGAACGAUAAUGAAUUUUCAAACCAUGCUUCCAUGCAACUUCGGGAAUCAAGGAGUCGGAGUGGUUUGUUCCACUAAAGAAGAAGCACUAGAUUUUCCUGACAAAAAACGUCCUUGUUUAUGAUAUCUUUUGGUCUAUCUCAAUUUGGCAUUCUCUCCCUUUUUUUUCUCUUUAAUGUUUCUAUUCAAGUGAUGCGAUAAAAAUGGCAAACGAGUCCAAGUGUUGAUUCUUUGAUCCAAUAUUGUCAAUCUGUCAGGUUCAAGGAAGCAUAAUUGAAUAUAACACGAAAUCAUUUUAACUCGAAUCGUUAUGUAUCAAAGGGGGAGAUUAUCAGUUAAUAUGUAGUCAAUACUCCUCGCAGAAUAAUUUUACAUUAUUUUCAAAUGUACUUUUGCGCAUAUUUAUUAUAUAUUAAAAUAAACCAUAUAAAUAAAAAUAAAAAAAUUUUAAAAUAAAAAAUAAGAAAUAUAAGUUUCGGUGUGAAUAAAAAUUAAUACUAAGAUAACUUUUCUUUUAUUUUUUGUUAUUUUUUAAAUAUUUUUCUUAUAAUAUAUAUACAAACACAUGCAUGCAUGCAUAUAUAUUUAUAAAUGACUAAUUAAGUUUUCUCUUUCUUUCUUUUUUUAAUUUUUUAAUCCGACCGAACCCAUGACUAUUUAAUUGAGUUUCACGAGUUGAAAAGCAUUUAUUGGAGUGUAAUAGAUUCAGGCUGUGUUUACUUGCUGGAGUGGGAGUGAGGAGUGUGGAUUUCUUCCACUCCAGCGUUUAUUUCCUUAAAAUAGGAAGGGAGUGGGAAUCCCACUCCGUGGGCCCCACCCAUUUUUGGAGUGGGGAGUGGGAGUGGGACUCCCAUUGGGGGAGGUGGGAGUGGGAAUCCACUCCCACCUCUCCCUUUUUUACCCUUUUAUUUUUUUAAUUUAAUAUUUUAUAAUUAAUAAAAUAAAAUAAAUAAUAUUAUAUUUAUUUGAAUAAUAAUAUUAUAUUUAUUUGAAUAAUAAUAUUAUAUUUAAUUAAAUAAUAAUUUGUAUUGAUUCUAAGUUAAAAUUAUUUUAAAAUAAUAUUAUUAUAUUAAUAGAGAAUUAAUAAAUAUAAUAUUAUUAUAUUUAUUUUAAAAAUAAUAGUACUAUAUUUAUUUAAUAUUAAUAAUAAUAAAUAGUUUAUUCUAAGAAAAUAUUAAUUUUGUACUAAAUAAUAUUAUAUUAUUAUUUUAUAUAAUAAUAAAUUUAAUAUAAUUAUAUUAAAUAAAAUAAAAUAAGGUUUCACUUUAAAUAAGGAUAAAAUUGUAAUUUGAAACUAUUUACUCCCAAUCCAAGACAAAGUAAACACAUAAAUUGGAUUCUGAUCUCUACUCCAUACUUCCAUUCCAGUGUAAGUAAACAACCUACUCCCACUCCCACUCCACACUCCCAAUCCUAGGAUUCCCACUCCUCAGGAUUCCCAAUCCAAUCCAAAAAGUAAACGCUACCUCAAAGAAAACUUCGAAGGAUAGGAUUAAGUCUAUUAUUGGCAGAUUGACGAUUGGGUUGGAAUAAUCAAAGUAAAGUACCACAUAAAAAUUAAAUGCGUUGCGGCUUGUCAGUGUCACAAGUCCAGUAUCCCUAACGUGGCAAAUAUAAAUUAAACUUCACCGAAGAAUUAUUCUGAAUAUAAAUUAAGAUUCAUCUAUCUUACAUGUAUGUAAAAUAUUUUUUUUCAUAUGAAUAAUAUAUGUGUAGAGUUUAUGUAUUAUUUAUAUAAGAGAGAUAUAUCUUAUAUGUAUAUAAGAUACUGAUCACUUAUAAAUUAACGUGGUAAAUAUAAAUUGACAUAUCACAAGUAUUGCACAAUUAAAAAUCAUUUAAAAGUUUUAAACGAACAGCCAACACCGUCUUUAGUGCCCGUAUCCCUAACAUGGCAAAUAUAUGGUUUUUAAAAAUAACGUUGUUCAAGGUGUUAACAGUCCUCUGAAGGAAUGAAUUGUGGAGUCAAUUUUAUUUUUCCAAAUUUUUUGUGUGAUUUUAAAUUUUUUUUGGCCAAAUAUUAAUAUUUAUUUUUAGUUUCUCAAAGUUAUUUUUCAUCAUUUUAACAACAAUCUGAAACUAUCCUUUAUGCCUCAAAAGUGAGUUGGAAAGUCAUUUUCUUUUUCUUUUUUAUAUUUUUAUUCUUUGAAAUCUCCCGUGCAUGAUAAACCAAUUAUCCACGGUUCAAAUAAAUAUAUUUAAUUAUGUAAUUGGCUAAAGCCUUAAUCUGCUCAAAAUAGAAUAUUCUACAGCCACUUUUUGAUAAUUUGGGUUAUUUAACGCCUAAAAAUAAGCUUCAAUAGAAAUAUUCUUACCUAACCACUUAACCCAUAGAUGUAUUAGGUAGGUACUUUCUCCUAAAGCUUACUUUAAUGGAACAAAACAACUUCACAUCAAAUUUGCAAAGUCAAUAUUCCACAAAAUGUUUCCUUCUCAUGAAUUAAUAGGUCUACCAAUAUAAAAAAAAAAAAAAAACAUAUUUCACCUACACGUAUGGAAAAUUUUUUCUAUUGUAUCCGUUUGUAACCAUCAUUAUUAGGUUGAGUUGAGUAUUCACGUAUGGAAAUUUUUUUCUAUUGUGUCCGUUUGUGACCAUUAUUAUUAGGUUGAGUUGAGUAUGUUAUUUUUUUAAUCUUAUAUUUUAAAAAUAAAUGCAAAAUCGUAAUGGAUAAAGCCGAUUUUUUUUUUCCCCGAUAAUGAAUUUUCAACCAUGCUUCCUUACAACUUCCACGUCCUUGUUUAUGAGAUCUUUUGGUCUAAUAUGUCAAUUUCAUAUUGUCUCCCUCUUUUUUAUUUUAUUUUUUUCUAUUUAAGGUUUCUAUUCAAGUAACGCGAUGACAAUAGCAAACAAGUCCGAGUGUUGAUUGUUUGAUCCAAUAUUGUCAAUCUGUCCGGUUGGAAGCAUAAUCUACUCCUCGAAAAAUAAUUUUACAUUUUUCAGAUAAUCACGAGAUUCCUCUCUCCAUAAAGCUUAUGUUAAUUUGCACACCACAUUACCUUUUCUCAUACCCAAUAUAAUGCACAAAUAAAUCCAUCUCUUUUGAUAUGAAUAUGCAUAGCGACGUUGUUAUGAUCAAGUUAAAAGUUCUAUGAUAAAGAAGAGUUCGCUCUAAUUUCACGUAAAAAAUGAAUUCAUAAUAAAAAUGUAACAGCAACUAUAUUACAUUUUACAUGUACAUUUUUGGGUAUAUGGUAUCAUUCGGGGGAAAAAAAAACACAAGGUAAUGAUCAUUAAUCAUCAACUGUAUUUAUUUGACGAAAGUGUUGCUUUGUUACUUGAAUUGAAUCAAGGCAACCUUUUUGCCGGGAGUUUUGUUUUGUCAAGACUCAAGAAAGAGACCAAUGAGAAUGAGAUGGCCCUAUUUGUAGUUUUAUGGAGUUGGCAAGUUAAGGCUAAAUAAAUGGCUCCACCAUUUCAAGAUAAAAGAUUCUAAAAGCUAAACAAGUCCGAUCUUUCCCUACAAUCAAACUCUAAGAAAAGAUUAGGGUUCAUUAGGCUAAUUUUAUCCGAAGAAAUUGUUUUUCAAAAGUAUGAUUCUACGGAUGUUAUUAGGUUUAUCGGUUUCUUUAACUUUAAUACAAAUGGCCGGCUAGAGAGUGAGACCCACAUGACUAACUGAGGAUUAUUCCAAAUUGGAGUUAAUUAUAAUAAUACAGUCUUUAUUCUUUAAUUCAACAAUGUUAAUUGUUAAUAGAUAAUGUUAGGUCUGAGUCACUUUGUUGAGUUUUUCAGGGAACUUUGAUAUGGAGAAAGAUGUGCAGUUGCUGGCCCUGAUUAAUUAAAUUAUAUACUACUAAAUAUUUCCUUCCCCCACCUCCAAAUUGCAUAUAUGAUAACCAACCUACUAAUUAAUAAUAAUUAUAAACGAAAACAUUGACAAUUUUAAAGGCUGUCAUUUUCUUCGAUCAAAUUACCUUAGCCGGAAAAAAUUUGACUUGGAAAUUAAAAUAUAUAGUCAAUACUCCUCGAAAAAUAAUUUUACAGUAUUUCCAUUAUUUUUAAAUAUACUUUUGUUCAUAUUUAUUAUAAAUUAAAUAAAUCAUAUAAAUAGAAAUUAAAAUUAAAAAUUUGAGAAUUAAAAAAAAUAAGUUUCAGUGUGAAUAAAACGUAAUAAUAAGAUAACUUUUUCUUGUACUUUUUGUUAUUUUUUAAAUAUUUUUCUUAUAACACACACACACAGAGGCGCACAUACACACACAUAUAUACAUAUACAUAUACACACACAUAUAUAUUAUUUUCAAGAUAAAUUACCAAACAAAUGACUUAUUUUCUUCUAAAUUUUUGGUGCCGUGGGAGUUUUUGAAUUGUAUAAAACAACAUGUUAUAUGUGAUAUAUAUAUUGAUUUUAAUAGGGCAUGGGAGGUUGACAAUCCUCCCAUAUCAAAUCUAUUUGCAGUUCUUUUUAAUUCUUAUAUUUAUAUGCAUGAUUUUCUUUUCUUUUAUUAGCAAAUCUGCGUUAAGGGAAGGAAUUUUUUUUAUUUUUCACUUACAAUGAUACCCUUAAGAUGCCUGCUGCUUACAUAUUUAGUUUUUUUUUUUUAUUACAUGAGAUUAUUGCUCAAAUUACAGUUCAAAUUACAACUCAUAUUACAUGAGAGUAUAAUUGAUAUGUACAAUCAUAUAUUUAUACUGAGCCCUAUUGAUAUGAAUGCUGAUAUGACACCGCUCAGAUUUUUAACCCUCUCAAAUAUUCGAGGGAUGUCAAACUCUCAUUCUGGGAGAAAGACUGUCUUCACUCGAGCUCAAGGGCUCCAAGAAAAAAUAUUUAAAUUAAACCCUUACAAUGCGACUGCGGAGGCUCGAACCCCUUCCCUCACAUUUGUGAGGGAGGGGCGCUAGCCACUUGGGCUAAGCCCAAGUGGUUGCUUACAUAUUUAGUUAAGAGUGCGCGUAAGGCCUUAGGACUACCUUUUUAUCCUAUCAAUGUGACCGCAAUAAUCUCUCAUAACCCGUAAAUCAGUACGGAGAUAUAAGAGAUGUGAAGGAAUUAAGCAUCUUUAAAAAAGAAAAAAAUAUUUAAUGCAUUAGUUCUUUUGGAUUUUCAGCAACUUGCAUUGCCCAAAUCAUUAUCUCAAUUUUCUCAUCAAUUUACCCCCCUCGUUAACAAUAUAAGCUUUCGCACACGAUCCAAGUUAUUGAUGAAUGACCAGCAUACAUAUCUGUUUUCUUGAAAUCUUUUUCUGAAUGAUGGAUUUGAUCCUACAACGCAUCACUACAUUACCCUUCCCAAUAAGCUACAUGGUUUUAUCAUUGAAUGAUGACAUUUUAAUAUGUAAUUUCUUUCUUCCAAGACAUUCCUUUGCGACUGAUAGACACUACACAAUCCAUAAUUGCAUUAAAAAGAGGAAGGGGGGAAAAAGUAUAUGAAACUUAUUAAAUGUUUAAUUAGUAGAAAAUCUUGGGGAAAAUACUUUAAAAAGCAUAAAUUGUGUAUGACAAGAAACAACCAUGCAUGUUUAAUCUUUUGCAAGCAUAGCUCAUAUAACAACUUUAAACAUUUAAGGAAAACAAUUUCCUUGCAAAAAUAUGAAUGAAUCUACAAACACCUGAAAAGUUCAACCAAUCAGCGCAGUUUACUGAUGUUAUAAGACACAUCCAAUCAAUUUGCCUGACUUCCAAACUUCAAUUUAAUGCAAUCACAGUCAUCACCCUUCUAUCCUUACAAUAGGAUUAGAAUUUCUAUUUAUUGUAUAUUUAACUGCAGUUCUAGACUCUGUCUGCAAAAGUAAAACAGAUAAUUCUUGUUAAUUUCCCUGGAUGAUCAGUAUGCUCUCAAUCUCUAUGCUUAGUCAUAGAUAUACAACCAUGUCAAAAGCUAGCCCUUCCCAACUAAGUCCAAACGGAUGACAAAAAGUGAACCUUGUCCCACUGACAAGAAACUUGGUCUUCCCUCUUAUCUUAAAAAAUGCAAUCUUGCCGAGUAACCCAAAAAGGAGCUAGAGCCAGAGAACCUUAGCUUUCUAUCCUUGCCCGAAAGCAAAAACAUUUUUCAUUAGCAAAGAGCCACAAGCACUUAGAGCAUCCUAAAACCGAUAACAUAAGUGAGAAUCAAUGCAUGUAUCCGUAAGCAUUUAUUUAGUACCCAAACCAAUUUUAAAUUUCUGAUAGGCUUACUUAAUUGCCCAAAUUCUACCAAGCUUUUCAGUUAACCUGCUCAAAAUACAAUCCACAGGUACAUUUAAAUAAAUUGGGUUAUUUAACGCCUAUAAUCUUUGAAACCUCAUCAAAUUGCUACCAGAAGUAAUCCAUACCAAACAAUCAACACAUGAAAUACUGGACCUUCAUACGGAAGAAAUAUGGCCGAAGAAGAAAUUAAAAACCCAUAGAAGCACUAAAUACUUCUCCUAUGACUAAUAAUGGAACAAAACAACAUCAAAAUACUCUCAAUAUACCACUAGAGGAAUAAAUCCACACCAAUGACAAGCUAAAUAUGGCAUCUUUCUAGAAUUAAUAAUUCUGCAACCAAAAAAGCACAGUAAUUAUUUGCAUUUUAAAUAAUCCCGAACACAGGACAAUGACUUAUUUAUGUCAUAUAAAGGACCUACAAGCACUUAUCUUUUUAUCUAUUUUAUUUCCAAGCAAAAACAACAUUUUUCUAUUCUUUCUUCAACUGGAAAACAGGUUAUGUUACGGUAGUCACUAGGCAGUGGGCAAAACACUUGAUAACUAAACAUAUAAAAAGAAAUAAAAAAGAGUUAAAAAAAUUAAAAAAGUUAAAAUCGAAAAUACAAAAAGAUUAAAAACGAAACUGCUUGUGAAAAAUGAAAAUAUCAAACCCCCUUCUUCAGAACAAUUCAAAGAGGGAGUUGCUGGUUCUUAAUGCAACAGUAAGUAACAUGCCACUGAAACCUCAACCUUUAAACAUAGAACUUGAACUCAGGAAACCUUUAAACAUAGAACUUGAACUCAGGAAGAGAUGAAAGAAAAAGACAUAGAUGACUGACUGAAUUUUAAUUUUAUUAAACCGCACAGCUUAAUAGCAUGUCUGCAUUACCAAAAAAAUAAAGGUGUCCACAUAUACAUACAUAUAUAUAUAUAUAUAUAUAUAUAUAUAUAUAUAUAUAUAUAUAUAUAUAUAUAUAUAUAUAUAUGUAUAUAUAUAUAUGUAUAUAUAAAAGACCGUUUGUAUGAUGAAUUCUCUGUGUAUACAUGUUUCUAGGUUUCAAAGAAUAAUAAUAUACAAUGAGACCAAACAUCAAAAAGCCAAUUAAAAUAAAAAUCUGCAAAUAUAACAAGUCCAAAAAAUAAUGUAUCUAAAUAAAUAAAUAAAUUUUGCAAUGAAAAAGGGUCUUAGAAAGAAUGAUUUUGAUUUUUGAUUCAACAAGAGUGAGAGUGAUGCAAACCGAUUGUUUUUUAUUGAAACAUAAAAUGAAAUGAAAAGGAAACAGAAUAUAGAAGAGUAAAAAUAGAUUAAUUUGAGGAAAUUUAAGCCAUCAAAAUGAGUAUGAUGUACUUGAGAAGCCAAUAAACUUUCAAAUACAACUUAAGUUACACUAAAUCAUAAUCAUUUCAUUCUUUAUCUAAAUAUCUAAAUAUGUUUACGAGGGGAAGAUGCCAACAAUCUUCAGCUAAUCCUCUUGAACACACCCUUUUCUCCUUUGUUGACAAAUAAGAUUACUGUGGGGAUCUCAUAAUCGGGCUUUGAUCUCAAUUGAGUUUGAUAAGCCUUUGUCAGUUGGGCUGAAUCCAAUUGGGAUUUUUAGAUUUAUAGAAAUCCAUGGUCUAAUUCAACCUAAGAACUAGUUCAAAAAUAGAAGAUUCCUCAAGUUUACAUUGUUAGCCUAGUCACUGUUCUCCUCCGAUGUGAGAUGAAGUAUCCUCAACAAGAUUCCCAUUGUACGGCGCAGUUCGGAGAUGAUACAUGUAAUGGUAGGCAAUCUGUGGGGCUGAAUCCAAUUUGAUCACCGCCACCUUCAAGCUGGUUCAAAUCGAAUGUCAUUGAUGCUGCAAUGAAUGAUGAAUCAAACGGGUGGGGCGAGCAGGACUUAGGCGGCCUCAGGAUUCUGGGCCUAUUCAUUCUUGGGCCGUCUUCGUAAUGGACCUUUUGGUCUUCUUAAUUAGGCCCGGGCUUGCUGUAAUCCCUCAAAGCAAAUGUUUUUGGCAGCUUGGGUCCUGCGUUUCAAAUAUGCAAGUCAUUUUUGUUAAUCAAUUGUCAACUGUACCAUUUACUCUGAAAUAAAUUGAAAUUUCAUUUUCACAUAGAGAGAUUUCAGUAAAGUAGUACAUCCUCCAAACACACAUCAAAAUUGAUUAAAUUAUUAUAUUUUCAAAUUAUGAGAGGAAGAAAAAAUUGUUUAUAGAUGCAAUGUAUAUUCAUUCUUCGCAAAAUCCACAGGUAAUUAAAAGCUUCAAAUAUAUAUAUACACGUAAUUGCCUAAAGUCUACCAAGCUUCUAAUUUAAUCAACUCAAAAUAAAGUUUUCACAACAGUCACAUUUUUGGUAAAUUGGGAUAUUAGCCCCUUUAUUCUUCGAAAGCUUAUUGUUGGAAUUGGUUGCUGAGUUUCCAAUGAUCAAUUGAACUGUAGUCAUUAACACACACCCACAUAUGCUGAUGGUACAGUCAGAUCGAAUCUGUUAUAAACUAAUUAAUUACAAUCUGUUUCUUUUACCAGCUGUAUGAUUGGCUGUUAAUUAAUGACCAAAGAAGAAAUUAUAAGUACUUCUCCUAAAGCUAAUAUUAAUGGAUCAAAACAAUUUCAGAUUUUUCCCAAUAAGCCACUAAAUCAGGAUCAAACCCACAAGUCAGUAUUCCUCAAGAUUUUUCCAUUUCAUGAAUUAACAGGUCUGCCAUUACUGGAUUAAAAGCUAAUAAAAAUUAAUUCCUCAGCAUGCACACUAAGUACAGAAAAAAUAAAAUAAAAUAAAAUAAAAAUUAGAAAAGAAAAGAGUAAAAAUGAAAAAGAAAGAAAACAUCGAUCAGAACGUACGACUCUUGUCGUUUUCAAGAAUUUUUGACCAAACAAGUCAACUGCCACAUGCACACGGGGCCCAUUUUUGAAAAAUCAUUCUUUUUCGCAUGCAUCUAUUUGCGAAUUUUUUAACGUCAGAUUUCGGUAGCGUGUGUUAUUUUUUUUUUAUUUUAAAUUUAUGAAAGUAAAAUAUUAAUUUAUAAAGCUGAACGAGUAUUAUUAUAUAUGUAUGGAAAACAGUCAAUCUGAUUACGGAUAAGUAAAAUGGGUCUGCAUUUGGUUAUUAGGCAGCUGCUACUUCGAAACUGUUACAAUUGUUUCAUAUUCAGGUAUAGACAUCUAACAGUUUUGGGGACUACUCUAUCUCAGAACUGUUUUAAGGUAGCUGAACUCAUACAAUUAACGUAAUUACAAUUAUUAAAUUUAAUAUUAUGAUUCAUACAUAUUUAUUAAAACAAAAUGUAAAUAUAAAUAUAAAAACAACAAUUAAGAUAAAAUAAGUUUCUUUAAAACAUCACAAUGAGAAUUGAGAAGCAUCUAUUGUUUAUUAUUUUAAUUUAUCUGCGAGCCCCACAUAUUCAUUUAACAAAGAAAUCAUAAAGCAUUGCCAGAAUUAAAGUUUUAUUGAAGAAGAAAAGUAAUUUAUAAAUAAUAUUCUUUUCAAACUUUAGUACUGCGCGUUGAUGGGGAGACAAAAUGAAAAGUGUUGACAGGCAGAGACACACGAAUCUCAUAAAUAUUAUUAAAAAAAAUUCGUUGACAGGGAGAGACACACGAAUAUCAUAUAUAUUAUUGAAAAAAAAAAAAUCAUUGUCUGUAUCGUCUAUACAGAAUCGUAUGCAUAACUGAAAGUCUGAAACAACUGAUCUGGCUUUUAUAAAAAUAGAAGAUAAUAUUAUUUCUGUGGCACCUGUACCCAGCUAUAAGUAGUGGUAGUUGCAUGGAAGCUCAAGUCACCACAAUUACACCAUAUCCCCAGAUGGACUUGGCUGCAGGUCUUGGAUGCUGCAUCAUCAGUUAGAUCAUUUGGAUUAUUAACAAUGAUAUGUUUUUAUUAGCUGAAUUGAUAACUCUCCAAGCCGCGUCUGUAAGGCUAACAUUUGGAUUAUAACUGCUAGACAAGAAUAAAAAGAAAAAAACAGAGUUAAAAAAAAGUUGAUAUAAUGAACCUUGUGGUCAAAUGUCAGAUCUGACUUCUUCAAACGAACUAAAGGCCAGCAAUGAAAAUUUCACAUAAAAAGCAACUAGACUAACUUCAAGAUAGCUUAAAUUAAAAGUUUUCUGACUCAUUCAGCAGAGACGCCAACAAUUUCCGAAACUUUUUGUUGGACCUCACGUUUAUAAAUUCUCAAAUCUUCCUACACCAAUCUGACAACAUCACGGAAAGCAAGCAACACCACAUUUAAUUGUCUUUAAGUUACAAAAAAAGCUUCAAGCUCUGCUGAUGCCAGGAUAUAAUGAGAAACCAAUCAUAGAACAUGUCAUAAGCAAGGGCACAAGCAGAGGAAAGAUCUCCAAUGCUUCAGUGUGAUGAUAAUCACCGUGAAACAAUAUCAACAGAUAUGAUCUAGUGAUAAAUGAAGUAUAACAACCUUCAAAUGAAAUUAAUAAACAGCGACAGAACGAUAUAAAACAAAUAACUUCAUAAAGAAAGAGUUUACAUUUUUGUUGGAAAUCUGAUUACCGUUCUUUCAUUUGUAUGUAAAGUCUCUGAAAUUCCCUAGUCAUGCCCAAAUAAAUUCUCUUAUAUAUAUGAUGAAUAAUGCUGUUAAAAGAAGCUCCUGAACUUAGAAUUACUUCCACUUCUUUAAAUUCUUAGUUAUAAUAAGGCAAGAGGGAGUUUUGGUAUUUUUAGUGAGAUAUAGAAAAGUAUUUACCCUCAUUUUAUCUUGCAACUUCAAAACCUGGAAAGUCUCUCUCAAAACAUGAAUUUAGACGAAUGAACUUCAACCAAAAGGAUUUUCUUACAAAAGCUAAAAAAAUGCAACAGCAUAGUGAAAAUGGGAAAAUGAAAAUAUAAAGCAGAAGAAAAAGUUUCCAUCGGAUAAGACAAAAACAGAAAAUCCAAGUUCAAAAAGUUUCCAUCAGAUAAGACAAAUACAGAAAAUCCAAGUUUUUAUUUGCCAUGCCAAUAUUAUUCAUGCAGAAUUACUCUAAUUUAUUUUUCAGUGAAGGUUAGUAACAAUUUAUCUGUAAAUAACUGAACCAACUUGGUUAUUACCACAUUACUCUUUCUCUUCUACACUCAUUUUCUGCAUAGUUGCGGUUCAUCAACGACCACAUUCACAAACACGAGUCCACUCUCCCCGGCCCCUUCACUUAUUUCCCCAACCUUAAGGUCUCUCAAAGUGCAGCAGCAAGACAUGAACUCCUAUCAAUAGAAAGCAAUAUUAAGCCCUCCUAAAAAAUCCAACACCCAUUUGGCUAGAAAAACCCCAUAACUCAUUGCCACACUCUCUAUUUUCACCCCUUUCAUCAAAACACAAGCAUUACUUACCCAUGUCCAGACAUAAUUUCGUUUUCUGAUAUCACGUCAUUCAGGGGGAAAAAAGCAAUUAAAGGAUUUCAGUACAUAAAUUACAACAAGCUGUCAAUUCGCAAAAACAAGGAAAAUUAGCUCAAUCGAGUGAAGUAGGCCUACAAAAUGACCUCAAUGAGACAUCAGAUACCUCAAAAAUCGAAUCAAAUUCAGUUACACUAAGAAUCACUCAUCAAUAUGAAUAACAGAAAGAAAUUUCUCAUAAAAUUCAAUACAAAUAAAAAAAAAAAAGCUAAUCAUCCUUUUUUGGUUUAGUGACUUCGUCAGAAAAUAAGACGAAAUAGAAAUUCUGAAAUUUACUUAGGGUUUCUAGGUUUGAAAAUUUACCUUACGAGAAGCCAGGCUCUCUGUUUCUAGCUUUGUAACGUUACUAUCAUGGCGAUCGACGCCGAUCAGCUGAGAUGAUCGGAUUUCUCGCCGGCGACGACGCAGAUGUUUGGAUUUGGGUUUGACGAUGGACGAAGGAAUGUUUAGGGGUCCUGGCUGAUUUUGGGAUUUAUUGAAUUGAAAGACCAAAAUAACCUUUAAAAAUUUACACAUGUAAUAUUCGGGGUAGUUAAACAGUUAAUUUUUUUUUUCAACCAUAAAAACAGAAUAUAAAUCUACAUACAGAAUUUUAUUAAUAUACCCUUGUUCAUCCGGACCAUAGUACAACGACAACAACAACCAAAACAAAAAAAAAUCUAGCCUCUGUCUGCAAGUGCUUUUUCAAGCAGAAGCCAAAGAUAGCAACUAAGCUUUCACAUCAAACUGUUCAAACUUAUUCGGGUAACAACAGACUAUAGGUCAUUGUAAUAACUAGUUCGCAAUGGAAAGAUAUAAAACUCUCAUAAUUCUACACUUUGUUACUUUAGCAGGUACUAGGACCCUACGGGGGCACCAACAAUAUCGUAUAUGGAUAUGGUAUCAAGUGAUUACAACUUCCAGGUUGUUCUCAUCAUCAUCACUUGAACUUGGCUGCAGGUUAUGGAUGUGGUUCGUUUCUGCUUCAAUAAUGUUCUCUUCAUCAACUUGUUCCGCAAUUUCUUGGUUCCCGUUCAGACGGUUGAUCAUGAUCAAGAUUGUGCCAGUAAUGGGCGUUAUUAUUGCAGUGAGAUUCCGAAACCAGUUGAAAAUGUGCUGAGACAGAGAAGCUACGGUUCCAUAACGGAGUGAUGAGAUUAUGAGGCACAAAUAGGCCACGAAGGAGAGAAAUGGAGACGAAGUGACGGAGGCAACCACCGAGAUAGCCAACAAAACAAAGGUUUCUUCACAACCCUCGGAAAUGGAGCUCCUCACAUUGAAAGCAAGUCUGAUGGGUAUGUGGCGGAAGAGCAGUACUGGCAUGGUGACGGCAGGAAUCAGGAACCGGAACUGAAGUUUUAAAAUCGGAUGCAAAAUUAUCGUACUUGUACCACCUUGGACGUCCGAAGAAUUGCCAUCCUGAGACCUGCGGAACAGAAUAAAGAUGAUAAGAUUUAGUAAUAGCAGAUAUAAAAAGCUCAAAGUGAUUGACAGAUCCAUGCUUAUGAUGAAGAUCAGGGGCCUGAAUUUUGAUUUAUUUAGUUUCUUUCUCUCUGAGGUUAAAGACGUUGGUUGAGUAUGCCAAGAACUUUUGAGUUUGAGCAGGAUUUUAUAGUUGGGAGAAUUGCAUGGGGGAAGGUUCCUGGAAGCUGCUGCCUCUGCUUGACCAAGGCUAUUUUGGUCUUUUAAUAUUGAUAAGUAAUAUUAUCAUUAAUAUUAGGUUAUUUUGGUCUUUUAACACUGAUGAGUCAUGUUAAGUGUUAUUAGGUUUUGGUCUUGAUGACUUUUCCUGAAGCUAUAUUAUAUGUAUAAACUUUCCACGACGAUAUCACUAGUGGCAUAGACCAAAAACAUCGACAUUCACGACGAUCUCUUAAGAGGAGGGAUUGUCAAUUUCCUCAUAUUAAAAAUUCAGAUUGAUGUAAGUUAUAGAUUUUAUAAUUUAAUAAAACGCAAUUAAUACACAUACAUAAAUGUGUGUGCUUACAGUGCAACAUUUUUUGGGCUUUCUCUUUUGGGCUAUUCAUUAGUUGUUUUUUUAGAGUAUUAAUAUAAUCACAAAUAUUUAUAUAAAUUUAUUUUGUAUAAAUUGAUAUGAUGUGAUAAAAUUAAUUGAAUUAAAUAUCUCUUGACCCACGUGAUUUAGUUUUUAUUAUUUUAUAUUUUCAUUCAACUAAUUUUAUUAUGUCAAAUCAGUUUGUAUAAGAUAAGUUUAUACAAUAAUUUGUUACUAUAUCAUCACUCUUUUAUUUAUAUUUUGAGUAAUGAUACAACCAUAAAUUUUUCUACAAACUUAUUUUGUACAAAUUGAUGUACCAUAAUAAAAUUUGUUGAAUUAAAUAUCUUUUGGCCCACAUGAUUUAUUUUUGUUAUUUUUAUUUUUAUUCAACCAGUGAAUUAAUGCCACAUCAGUUUAUAUAAGAUAAGUUUGUACAAGAGUUUGUAGCUCUAUCACCACUCUUGUAUUUUAGUUAGUCAAUCUACUUGUAUAGAACUGGGAAAUAAAAUAGAAGUGUAGUUUAAGGAAUAAAUUUAUGGAAAAAAAAUAAAAAGAAAAAUCAGAAUCAAGAUAAUGAAAUAACUAAAGGCUAUUGGACUCGUUGCUAAGAGCAAAUGGCUCAUUUCAUUGUCAUUAACGUGUGGAGCAAAAUUUUCAAGAGCUUUUGAAUUAAACGGCGCCCUUCUUAUAUUUCAAGUCCUUUCGUCAAGUUAGCUUCGCUUUAAUUUGGCUAUUGACUACAUAUUAUUGCCAAUUUCUUAUUAAAAAAAAAACGUUGGUUUUGGACAUAGUUAAGAGAUUAAAAAACGAAAAAUAAAAAUAUGGAUGUAUAAUCGGAGAUUUCUUGGCUCGUUGCCGAAAGUAAAAGGAGUGUUGUGAUUGGUUCAAGAAACGGAUUUGGCCUCUAUUUGAAAGUCAUAAAUAGUCACUUGGCUCGUUGGUCAGUUGAUUCAAUUUCUCAAAAGUAAUUCACAAAGAGAUUGCGACACGUGUUGUUAUAAUCUCUCGUCUCGCUAGAUCUCCCCUUCACCGUUAGUGAUCGAAUUUUCUGAAUUCACUGCAAGAGACUUCCUGCGGAAGACAUCAACUUGCAAACAGGGAAAAAAAUAAAUCGAUGAGUAAUAAAGCAUUAUGCCUUUGAACUUUUCCUUGCCAUUUUCUCUCGCAAAAUAAUUGAAUUUAAAGCUUUUAUUUUAAAUGAUAUUAAUCAAAAUGAUUACGUUACCAUUGAAAUUGUUGAUGCGAAAAUAUGGGAUGAGUGGUGUGUAAUCAAUAACUCUUCGAGUUGGAUCGCGGCACACCACUAAUUAUCUUUUAAAGGAAGUGUCUCUUUCACAAAGGCCGAAGCAAUUGAAUGAGGAAUAACUAUUGGUUGCAUUGUCAAGAGGUUAUUGACUUGGCAAACAACAGAAACCACAAGAAGGUUGAAAUUUUUCGGGUGAUAUCAGAUAAUAAAGAAAGAAGAAAAAGUUUUUAGUUAGGUCAAAUUUCAACACACAAAUAAGUCUUGUAAUGAUAAUGCUCGCACCUUUGCUAAAUUAGCCUUAAAAGUUUAUGGAUUGCUUACCAUUAAAAUUAAUCUAGUUACGCGUGUACUCUCUAUUUCCUAAUAAAGUAUUUUCCCUUAUCAAAAAAUUAAUUAAAAAAAUUAACUCUUUGACUAUGAUUAGUCCCUUGUUAUUAGGCUGCUUGGGUCCGCAUAUUAUCUUUAUCCAACCUUCGAUUAAUCAUAUGGGUUUGGGAUAUUUGGGUAAAUUACUUUUAAGUCCUGGUAACUUUUUCAAAAUUUCAUUGAUUUAAUAACUAAUUAAAUCAUCUUUAUAAUAAAAUCAAUUUAAUUAUUUUAUCCUUAUAACAUGAAAUUAUAAAGAAGUCUGAGAUAAUGCUUGAAUUUAUUUAUAAAAAAAUUAAAAGCAAAAUCCCAUCAAUUAAUUAAGGCGAAGAACAUGCCGAAGGAAACUUAAAUCAUUAUUCGAUCAUUCAUAUGAAGAUAUAGAAUACUUGUUCUAAAUUCAAAAAAUUGAGUUGCUGCUUCUUUUUUACACUUGGCUUCUCACUCUAUACAAUAACAGAGUAAAGGAUUUUGAGAGAAUGAAUUGCACACUUUUCCAUUGAUUGUAAGACUUUAUAUACAGCAAUAUACAUGACAACUUUGCCUAUUUUAAAGAGAUAAGAUAACAGAAAGAUAUACUUUACAUUUGAAUUAGUUUGAAUGAGUAAACUAGAUAGGUCCCAUAUUCUAAGAGGAGAAUCUGCUGACAUGCCCCCUCAAGAUGGACCUCGGGAGAGCAGUCCAAUCUUGUCCUUGAGUUGAAGAAAUCGUGGUCUUGGCAGGGCUUUGGUAAGAGCAUCCACCAACUAGUCAGUCGACGAAACAUGUGCUACUCGAAUGGCACCACUUUGAACCUGCUCCCUAAUGAAAUGAAUAUCGAUUGCGACAUGUUUCAUUCUUGAAUGAAACAUUGAUUGCGACAUGUUUCAUUCUUGAAUGAAACAUUGGAUUUGAACAUAGUUACGUUGCUCCUAUGCUAUCACAAUAAAUAGCAGGGCAAGAAGACACCUUAAUGUGCAAAUCUGUCAAUAAAGAACAUAUCUAAUUCACUUCAGCAAUGGUGUUUGCAACUGAUUUGUAUUCUGCCUCAGUGCUGGAUCUAGCCACAGUUCUUUGUUUCUUGGAGCUCCAGGAUAUAGGAUUACGACCAAGAUAGAUUAUAUAGGCUCCUGUGGAUGAAAAAUCAUCCUUGUUUCCUCCCCAAUCCGCAUCAGCAAAUGCAUGCAAAUCAAAACUAGUGUUGCAAUAUAGUUGGAUACCAUCAUUAAUAGUACCUGAUAAGUAGCGCAACAACCUUUUAACAUAUGUCCAGUGGUCUGUAGUCGGUCGGUGCAUGAAUUGUGACAGACGAUUAACAAUAAAAGCAAUGUCGGGUCGGCUGAUGAGGAGAUAUUGAAGACUGCCUACCACAGUUUUGUAUUCAGUAGCAUCCGGUAAUGUGGUACCAUGGUGCAGACAUAACUGAGCAUUGGUUGGGAGAGGUGUGAGUAUCGGUUUUGCUUAUAGCAUUUUCGUCUUUUCUAGCAACUUCAGUAUAUAUCGUCGUUGCGACAUGAUUAGGCCCUUCGAAUUUGGAACUAUCUCAAUGCCCAAGAAGUAUGAUAAUGAUCCAAGAUCUUUGAGUGAGAACUUCUUGGCAAGGUUGGCUACAAACUCAGUAAUCUUGUUAGGCUUAUCACCCGUGAGGAUUAAAUCAUCCACAUAUACAAUAAGAUAAAGAACAUAGUGUCCAUUAUUAAAUACAAAAAGAGAGGUAUCUGCAAAGGAAUUUUUUAACCCAAACUGUAAGAGAAAAGUUUUAAGUUCAUGAUACUACGCCCGCAGAGCUUGUUUUAGUCCAUAGAUGGCUUUCCUGAGUUUGUAGACAUAAUCCGACUUGUCGGUGUCAAUAAAUCCUCUAGGCUGUACCAUAUACACAUCUUCAUACAAACGCCCUUGAAGAAAGACAUUAUUCACAUCUAGUUGUCGCAGUGGCCAACCUUGACUAACUGCAAUGCUUAAGACAAUUCAUACUGUAGUUGGUUUUACUACAGGACUGAAGGUGUCAUGAAAAUCAACUCCUGGUCUCUGGUGAAAUAAUUUUGCAACUAAACGGCCUUUGUACCUGUCAACAGAACCAUCAGACUUUCUUUUGAUUCUAUAAAUCCAUUUACAUCCAACAAGAUUGUAAAGUGGAGAUGGAGGGACCAAUUCACAGGUUCCAUUUGUCACUAAAGCAUUAAACUCGUCUGACAUGGCUUGGCGCCAUUUGGGUUCUUUGAGAGCUUGAUUGACUGUGGUUGGUUAAAUUUCGUCAGAUUUGGCUAGUUGAGCAUGAAGAUUCAUUUUUCGAAAAGGUUUGUGGAUGUUGUUUUUGGCUCGUGUGGUCAUGGUAUGAGAGGGUAGGUUUGUGGUUGUAGUUGUGGAGAGAGUUGAUGUCUUAUGAUUUGCACAAGAAAGUUGAUGAGAGUCUUCCACGGUAGAUAGCGUAUUAAGUGACGGUGGGAGAGAUGUUUGUAUUUGUAUUGGGGAAGAAAACCACGUAGUAAUAGUAUUGGAGUGAGUUAUGGACUCUUCUGGUUUAAGAUGCUUAAAAGGAUAAACAUUUUCGACAAACUUUACAUGUCGAGACACAUAGACUUUGGAAGUGUUGGGAUCAAGACAAAAAUAAGCACUUUGAGUAUUCGAAUAACCUAAGAACACAUGGUUUAGAGUUGGACUCUAGCUUGUGAGAGUUAUAUAGUUUUAACCAUAGAUAACAGAGGCAGCCAAAUAUCUUAAGUUUGGUAUAAUUGGGUGGCGAUUUAAAAAGUUUUUCGUAUGGGGUUUGAAGGUGUAUAGUUGGUGUUGGCAUUCUAUUUAUCAAGUAAACGGCUGUUGCAAAAGCAUGUGUCUAAUAAGAUAAUGGAAUAGAGGCAUGGAUUAAGAGUGUCAAACUAGUUUCUACAAUGUGUAGAUGUCUUCGUUCGGACAUGCCGUUGUGUUCAGGAGUGUGUGGUGGAGUGGAUAGAAAAUUAGUUAGAGCUAUAAAUUCACCACCAUUAUCAGAAUAUAAUAUUUUGAUGGUAUGAUCAAAGUGCUUUUCAACAAUGGCUUUGAACUUGAUAAAUAUUUCUUUCACAUCAAAUUUAUGUUUUAGUGGAUAAAACUAUAUGUACCUUGUAUAUUGAUCCACAAAUAUGACAUAAUAUUUAUAAAUAUCAAUGGAAACCAUAGGCGAUGUCCAAACAUCACUGUAAAUAACUUCAAGAGGAUGGGACGAUUUUAUUGUUAACUGUGAAAAGGACAACUUGUGACUUUUAUUUGUUAGACACGCAUUACAAUAAAAAAAAAAGAUGUUAAACUCAAUUUAUUGGAAAAGAUAAUUUGCUUAAGAAUAGAAGCAGAUGGGUGUCCUAGCUUAUGAUGCCAAUCAUGAGAAGUUGUUUUGAUACUGGAAAAGGCAAGAAUGAGAUUGGAAAGUGGUCACUCAUAUACGCCAUCUUUAGUUUGGCCCCUUAACAAUGUGUUCCCUGUGCUGAGAUCCUUCACAAAAAAAGUAUUAGGUAAGAACUUAAUAGCAGCAUUAUUGGUAUUGCAAAAUUGAUGAAUUGAAAUAAGAUUUCGUUUCAUGCUUGGUACAUGGAGAACAUUAUUUAGUUUAAAAUUUUUAUGAGGAGAGGUAAGAGUGGUUGAACCAGUGUGAGUUAUCUGUAACUCAGUGCCAUCCCCAAUCAUCAUGUCAUCGUUUCCGUCAUAUGGAUUGUGCAAAGACAGGUUCUACAGGUUAGAUGUGACAUGGUGAGAAGCACCACUGUCAAGAAGCCAAUUUUGACCGUUAUGUGUUACUGCUGCAUAAUUGGCUUUGGGCUGCCAUAGAGUGGUUGUGCUGGUGUUGGUAGGUUGGAUUGGUUGCAACUUGUAAGAUGAACACUUUUUGUCCGUGUGGCCUUGAAUCCUACAGAGUUGGCAAAAGCCAAGGUAGGGACGUUGUUGUCGAUUCAAACUGUUGUUUUGAGAUUGUCCUGGAUUUCGAUUGGUUUUGGUUGAACUUUGGUUGGCAUAGUUGUUGCUAUUGCGCCAGUUGUUAUUGGUGCGAGUUGAAACAUGAGCAGUGAUAGGAAAGACAGUUUGUGGUUUGGUGAUGUUGAGCGUGGCUUCAAAUUUGAGGAGUUUUUCAUGGAGUUCUUCAAAGGAGAUUUGAGUAUCUCUUACUUGAACAACUCUGACUAACUCUUUGUAGUCAUCACCAAGUGUCUCUAGGAUCUUAUCGGUGAGGUCAUCGUUAUCAAAUGGUGACCCAAGUAGAGCUAACUCAUCAGCUCUUGCCUUCACAUUUUGCAGAAAUUCAGUAAUUGAUUCAGGCCCUUUAGUCAUUUGUUUGAUUUGAUUUUUGACUUGCUUGAUUCAACCAUGUGAGGGUUUGGCAUAUGUGUUGGCAAGUGUGGUCCAAGUUUUUUGUGAUGUUUUGCUAUUAGCAAUAAAGGGGAUUAUAGAGGGAGAGAUUGAUCCAAUGAUUGCAUUUAAAAUCAAUUGAUCUUGUCGAAUCCAAAGAGUAUAUGCAGGAUUUUGGGAUGUGGUGUUGUUGGCUGUUACAGUUGCAGAAGGACAUGGUUUAGAGCCAUCUAUAUAUCUGAGGAGAUCAUAGCCAACGAAAAGUGUUUGGAACUGUAACUUCCAAGAUAGGUAAUUGGUGGUAGUUAAUUUGAGAGGAGUUUGAGCUGCGACAUUGAUCGUGAUGAGAGUGUUGUUUGGAUCAUUGGUGUUUCAGAUAGUAGUAUUGGAAUGAUUGCUUGCCAUUGCAAAAAUUCAGUAGAAAGAGGGAUAAGAGAAAAGAAAAUUGGAGAGCUUUAAUGCUCUGAUACCAUAACAGAGUAAAGGAUUUUGAGAGAAUGAAUUGCACACUUUUCCAUUGAUUGUAAGACUUUAUAUACAACAAUAUACAUAACAACUUUGCCUAUUUUAAAGAGAUAAGAUAACAAAAAGAUAUACUUUACAUUUGAAUUAGUUUGAAUGAGUAAACUAGAUAGGUCUCAUAUUCUAAGAGGAGAAUAUGCUGACAUACAAUUCAUGAUUUUGAAUUAUCCUCGUCCACUUUUUUCACCCCACUCAUUACACAAUAAUUAUCAUCAAGCCCACAAGUUUGCAAUAAUUAUUUGAAUUGGACCAUUAGCCUACGUUUUGGCCUCGGGAUGCUCCACUCCAGCCUUUAUUUGUAAAUAUUAUUUUCCUCUUAAUGAAGUUACUACUCAAAAAGGCAAAAAAAAAAAGGUAACUUUUUUAUGAUCAUCUUCCUCCCUUGCAUGAUUAUUUUGUUUCAAUUUAAAAUUUAUUAAAAAAAGCGUAGUUAAAUUUUGGUUUAAAAAGGACGUUGAUGAUGAUACAUCGGUGCCAAAAGCCAUCAAAGAAAGAAAAUUAAAAAAUCCCCAUUGGUUGUGGGUGGACAGAGUUUUAAGCGUAAGAGAUUGUUUGUGUUUCAAAUGUGAGUUUAAUUAGAUAUACAUUUGUCGUUUCAUCUAAUUUUAAUGAAAGUUAAAGUUAUAAAAUACCUAAGGAGUUUUAAAAGAUAUUUAAAGUGGUGCUAAUAGUCCAACUGUGUUCGUUUUUCAUGCAGAUGAAUACUCAAAUAGGCCAUGCAUCAAGAAAAAUAAAUGCAAGAGGCAAUAGCUGAUAUUGCCAAAAGAAUCGAGAGCUUUCUAAAAUGCAGAAAAUGUGACGGAUAGUGAGUAGGAAUUUGGUGGGUGGACAGAUGUAUAUUUGUGGCAGGAUAAGAAUAAAAAAGAAAGGUUUAAGCUUUAGAGGAUAUAGAAGGAGUUUGAUUUGUGCCUUCUUGGACCGACCAAUGAUUCCAUUUUUCGUUUUGUUUUGUCAUGCAAAAAUUAUUUUCGACAAAGCUGAAAGCCAGGAGACAUGGAUAGGGGAGCGACGAAGAAAUCGUACGACUCUUCUCAUCAGCAAAUUAUCGGAUGAAACAGUUAGACAGUCAGGUGCUCGUGGGACCCACUUUUGGACUCUUUGAUUUUCGUCUUUUUUUCCCACUUUGUCUUUUUGCGAUUUUUUUUUUUUACCACUAGCACUAGGUAGCGUGUGUUUAUUUAUUUUUUAUUUUAAAUUUAUAAAUGUAAAAUAUUAAUUUAUAAAGCUGAGUCGGUGUGUACGUAUAGAAAACAGCCAACCUGACAACUGGUAAGUUAAAUGGGUCUGCAUUUGGCUGUUAAUAAUUUGUUCGUUGCUCCUGCAACAGGCCAAUUCUCAAUAUUCAUAUAAAAUUUUAAUGGCUAUUACUGAAUGAGUGUGUAGGGUACUGGAUAAAAAUGAAAAAACGGAAUAAAUUUGACACAACAUUUUAUUUAAUAUACCCUUCUUCAUAUCAUAACUAAUUAAACAGCCUCUACUUUCUUGAAAAAUCAUAAAUAUUUAAAGUAAAAAGACAAAAAUAAACAAAUAUAGAAAUAUGGUCCGCACCAUAAGUACACGGUAUCUAUCAUCGGUUUGCCCCCAGAAGUAGAAAAGUGCUUUUCAAGUCUCCUCUGUAAUAAAGCCACAAAUAGCAGCUAACUAAAAGCUAACUGACGUUGUCACAUUGACGAUAGAGACCAAACACUUUCCAAACUCGGGAAAAAAAAAAAAAAGAAAGACAUCGAUUUCACUUUAUUAAAUAUAAUAAGGCAGCUGUUACUUUGGAAGUGUUACAAUUGUUUCAGAUUUAGGUACAGACAUCCAACGAUUUUGGACUACUCUACCAUAGAAUUGUUUUAAGAUAGCUGAACUCAUAUAAUUGAUGUAAUUACAAUUAUUAGAUUUAAUAUUAUGAUUGAUACAUAUAUAUUAAAACAAAAUGUAAACAUAAAUAUAAAAAGAACAAUUAAGAUAAAAUAAGCUUCUUUAAACAUCACGAUGAGACUUGAGAAGCAACUAUUGUUUGUUGUGUUAAUUUAUCUGCGAGCCGCACGUAUUCAUUUACCAAAGAAAUCGUAAUUAAUUACCAGAACUAAAGCUUUAUUGAAGAAGAAGAAGAAGUAAUUUAUAUGUUAAUAUUCUUUUCAACUUUAGUACUGCGUGUUGAUGGGAGACAAAAGUCAAAAAUUGUGAACAGAAAGAGACAUACGAAUCUCAGAAAUAUAAAAAAAAAAGUUGAUAUGCCCAAAGAGUAAGUAUGUAUGUAUAAAAUAAGUAUGUAUGAAGUCCAAAGAAUAAGGAACCUGCAAGUUAAAAAAAGUUGAUAUGCCCUUGUUCUUUCUGAAAGUGUUUUUUGAAGCAAAAGCUAAAGAUAAAGACUAUAGGUCAUUGUAAUAACUAGUUGGCAAUGGAAAGAUAUAAAACUCUCAUAAUUCUACACGUUGUUACUUUAGCAGGUAUAUGGAUAUGAUAUCAAGUUAUGACCACAACUUCCAGGUUGUUCUCAUCAUCAUCAGUUGAGCUUGGCCGCAGGUUUUGGCUGUGGUUCCUUUCUGCUUCAAGUAUUGUUGCUGAUUAUGCGAGCUGUUGAGCAUGGCUUUAGAUUCAAUUUCAGCAAAUGUAAUUGCUCCUUUUAAGGUGAUGUAAUUGGUGUGGGGAGAGGAUUUAAUUCGAAGGAUUUACGGUUGUGGAAAAAAAGAAAUUUUCUUUAUGUUAACUUGCAACAAUAUGUAUGUAAUUUUUUACGAUAUUAGCAAUAUUUAAUAACAGAAUAGUUGAAAUAUUUUUAAAUUGUGUUAUUUUCAAAUUAUGAGACAAAGAAAAUAAUUUUGACCAAAAGAUAUACUAACCAUACACUAAAAAUGCAUGAACGAAUGAUACAUGAAUAUUUCAAUAAAAGAAAUGUAUGUAACAAAUUUGGAACAACUCAGGAGAUACAACUCUCUUCUAAUUGUCCUUCACCUUUAAAUUUAUUCCACUGGUACAUGGAUAGACUAGUGUUGGAAAAGGAACAUGCCAAAACUAAAUUCCAAUUACAUUUUUUUUUCCCUAUCAUUAAGUUUCUAUAGUUAAAUUUAAUUAUAGAGACUAAGUGAUAAUGUUAUUGAGCGAACCAUAUUCUAUAUAAAUAUGCUUUCGAUGACUAAAAAAUACCGACAUUCACAUUAAUCUCUGAGGGCCCAGCUUUAAGAAGAAAUCGAUUAGUGUGGAAGUAUGAGACGUGAAGGAAUCAAACGUAUUUAAAACUAAAACAUAUAAAGGGACACGUCAUGAAUCAUCUUGAGGCAGCAAACCAUCCAGAUUUUCGUUCAUCCACUACCACCCGAGCAAAAACGCAAACGGUAGGUGAUUUACUUUUAUUGCUCUUUCACUACCACAUGACUUAUUUGCAUCUCAGCACAGAUGCUUAACUUGCAUUAUCCAAGCCAUUCUCUGAUUCUCUCAAUUUUCUUUAUGCUUUUAGUCAGCAAUUUACCCCUUACUUACUAAGUUUUUUUUUUUUUUCUUAAUUUGGAAUUUAAUAAAGAAAUAAUUUUGAAAACUACUUUAUUUGCAACAGAAGUCCAAAGGGAUCGGUGACACAAAAUGUGUACUAUUUUCACACGUAGGAGAGAGCCAAGUAACAUAGAAAAGAGCUAUAACAUCAAAUGUUCCCAAAACCUCAUUAACUUUCUUUCCUUGCCCAGAAGCAAAAACAUUAUUCUCCGUUAACAAACAGCUACAAGAACUUGGAACAUUCCAAGACAUUACUCUCCAGUUCCUCAUCUUUUUAUUAUUCAUGGUAACAUUGCACUAUAAAUGAGAUAAAUGCAUUUAUCCGCACCCAUAUUAAUGGAGGAGACAAAUUAAAAUUUCCCAUGCAUAAUAAACCAAUUACCCACAGGUACAAUUAAAGUUUCAAAUAGACAUAUUUAUGAAAAUGCCUAGAGCCUACCAAACUUCUUAGUUAAUCUGCUCACAAUAGAACAUUUGACAACCACUUUUUGAUAAAUUGGGUUAUUAAUCGCCUUUGUGUUCUUUGAAACCUCAUUCUUGGAUUUGGUUGCUGAGUUUUCAAUUAUUAAUUGAACUCUAGUCAUUGAUACAUAUGAAUGCUUAUGGUACCGUCAGAUGGAAUCUGUCAUAGACUGAUGAAUUAUUACAUGUUUCUUUUACUAGCUAAUUGAUUUUUUAAACAUAUAUUUAUGAAUUUUCUAACACUAUGGGAGAAGAGUAUCACCAAAACACUCUUUAGAUUUUACUUUUUAAAUAUCUAUUUACUUACCUAUGCGGUAAAUCGAAAAGUGAAAAAAUAAACUCUCUCCUAAAAAACACUUCAAAUAAGACAAGAUAAUAUUAUUUUAAUUAAAUCUUUUUCUUUACCAAAUUUAAUUACUCUUCAUUUUAUCACUCCAACUAUUUUAGUCAAAUCUUUGAUGUUAAGUAAUUUUAUGUUGAUUUUAAAUGUCAUUGUCAUUGUUGUUGUUAUAUUUUAAAUAUGUUUAUCUUUUAAUAAUUCUGUUGAUAUGCCCUUAAUAUGUUUUUAGAUUUUAUGUUGAUUUCACACUCCUGUAAGGUCCAUUUUGAAAAUUUUUUACUACGUUUGUGACCACUAUUAUUAGGUUGAAUAUGUCAUUUUUUUAAUCUUAAAUUUUAAAACUAAACUCAAAAUCUGAAUGCACAAAGCUGGUGGAUUUGGUGCAUAUAAAAAAUUAGUUUUUCAAUCUUUUGGCGGUGUUUUAUUCUUAUAGAUAAAAUAUGAAAUCCUACAUGUAUAUUGGUCAAUUUGGCUUUAGUUACAUGACAUAAUUUUUUUUUUUUUUAUAUGGAGUUUAACUAAGAAGAAAGAAUCUAUUUGCGAAUAUUCAAAUGCCACGUGCUGGUUCAUUGGUCCAUUUAGCUUUAGUUCAUCGUCCGUGGGUAGGUGACAUACUUGUUACUUACCUGCAUUGUCAUUGUUGUUGUUAUAUUUUAAAUAUGUUUAUCUUUUAAUAAUUCUGUUGAUAUGCCCUUAAUAUGUUUUUAGAUUUUAUGUUGAUUUCACACUCCUGUAAGGUCCAUUUUGAAAAAUUUUUACUACGUUUGUGACCACUAUUAUUAGGUUGAAUAUGUCAUUUUUUUAAUCUUAAAUUUUAAAACUAAACUCAAAAUCUGAAUGCACAAAGCUAGUGGAUUUGGUGCAUAUAGAAAAUUAGUUUUUCGAUCUUUUGGCUGUGUUUUAUUCUUAUAGAUAAAAUAUGAAAUCCUACAUGUAUAUUGGUCAAUUUGGCUUUAGUUACAUGACAUAAUUUUUUUUUUAUAUGGAGUUUAACUAAGAAGAAAGAAUCUAUUUGCGAAUAUUCAAAUGCCACGUGCUGGUUCAUUGGUCCAUUUAGCUUUAGUUCAUCGUUCGUGAGUAUCACCAAAACACUCUUUAGAUUUUACUUUUUAAAUAUCUAUUUACUUACCUAUGCGGUGAAUCGAAAAGUGAAAAAAUAAACUCUCCCCUAAAAAACACUUCAAAUAAGACAAGAUAAUAUUAUUUUAAUUAAAUCUUUUUCUUUACCUAAUUUAAUUACUCUUCAUUUUAUCACUCCAACUAUUUUAGUCAAAUCUUUGCUAAGUAAUUUUAUGUUGAUUUUAAAUGUCGUUGUCAUUGUUGUUGUUAUAUUUUAAAUAUGUUUAUCUUUUAGUAAUUCUGUUGAUAUGCCAUUAAUAUGUUUUUAGAUUUUAUGUUGGUUUCACACUUCUGUAAGGUCCAUUUUGAAAAUUUUUUACUACGUUUGUGACCAUUAUUAUUAGGUUGAAUAUGUCAUUUUUUUAAUCUUAAAUUUUAAAAAUAAACGCAAAAUCUGAAUGCACAAAGCUAGUGGAUUUGGCGCAUAUAGAAAUUAGUUUUUCGAUCUUUUGGCUGUGUUUUAUUCUUAUAGAUAAAAUAUCAAAUCCUACAUGUAUAUUGGUCUGUUUGCGAAUAUUCAAAUGCCACGUGCUGGUUCAUUGGUCCAUUUGGUAAUUGGAUGCAUGGAAAAAAAUUGGUACGAUUUAGCGAUUUGGAAAUCAGUGCUUUACUUUUGAAGACAUCAAAGUCUCAUGAUUGAUUAGCGUAUCUGCUAUUAAUUUUUUAAGACUCAUUAUUGGUUAUUUUAUUUUAUUUGAUAUUAUUUAAUUUUGUAAAAGAAUAAUAUGAUAAUAAGCAAAUGACUGAAUAAAAUUAAAUAAUUUCUUUUAAGGCUCACUACUGAUUAAACAAUAUAAAUUUGAAAUAAUAUGAGUUUAUGUGUUUAAGAUUUUAACUCGUUAAUUUUUUUGAGUUUUCAAUAAAUACUAGAGAGUAUAAUGUUAAUAAUUGAUUAGAUAAAUCUUUAUCAUUGAAACUAUUUUUCAUUAAAUUCAACAGUAAAUGCCUGAAAUAAUUAAAAAAAAAUUGGUGGUAACUAGAUCCGAGCAUAUGAAUAGAAAGCAGCCAAUCUGGCCGAGAAGUAAAGUGGGUCUGGAUUUGGCUAUUAAUAAUUUGCUCAUUACUCUUGCCAUAAGCCAAUUCUCAAUAUUUAUAUAAAAUUUUAAUGGCUGCUAGUGAGUGUAAGGUACUGGAGUCUGGAUAUAUAAAAAUGAAAAACCGAAUAAAUCUAACACAAAAUUUUAUUUAAUAUACCGCUUUCCAUAUCAUAACUAAUUAAACCACCGCUACGUUUUUGGAAAAUCAUAAAUAUUACAAUGGAAAAGACAAGAAUAAACAAAUCUAGAAAAAAGCACAAGAAGCACUACGCAUCCAAACAUUGGUUUGCUCCCAGAAUCAGGGAAGUGCUUUUCAAGUCUUUUCUUUAAUGAAGCCGACAAUAGUUAGCAGCUAAAGGACAAAGAUACCGUGCAGAAUCAAACACUGUUCAAACAAAAAAGUCUUGGAUUCCACUUUAUAAUUAGUAAUUACAAUUGUUACAUGCAAAAUGGUUGGUGCAGAGAAAAAAAAAGAGAGAAAGAUGACAUCUUUUAAAAAAUGCGGGGAAAGUCAUAAUGGUGCUUCCUUAAUCGUUUAUUUUAUUUUAUUUUUUUAUUUUUGGCUCGAAUAUGCGCAUUACCUUGUUUAGCAGGCGGUUUUAUGUGAAUCUGUGAUACUGCCAAGAAUCUUUGUAGUUCCCAAUCCCAAUAUCUUAACCACAUCCAUCAGGAACCUUUUUGAUUUGAGAUUUUUUAUUUCCCCCAAUAUUAAAUCUUUUAAUCUUUCAUUGUGUGCUCGAAAUCUUAUAUAUAUAUAUAUAUAUAUAUAUAUAUAUAUAUGAUUGUCCAGCUUGCGUGGUUUAUGAUUGUCCAGUAGUUGAGAAUGGGUGUCAGCAAAAUACACACAAGGAAUUACGAUUUCACUUUUAAAAUUUAUAAAUCUAAAACAACACUACGCCGUACGAUAAAUAAAGUGAAUUGAUUAAAAUAAAAUCUUAUUGGCCAAUUCCUUUGUUGCCUGUCUGGACCCAUUCACCACACCUCCGAAGAUAUAAAAGAUGGUGCCACGUCAGCCCCUUACACUGACGUGGAAUAACGGCAUUCCUCGACCAACGUGCAAAAUUGAAGCUUAAUUAAUGACUGAUGCCACGUCAUGGCGCUUCGUGGGGUCGAGACCCCCUUGAUAAACGAGAUUUUCUACAUCUUCGAGUCAGUGCUUCUUGAUUAGUUAAUGUUCAUUCUUGCCAUAUAUGCAAACGGGGACAAUUAGUUAAUGUUCAUUCUUGCCAUCCAUUUUUGACUCUUGUUUGCAAGCCCAUAUCUUCCACAGUAAGUUCACUUCGGUGGAUUGUGAAUACUUCGCCGCUAAUUAAGCGUACUAAGCAUCAACAUACUUUUUUCGAAAUUAAUGAAUGAUAGAGACCUAGUGGGACGAGGGAUAUUAUAACAACACGUGUUCCGAUAAUCCUCGUGGGAAUUACUUUUGACAAUUGAUGAACUAUAGAUGGUCGGUUUAUGUAUGCUGCUGUUUUCAGUCGUGCCAUUAUCGACACGGCGAAGCUUAUCUUACAUAAGUUAUACGUUACAGUUAUAAAUUUUUGAAUUCUUAGAAAAGUUAAUAAUUAUGAAAAAGUUAAUAAGUUUUAAAGUUUUAUUAUAAAUCCCAAACUACAACCAAGCUGCACUGCAAUUGUACUUCAAUUUUUUUUUUAAGUUUUUCAUUUAUAUUUAUAGCAAAUUCAGUGCCAAGUUUUUAUUCUAUCUAAUUGAAUCUCUAACUUGUUUAAUAUUAUAUUUAUUGAGUUUUUAUUCAUUAUAUUAAUGAUUUCUUACUUUAAUAUAUCAUGAUCUUCAAUGUUGAAGUCUUUUUUAAUUGUUUAACUUUAUUUAAAUUUUUACUCAUUUGAUCUCCUAUCUUUUUAAUUUGUUUUAUAUUUUCUUUAUUAAAAUUAUUAAUUUCUAACAUUUCAUUUGCUUUUUCUAUAUCAUUUAUAAAUAAAUUUGGGUUUCCUAAUUUAUUUAAUAAAUAUAGCGAAAUUCAAUUUAAUUGAUUAUUUUCCCACAUGUCUGAAUCAUUAAUCAGAUCAGAGGAUUAAAAUAUUUCAUAAGAAAAUCCUCUUUGUAUAUAGCUAGAAUGUGGUAUCAUUUGCUUUUUCUAUUUCAUUUAUAAAUAAAUUUGGAUUUCUUAAUUUAUUUAUAAAUAUAGUAAAAUUCAAUUUAAUUGAUUAUUUUCCCACAUGUCUGAAUUAUUAAUCGGAUCAAAUGAUUAAUUUUUUUCAUAAGAAAAUCCUCUUUGUAUAUAAUUAGAAUGUGGUAACUUAUUAGUUUAUAUAUUUUGUAAAAUUAUUAGAGGUUCUAGUGAUUUAUUCAUUGUAACAUCUUUCUAGUAAUUUAUUAGAGUCAUAAUAUAUUUAUGACAUUUAAUCUCUCUUAUAAUUCAAGAUGCUAAAUUUAGAUUUUAUAUAUAUAUAUAUAUAUAAAAGAAAAAAAUAUAGAUUCCUAGGAGAGAUAAGAAAUUAUAAAUGCAUGUGCAAAUAUAUAUUCAGAAUUUAUAAACCUUUAUGAAUAUGAUAAUUAUUUAUAUCUUUAUAAAAAUAUAGUAAAAACUUUUAAAAAUUUUAAGAAUAAAUGUAGAAGAGAUGGUUAACAAAAUUAUUUAGUUAUACAAAAUUAUUUAGUUAUACAAAAUUAAUGAGGACUUAUUUGAAAAAAUAAGUAAAUAUGUGAUUCAAAACAAAAUUUUUUGUAAAAAACUAUUACACCCAUACCUCGUUUUAGGUUAAAAUUAUUUUCAUCCAUUAGAUUAAGAAAUCUAACCACCCAUAUGCAUUGGCUGUUUGUUACAGCCAAUAUAACAUAAGCCUUGGUUUAUUUUCAAAUUACGAGAGGAAAAGGAAAAAUUGUGCAGAAAAGUAAUGAAUAGCAUACCUUCCACAAAAUAGACGCGUGUAUCAAAAUAUUGAAGAGCUUUUGAAGUCCUUUUCAUGAUUAAUUUGGCAAAAGCCCUUGUCAUCAAGUUUAACUUUGCUUUAAUUUGGCUACUGACUACAUAUUACUUUCCAAUUUCUUCUUAGAAAACGUUGGUUUCUUAAGAGAUUAACAAAUGAAAAUUAAAAUAUGGAUGGAUAAUAGAGGCUUCUUGGCUCGUUCCCGAAAAAAAAGGGAAUGCUGUGCUUGGUUCAAGAAACAGGCUUCUAUCUGAAAGGGAUAAAAGAAGAGAUGAAUUGUAAAUAAAUUCAAGCUUGCAAAAUAAAAGAGUAGUCUAGAGCUUCCAAUCAUGCACAACUUAUUCUAACACUGAACAGAAAAAUGAUUUGAAGUGGAGUCUUCGAAGGCAACAGCUUGUUUUCAAUUUUAUAAAUUAUAUACUCUCAAAAUAAAUUUGAUACAAAAACAGGUUGCUUUUAUUACAAUUAAGUGAAUGGAGCAACAUUCAAAAAAAAAAAAAGUGAAUGGAGCAGAUUAUUUUGUCCUUCAAGAAAGUUUAAUCAAGAAUAAAUAAGCUAAUGGCCCUUUGGCCCAGCGGUGAAUCCUUACUUCCAGAGUUAAGAAAGAUUGUGAGGGUAGGGGUUCGAGUCUCCUGAACUCAAAACUCUCUCAAUUUAGCAUUAUAAAUGAUUGUGGGGUUUAUUUGUAAGUUUUUCUCCUUUGCAAAAUGCGAGUGCAAUAUAGAUAUCAUUUCUUUGCGAGGGUUACUUGUCAGUAAUCUGAUGUGUAAUCAGUAUUUAAAAAAAUCAACAACGGUUUGUAAGUCUUUUUUUUUUACGAAAUACGAGUAGAGUAAAGACAUUCCUCCUCUGUGAGGAUUAUUUAUCUGAAUUUUAAUAUGAUGUGAAAUCAGUAUUAAAAAACAUCAAGAAUAAAUAAUAUUCUAGUUUCAACAACGGGUCACUUUCAGAGGGACCGAACUGCACCGCUCAUUACAAAAUUCAAACCAGACGUCACCAUUUCACACAAACUUGUGCAAAUCAGUGCUUUCACUUUUGAAGACAUUAAUUAGCAUUACAUCACAGGUUCACCAAUGUUCUUACAUAAACAAGUGAGUCCAAAAGUUCUUACCCCUCAGUCAUUGCAAAUGCAAGAUGAUCAAAAACAAAAAUGUGCGAGUUUUACACACUUUAGUAAACCCAAAAGAAGAGGAAAUUUGGAUAAUGAGGAGCACUUGUAGGUAGACAAGAAAGAUAAUUUAUCAAGCACCAGUUCAUCAGAUAAGCUUCAGAAUGUCUCAACUCAGGAUAUGAACUGAAAUUGUUUACCUACCUACAGUUGUUUAAAAAGAUGGACACUGAUUUACCAUCAAGAGAAACAUAUCAACUAUACAUAUAUAAUUGCAAUACAAGCGCAUCCGAUUAUCAACAAAAUCACAUUGUUUGCUGAGAACACAUGUAAUAGACUCACUCAAACACCCAGCACACGCUGCACUCGACUAAUGCCCCUUUUAAGAGUAAUGAAGGGGGUUGAACUUAGAUGCGGAGGAGUCGAAGUGAACAGCUUGUUUUCAAUUGGAUUCACUGGCAUUGGGCUGGCAAAGACAGUAGGUUCCUGCAUAAAAGAACAAUGCAAGUUAGUGAAAAAAUCAGUUUAAAAAUUUGAAUUUACCAAGUAAAAGCAGCAUACACUUCAACCUGCACAUCAGUUGUAAUUCUCCUUUGAAGCCAAUGCCAUUACAGGUUCCACCAUGGGGACACUGCUAACAGUUUUCAAUUGACAAGCAAGAGGAUCAAUGUUUUCAGCAUUCCUUUUUGCUGGUACUGGUGUUCUCGUGUGCUGAGAAAGCUCCCUGUUGUUUCCACAAAGAGUAAAUAUGUUCUGAAUUCUUAACCUUCUGGAGGACUCUGUGUCUUCAGGUUUCUGAGGGGAAGAUGCCAAUAAGCCUGUAGUGAGAUUGAGACUGGGAAUAUUUCCAUCAGCUAACCCACUUGAACAGACCCUUUUCUCCUCUAUUAUAACCUUCUCUACCUCAUCUUCAGCACUUUCUUUAUGAUCGUCCUCCUUGUCUUAUAACACCAAACCUUCGUCCUGCUAACAAAUUGACCCUUGUUACAAAACACAAGAACGUACGAUAUCAAUAUCAUUAAAUUAAACAAUAAGCACCAUAAGUGCCAAAUUUUGUAGCUACGCUGUUACCGAUCAUGCAAAUCAAAAUGGAAAUUACCAAAGAAUGUAUUCAGAACAAGCUGAAUCCCUCACAAAACGCCAUAUAUUCACCAUUUAACCAUGACCAACUUUUUCGUUUGAGGCAAAGGAAAAAAAGAGACAGAAAGUUAAAAGGAUAAAAAUUGAAAGCCGAGGGCAGUAAUUUGGAAGACGACAGCAUUUUUUAUCUCUUUUUCCCGGCCAUUGGAGAAUUGAAAUCCCCGUUAAUAAUAAAAAAAGUAAAAAUAGAAAUACAAUUUAAAAAAAAAAAAGCAAUCUCCAUGUAACAAACGAUGAUGUCACGAGCUCGCAACACUUGUUAUAGUACCUAUGGUCUCACACUCUUACUAGGCCAAUAUCCUUUUAUUAGUUUGUUUUUCUUCUUAUACAAUCAAUACAAACAUCAAAAUCUAUAAAAUUUAAGGGUUCAAAAUUUCGUCUAACACAAAUUUCUUUAUUUUUUUUUUAGGAUAUGAUCUAAUCUCUUGUGUUAUAAUACAACCGAAUUUACAUUACUGUUGAAAUUAAUUAAAUAAAGCAAUUAUAUUGAUCAAAUAAAAAUUCUCAUAACCAAACAAAGAACCAAAACCAACCAAUUCUGAAUUAUAAAACAAACUAAAUUUUUCAUUCCUCAAUGAAAAAGAAAAAUUAGAUUUGUCCAAAGCAGAAUUGGAAAUAAAAUUCCGCCUAAAAGACAUAUUUCAUCAAGAUCCAUAUAAAAUUCAGUCUUUAAUAAUAACAUAAGUUUUUUAUUACUUCAACUUCAACCGCUUUGCCAUCUAUCAUAAAUGUAUAUUUCACAAUCACUUGGCUUUCGGCAACUUAAGCAACACACUGAUGUGAACUCCCAGUUGAAUUUGCAAGCUUGGGUUCGAGUCCCAGUCCCACAGGUCGUGAAAGUACGCAAUUACCCUAAUCAGCUGAAGUAUCAAAACCUGUUUGUAUAAGCCUGCAAAUUACAAGUUAAUCAUCAGCAAAGAAGGGGGCUGAAGCGAGAAACAACAUAUCAUUUACUAAUUAUAAACCAUGUAAAAUUAACGUAUUUUGCCAGUCACAAAACCCUUUUUCUUUAGAGAUAAUCUCCCCAUAGCAACUAUAAAUAAGGGCACAAAAAUGACCACAAAGUACAACAGUCCCCUCUUUUUUCUCCAAACAAAUACAACCAUUUCAGUUCACAUAGAACCAUUCAAGUUCCAAGUUUCAACCAAUGAAACAAUCAUAGUAUUCUUAUAAAAAUAAAAAAUGAAGUAACCAUAGAAUAAAAUAAUUAUACACUAAUUCAAAUAUUGCUUCAGAAUUUACGAUUUAUGCCAGACUCAGUAGCUCAAACCUAUGGAAUUGGAAUGAUGCAUUUAUUUAACCCAAAAGGUAAAUACCAAGCUUAAGGUUCUCACAUACUGAAAUGAUCAAAUUUCAUUCAUUCUGAACAUGGGAUGCAACUUGAACUAUUUCAAGUUAUUCCAAGAGAGAGCAUUAAAAGAAAUUUUUUCAUCCUACGUGCUAUAAGUAGCAUACUUCAGCUAGUAUUAUGCAUCAUCGGCUAAAUCAUUUGGAUUAUUAACAUUGAUAUUUUUUAUUAGCUGAAUUAAUAACUGUCGCACCCCUAACUUAAGGGCACUUGUAAUAAGAAAAUUUUAUCUACAUCAGGUGCAAGUAUACGCAUUUAACAAUUAAGCUGUGACUGUUUGGUUACAAGAACAAACAUAUACUAGUAGAGAUGAAUAAAACCCAGCAACAAACAUAUACUAGUAGAGAUGAAUAAAACCCAGCACUUCAAGAAAAAUUUGACAAUAUCUCCCCUAAAAUAUGGAUAUUAUCCAAUAUAUGAUAUAUCAAACCAACAAUUUUAAUACCCAGCUGCUUAAAGCUUCAAAAUAUCAGUCAAUGCAACAUUUGGGGUCUCCGGGACCCUAUCACUACAACACUAACAGAUAUAAGUGCAUCCUACUGAUGUUGCGUAGUCAUUCUAAAUACAUGUAUUAAAAAGUAUAAUAUCUGCAACAAGGUAGCUUACAAAGUUUACUAGGCCAGCAAUGCCGAAGUACAACCAGAACAAUAACAAAAAUAUAAAAAGAUAUAUAUAUUUCUUAAAACCUUUUAAGUUUGAAAGUUUUGGUAUUCAACAGAAACAUCAUAAGACAAGAUCAUAACAACAUACACACUUACCAAUAUAGGGUUGCCCAUACUUUCUGAAGUUACGUGUAAAGAAAUCCUAUAAUUACUCUUUCAAUAAUACAAAAUAAAAACAUGCCUGACAAGUCAGUAAGCUGUAAUCCCGAGCAAACAUUUUCACCCAAUAUUAAUUUUAAAAAGAAAUACCCAACGUACUUUUGGUGCACUAUCCCCAGGGGCCACCGCCAAUGAUUUCUUUUGCAGACUUUAGAAAUCUGAACAAUGUCAAUUCAGCAUAGCGUACUUUUGGGGCAUUAUUCCCAAGGGCCCUCGCCCAUAAUUUCCUUUGCGAGCUUCACUGCGGGACAGGAGUCUGACCAUGACCAAUCAACCUUCUCAAACCUCAUUUUGAAUGAAAGGAAUAAAAAUUAUUAACUCAUUCAAUAGCAUCAAUGUAAGUUUCCUUACAAUAACACACCACAUCCAUGAUAUUUCUCAAUAAUAAUAGCCAUAGAUAACAGAAUCUCAGCACAUCCCCAGUUUAACACCACAUCCACAAACUUAAAUGCAAUCAAAGCACCAUAUCAUUGCAGGAUACAUAAACACAAUUCAGCACCACUACAUAUUCCAAACUUGGCUCAUAUCGCCGUAAAGUUCAAUUCUCAUUCACGACUGCAUCAACCGAAAUUAACUGAUUCAAGUAAUUUCAAUACAUGGUCUUCAAUUAAAACUCGCAAUCCUGUGAUAAUUCUAGCAUGUCAAUUUUUUAUUUUAGCCAUGUAGUCAUGUAAUUAAAUGGCUAACCACACACCCACUGCAUUAAUUCUUAAAGGAAGCAAUUAAGCCAUUAACACAUUAAAUCUACGGAAAACAACUUAUAAGGACCCAAAAUAAAAAUUCAGAUUAUCAAGCAAGAAAAACAACCUGAUUUUUCAGUUUUGAGUAACAAAAUCACUCAAUUGCAUAUAACCACAUACCUUAAAUCCUGCACCAACAGCUCCUAGCUCUCCAAACACUUCGCUAACUCCACUUCCUACUGGUAAUACUGCAACAAAAACUAACCAACUAUUCUGCCAAUAAUUUAAGGAUCCCAAAUUCAACACAAUCCUAAACUUGCUGAAAGUUACAGCAGCAACAAGGAAACAAUUAAGAAAAUUAAGUGAAAAAAAAAAUUCAUCAAUAAAAGUAAGAAGAUUUCAAAAUUGAACCAUGCAUGCACAGAAACUUACCCAAACCAGGUCUAAAGAAUAAGAGCUAUGAGAAAAUCCACCCAAAACCAUGUUGGUUUCCCAGAAAUUUCAUGUUGGCCGUUGUUCUUAGCUCCCUUAAAUGCACGCGCAGGGGGGGGGGAUUUUCAACUGCGAACUAAAUUUAUUUAAUCAUACAUGUUCUCAGAAUGAAUAAUGUUGUUGUUGGGAAAAUAUGCUCUUUUGAAAGCAUAUGUGUUUAUUUAAUUGUAAUAAAUAUUUUUUUAUUAAUAAAAUUAAUGAGGUAUUUUAUUCAAAUAUCUUAAUUGCAUUAAUAUUUUUAUUAAAGUCCAUUUAAUCAUAUUAUAUGUAUUUAUGUGAUCACCAUGUGGAUUCACAGAAGACAUAAAUACAAGUUAUCUUAUGAUUAAAUAAAUUUAGUUCGCAGUUGAUAAAUAAAGUUGGACACUUUAUUUAGGUAUAGACUGUAAUAAAUUCAUUGAAUGAUUUGUCUUAAUCAUGUAUGAAUUUAUUGAUGUAAUACGACUACAUUGAACAGGAUCACAUAUGAGAUUUAAUUAAUUUUGUAAUAACUGUCAAAUUUAUUAAAUCUCAUAGGCAUUGAUUUUACUGUAAUAUUAAUCUUGAGUUAAUUAUGAUUUCAUGAUUGUAAUUGUUAUUCCAUUUGAGUUACCAAUGGGCACGACACAUACUUGUAGUUUAGAUUACCUGGUAUCUUGGUGGAAGCAUUUAUGAGUAUUGGAGUUAUAGAUUAACAAUAUAGAAUUUGUACAACACAUCUCUUGAUGGGUUUUCGACACUUGAUCAUAGAAUUCUCUGGCCAGAGUGUGUCAACAUAUUUAGUAUGUUGAAAAUGAUCAUUAGAGAAAACCAAUAAGUAUCAAUGAACAAGAUGUAAUUAAAUUAAUUGGACAGUUGAGAUAUCGAUUUAAUUAAUGAUGUAGUACAAGGGAUUGUGCAGUAAAGAAAUCAAUGUGGCGUGGGACGAGUUAUUAUUCGAGCAUACAAUUAUGGAGGUCAAUUCCAAUCUUUUAGUGGGGUAGAUUUGAAAUUAAAUAAUUAGGCUAAUUUAAUUACAAGCCUAAUUGUUAUAGUCACUAUUGUAUGUUCCCAAAUGAUCCCCGGGUUAGCUCAUUUAAUUGACUGCACCACUACUGGACUAAUAAGUAAGAUAACUAGCUAUUUGGGUCAAAAGCUUAAAUAUAUCUUUUAGUGGGAGGCUCCAUUUAAUUAGCUUGUGUGUAAGGGGCCUUAUGUUAUUUUACAAGGUGGGUCCCCUAUAGAAAAAGUAAGUAACGUGAGUUUUGUUUUUUGAUUAUUUUGAAGCCUAGGAUUUUCACUAAAGGGAGAUCUAAAAAGCUUAUUUUCCCUAAAGAAAUAGAGAGCAGCCACUUUAUACAGAUCAAAGAAAAAGAUUUUUCUCUCUAUUGUUGAGAGAAAAAUUUUCUCUCUAUUGUUGAGAGAAAAAUUUUCUCGUACUAGUUGCUUUGGUAGUGAUAAAGGCGCCCACACGUCAAGUGCAUAUCAAACCUGAGUCAUAACUUGGAAGAUCAUUGGUGACAGUUCGUGAUCUAACAAGCGUGGUGGUGACGGAUCGUGAUCUAACAGGCGUGGUGGUGACGGAUCGUGACCUAGGAGCCUAAAUCACUUCAGCGGAAAAAUCUAAAUCGGAUUUUCAAGGUACGAUUUAUAGAUUACAAAUUCUUAUAUAUUAUAUGAGAGCGAUCUUAGAAAGGUUUUAUAAAAAAUUUAAAAACCCAAUCUUUCCCCAACAGCUGUUACUUCCACUUCUUUAAAUUCUUAGUUAUAAUAAAGCAUGAGUUUUGGUAUAUUUAAUGAGAUAUGGAACGGUAUUUACCUCCGUGUUAUCUUGCAAUUACAAAAUCUCGAAAGCCUCUCGCAAAACCUGAGUCUAGAUGAAUGGACUUCAAACGAAAGGAUUUUCUCACAAAAGCUAAAAAAACAUAAUGGCAUAGUGAAAAUGGGAAAAUGAAAAUAUAAAGCACAAGAAAAAGUUUCCACCUGAUAAAACAAAUACAAAAUUAUCCAAGUUCUUAUUUGUCAUGCCGAUAUUAUAUAUGAAGAACUAAUCUAAUUUCUUUUCUAGAUAAGGUUAGUAACAAUUUAUCUGUAAAUAACUGAACCAACUAGGUUAUUUGGACAUUACUCUUUCUCUUCUACGCUCAUUUUCUGCAUAGUUGCAGUUCAUCAACGGCCACGUUCAUCAAAACGAGUCCACUCUCCCCACUUCACUUAUUUCCCCAACGUUUAGGUCUCUCAAAGUGCAGCAGCAAGACAUGAACUCCUAUCAUUAUAAGCAAUACAAAAAGCCCUCCUAAAAAAUCCACAACCAGUUUGGCUAGAGAAACUCCAUUACUCAUUGCCACACUCUCAAUUUUCACCCCUUUCAUCAAAACACAAGCAUUACUUAACCCAUGUUUAGACAUAAUUUAUUUUUCUGAUAUCACAUCAUUCAGGGGGGAAAACAAUUAACUGACUUCAGCACAUAACAUAAGUUACAACAAACUGUCAAUUCACAUAAACAAGGAAAAAUAACUCAAUAAAGUGAAGUAGGCAAAAAAUGACCUCAAUGAAGUAUCAAAGACCUCUCUAUUUCUAGAUUUGUAACUUUAGUAACUUUAUAUAUAUGUAAAUCAAAACAAAAAACCAAAAAAAAGAAAAAAAGAAAUUGAAAUACUCAAAACAGUCACAUUAUCACAUAAUCUAAACAAAUUCAUAUUCAGAUUCACACGGUUUUGUUUAUUCAUUUAUUAUUUACAUCAUGCACAGUUUAGAGUUUCUCACCUUUACUAAUAUCCACUCUUAUGUUCCCUCUUUGAAGCCUUGAUUGUUGUAAUAUGGAGAAUGAGAAAGUUGUUACUUAAAUCACCUCUUGUGCUUUCUGAGUCAUCAAACCUUUGAACUUUUCCUUGCCAUUUUCUCUCACAAAAUAAUUGCAUGUAAAGCUUUUGUUUUAAAUGAUAUUAAUCAAAAUGAUUAAGUUACCAAGCCCAUUGAAAUUGUUGAUGCGAAAAUAUGCGAUGAGUGGUGUGCAAUCAAUAAUAACUCUUCGAGUUGGAUCGCGGCACACCAAUAAUUAUCUUUUAAAGGAGACGUCUCUUUCACAAAAGCCGAAGCGAUUGAAUGAGGAAUAACUAUUGGUGUGCUAUUAGAUUUUCUAAUUAUAUCUACAGUCAUUUUUUAAUUGGAUUGUCGAGAGGUUAUUGACUUGGCAAACAACAGAAACCACAAGAGGAUUGAAAAUUUUCGGGUGAUAUCAGAUAAUAAAGAAAGAAGAAAAAGUUUUGAGUUAGGUCAAAUUUCAACACGCAAAUAAGUCUUGUAAUGCUAAAUUAGCCUUAAAAGUUUAUGGAUUGCUUACAAUUAAAAUUAAUGUAGUUACGCGUGUACUCUCUAUUUCUUAAUAAAGUAUUUUCCCUUAUCAAAAAAUUAAUUUAAAAAAAUUAACUCUUUGACUAUGAUUAGUCCCUUGUUAUUAGGUUGCUUGGGUCCGUAUAUUAUCUUUAUCCAACCUUCGAUUAAUCAUAUGGGUUUGGGAUAUUUGGGUGAAUUACUUUUAAGUCCCGGUAACUUUUCAAAAUUUCAUUAAUUUAGUAACUAAUUAAAUCAUCUUUAUAAUAAAAGCAAUUUGAUUAUUUUAUCCUUGUAAUAUUAUAUUGUAAAAAAGUCUGAGAUAAUGCUUGAAUUUAUUUUAAAAAAUUAAAAGCAAAAACCCAUCAAUUAAUUAAAGCGAAGAACAUGAUAACGUUAACUUAAAUCAUCAUUCGAUCAUUCAUAUAAAGAUAUAGAAUACUUGUUCUAAAUUAAAAAAUUUGAGUUGCUGCUUCUUUUUUACACUUGGCUUAUCACUCUUAUACAAUUCACGGUUUUGAAUUAUCCUCGUCCACUUUUUUCACCCCCACUCAUUACACCAAUUAUCAUGAAGCCCCCAAGUUUGCCAUAAUUAUUUGAAUUGGACCAUUAGCCUGCGUUUUGGCCGCGGGAUGCUCCACUCCAGUCUUUAUUUGCAAAUUUUCUUUUCCUCUAAAUGAAGUUACUACUUACUACUCAAAAAGGGGGGGAGGGGGGUAAAAAAGGUAACUUUUCGUGAUCAUCUUCCUCCCCUGCAUGAUUAUUUCGUGUCAAUUUAAAAUUUAUUUAAAAAAAAUGUAGUUAAAAUUAUGGUUUAAAAAGGAAAAGGAUGUUGAUGAUGAUACAUGGGUGCCAAAAGCCAUCAAAGAAAGAAAAUUAAAAACAAAAAUAAAAAAAGAAUCCCCAUUGGUUGUGGGUACAUAGAGUUUUAAGCAUAAGAAAUUGUUUGUGUUUUAAAUGUGAGUUUAAUUAGAUAUAUAUUUGUCCUUUCAUCUAAUUUUAAUGAAGGUUAAAGUCAUAAAAUACCUAAGGAAUUUUAAAAGAUAUUUAAAAUAGUGUUAAUAAUCCAGCUCUGUUCGUUUGUCAUUAAGUUAACUUUGGAUAACAGAGUGAUAGGACAAUGAGUCGUAAAUAGGCUAUCAAGAAAAAUAAUUGAAAGAGGCAAUAGCUGAUAUUGCCAAAAGAAUCGAGAGCUUUCCAAAAUGCAGAGAAAACAGUUAAUUUAUAAAUGUAAAAUAUUAAUUUAUAAAGCUGAAUCGGUGUGUACGUAUAGAAAACAGUUAACAUGACAACCGGUAAGUUAAAUGGGUCUGCAUUUGGCUGUUAAUAAUUUGUUUGUUGCUCCUGCAACAGGCCAAUUCUCAAUAUUCAUAUAAAAUUUUAAGAGUAAUAAUAUAUCUACAAAUUCUUGUACAAACUUAUUUUGUACAAACUGAUGUGGCAUGAUAAAAUUGGUUGAAUUAAAUAUCACUUGGCCUACAUGAUUUGUUUUUAUUAUUUUAUAUUUUCAUUCAACCAAUGAAUUAAUGCCACGUAAUUUGUACAAAAUAAAUUUGUACAAUAGUUUGUAACUGUAUUAUUACUCAAAAUUUAAUGGCUAUUACUGAGUGGGUACUGGGUAGGGUACUGGAUAAAAAUGAAAAACAGAAUAAAUUUGACACAACAUUUUAUUUAAUAUACCGUUCUCCAUAUCAUAACUAAUUAAACAGCCGCUACUUUCUUGGAAAAUCAUAAGUAUUAAAGAAAAAGACAAAAGUAAACAAAUAUAGAAAUAUGGAAAGAAAGCUUUCAAGUCUAUUCAUCAAUAAAGCCGAAAAUAGCAUCUAACCAAAAGCUGAUAUUCACAGACACUGACCAUAUUAAACCAACCAUUUCCAAAACGGAAGAAAAAGAUUUAGAUUCCACCUUAUAAAUAUAAUUAAUGUAAUUAAAAUUAUUAAUUCAAAAUGCUAAUCCGACCAUCACCAACCAACAUUCUCAAACCUCAACUUAAAUUAUUAACUCAUCCAAAUAGCAUCAUACGUAAGUUGCCUUACAAUAACACAUCACACCCAUGAUGCUUGUCAAUAACAAUAGCUAUGGAUAACAUAAUCUCAGCACAUCCUCAGUUUAACGACCCGUCAACAAACUUAAACUGCACCAUAUCAUUGCAGGAUACAUAAACACAACUCAGCUAAACUACCCAUUCAAAACUUGGCUCAUGUCACUGUUAAAGUUUAACUCUCAUUCAUGAUUGCAUCAACCCAAAUUAACUAUCAUAACUGAUUCAAGUAAUUGGUCUUCAAUUAAAAAUUGCAAUCCUGUUGAUAAUUCUAGCAUGUCAAUUUUUUAUUUUAGCCAUAUAGCCAUGUAAUUAAAUGGCUAACCACACACCCACUGCGGUAAUUAUUAAAGGAAGCAAUUAAGCCAUUAACACAUUAAAUCUAAGCAAAAUAACUUAUGAGGAAACCCCCCCCCCCCCCCGGCGGGUGGCAAAAAAAAUUCAAAUUAUCAAGCGGGAAAAACAACCUGAUUUUUCAGUUUUGAGUAACAAAAUCACUCAAUUGCAUAUUAUAGCAUUUCUUUUUCCUACUUGCUGCCGUUCUCAGCUCCCUUAAAUGCACAACUACUCUCUGUAAAACCCAAUUGCUCUCUUUCCCUCCAUUUCCUUUUCUUCCUCUUCUCUCUUUUUUAAUUUUUUAUUUUCUUCUGUUACAUGAGUUCCUUUCUCAUCAAUUAGUGUGGAGAAAAACGAAAACAGGAUAAAUUUCGACGCAAAAUUUUAUUAUUAUGCGUAUGUAAGUAGUACAUUAUUGAAUGCGCCUUAAACAACUGCCUUUUUUUCCUGCAAUAAUCACACUAUAUAUAACAAAUAAUACAACAAAAGAAUAGAAGUUUAAGUAGAAAGGCAGCAUCCAGGUUGUCUGCUACUCGGCUUCCAGUUCCACCCAAAAAAUUGCUCAAACAUCUUCGUUCAGGUAACCAAGCACAGACUCUGUUAUUGCCAUAACUAAUUUAUCACAUAACCAUAAUUUCCAGAACACCCUGCGCUUGCUCAAUGGGUUGUUCAACUUGAGGGCGAGCUAGCAGAUUCGCGUUGACAGAGGCGACAAUGAAGACAGUGAGACGUCGAAGCCAGUUGAAGCAGCGCUUAAACAGAGAAGCUAGCGUUGCAUAACAGAGUGAUAAGAUUAUGAGGCAUAAAUAGACUACCAAGAACAGAGACGGAGCCAAAAUGACAGAGGCCACUGCUGAGACGGCCAACAGAGCAGAGAGUUCUCCACAACUCACGCACAUGGGUCGGCUCACAUUGAGAGGGACUCUGAUGGGUGUGAGGAGGAAGAGCAGUAAUGGGAUGACGACGGCAGGAAUCAGGAACCAGAACUGAAGCUUUAAAAUUGGAUACAAAAGUAUCUUACUCGUGCCAUCUUGGACGUCCCAAGAGUUGCCAUCCUGAGACUUGAGGAACAGAAAAAAGAUUAUAAGGUUCAGCAAUGGAAGAACUAGAAACCUCAAAUCGAUUGAAAAAUUCAUGCUUGUGAGUAUAAGACUUGUCAGAGAUGAUUGAGUUUAAUUAUUAUGAAUAAGAUUUGGCAAUGGCAGAGUUAAACACAGGCUGCCUUUUGCUUCCUCUCUCUCUUCUCUCCGCUUUUUUUCUUCUCUCAGCUGUUUUUUAUCUCUCUCUCUUCUCUCAACACAUGCUUUCUUAGCAUUUAGCAUUUUAUAGAGGUUUGAGGAUGAAAUCUUUUUGCAGCCAAUGCCAAAAAAAUUAGAGGUUUGGACAAAAGUGAAAAAAAGAAAGAAGUGGAAAGCCAAAUGGAGCAUGGAGCAUGCAGCAUGCAGGUUGUGGGAGUGGGACAUUUUUUCGAUCCCUUUGAGUUAGUGGGAGAAAGAGAUUAGCCUCCGCUACAUUAAGGUUUGAAGAUUCCGUUUCCCCCCUAAGUCCUGAUCCUGGGUACGAGGACAGAACAUGCAUUACAACAUGCUGUCAAUUCACAUAAAGUGUUAAUUCACAAAAAAUAUAAAGCCAAAUGGGACCAUGGAUCCAAACCUCCGAAGAUAUGUUUUUCCUUUCUCUUCCAACACCUUCCCAUUUGUGCCUCCUCCGCAUUAAGAUUUGAAGAUUCCGUUGGUUUGACUGAUUCAGCACAUAACAUAAAUUGCAACAAGCUGUCAAUUCACAUUAACAAGGAAAAUUAACUCAAUAAAGUGAAGUAGGCGCGAAUUAGAGUGAUUUUUAAAAUGCGGUGAGUCGGGGGCUUUUUAUAGUGGUUGAGGUCCAUGAGGAUGAAAUGUUAUUGGUUCGAUAAACGUCUUCAAUAAUAUUUGCGGAACCAAUUAUGAGAUAAUGGAGUUGGGGAUUUUGGGGCUGAAUUUUUCCCUUUUUCUUUUUUUAUUUUCAAAACAGUCUUCUAGGGUUUUCAAAACAGUCGUUUUCAAAAAAAAAAAAAAUUUCAAAACAGUCGUUUCAGUCUUCUGGGGUUUUAAAAACCUCAGUACGUUUUUUUUUUUCCUUUUUUCUGUACAGGUAUUUUCAAACUUACCUUUUCAAAGUUUAUAUAUAUUUUGUACACUGCGCACAAAAUAUAUAUGAACGAAUGAUACAUGUUCCAAUAAAAUAAAUGCACCUAACAAAUUAGAACUAUUCAUGAGAUGUAAAUUAAAUUAGUGUUAGAUAGAAAUAUACUGAGAUUAAACUACAAUUAUGUGUAAUUAAACUAUCUUUGUUUUCAUGUUAGUGUAACCAAAAUGAGAUUAUGUACAACAAAUAUAACCAUAUGAAAUAAAGUGAUGUAAUAAAAAUGCCAACAAUAUUUUAUAUACAAGUUUUCCGUGCCAAUAUCACUAGUGGCAUGACCAAAAACACCGACAUACACAAUAAUCUCUCAAAGGAAAGAUUGUCAAUUUUCUUCAUUAAAUUUAGAUUAAAGUAAAUUUAAAUUUUUUAACUUAAUAAAAACCACUUAAUACACACACAUAAAUAUUAUAUGCUUACAUUACAAUCAUUUUUUGGACUUUCUCUUAUGGGCUAUUUUUUUUUUGGGGGGAUAAAUUUAUGGGCUAUUCACUGGUUGCUUGGGUUCCUCUAUGUCGUUAUAUUUUUUUUUACAAAAUCAAUAAUGCAAGAAAUAUGUACCAUUAUUUUUAUUAAUAAAAAUUUAUAUAAUUUCCAAAAAAUUAAAGGUUUGGACAAAAGAAAAAGCGAUUAGAAAAGAAAAUAGAAAAAAAUACAAAGCCAAUGGGACCAAACCUCCAAAGAUAUGUUUUUCCAUUCUCAUCCAACACCUUCCCAUUUGUUUAUUAUUUUUUUAUUAAUUUAUUAACUUUUUUAGUGGGGAGGAGGCAAGGAAGCUAAGCUAGCAGCAUAAGUAUCCGCUAAGUUAAUAAAUUAAUAAAAAUAAUAAUAAACAAUUGAGAUGAUCAAAAGUUCAAAAUUUCUUACCAUCGCACAUGCAAGAUGAUCAAUAUUGCCAUCGCUUAGUAUAUGUAUACGUAGGUAGCAUUCACAUUUUAAAUUAGUAUGAGAAUCUUAUAUUUCAGAGUGUAGAGAGGGGUGGGAGUGAAUUGUUUAUUUACACUGAAAUGAGAGAAUGAAAUCAAAAUCAAAAUUCAAUUUUUGUAUUUUCCUUAUCUUAAAUUGGGAGUAAAUAGUUUCAAAUUAUAAUUUUACUUUUAUUUAAAAAAUUAUAAUUUUUAAAUAAAAAAUUAUAAAAAAAUUAUAUUUGAAAUAUAAAAUAUUUAAUUUUAUUUAUUUGUAAAUUUACCCAUGUUUAGAAAAAAUAAAAAAACUAUUAACUGCCUCCAGCAUAUAAAUUACAACAAGCUGUCAAUUCACAAAAAAGAGGAAAAUUAACUCAAUCAAGUGAAGUAGGCCACAAAAGACCUCUAAAAUCGAAUCAGAUUCAGUUAAAACAAAUAAUCACCCAUCAAUCAUAAGCAAAAGCAAAAUAGAAAUGAAUAACAGAAAGAAAUUUCUUAGAAAAAUUCAAUACAAAUAAAAAACAAAUUAGCUAGUCUUCUUUUUGUUGGAAAAUUUUCAAAAUAAAUGUGUCUUAUGUUAAAGACAUGUCCUAUUAAUUGUACCUUAUAGAAAAUGUACCUUUCACUAAAGACAUGUCUAAUUAAAUGAUGUCUUGUUAUAAGGACAUGUCCAUUUAAUUGUGUCUUGUAGAAAAUGUAUCUUUUUACUAAAUGAUAUAACUUUUCAUAACAACAUUUCACUUAGAGAUGAAUGAUUACAUGGUGACAUUUCAUUUGAAAUCGUGAUGGUUCAAUUUGGACCAUUGAUUAAAAUCAAAUCUAGAUCCAAUGGCCAUGAAUGAAGGGGUAUCAUGAAAGAUGAUAACCUAAAUGGGGGGCACAAGUAUAUCUAUAAAUAGGGGUCAUGUUUAAGCCAUUUACACAUGAAAUGAAUGAUCCUACACCACUCUUUUCUUAGCAUUCCUUUCUAGUACGAAUUUCAAUACAAAACACCCAUUUCUUUUGUGCAUUCACAUUCCAAUAUAUUAUUUUCUGCAGGAACAAUAUAUUGUUUCUUGGUAGGCUUGCAACAUUCAAAAGUAUUCUGGUUUGCUUUCAUCGAUGCACAACUCAAGCAAACAAACAAGUGCUUCAUUGUAUCCUGGAGGCGUAUUUGCUUAAUUCAUGUAUAUCACUCAAUUGGUGGGGGCAAAUAACGUCUUAAGGAAAGCGACAUUUGUAACGUGCCUUGAAGCACACAAAAUUUCUGCAGUUUCUUCUUCCAUACAGAGUUAGUUGUAAACAUAUUACUUUACAUAAUAAUGUUCCACAAUUAUUGUUGUAUUUCUCUACAUUUGCCAUUCCCCACAAGUUUACCACCAACAAUUAAACACAUUACUUUACAUAAUAAAGUUCCACCAUUAUUGUUGUAUUUCUCUACAUUUGCCAUUCCCCACAAAUUUACCACCAACACUUUUUUGGUAUAGUGAUUUCGUCAGCAAAUAAGACAAAAAUUGAAAUUCCGAAAUAUAUUUAGGAUUUCUAGCUUUGGAAAUUUACCUUACAAGAAACCGGGCUCUCUACUUCUGGCUUUGUCUUUAUAACUAGGGAUGGCAAAAAUCCCCACGGGGAUGGGUACCCUCGGGGAUUUUUCCCAUUCGGGGAGGGUACGGGGAUAAUUUUAUACCCAAUUUUUUAUUCGGGGAGGGGACGAGGAUAAUUUUUUACCCAAUUUUUUGUUCGGGGAGGGGACGGGGAUGAGGUGGAAUCCCUAUCCCCUACCUAUUUCCCCAUUUUAAUUUUUAAUUUUAUUUUUAUUUUUAAAAUUACUAAUAAAUAAACAACAAAAUUAUAAAUAUUGGCAAGAUAUGAGUGAAAUUUUGGGUGUGGCAUGUAUCUUUGAUCCAAGGUAUAAAAAGAAGUUCAUUGAAUAUUACUUUUCUAUAGUUUAUGGUGGUUUUAAAGAGUUGUAUGUUGGGAAGUGGUCACCCUUUGCCGGGAAUUAGUGGAAGAGUAUCAAUUGAAGUUUUCACCAACUGUUUAUUGCUUUGAUUAUACUGGUAGUAGUUCUUCUACUAGAUCUACAGGGGAUUCUUAUAAGAAAGCAACCAAAUGGAUGACAGGUUUUGAUGAUUAUGUAAACAAUGGAGAUUGUGCAGUUGUUGCAGAUGAAUUAGAUUAAUAUUUGGAUGAGAAAGUUAUAUCCCGGAUGGAAGAUUUUAAUAUUUUGAGUUGGUGGAAGACAAAUGCUAAUAGGUAUCCUACAUUAGCUCGAAUUGUUAGAGAUAUUUUGGCAAUUCCAAUUACAACAGUUGCUUCUGAAUCAGAUUUUAGCACCGGUGGGAGAGUUGUGAGCCCACACCGUAACAAACUUCAUCCAAGCACAUUGGAGACCUUAAUGUGCUGUCAAAGUUGGUUACAAGCUUACAAUAGCAGUAUGAGUUUAUUUUACAUUGUAAUUAUAUUAUACAGUUAUUAAUAUUUGCACUUAUAAGUUACGUUACUUAUAUCAUUUUCAUUGUUUUAGGUUUAAAAUCUGAGGCUAUCUCUCAAUUUGCCACAUUUCUUGAGGAAGAACAGGAGGAGCUGGAGGUAAAUAUUUUUAUUAAAAAUAUUAAUUAAGUAUCUACAUUUAUUUCAUUUAUUUUAUUGCCGAUAUAAAAAUAAUUUUUUUCUUUUUAUUGUAGGAUUAUGAAGAUUGAGUCAUUGACAAGAUAAUUAUUUUAAUAAUUUAUAUUUUGAAUGUGACUUUGUAAUGGAUCAAUAUUAAUGUAAGAUAUAUUUUGAACUUUAUUUUUAUCUAAAUUUUUUAUUUUAAUAUGAUUAAUUUAAAAUUGAAAAUAAAAAAAUGUAUUAGACUAUUAAUUAUUCGAGGACUGGGGACCCUCGGGGAUCCCCUGUUAUUAUUCGGGGAGGGGAUGGGGAUUCUCUCAAACAAUUCUGACGGGGACGAGGAUAUACGUAAAAUAUCGGGGAUGAGUAUGAGGAGAUUGGUCCCCUCCCCUCCCCUCCCCAUUGCCAUCCCUAUUUGUAACGUUACUAUUGUGGACGAGCCACUCCGAUCAGCUGAGAUGAUCGCAUUUCGCACCGGCAACGAUGCAAAUGUUUGGGUUUGGAUUUAACGAUAGACGGAGGAAUGCUUAGGGUUUUGGGUGAUUUUUUGGAAUUUUUUAUCGAAGUGAAAAUAUCAAAAUAACCUUUACACAUUUAAUAUUCAGGGUACUUAUACAGUUAAAUUUUUCUUUAGAAUAAAAACAAAAUAUUAAUUUAGACUCAGAAUUUUAUUAAUAUACCGUUGUUCAUUUGGACCAUAAUACAAAAACCACGAAAAAAAAAAAGAAUAUAGAGUGUGUCUGCUACCGCUAAAAAUGCUUUUCAAACAAAAGCCGAAAACAGCAACUAAGCUUUUACAGACUAUAUACAUAUAGAUCAUUGUAAUAACUAACUAGAAAACGGCAAGUUAACAUUUUCCAUACAUAAAACACUCGUAGUUCUACACUAUGUUAUUUUAUUAGGCAGGGUUUAUUUACGAAAUAAUAUAAUUUUAAACAUUUUAUUGGGUGUAUUUUAGAGCUGAGAUGGGAUGGAAAUAUUACUAAAACACUCGUGGCACUGGCACCAGCAAAAUCAUACACUUUAAUAGGUACUAGGGCCUAACAGUGGCACCAGCUAUAUCAUACAUACAUACGUAUAUAUUUUUAUCUUCAUCAGUUGGACUUGGCUGCAGGUUUUGGAUGUGGUUCCCUUCUACUCCAAUAAUGUUCUCUUCAUCAACUUGAUUCCCGUUCGCACAUGCAGUUGAUCACGAUCAAGAUUGUGCGAGUAAUGGGUGUUAUUACUGUGAGAUUUCGGAGCCAAUGGAAAAUAUUAUUACAGUAUGAUCAAUAUGAAUUGACCAAGAUUCUUUUUCGGGUUGGCGAGAUGCUUUUGGCAAGCCCUACCCAGUCUUUGCCCACUAAUUUUUGUUUAAAUUAAAUUAAGUAAUUAUUUAAUUAACCUAUUGAGUACAAAGGGCAAUUUGAUUUGAUUCUCCUUUUGUUGUGGCCAAGACGUAUUGCACGAGCUUCUUUUUUUUUUUUUAAGUUGUAUUGCGCGAGCUCUUAAUAUAAUCACAAACUUUUUUUUACAAAUUUAUUAAUUUAUUUUCUUCCUUUUUUUUCUUUUCUUUUCUUUCUCUCUUUCUCUCCCGGGACUAGGGAGCUUGGGUUUUAUUUAGUUUUAUAGCCUAUAGAUAUAAUAUUGAGUAGUGACAGGUUUUGACCUUGAGUGCUAAUCAGUGGGGAUCAAUAUUAAUUAAUCAAGAAUCUUUACAAAAAGCAUCGACUCCCAUUGGUUCCUCGGGUUGGGGAAGUGCUUUUGACAAGCCUCGCCGAGUCUCCGCGACUCCGCCCAUUAAUUUUUUUUUAAAUGAAAUUAAGUAAUUAUUUAAUUAAUCUGUUGAGUACAAAGGGCAACUGAAUUCUCCUAUGUUGUGACUAGGUUGUGUUGCACGAGCUUAGCUUAACUUUAAUGACUCUAAUUUAUAAAUAGAUGCGAGUAACAAUAAUAUAUUACUUUCCAAUUUCAAGUGGAGCCUUCGAAGGCAACAGCUUUUUCAAUUUUAUAAUUAUAAACUCUCAAAAUAAUUUUGAUACAAAAACAGGUUGCUUUUAUAUACUGUUGAUGACAAGCGUCGUGCCGUCUUCUUCUUCGUUGAGAAGAAUUGGACCGUGUUGCAAUGCCUUCUGGUUUUCUCUUUCCAAGCUCAACUUCUUUGUCGACAAUAAUUCUUACAUAACAAAAAAGGGAAAAAAAAAUCAAAUAUAGCGUUAGGGCUUCAAGGGAUUCUCCAUGGAGUGAUCUUUAAAUAAAAAACAAGCGCCGCCCUCCGUUUGAUUUCUCCUGAAGAAAAGAUUUGAUCGAUUUUUUCUUUCUUUUUCGCUUCUACUCUUUUUUUGAAAAAUUUCUUUCUGUGCUUAAAAAAUGUUUUGCCUACAGCUGGAACCGAACAUAUAAAAUUUAAAGAGUGCAUGUUAAGGUAUUAAUUUUUAUUACCUUGUAAUCUAGUGAUGGCAGACAUGUUAAUUCAUGAAAUCGAAGAAUCUUGUGGAAUAUUGACUUGUGGAUUUGAUCCUGAUCCAGUGGCUUAUUGGGAAAUAUCUGAAGUUGUUUUGGUCCACUAAUCUUAGCUUUAGGAUAAGUACUGAAAAUUUCUUCUUCGGUCAUGAAUUAAGAUCCAAUCAUAUAGCAUAUUCGAUCUGACUGUACCAUAAGCAUUUGUGUGUGUGUAUUAAUGACUGGAGUUCAGUUAAUAAUUGCAAACUCAGCAACCGAUUCCAAGAAUGAGCUUUGAAAGAUCCCAAUUUGUCAAAAUGUGACUGUUGAGAAGUUUCUUUUGAGUAGAUUAACUGAGAAGACCGUUGGCAAUUACCUGUAUACAUCUAUUUAUUGAAACUUUAAUUACCGGUGGAUUAACGGAAAAAUGAAUAUACAUUGAAUUUAUAAAUAAUCGUUUUCCCUAUGAUAACUUGAAAAAUACAAUAAUUUAAUCCAUUGUCUAUUUACAAUAAAUAAUCUGUUUUCUAAAUACGUACGGCGUUGUGGAAAGUUGAACCGUAUUAUUAUAUGUAAUUAACCCAAUACAUCAAAAUACAUAUAUAAAACAUGUGGACACUAUUUUGAGAGAUUGAUUGAGAAAUUUGGUAUAAUUUUAGGCAAUUAAAUAAAUCUUUUUAAAAUUUACAUGUGUUUUGGGAGAUAAUUGUCCUGUAAAUCAGUUCUUGCACAUGUACAAAAUUAAUCUUCAUUAAUUGGGAAGUUUCUUGGGGUGACACAAGUGGAUAUACACUAUUCGUGAUGUGCAAGAUAACAUUAUCUGGAAAACAUGAGAAAUUCUAUAAUACCUCAGAUGUAUUACAACCAAUUGAUGCAUUCAUGACAAGUGUAAUUUAAUUUAAUAUAAUCACCAAUUGCAUGAUAAUGAUUCGAAAUAAAUGCACACAUGUCAUGGCAUCAUUGCUUGUUGUAUAAAUGACAUGGUACCUCAGCUGUAUUUUAGAAUUUCUCAGAAAACAGACAUGCCAAUUAGUAAUCUUCUGUGUGUACGAUUUCAAGAUAGUUUCAUGUAGAAUUUAAUGGUUAUGUGUUUCUUCGGCGGCUCCUUCCUCAAAUCCAGCACAAUGGCAUAGUCACAUGCAUGAAGAUUUUGGAGUCUUUGGCUGCACAAUUUUUCUGGACUUUAAUUUGCAUUAGUUAUUGGCUUUUUUAUAUUGCUCUUUAAUCGGCUUUUUCAGAUCAAAUAUUUCUGUAUUAGUUUUCGAUUAACAUAGUCCUGGCCUCCUGGGAAGUUAUGGUGCUAAUCAGAUUCUUUUAUCAACAUUUGACAAUUUCUUUUUCAAAGCUUGAGUUUUGAGGGUUUAUAGCUUUGAGUAGUGGAAUCAAUGAAAGAAGAAAUUAAUGUAAGAAGAAUAAUUAAAUGGGUACUCUCUUAGCCCCUUUAUCUGCUCAUAUAAAGAUUUUUUGAAUACCUUGUUGGUGUGGCUAGUUAUGCUUGAAGUUGUUCUACAGUGUCUCGUUUGAAAAGUCCGAUGCAAAAAAUUAAAAAGAAUCAUCUUCAUCACAUAGUCGACAGAACAUACAGAACAUGCGUAGGCUCAUAGAAGUGGGAUUAGGUUAUUGGUUAAGUUAGGGAUCAAUUUAGUAGAAAGCGACAGUUUGACAACUUAUUAUUAUAUUCUCCAAAUACAAAUAAAAUUUGCAGCCUAAAUAAAAGUAGCAGCAAAGUGCCUUUUUUUUUUUUUUUUUAUUUUGCGCCUAAAAAAAAGUAGCAGCAAACUGCUUUUUUUUUUUAAAAAAAAAAUAUUAAGAAAAGACCUUACCCCUUCAGCACAUUCAUCUUUUAAACCGUAAGUAAUCAUUCCAGAGGAUGCAUCGUGGGAACUUCGCUGAUCGCUGAGUGUAUUGCCUCAAAAAAGAACUCUUAAAUUCAUUACAAGUUUCAUAAGAUCAAAGCUGAGGGUAGAUUAAUUGAACACAUAAACUAAGCUUGCUGUUGAUAAGAUAACUCAUCACAAUGAGACAAAGUUGGCAAGAAAGAUAACUACUGGCUCCAUGCAUAGCAACAAAGAAUCACCAGAAUCCAACAUUAAAACCAUUGAAACAAAUUUAGCAAUAUACUCAGCCGUGACUAGAGGAAUCCCACUAUCAAGAUUGAGUCAUCAUGAUUAAUUGAGUAUUAUUUACUAACGGCUAGAAUAUCUCUAGCCGACUGUUAUUAUAUAUAUUAGGAAAGUAUUGUUUAAAUAAGUCACAAAUUUAUCUCUGUGAUGGCUUGUCAAAGUUGUAUAUAUAUAUGAGUCAUAUUCUUGUAAUUCAAAAUAAGAAAGAAUAAUAUAUUCUUUUGUCCUUUCAAUAUUAAUCUUUAGUUGUGACAAUUAAAAAUAUGUUCAUGACAUUAUACUCACAGAAAUUUAUUAAGGCAGUCAUAAUUUUGCCAUUUAUGUAUAGAAAAUGGGUUAAAUUAUAGAAUUUCAUUUCAAAAAAAGUUAAAUUAAACUUAUCAUAAAACAACCUUAACUAUCAAUCCAAGAUCUAAGUGACUAAAAAACGAUUAUGAGAAUGAUUUAAUUGAUUAAUUAUCAAUUAUUUUUUAUAUGUAAAAUUGGUACUGUACAAGUUAAUUAUAAUUAACUAACGGAAAUGUAGUAAAAUAUAGGGUUAUUAGAGAUAUUUAACAAUUCCGAAAGUAUUAUGGUAUAAAAUGUUAUACCCUAAUAUUUCUUGCAGCAAUUUAUUUUAAAAUUUCUAAAAUAGUAAAAUGAAUAUAACACAUAAAAUUAAUUAAAUUAUUAACAUAGAUUCUGUCCUUUAUAGUAAUUUCAUUAGAUGUUUCAUGAGAUCAAAGUUGAGGGUGAGUUAGUCAAAGAAAAUGGCUGUGGAUGGUUAUAACAUUCGACCAAAAAUAAUAUUAUUAUUUGGUUGGAGCCAUAGUAGGCCCAGUCCCAGUCCAUUGUGCCCGUUUCGUCACUGGCAAGACAGUCUGGCAUGCAAGCAAGCGAAAGAGGAAAAUGUGACGUACUUGCCAAAUGUGUAAUAUUUGCUUACUUGGACUUCAAAGUCGGUAGUUUAAUGAAAUUGGAACAUUUUCAGAAUUUAAGAAUUAGGAUUACCUUCUGAUCUCAUAUUCUUUGGAGCAAAUUUUAUCAACAUAAUUAGCAAUUAGUAAAUGAUGCAGUGCAAGUUUAAUGUUCAAAAUAUUUCGUUAAUUUUAGAGAAUACCGGAAUAAAAGAACAAUUAAAUUCACGUUGAUUCAAAAGAAUACCGCGAAUUUAGGGGUUAAGACUCGUUGAUUCCACAGAAUAUCGAGAAUUAACUGUUCAAAUACUCACAAAGAGAUUUGAAAAUUGAAAUAUUAUUGAACUCAAAAUUCUGCCUUCAAAGGCUACAAAAGACACUUAUUUCUACUAAUUAAGAAACUUAUCCUAAUUUGAUUAGAAAACCUAUUUUAAUAAGACUUAUACCUAAAUUAGAAAUAUUACUCAAAUAAGCAAUACCUAAAUAAUAAGACUCUAAAUAGGAAACCAAAUUAAACUAGAAUAUAAAUUAAUUAAAAUAUUCCUAAAUAUUAUACAUUUAAAUCUAAUUAAGAUUUCUUCAAUUUCUUGCUCUGCAUCAGUAAAUUAAAAAGUAAAGGUAGUUAAUAGAUAUAAAGUGGGUUAUUAGGCAACUCGAUUAUUUUUCCGUAUUGGGUUUGAGUCUCAAUAUUUUGAUAUGAUUGUUAAAUGAAUCGAGUUUGGGUCAACUUAAAUUUGACACGAUAUUGAGUGUUAGAAAAUGCAUAUUUAUAAAGGAGAAAACAUUCAUUUUACAUUUCAAGUCUUACUAACAACCUUUACUUUUAUGUGUUUAAGCUCCUUGUAAUUUAAUUAUGUGUGUUUUAUUUUAAUUAAGUAUUUUAUGUAUUUUAGGGGCAUUAUAGUCAUUUCACAAUAAACGAGAGAUCAAACGGCAAAACGGACAUCACUUUUGAACUCAGGACGGUCGAAAACCUUAAGAGGAGCAUAAAAGGAAAAAUGAUACUGUUCACAUGUACAGUACUAUUCACAUAUACGGGUACUGUCUACGUUACUGUUUACGGCACUGUUCACAUAGACAGAUCGAUGACGUGGCAUUGACCGAUGAUGUGGCAUUGACUGAUGAGGUGUCAUGAUCUUGUUGGACUAAAAUUCUUAUGUACUGUUGAUGGUGACGUGGCAGCAUAUCAGUGGACCAAAAAUCUCGCGUACGGUACAUGCAUUACACAAGAUUAUUUUCAACUAAACCGCAUCACUGUUCACCCGGGUCAAACCUUGUUACUGUUCAUCCACAUGGUCAAACCGCGUACUAUUCACGCGUACUGUUGACUGAUGACGUGGUGAAAUCCUGAGCGUCCAAACUGUUUUUAAUCCGAUGGCCACAAUUUACUCAAUGUAUCUAUAAAAAGGGGGUCUUCUCCCCCUAAUUUGAUACCUCUGAAUCCAUUUUUUAGCUCUAUUUUCUGUAAUUCUCUCUCCAUCUUGUAUUUUCUACGUAUUUUAAUAAAUUUUCAUGUUGCCCCUAGUUCAAUUAUGAGUGGCUGAUUUCCUUUCAAGCUUGGGUUGAAGGUGAAGUCUCAACAUGUGUCAUGGGCUUUAUUUGGUAAAUUUAUUUUCUUUUCCCCUCUAAUUUUAGUAGAUGAUUUGACUUUUCGUCGACAAAUAAUAAUAAUCUUGUCUAGAUACCGCCUUGGUUACACCGGCUCCCUAGUAUAAGGUUAUUAUUAUUUGGCUCGAUAAGCCCUUAGCACCAUAUUGAUUAGAGCGUGGUUCAUGAGAUGUGGAUUUUCCCCUCAUGAUUUAAUUGGUAUUAAUAAGGAAUAUUUAGCUCAUGGUGCAUGUUGAUACGGAUCCAGAUACCCAAGUACGUCAUUUCAAUAGAUUUCUCUUCGAUUUAUUCUCGCCAUUUCAAUUCCAAUUUUACAAUUUAUUCUCACUAUUUCAAUUCCAAUUUUAGGAUAAUCUAAGUCACUUUCACCACAAAAUCCAACCACCUAUUUACAAAAUUAAUUCUACACACAAUUAAAAUCCACUUUCUCGUGGGAUCGACACUCGUCACCAUUAGUCUAUUCUACAAUAGAUUCAUGCGCUUGCGAGUUCAAUAAAAUUUGCACAACAAGUUUUUGGCGCCGUUACCGGGGAGGUAAGUUAUUUUAAUUUGUAGAAUUAAUUUUUGUCAAUAAUUUCUUUUAUUUGUUUUCUUGUAUUUUUCCUUAUUUAAAAAAAAAAGAAAAAAAGUGAAUCUGCAUUUAAAAGUUUUAUUUUUUUUUCUUCUUUAAAAUUCUGUAAUUUAAUUUUCAAGUUAUUUUUUUUCUUCUUUGUAAUUUUUGUUUAUCUUACUAAUUUUUUUUUAAGUUGAUUUAUUUCAUGUAUUUUUUUGUGUAUUUUUAUAGUAAGGUUGUAAUAGCGCAAUAAGGUUAGUAUCAUAAUUUCUCUCUCUUCUUUAUUUUUAUUUGUUUUGUUCCCAUCUUUAUUUUUAUUUUAUUUGUUUUGCAUGCAUGGUCGUAGGUCAUUAUUUCCUAAUCUUGAACUUAUAGACGUUGAACUAGAAAAAACACUUCGCACACACAAACAAGUUAAAAAUAAAAUGGAUUUACAAGCACCACAAGAGAGGCCAUUUAAGGACUAUUUUAGUCCUUUAGCUAAUUUGAGCACAUCAUGCAUAAGAUAUCCAAAUGUAGCUGCUAGGAGUUUUGAACUAAAACCUAGUGUGCUAAAAAUUGUCUCCCCACAUUCUAUGGCCUAGAAAAUGAGGACCCAUAUCAUCAUUUGAAUGAUUUUCAUACUAUUUUUCAAACAUUUAAAUAUGAGAAUUUUUCAGAUUAUGAUGUAAAACUUAGACUAUUCAUAUUUUCUUUAAAAGGAUAGAGCUCGUUCAUGACUUAAUACAUUGCCUGCUAAUAGCAUUUCAUCAUGGGAGCAAAUGGUAACAAAAUUUUUAAAUAAAUAUUUCCUAGUGCAUAAAACCAAUGCUAUUCGCAGGGAAAUCUCAGAGUUUACCCAAAGAGAGGACGAACAGUUUUUCGAAACAUGAGAGCGAUUCAAUGGGCUACUCUUGAAGUGUCCACAUCAUGGGUACGAGAAGUGGCACCAAUGCCAAUACUUUUUGGAGGGAUUAUUGCCGAAUGUGCAAGAAUGGCUAAUGGCAACAAGUGGAGGAGAGCUAAUGUCAAAAAGUGCAUCAGAAAUUUGGGAAUUUUUCCGGCGACAAGCAGAUAAUUCCCAACAACGGAGUCGAUCACUCAGAAAUACUAGAAGAAUUAAGGGAGUAAAUGAGGUUUACAUUGGCGAGUCAACUUCAGGAAUCAAAGAAGUCAAGGAGAUGGUUGAAGGUCUCGCUCGACAAAUAGCAUCGUUAUCGACUGCUAAAUCAACAGAACCACAUGAUCAUGACUCAUACUCAGAUCAAGCCAAUGCCAUAGGUGUAAUGAGAAAGCCAUCAAAUUACAACCCAUACUCCAACACAUAUAACCCUGGAUGGAGAAAUCAACCCAAUUUUUCAUGGUCUUAAGGAUUCCAACAGAAUGGACCAGUAGCUCCAUCUCUACCAAUGUAACCAAUUCCUCAAAUUCCUUAAAUCUCUCAGCCACUAUUUAGACCAUACAAUCAGAACCAGAACUACUCUCAACCUAGACUAUGGGAGGAUGCAUUCCAGAAUUUCAAGAAUGUUACUCACUCCACGAUUGAGUAACAGAACCGCACCAUUGAUGGAUUACGAAAUGAGUUGAGAGCGGGCUUCAACUCACAAGCCCAAUCAGUUUCAAGCCUCGAGAAGAUGGUGGGACAACUUGCUUCUUUAGUUCAGACCUUGGCAAUAACUGUUGAGAAAGGUAAAUUUCGAAGUUAACCAGUGCCUAAUCCUAAAGGAGUGCAUGAAGCAAGUACCAGUUCACUACAGCAGUAUGGAGAGGUCAAAGCAGUCAUGACCUUGCGAAAAAGAAAAGAAGUCGACAACAAAAUGGAGAUGCCGAUGACAAAAGAAAAUCAAAUUGUGCCUGUGAAUGUUGAGGACUCAUCAUCGGAGGAGAAAGAAGAAACCAACCCACGAGAAUACGCUCUGAAAGCUCUAUUUCCUCAAAAGUUAGCGAAAGGAAAGAAAGGAAAAUCCACAAGUGAGAUUCUCGAAAUCUUCAAACAGGUAAGUGUUAACAUUCCUUUACUUGAUGUUAUUAAGCAAGUACCAUCUUAUGCCAAGUUUCUUAAAGAUCUUUAUACUAAAAAGAGAAAUAUUCACGUUCAGAAGAAGGCAUUUUUAACAGAAAACGUUAGUUCUAUACUCCAACAUAAAAUUCCUCUAAAAUGUAAAGACUCAGGCUCUCCCAUUAUCUCAUGUAGUAUAGGGAACCACACAAUUGAGAAUGCUUUGUUGGAUUUAAGAGCUAGUGUAAAUAUGUUGCCUUACUCUAUGUUUGUGAAACUUAGACCGGGAGAAUUACACCCAACUCCAGUGGUGUUACAACUUGUAGAUCGGUCCACAAAAAUACUUCGUGGUAUUGUGGAGGACGUGCUUAUCCAGGUAGACAAGUUUUAUUUUCCUGUUAAUUUCAUUGUAAUUGACACUCAACCAAUACAGGAUUCAAGGAAGCGCAUCCCCAUUAUUCUAGGCCGACAUUUCUUGGCAACUGCGGAUGCUUACAUUCAAUGCAGGACUAGAAAUAUACAGUUGUCCUUCGGCAACAUGACUAUGGAGUUGAACAUCUUCAAUAUUGCCAAAUAACCUCACAAUGCAGAUGAUGGAAUUGUUGAUGUGGAUUUAAUUGAAGCAUUAGUUGAUGACACUUUUGUUUCAACCUUAGUGAUGAUCCUUUACAAACAUGUUUAACUCACUUUAGUUUGGAUUUUGAUAUUGACAGAUCAGUCGAUGAGGUCAACGCUCUACUUGACUCAGCAUCAUCCAUGGACACUAAUAAAUGGAAGUCAAGAGUUGAACAACUAGCACCAUCAGAAAAGAAACUCAUUCUAUCAUCAGAAUCACCACCGAAACUCGAACUCAAACCAUUACCCAACACAUUGGAACAUCAUUACCCAACACAUUGGAAUAUGCAUUUUUGGGAUAAGAAAGUUCUCUGCCGGUAAUCAUCUCAUCAUCCCUCAAUGACGAACAAAAAGGUAAGUUGUUAGAUGUUUUAAAAGAGUACAAAGGAGCAUUAAGAUGGACCAUAGCAAACAUAAAAGGUAUAAACCCAGUAGAUUGCAUGCAUUACAUUCACCUUGAUGAAAAUGCUAACCUACUAGGGAAAUGCAACGUCGGUUAAAUCCUAAUAUGAAAGAAGUUAUUAGAACUGAAGUCCUAAAGCUAUUAGAUGCAGGUAUCAUUUACCCAAUUUCUGAUAGUUCAUGGGUCAGUUCUGUACAAGCUGUCCCCAAAAAGUCAGGAGUCACAGUAGUUACGAAUGCCGAUAAUGAAUUGAUACCCACUAAAGUGACUACAGGAUGGCGUGUAUACAUUGAUUAUAGAAAGUUGAAUUCUGUCACACGUAAAGACCAUUUUCUUUUAACAUUUAUCGAUCAAAUGCUUGAUAGAUUAGCAGACCAUGAAUUUUAUUACUUUCUAGAUGGCUACUCAGGAUAUAAUCAGAUUCCCAUAGCACCAAAAGAUCAAGAGAAAACUACUUUCACUUGCCUUUUUGGCACAUUUGCAUAUAGGAGGAUGCCAUUUGAAUUAUUUAAUGCACCUGCUGUUAAGCAUUUUCUCUGAUAUGGUUGAAUGAUUCCUUGAAGUCUUUAUGGAUGAUUUUUCUGUUUUUGGUGACUCGCUUGAUUAAUGUUUACAUCAUUUAACACUAGUUCUGCAGAGAUGUAUCGAGAAGAACUUGGUCUUAAAUUGGGAGAAGUGCCAUUUUAUGGUAAAACAAGGUAUUGUUCUCGGUCACAUUAUUUUAAGCAAAGGUAUUGAGGUUGAUAAAGCCAAGGUAGAUCUCAUUUCUAAUUUUCCUCCACCCAAAACAGUCAGAGAAGUAAGAUCUUUCCUUGGGCAUGCUGGUUUUUUUAGACGUUUCAUUAAAGAUUUUAGCAAAGUUUCUAGACCCUUAUGCAAUCUACUUGCUAAGGAUGUACCUUUUGUCUUUGAUGAUUCAUGUCUUGUGGCAUUUGAAAAAUUAAAGCAGUUGUUGACAUCAUCACCCAUCAUUCAGCCCUCAAACUGGAGCUUACCAUUUGAACUCAUGUGUGAUGCAUCUGAUUAUGCAAUAGGAGCAGUAUUAGGACAAAGAGUUGAUCGAAUUUCCCAUGUUAUUUACUAUGCUAGUAUGACAUUGAAUGAUGCAUAGUUGAACUAUUCGACUACUGAAAAAAAAAUGCUAGCAGUAGUGUUUGCAUUAGAGAAAUUUCAAUCUUAUCUCAUUGGUUGUAAAAUAAUUGUGUUCACUGAUCAUGCUGCUCUUAAAUAUCUUCUCACAAAGAAAGAUGCAAAAGUUAGACUAAUUCGUUGGGUGUUACUUUUACAGGAAUUUGACUUGGAAUUCAAAGAUAAGAAAGGCAUAGAAAAUGUUGUGGCAAACCAUCUCUCUCGUCUCCAUUUUGACACAAUUACAGAGCCAUUAACAUUGAAUGAGUCAUUUCCAGAUGAACAAUUAGUGAGUGUGGAAGUAUUACCUUGGUAUGCUGAUAUCGUUAAUUAUCUUAUUACAUGUCAACUUCCAGAGCAUUGAACCAAGCAAGACAAGGCUAAAUUCGUUGCAGAAAUAAAGAAUUUCUUUUGGAAUGACCCUUAUUUGUUCAAGUAUUGUGCAGAUCAAAUUGUUAGACGAUGUGUCCCAGAAAGUGAAAUUCACAAUAUCCUUUCAUUCUGCCAUGAACAAGCUUGUGGAGACCAUUUCAGUGCUAAGAAAACAGCUACAAAAGUUUUACAAUGUGGUUUCUAUUGGCCAAUAAAUUUCGAGACGCUUACACUUUUUGUUAUUCAUGUGAUAGGUGUCAACGAAUGGGGAGCAUUACACGAAGGAACAUGAUGCCACUAAAUCCAAUUUUAGUAUUUGAGAUUUUUGACGUAUGGGGUAUCGACUUUAUGGGACCCUUUCUCCCUUCUUUUGGCCAUCAAUACAUAUUGGUUGCUGUUGACUACGUAUCAAAAUAGGUAGAAGCAAUUCCAUGCAGAACCAAUGAUCACAAAGUGGUGAUAGGAUUUUUGAAAAACAACAUUGUUUCACGUUUUGGAUUCCCUAGAACGAUAAUCAGUGAUGGUGGUGCCCACUUUUGUAACAAAGCAUUCAAAGCUCUUUUGACCAAGUAUUCAAUCACUCACAAAGUGGCGACCCCAUAUCAUCCGCAAACUAGUGAUCAAGUUGAGAUCUCCGAUCGAGAAAUAAAGCACAUAUUAGAAAAGACGGUGAUGCCAGACAGAAAAGAUUGGUCAUUAAGACUUGAUAAUGCAUUAUGGGCAUAUAGAACGGCAUUCAAGACCCCGAUUGGGAUGUCACCCUACAGGCUAGUGUAUGGAAAAGCUUGCCACCUACCCGUGGAACUCGAGCAUCGUGCAUAUUGGGCCAUCAAGAAAUUCAAUUUUGACAUGCAGCAAGCCAGCUCAGAAAGAAGAUUACAACUGGCAGAACUUGAAGAAAUUCGUAAUGAUGCAUAUGAAAAUGCCAAGAUCUAUAAGCAACGAAUGAAAGUCUUUCACGACAAGUAAAUUAUGAGAAAAGCUUUCACUCUAGGUCAGAAAGUGCUUUUAUUCAAUUCUCGCUUGCACCUAUUCCCAGGUAAGUUACGCUCUCGAUGGUCUGGCCCUUUUAUUAUUCAUACUGUUUUUCCACAUGGGGCAAUUAAAAUUAAAGACCCAAAUAACGGUGUCACGUUUAAAGUUAAUGGUCAAAGAUUAAAGCCAUAUUUAGAGUACCAACCACAUGAAAAAGACACUUAAAUAAAUUUGAGUGACCCACCAAAUUUGAAUUGAUUUUUUUUCUUUCUUCUUCUUUUCAGUGAUUUGAAUUUUUUUCUCUUUAUAUUAUUCUUUUGCUAAUUGAAAUUAUUUUUGCAUAAGUGUGUUUGUUUAACCAUUAAGUUUUCUUUUAUCAUUGUUAAUCAUGAGUACCAUGCUUAAACCGUUCCUCCUGAACAUUCUUAAACCACUUCAAUGUGUCAAAACUCAUCUCAAAAGACAGAUUCAAUUUUGUAAAACACAUCGCAUUUAGGCUCUACAACCACCAGAGUUAGUAGCCUAUGUUGAGAAUUUAGAAAGUCAACUCAGAGACAUUGAGAGAAGUGUUUACGACAUCUAGUUGGAGCUUGAGGUAAAUUCAAUAAGAGGACGAUUUUAAUUUUCUUGUGUGCUUUAAUUUGUUUUUCUUUUUGUAUACUUUAGUUUGUUACCCCGGUGAAGUGGCGGAUAACGGUACUCCGUGACAAUCAAGUUGAUUACUUCAGUUUCCCAUAAUAACUGAUAUUCUGAGGUGAAGGUAUAGACAGAAAGAACUGAGAUUCUAGCGAAGCUUCACAAGCGAUUCCCUUCACUUCCUCAGAAUGCCCUCCUUACGAUCUAUAAAGCCUGGUCCGAACGCAUGCGAUUACUCAUGAGAAAUAACAUACCUGCAGACAUCUGUUGGUUAAUCGAGGCUAAAGUACGAUUAGCAGAUGAGUUACCUCCAAAAUUUAUUGCAUACAUGUCUGGUUGUGGUAAAGGAAAUUAUGCAAGAAAACGACGAGCUCGAAGAAUUUCUAUUGCUUGUCAUAAAUGUGCCAGAAUGAGUUGCGAUAAAAACCCAUGUUCUUUAGGAAUAGUGUCUAAUAACAGAAAAGAUAAGAUUCAAUUCAUUAGGGAUGUCUUGAAUAAGGAGUCAUUGGAUGAUAUCCUUCUGUUUCUUAAAAUGCAUCCCAGUGGAUAUUUGCAAGGAGCGAUUCUCCAGUUAUGACCAUUAUUCCAGAAAGAGCAUGCACGAUAUAGUCUCAGAAAUCUGACUAUAAAUGACCCUGUUUGCCAGUUUAUAAGAAAACUGGAUGGGAAGCCUAUCCUCGACCCAUAGAGGGCGUUCAAGCCAUUUCUGGACGUAAAACCAGAGGAAGAUGUGAGCCACAGUCGCAACUAUCUGUAAAUAUCCUUUUACUUCACUGUUAUUUUAUUUCAUUUCACUGUUGUUUUAUCAUUUGCAUUAUUGUCUUUAAUAAUUUUAUUUAUCAUUAUUUCUUUUUCUUUUUAUUAUUUCCUUUUUUACUCGCUAGCCAUGUGCUUUACGCGUUAUUUGACACUGACAUGCCACCUUAUACACAGUUAUGAUCCAUUGUUACCAAGAUUCUUAAAUAUGACUUUUUAUUAAGCACUCACAAAUUGUUUUUGAGAAAUAUUCCAAUGGCAGCUACUCCCAAUAGAUAAUUCAAGAACAUUUGUGUGCUUUCUGGAUUUACCUAUGGCAAACAUAAAGAGUUCGUUGAUGCAGCCAUAGUUCUUGGACGAAACAUAGCAGAGAGAAAAUUACACUUGGUGUAUGGAAGAGGUAACCGAGGGUUAUCAAAAUUGGUCUCAGAAGCUGCUUUUUUCAAAGGAAGCCAAGUGUUAAGCAUCAUCCCAAGAGUCCUAAAACCUUUAGGCAGUCUUUCUGACUCAUCGACUGGAGAAGAGUUAGUCGUCUCAGGCAUGCAAGAACGAAUAACUGAAAUGCUUAAUCAUGCUGAUGCUUUUAUUUUCCUUCCAGGAGGCCAUCUGCACAUUCACCAGAAAUCCAUCGGUUUGUUAAAUGUCAAUAAUUUUUACGAUGGUUUUAUCGCAUUUCUUAACCAUGCAAUAAAAAACUAUUUCGUUCCUUCCAAUGCAAAAAAAGUUUUUUAUUUGUGCUCAUACUGCUAAUGAGCUACUUGAUAUAUUACAAGCUUAUAAACCGGAGUCAAAUCCCUGGAGCUUUGUGUUGGAGCAUCCAAAUGAUGACGGUAACAGUAGCCGCAGUAAGAAGUUCAAAUUAGAUUUAACUCUCCGCUUGUAAAUAUUUUCUUUUGUGUUGCAUCACCCAGGUGAUGUCUUCUAAACUCUACUUCUUUCCUUUACAACAUUGAGGACAAUGUUUCGUUCUGGUUGGGGGGAGGGAAUAGUCGACAAUUGUGGAAUCUUGGUUAAGUUUUUACUAAUUUUUUGUUGUAGAAACUAACUGUUGCUAACUUUUUGUGUUGAAGAUGGCUGAAUAUAGAGUGUAGUGACUCUAGAAACGCAUUUUCAUCGUUUAAAAAAAAUUUAAAAAACAAAAAAAAAAUUCAGACAUUUUCUUUUUCUUUAUUAUGUUUUGAUGUUCAUUUUUCUUCUUCUUUUUAAUUUCUCCUUUAUAAAUAUACAUUUUCAAAUUUUUUUUCUUUGAGUCGAAGAUGGCUGAAUAUGAAGUGUAGUUCCUCUAGAAACACAUCUUCUUAAAUUAAAAAAAAAAUCAUUUUUGUUUUAUGUCAUUUUCUAAUUAGUUUUUCUGCAUCAUUUUCACAUUUCUGCAUGUAUAUUUUCCUUUCAUGUUUAGAAUAGGUUGGGGGGUAGGAUGUUGUUUAAAAAAAAUUAUUUUGAUUUGUUUUAACAUUGGAUGACAUGAUGAAUUUCAAAUUUUAGUAUUUGUAUUAUCUUUAGUCUGAAGUGAUGUUACGCUAUGUUUGCUACUCUACAUGUUGAUGUCGGAGACAAAUAUGAGUUGCUUGAAGGAAUGAACAUGUUAUAAUAAGUACCAAGUGAGUUUUGAGCCUAUCAUUUUCCUUGGAAAGUAACCAUUUUGCCCAUUCUUUAUACAGCUUAGCAGUUUAUUAUUGUAUACACGAUCUCUAAAUUUCUUUUGAGUUAACCCUUAAAAAAAAUUUGUAAAAUUAAAAAAAAGAAAAAAAUGUGUGUUGCUACAUUUAGAGGCCCAUCUAAUUAGUAGAUAUGAAAUAUUAUUUAGAGCCCUAAAAGAUUAUAGAAAGGCCAUCUUUGAUCCGUUUGAGCCUUUGUAGCCAUCCUUUUUAUGAAAUAUCCAUAGUUAACCCUUUUGAGCCUUUAAAAAACAAAAAAAAAAUAUUUUCUUUGUCAACUUAUCAUCUUGACCCACUCUGAUUUGGAGUAUUAGCCAAUAUUUUACAAGUUCCAUCACCUAUUUAUAUUUGAGAAAAAUGUAAAUAAACAUUUUGUACAGGGAAGUUAUGCCUAGUUAAAAAAAAAAAAAGAAAAAAUUUGUUGUCUCUUAAAAAAAAAGACAAACAAAUUGUUGUUUCAAAUAAAAAUAACAAUAAUAGGUGAAAUCUACCUUGCAACUUCCCAAAAAAAAAAAAAUUUCCUCUGCAUUUUUCUCAAACAUACACUUUAUUUUCCUUAUUUCCCUUCUUUGUUAGCCAUGUCCCUAGCCUACAUUACGUCAUAAUAAAAAUUCUUCUUGAUUUUAGGAAGCUAUAGUCUGAAGUAGAAGCUAAUUAUAUGGGCUAAAAAGAUGUAGUGGUGCAUAAAAAAAAUAUAAAUGAAUAAAUUGGGUUGACUAGCAUUUUUAAUUGACUUGAGAUCAUAUUAUUUCUAAGUUGAGGACAUAUUUCUUUCAUCUUGGUGAGAGCAUGUAAUAUCACUUCUUGAUUAUUUUCUCUUAAUUACUAUUUAUUGGAGUGACUAUUUUUAUUGGGUUUAAUUUCUUUGUGAGAGUGUCACUACUUCCAGUGAGAUUUUGGGGUUUGACAUGUCAUUCUUGAAGAUAGCUAUGAUAAAGUCUACUGGGCUAAUUCAUGUGGAUGGUUGAUGUGGGUGUGAUGUUUCUUUAGACUGAAGAUAAUGCUUAUACUUUUAUUUGAUUGUUAUCAUUAGUUUGAUUGAAUAAACACGAGUGUUUUUAAAAAAAAAAUCAAUUUGGAUUUAAAUUUUGUUUUCGCUUUAUUUGCUAGGGACUAGCAAUAAGCUGGUUGGGGGGUGUGUUGAAUGUUAGAAAAUGCAUAUUUAUAAAGGAGAAAACAAUCAUUUUACAUUUCAAGUCUUACUAACAACCCUUACUUUUAUGUGUUUAAGCUUUUUGUAAUUUAAUUAUGUGUGUUUUAUUUUAAUUAAGUAUUUUAUGUAUUUUAGAGGCAUUAUAGUCAUUUCACAAUAAACGAGAGAUCAAACGGUAAAACGGACAUCACUUUUGAACUCAGGACGGUCGAAAACCUUAGGAGGAGUAUAAAAGGAAAAAUGACACUGUUCACAUGUACGGGUACUGUCUACGUUACUGUUCACGGCACUAUUCACAUAGACGGAUCGAUGACGUGGCAUUGACCGAUGAUGUGGCAUUGAUUGAUGAGGUGUCAUGACCCUGUUGGACUAAAAUUCUUAUGUACUGUUUAUGGUGACGUAGCAGCAUAUCAGUGGACCAAAAAUCUCGCGUAUGGUACAUGCAUUACACAAGAUUAUUUUCAACCAAACCACGUUACUAUUCACCCGGGUCAAACUAUGUUACUGUUCAUCCGCGUGGUCAAAUCACGUAUUGUUCACGUGUACUGUUGACUGAUGACGUGGCGAAAUCCUGAGCGUCCAAACUGUUUUUAAUCCGAUGGCCACGAUUUACUCAAUGCAUCUAUAAAAAGGGGGAAUUCCCCCCCCCCCCCCAAUUUGAUACCUCUGAAUCCAUUUUUGGGCUCUAUUUUCUGUAAUUCCCUCUCCAUCUUGUAUUUUCUACGUAUUUUAAUAAAUUCCAAUGUUGCCCCUAGUUCAAUUAUGAGUGACUAAUUUCCUUUCAAGCUUGGGUUGAAGGUGAAGUCUCAACAUGUGUCAUGGGCUUUAUUUGGUAAAUUUAUUUUCUUUUCCCCUCUAAUUUUAGUGGAUGAUUUGACUUUUCGUCGACAAAUAAUAAUAAUCUUAUCUAGAUACCGCCUUGGUUACACCGGCUCCCUAGUAUAAGGUUAUUAUUAUUUGGCACGAUAAGCCCUUAGCACAAUAUUGAUUAGAGCGUGGUUCAUGAGGUGUGGAUUUCCCCCUCAUGAUUUAAUUGGUAUUAAUAAAGAAUAUUUAGCCCAUGGUGUAUGUUGAUACGGAUCCAGAUACCCAAGUACGUCAUUUUAAUAGAUUUCUCUUCGAUUUAUUCUCGCCAUUUCAAUUCCAAUUUUACAAUUUAUUCUCACUAUUUCAAUUCCAAUUUUAGGAUAAUCUAAGUCACUUUCACCACAAAAUCCAACCAUCUAUUUACAAAAUUAAUUCUACACACAAUUAAAAUCCACCUUCUCGUGGGAUCGACACUCGUCACCAUUAGUCUAUUCUACAAUAGAUUCGUGCGCUUGCGAGUUCAAUAAAAUUUGCACAACACACGACACGAAGACGACCCAAUGACCUGUUUUGCUAGCUUUAGCCAUAAUAUAUAAAUUUUGCUGAAGAUAUUAUCUCACGCAGGAGGGAGAAUAGUAACUAGUGUAAUAAUAUAAACUUGAGGAAUUUUCUAUUUUUGAAGUAGUUCUUAAGUUGAAUUAGACCGUGGGUUUCUAAAAAUCUAAAAAUUCCAAUAGGAUUCGGCCCCACAUACUAAGACUUACCAAACUCAGAAUUUUUAUUGAGUGAUUAUCGUGUAAAUAAUUGAUUGCAGACGUACAAAUCGAUCUCCAUUAACUGCAAAAUUUCUUGAGGUGACACAAGUGGAUAUAUACUAUCCGUGAUGUACAAGACAAAAUUAUCGAGAAAACAGAUGUGCCAGUUAAUAAUGAAGAACUAGCAGUUGAAGAUGACCAAAGAAUUGUUAUGUGUGUAAGAUUGUAAAGAUAGCAAAUAAAGAUCGAUUUUGAACUUAAAUCAUCAUUCAAUCAUUCAUAUAAAGAUAUAGAAUACUUGUUCCCAAUUCAAAAAUUUGAGUUGCUGCUGCUUUUUUACGCUUGGCUUUCUUACUCUAUACAAUUCACGAUUUUGAAUUAUCCUUGUCCACUUUUUUCAUCCCACUCAUUACACAAUAAUUAUCAUUAAGCCCACAAGUUGGCAAUAAUUAUUUGAAUUGGACCAUUAGCCUACGUUUUGGCCUCGGGAUGCUCCACUCCAGCCUUUAUUUGUAAAUAUUAUUUUCCUCUUAAUGAAGUUACUACUCAAAAAGGAACAAAAAAAAGGUAACUUUUUUAAGAUCAUCUUCCUCCCUUGCAUGAUUAUUUCGUUUCAAUUUAAAAUUUAUUAAAAAAAGCGUAGUUAAAUUUUGGUUUAAAAAGGACGUUGAUGAUGAUACAUCGGUGCCAAAAGCCAUCAAAGAAAGAAAAUUAAAAAAUCCCCAUUGCUUGUGGGUGGACAGAGUUUUAAGCAUAAGAGAUUGUUUGUGUUUCAAAUGUGAGUUUAAUUAGACAUACAUUUGUCGUUUCAUCUACUUUUAAUGAAAGUUAAAGUUAUAAAAUACCUAAGGGAUUUUAAAAAAUAUUUAAAGUGGUGCUAAUAGUCCAACUGUGUUCCUUUUUCAUGUAGAUGAAUACUUAAAUAGGCCAUGCAUCAAGAAAAAUAAAUGCAAGAGGCAAUAGCUGAUAUUGCCAAAAGAAUCGAGAGCUUUCUAAAAUGCAGAAAAUGUGACGGAUAGUGAGUAGGAAUUUGGUGGGUGGACAGAUGUAUAUUUGUGGCAGGAUAAGAAUAAAAAAGAAAGGUUUAAGCUUUAGAGGAUAUAGAAGGAGUUUGAUUUGCGCCUUCUUGGACCGACCAAUGAUUCCCAUUUUCGUUUUGUUUUGUCAUGCAAUAAUUAUUUUCGACAAAGAAGCUGAAAGCCAGGAGACAUAGAUCGGGGAGCGACGAAGAAAUCGUACGACUCUUCUCAUCAGCAAAUUAUCGGAUGAAACAGUUCGACUGUCAGGUGCUCGUGGGGCCCACUUUUGGACACUUCGAUUUUCGUCUUUUUUUUUUCCACUGUCUUUUUGCGAAUUUUUUUUUUACCACUAGCACUAGGUAGGGUGUGUUUAUUUAUUUUUUAUUUUAAAUUUAUAAAUGUAAAAUAUUAAUUUAUAAAGCUGAAUCGGUGUGUACGUAUAGAAAACAGUUAACCUGACAACCGGUAAGUUAAAUGGGUCUGCAUUUGGCGGUUAAUAACCGUUGAGUGAUAAUAUAAUUAUAAAUUUUUAUAUAAAUUAAUUUUAUAUAAGUUAAUGUGAUAUUAAUUUUUGGGUUAAAUUAAAAUAUAAAAUAAUAAAAAUAAAUCAUGUGAGUUAAGAAAUAUUUAAUUCAAUCAAUUAAUACCAUAUCAAUUUGUAUAAAACAAAUUUAUAUAAAAAUUUAUAACUAUAUCAUUACUCGUGAAUAAUUUAUUCGUUGCUCUUGCAACAUGCCAAUUCUCAAUAUCCAUAUAAAAUUUUAAUGGCUAUUACUGAGUGUGUAGGGUACUGGAUAAAAAUGAAAGACAGAAUAAAUUUGACGCCACAUUUUAUUUAAUAUACCGUUCUCCAUAUCAUAACUAGGGAUGUCAAUGGGGCGGGUUCGGGUGGGGAUCAUGAUCCCCGAACCCAAACCCGAUUUAGAAGCAAUCCCCCGAACCCGCCCCAUACCCGGAAAAUUGUAAUGGGGGAUUGUUUGGGUAUAUCCCCGAAAAUUCCCGAAUUGAGCGGAGAUUAAAACGGGGACCCGAUCCCCAUUUUUUAAAUAAUAAUUUCUAAGUAUUUUAAUUUUUUUUAAAUAAUAAUAAUUCUAACAACCUCCAUAUUUAGAAAUAAAAUUACAAAUAAUCAAAUUUCAUAUUAAAAAUAAAAUUACAAGUGAUCAAAUUUUAACAACCUCCACAUAAAUAAAAACAUAAUAAUUUUAAGCCUUCAACAUAAUUACAAAUAAUUAAAUUUUAUACAACAAAUCAAAAUAAUUUUAAGUGUUUAACGUAAAGCCAUCACAAUUGAUACAAACCCCUUCUUACACAUAUUGGGUAGCAAAAUGAAUCUUUAAAAUUGUGUGGCCAGAAUUAGUGAACCCACCACACAGCAAGCAAACAACCCGCGACUGUUUGAGUUUCGCUUUCUUUUCUCCUCUCUUGUCUAGUUUCUUCCACAUGGCUCCCGCCUUCUCCUUCCUUCACUUCAUCUUCUUCCUCAACAAAGCAGCCACAUAGAACAACACGCAUUAUGACGGCUUUAUCAUCAUUACACUCGCUAUUCUUUAGCCCACUUCUCAAAAUCCCUUCACCAAAACUUAAACCGUCACCAUUUUUUACACCACCAACAGCAAGAAACCUUGCUGCAGGAGAACCAACAGGUGCAGCUGAGUGUUGGUCGGUGACGACGAACGGUGGCGGCUGACUGGCUGUUAGUGACGACGGCAGCUCACGAACUGUUAGGGUUUUUUUUGGGGGAAAAAUUUGAUUCGAUGGCAUUACAAUUUCUAAUUUCAAAGUUUAAAAUAUUAGAUUUUUUUUGUUUUUAUUUUCGGGUUGAGUUAGGGGAUCCGGAAAAUCCCCAACCCGAACCCGAAAAAUUUUGGGAUUUUAGACCCAUACCCAAAUAGACCCGAAUUUAUUUUUGGACUUUUUCGGGGCCCAUACCCGCCCCAAAUUAAUCGGGGCCCUGCGGGUUUGGAGCCCCGCGGGUAUUGUUGCCAACUCUGAUCAUAACUAAUUAAACAGUAGGGGUGGGCAAAAUCGGGUUCGGGUCGGGUUCGGAUCAACCCGAUCGGAUUUCGGGUUAGUCGGGUUGGAUAAAAAUCGAUCCGAACUCCACCCGAACUUAAAACCCGAUCCGAUCCGAUCCGAAUUUAAUUCGGAUCGGAUCGGAUCGGGUUAAAAAGUCGGGUGGAGUUCGGAUCGGAUCGGAUACGGGUUAAUUCGGGUUCGGAUUAAAUUUGGGUUAUUCGGAUGAAUUCGGGUUAAUGCGGGUCGGGUGUAAUCGGAUCGGAUUCGGGUUAAUUCGGGUUCGGAUUAAAUUCGGGUUAUUCGGAUCAAUUCGGGUUAUUUGGCAAUUUGGGAUCAAACGUAACUUUAAUUGAGUUACUCCAUUAAUUAUCUUUAAUUAGAGGGAAGAUAGUGAAAGGGAGGAAAAAGAAAUUGUAUGACUUUUAAUAAAAUAACUUAUAAAUUUAAAAAUUAUAUACAUAUGUUAAAAUAUUAUUUGUUAGUGGUUUCAUAUUAGAUUAUGAAGACCCAAAACAUCAGGCUAGAAUUUCUCCUGUCCAAAAGUUUUUCACAAUAAAAAAAUAAAUUAUUUUUUACAAAUUUAAAUCUUAUCCUAUGGUCAUGUGUGUUCAAAAUUCAAAGAAAACCUUAACAACUUGUUAUGUGGCACAAUAAUAAGUGUUAAUGUCUUAUAGUAAAAGAUAAAACCCAUUAAAUUUAAUAUUAAAAUAUAAUAAAUCACAAAAAAAAACCCUCUACCAAAUGGCAAAACUCAAUCAGUGGACUGGAAUGUGGAAUCCACAUUAAUUUUGUCAUGGGGCCACACGUUGAUACUUGAUACUUGAUAAGGAAACAUUUUUUUUUUCAAUUUUUUUAAUUCUUUUUGGCUUUUUGCCAUGGGGAGUUGGCCAGUUGGGGACCUCUGGAGAAGUGGAGAUACAGCCGUUUAAAAGAAAAUUUACAUACACUUUGCAUACACUUUAUCUAAUCCAAAAGACAAACACAGCAAACGUAAGGGAUUAAUUCAUUUUCAUUCUGGAAAUAACAACAUGAACGUGCAUGUCCUUUAUAAAACAAGGACAUUUCUCUUCCACUCUUGUCACCUUGCUAACUAAGACAUUUCUUUCCCACCUUCCUUGUCCUCCCUCAUUCAUUCAUCCAUUCAUUUCAACCAACAAAAAAAGAAAACUACUAUAGAAUUAAAUUCAAAUGAUUCAAAAUUAAAAAUUAACACAAAGCGUAAAAUUAAAAUUAACACAAAGUUUAAAUUUAAUAGUCUCCAUCCAAAGCGCAAUGUCCAAUUCUAAAAUCUAAGCAUUAAUCUUUAGAACACAAAGCUAAACAUAAGUAAAUAGUUUCCAUUUUCCAAAACACAAAUGACAAAGUUCCAAAAUCCAAAACACAACAAAGUUUAAAUGUAAAUCUAGCUCAACUUCCUCCACGGCUCCACCGUUCCUCGCAAGCACUUUGACAAAUUUUAACUUCAAUUUCUUCUACUCCAAGUUGAAGAAUUGAAGCAUAUAUCCUCUAGGAAAAAAUUGAAAAAAUAAUAGAUAACCGUUUAACUACUUUCUUUAAGCCACAUUACAAAUAAAGGGACAUUAAACACAAACACAUAUGCCCAAUUCAUGUGUGUACUUGAUUAAAUAUAAGAAAAAAAAUUAAGUCAAUUGUGGCUUAUUUCAUGGCAUUCAUCAUCAAGUAAAUUUAAUAAUAAUCCUAAUUCCUAAGUAAUACCAUUCCAACAAUUUCAAUGUGUCUAAAAUAAAUGAAACAAUUAUAAAUUAAAACUAUAACAACUAUUGUCUAUUAUUAUAGUGUAAAUUACAACCUAAACAUAUAAUAUGAAACUAUAAAUAAUAAUAUAUAUUAAGAAUUACCUUUCAAAUAUCCAUAACACCCAUAUCAGCGCUCACUGUUUCCACCGUUGAAGCUUGUGAUCUUACAAACUCUUUAAAAUGUCAAAAAAAAAAUGAAAUUAGUAAGUAACUUAAGUACAUAUAGAUGCUAUUUAUAAAGUUAUAAUACAUCUUAACUUUAUAAAGUAUGAGAAAAAUAUUACCUUCAUGUAGCUCCAUAUGGAAUAUCUGCUCUUUAAUAUCUUCCUGAAGGUUGUAGACAGGAUUAGCAAAAAGUUUAGCUUGUAACCAAUUUUCUGUACAUAUCAAUGCCUCAACCAUACAAGGGGUCAAAGAACUCCGAUAUUCGUCAAUGACGCGACGCCCUGUGCUAAAGGCAGAUUCAGAUGCCACUGUGGAAACAGGAACAGCGAGGACAUCCCUUGCAAUUUUCUCUAAUAUCGGAUACUUCGAUCCAUUAACCUUCCACCAAAGCAAAACAUUGAGCUUAAGAUUGCUUGGAUCUUCAACUGGGUCACUCAAAUAUCGUUCCACCUCAGAUACUACUCUCUUGCCCUCAUUCUGAACAAACACUUUCUGAGCAUACCCAAAGAAAGGGCGAGAAACUCGGAAAAUGUCAUCACCAUCACCACUAGGACCCUCCGACAAACCAACCUCAGUUGUAAAAUAAGGAGAAUAACUUGUACCACCAUAGUUGUCGCUAGGAACACUCUCACUACACAUCGAUGGUGUGGAACUAGAGCACAUUGCACUAUAUGCAUCAUAAAGCUCAUUCAACAAAUCUUUCACUGCUUUGGUCAUUUCUUCAACUUUCCAACCAUCAUUGGCAAAAAUGAUCUCAAAAAUAUGUUUGGCAAAAUCCAUUUUAGCUCGUGGAUCAAGAAUAGAGGCAACAAUUAACAUUUUAUUUAUCUUCCCUGAAGACUCCCAAUAUUUAUCAAAUUUUUCCCUCAUUUGAUAAGCCAUAGCCACCACCCAAGGAUCUCUACUUCCCUCUAAUGCAGUCAAUGAGCUCUCAAUUAAGCCAAUGGUAUCAUAACAAAGAUUAGAAGUCACACUCAAAGAAGCAGAAAAUAACAAUGUGGCAUCAUAAAAUACCUUCAAAAACUUUACAAUUCGCCCUGCACUCUCCCAAUCCUCAGGUCCAGGCGGGCCCACCCUCUUAACGUUAUAUUCUUUCUCGAGAAAAUAUGCCUCAUACGGUUUAUCCACCUCUGCCAUUCUAUCAAAAGCUGCUUGAAACUUCAACGCAGUCAUCAACAUUAAAUAGGUGGAAUUCCACCUAGUAGGACAAUCCAAAACAACCGUUCCAUUUGGACAUUUUACUUGUUGAGCACACUGUUUAAAUGCCUGUAGCCUCGUUGUGGAGGAUCUCACAUACUUCACAGCAUUCCGAAUGGCGGCAACACUAGCAUGCAAUUCAUUCAACCCCGAAACAACAAUCAAGUUCAAAAUAUGUGCACAACAACGCACAUGCAUAUACUGACCCGCCAAUACAAUUGCAUCAUCAUUCCUCCAAGCAAGUAAUUGCAUAGUCACAUAAUUAACCGCAACAUCAUUUGUACUGGCAUUAUCAACAGUUAUUGCAAACAACCUCUCUAUCCCCCAAUCUUGUAAACAAGCUACAAUCGUUUUACCGAUCGUUUUCCCUCUAUGAUCUUCAAUCACACUGAAACUAAUAAUUCGUCUGUUCAAACACCAGUCACUAUCAAUAAAAUGAGCUGUGAUCACCAUGUAGCUCAUGUUUUGAACAGAAGUCCAUAAAUCAGUGGUAAGAGACACUCGCUGUUUGUUGUUGCAAAUCAAACUCUUCAACAUUAUCUUUUCUUCCAAAAAUAAAUCCAUAACAUCUCUACCAACAGUUCUCCGAGAUGGCAUAACAAACUGUGGAAUGGCUACACUACAGAAAUGCCUGAACCCUUUGUUAUCCACAAAACUAAGUGGCAACUCACCCAUAAUGAUCAUUUUGGUGACUGCCCUUCUACAAGCGUCUUGACUCCACCCUUUAGCCAAAACCAUAUUACUUGCAUUUCCUUCCCCACCCUCAGUUGUCAAGUUUUGUUGACUUCCCUCUUGUUGUUCCCGGAAUGUCUUGUAUGCAAGGCAAGCCAGUAUAUGAUUUCUCAUAUUUGUAAUCCCAUCACGCCUUGAAUGACAUUGAUAUUGUCUACCACAAUAGUUGCACUUGCAUUUGUUUGGAUUGUUCUCGAGCAAAGUAAAAUGAUUCCACGUCGCAGAUCUUUUCUUCAUCGCUGGUCUUUUCCGCUUUGCCUUUUGAGUUCCUUCCAUUUGAACACUUUGAUUGUCAUCAUCACUUAUGGAAUUCGAUCUUGAGUGUCCAGACAUCUAAACAUACAAAUAAAUAAUUAUUAAUCAUUAAUUCAUAAAUUAAAACACAAAAAGACUAUUAAAAAAAUCUACUUAAUAGUUAGUAUUACAAAUUGAUUCAAAUAAUUGUUAAUUUAAUUUUAUGAAACUUUUUGAAAUCGAUAUUUCCAAUUUUCCACCAUAAUGUUUAUAUAUGAUCAAGAAUUCAAGAUGCAUAUUCCAUAAAAGAAAACCAAGAAAUUAAACUAAUUAUUUAAUUUAUAAUAUCUAAUUAUCCAUUGGCCAAAAUAAUAUAAUAUUAAUUACAUAUCCGUAUCUUAAAUUCUUAAUUCUUAUUAUGCCCACAUUAUAUGUAGUUAACCACUUAAUAUUUACUUAUUGGUUAAUGGUUAUCAUGCAAUUAAUAAAAUUGAUUAAUUAUUUAUUGAAGUUGAAACUUGAAACUACUGCAAUUAAAUUGGUUAAUAGUUAAUUUUUUGUUAAAGUUGAAACUAUUCUACAAAUACACAUAUCAUAUGACAUAUACAAUUAUAAUUUAUAUUGUAACAUAAUAUUUAAUUUUAAUUUUUAAUCUAACAUUACUAUUCAUACAAAAAAUCAAUUAUUAAUUAAUAACAGAAAAUUAAUGCCAGAUUAUUUUCAUUUUAUUGAUAAAAUUUAACAAUAUAUAAUUAACAAUUUAACAUACAAAAUUACAAUUAACAUUUCUCAUAUAACAUAUAACAAAUAAAAAUUAUAAUUAAUCAUUAAUGCAUAUAUAAUUAUAUAAUAUAUACCAUCUCUUAAAUAACUUUAAAAGCCGGAUUUGCUGUCUUGCACUCUUGCUUUGCUUAUUCCGUUAUUCGGGCUUCAGCCUUCAAGCCUUCAAGUUCCAAUUCCAAAGUCCAAACUUCCAAAUCCCAAACAGAGAGUGAAUGAAGAGAGUCAGAGAGACAAAGACCUUUUGAGUUUUGAGACUGGAGGCUGGAUCCGUGACCCGUGAGGCGUGACCGUGAAUGGGUGUGGUGGCCGGAUGUCAACACUCAACAGCCGUGACCCGUGGAUGCCAAUGGUGGAGACUCGAGUGGAUCGGAGGCAGCUUGCUGGGUGGAUCUUCAAUCGGACUGAGUUUUGGUGGAGUGGAGGAUUCAAGGCGUGGAUCUGGCACUUGGUUGCAGCAGAUCUGUGGAUCGGGUCACGAUCUUCGCGAAUCAGCUUCGGCUUCGGUUGGGGUCGUUCUCGGAAGUGGUUGCUGGCUGCGUGUGGUGGCCGGUUGAAGCUAGCUCCGUGAACUGUGCGUGUGUGUUUGCUGCGCGUGGUGAGAGACAAAGGCCGUGACUCCGUGAGGCGUGAAUGAGCGUGGGACAGUGGGUUGGCUGCUGCCUGCUUGUGCUUGACGGCUACUGGUUUCAGUGAUUUUUGUGUGACACUGUGACAGUGAGGGUUUGUGAAUUGUGAUAGUGAUACCGUGAGUGAGGGUUUGUGACUGUGAGUUGUUACUUGUUACUUUGCUUGUGUUGUUUUCUUGGUGAAUUAUUGAAUUGUUUUGUAACUUUUGUUGCGGUGAAUACUGAAUAGUUUGGAGUGAAUUGACUGAAUUCUUGAAUUGUUUUGUUGCGGUGAAUACUUUGUGAAAUGUGAAUUACUGAAUUGAAUUGUGAAUUACUGUAAAUCCGUGACUCUGUACUCUGUAGUUGUACUGUGAUCUGUAUUCUGUUUCUGUGAGAGUGUGAGUUACUGAUUCCAUGCAUGUACUCGUGUGAGAUGUGAGUGUGUCAUGUGUGUGUCUGUGUGAUAUUGUAAGUGUAAAUCUGUAAUUUUUGCCCAAUUUUUUUUUUUGUCUCAACCCGAUCGGGUUUUCGGAUCGGAUCGGGUUUCACCCGAUCCGAUCAUGAUCCGAUCGGGUUGAGACAAGUUCACCCGAUCGGGUUUUGUUGACCACCCGAUCCGAUCCGAACCCGAAAUAUUUCGGGUCGGGUCGGGUCGGAUCGGGUCGGGUCGGAUUAUUUGCCCACCCCUAUUAAACAGCCGCUACUUUCUUGGAAAAUCAUAAGUAUUAAAGAAAAAGACAAAAGUAAACAAAUAUAGAAAUAUGGAAAGAAAGCUUUCAAGUCUAUUCAUCAAUAAAGCCGAAAAUAGCAUCUAACCAAAAGCUGAUAUUCACAGACACUGACCAUAUUAAACCAACCAUUUCCAAAACGGAAGAAAAAGAUUUAGAUUCCACCUUAUAAAUAUAGUCAAUGUAAUUAAAAUUAUUAAUUCAAAAUGCUAAUCUGACCAUCACCGACAAACAUUCUCAAACCUCAACUUAAAUUAUUAACUCAUUCAAAUAGCAUCAUAUGUAAGUUGCCUUACAAUAUCACAUCACACCCAUGAUGCUUGUCAAUAACAAUAGCUAUAGAUAACAGAAUCUCAGCACAUCCCCAGUUUAACGACCCAUCCACAAACUUAAACUGCAAUCAAAGCACCAUAUCAUUGCAGGAUACAUAAACACAACUCAGCUAAACUACCCAUUCAAAACUUGGCUCAUAUCACUGUUAAAGUUUCACUCUCAUUCAUGAUUGCAUCAGCCCAAAUUAACUAUCAUAACUGAUUCAAGUAAUUGGUCUUCAAUUAAAAAUUGCAAUCCUGUUGAUAAUUCUAGCAUGUCAAUUUUUUAUUUUAGCCAUAUUGUCAGGUAAUUAAAUGGCUAACCACACACCCACUGCAUUAAUUAUUAAAGGAAGAAAUUAAGCCAUUAACACAUUAAAUCUAAGCAAAAUAACUUAUGAGGACCUCCCCCCCCCCCCCUUCCCGGGGCACAAAAAAAAAUUAUCAAGCAGGAAAAACAACCUGAUUUUUCAGUUUUGAGUAACAAAAUCACUCAAUUGCAUAUAAUAGCAUUUCUUUUUUCUACUUACUGCUGUUCUCAGCUCCCUUAAAUGCACAACUACUCUUUCUAAAACCCAAUUGCUCUCUUUCCCUCCAUUUCCUUUUCUUCCUCUUCUCUCUUUUUUAAUUUUUUAUUUUCUUCUGUUACAUGAGUUCCUUUCUCAUCAAUUAGUGUGGAGAAAAACGAAAACAGGAUAAAUUUCGACUCAAAAUUUUAUUAGUAUGCGUAUGUAAGUACACUAUUGAAUACGCCUUAAACAACUGCCUUUUUUUCCUGCAAUAAUCACACUAUAUAUAACAAAUAAUACAACAAAAGAAUAGAAGUUUAAGUAGAAUCCAGGUUGUCUGCUACUCGGCUUCCAGUUCCACCCAAAAAACUGCUCAAACAUCUUCGUUCAGGUAACCACGCACAGACUCUGUUAUUGCCAUAACUAAUUUAUCACAUGACCAUAAUUUCCAGAACACCUUGCGCUUGUUCAAUGGGUUGUUCAACUUGAGGGCGAGCUAGCAGAUGCGCGUUGACAAAGGCGACAAUGAAGACAGUGAGACGUCGAAGCCAGUUGAAGCAGCGCUUAAACAGAGAAGCUAGCGUUGCAUAACAGAGUGAUAAGAUUAUGAGGCACAAAUAGACUACCAAAAACAGAGACGGAGCCAAAAUGACAGAGGCUACUGCUGAGACAGCCAACAGAACAGAGAGUUCUCCACAACUCACGGAAAUGGGUCGGCUCACAUUGAGAGGGACUCUGAUGGGUGUGAGGAGGAAGAGCAGUAAUGGGAUGACGACGGCAGGAAUCAGGAACCAGAACUGAAGCUUUAAAAUUGGAUACAAAAGUAUCUUACUCGUACCAUCUUGGACGUCCCAAGAGUUGCCAUCCUGAGACUUGAGGAACAGAAAAAAGAUUAUAAGAUUCAGCAAUGGAAGAAAUAGAAACCUCAAAUCGAUUGAAAAAUUCAUGCUUGUUAGUAUAAGACUUGGCAGAGAUGAAUGAGUUUAAUUAUUAUGAAUAAGAUUUGGCAAUGGCAGAGUUAAACACAGGCUGCCUUUUGCUUCCUCUCUCUCUUCUCUCCGCUUUUUUUCUUCUCUCUCUCUCUCUCUUCUCUCAGCUGUUUUUUAUCUCUCUCUCUCUUCUCUCAACACAUGCUUUCUUAGCAUUUAGCAUUUUUGUUUCUAAAAUACGGUGAGUCUGGGGGCAUUUUUAUAGAGGAUGAAAUCUUUGUGCAGCCUAAGCCAAAAAAAUUAGAGGUUUGGACAAAGCGAAAAAAAAGAAAGAAGUGCAAAGCCAAAUGGAGCAUGGAGCAUGGAGCAUGCACAUGCAGGUUGUGGGAGAGGGACAUUUUUUCGAUCCUUUGAGUUAGUGGGAGAAAGAGAUUAGCCUCCUCCGCAUUAAGAUUUGAAGAUUCCGUUGGUUUGGCUGAUUCAGCACAUAACAUAAAUUUCAACAAGCUGUCAAGUCACAUAAACAAGGAAAAUUAACUCAAUAAAGUGAAGUAGGCACGAAUUAGAGUGAUUUUUAAAAUGCGGUGAGUCGGGGGCUUUUUAUUGUGGUUGGGGUCCAUGAGGAUGAAAUGUUAUUGGUUCGAUACACGUCUUCAAUAAUAUUUGCGGAACCAAUUAUGAAGAUAAUGGAGUUGGGGAUUUUGGGGCUGUAUUUUUCCCUUUUUUUUUUUAAUUUUCAAAACAGUCUUCCAGGGUUUUCAAAACAGUCGUUUUCAAAAAAAAAAAAAUUUCAAAACAGUCGUUUCAGUCUUCCAGGGUUUUCAAAACCUCAGUACGUUUUUUUUUUCCUUUUUUCUGUACAGGUAUUUUCUUUUUCUUUUUUUAAUUACAUGAGACUAAUGCUCAGAUUACAACUCAUAUUAUAUGAGAUUUACAACUGAUAUUUACAAUCAGACAAUUACUGAGCCUAAUUUACAUGAAUUCUUAUGUAGCACUGCCUAGAUUUGACCCUCUCUAAUAUUCGAGGGGUGUCUACUCCACUCACAUUUCGAAAGGGAGUAAACUGCCUUCACUUAAUAAUUAAGGAAGGAAAUAAACCCCUACUUACAUUGCGGGGGCUCGAACCAUUGCGCUCACAGUUGUGAGUGCAAGGUUCUGGCCACUGGGCUAAGGCCCAGUUGGUUCUGUAUAGGUAUUUUCAAACUUACCUUUUCAAAGUUUAUAUAUAUUUUGCACACUGCGCACAAAAUAUAUAUGAACGAAUGAUUCAUGUUCCAAUAAAUAGAUGCACCUAACAAAUUAGAACUAUUCAUGAGAUGUAAAUUAAAUUAGUGUUAGAUAGAAAUAUACUGAGAUUAAACUACAAUUAUGUGUAAUUAAACUAUCUUUGUUUUCAUGUUAGUGCGACCAAAAUGAGAUUAUGUACAACAAAUAUAACCAUAUGAAAUAAAGUGAUGUAAUAAAAAUGCCAACAAUAUUUUAUGUACAAGUUUUCCGUGCCAAUAUCACUAGUGGCAUGAACAAAAACACCGACAUAUACAAUAAUCUCUCAAAGGAGAGAUUGUCAAUUUUCUUCAUUAAAUUUAGAUUAAAGUAAAUUUCAAAUUUUUAACUUAAUAAAAACCACUUAAUACACACACAUAAAUAUUCUAUGCUUACAGUACAAUCAUUUUUGGACUUUCUCUUAUGGGCUAUUUUUUUUUUUUUUUUGAGAUAAAUUUAUGGGCUAUUCACUGGUUGCUUGGGUUCCUCUAUGACGUUAUAUUUUUUUUACAAAAUUAAUAAUGGAAGAAAUAUGUACCAUUAUUUUUAUUAAUAAAAAUUUAUAUAAUUUCCAAAAAAUUAAAGGUUUGGACAAAAGAAAAAGCGAUUAGAAAAGAAAAUAGAAAAAAAUACAAAGCCAAUGGGACCAAACCUCCAAAGAUAUGUUUUUCCAUUCUCAUCCAACACCUUCCCAUUUGUUUAUUAUUUUUUUAUUAAUUUAUUAACUUUUUUAGUGGGGAGGAGGCAAGGAAGCUAAGCUAGCAGCAUAAGUAUCUGCUAAGUUAAUAAAUUAAUAAAAAUAAUAAUAAACAAUUGAGAUGAUCAAAAGUUCAAAAUUUCUUACCAUCGCACAUGCAAGAUGAUCAAUAUUUCCAUCGCUUAGUAUAUGUAUACGUAGGUAGUAUUCACAUUUUAAAUUAGUAUGAGAAUCUUAUAUUUCAGAGUGUAGAGAGGGGUGAGAGUGAAUUGUUUAUUUACACUGAAAUGAGAGCAUGAAAUCGAAAUCAGAGUUCAAUUUUUGUAUUUUCCUUAUCUUAAAUUGGGAAUAAAUAGUUUCAAAUUAUAAUUUUACUUUUAUUUAAAAAAUUAUAAUUUUUAAAUACAAAAUUAUAAAAAAAAUUAUAUUUGAAAUAUAAAAUAUUUAAUUUUAUUUAUUUAUAAAUUUACCCAUGUUUAGAAAAAAAAAUAAAAAAAACUAUCAGCAUAUAAAUUACAACAAGCUGUCAAUUCACAAAAACAAGGAAAAUUAACUCAAUCAAGUGAAGUAGGCCACAAAAAGACCUCUAAAAUCGAAUCAGAUUCAGUUAAAACAAAUAAUCACCCAUCAAUCAUAAGCAAAAGCAAAAAAGAAAUGAAUAACAGAAAGAAAUUUCUUAUAAAAAUUCAAUACAAAUAAAAAACAAAUUAGCUAGUCUUCUUUUUUGGUAUAGUGAUUUCGUCAGCAAAUAAGACAAAAAUUGAAAUUCCGAAAUAUAUUUAGGAUUUCUAGCUUUGGAAAUUUACCUUACAAGAAACCGGGCUCUCUGCUUCUGGCUUUGUCUUUGUAACUUUACUAUUGUGGACGAGCCACUCCGAUCAGCUGAGAUGCUCGCAUUUCGCACCGGCAACGAUGCAAAUGUUUGGGUUUGGAUUUGACGAUAGACGGAGGAAUGCUUAGGGUUUUAGGUGAUUUUUUGAAAUUUUUUAUCGAAGUGAAAAUAUCAAAAUAACCUUUACACAUUUAAUAUUCAGGGUACUUAUACAGUUAAAUUUUUCUUUAGAAUAAAAACAAAAUAUUAAUUUAGACUCAGAAUUUUAUUAAUAUACCGUUGUUCAUUUGGACCAUAAUACAAAAACCACGAAAAAAAAAAAGAAUAGAGUGUGUCUGCUACCGCUAAAAAUGCUUUUCAAACAAAAGCCGAAAACAGCAACUAAGCUUUUACAGACUAUAUACAUAUAGAUCAUUGUAAUAACUAACUAGAAAAUGGAAAGUUAGCAUAUAUUCAUAAAACACUCGUAGUUCUACCCUAUGUUAUUUUAUUAGGCAGGGUUUAUUUACGAAAUAAUAUAAUUUUAAACAUUUUAUUGGGUGUAUUUUAUAGCUAAGAUGGGAUGGAAAUAUCACUAAAACACUCGUGGCACUGGCACCAGCAAAAUCAUACACUUUAAUAGGUACUAGGGCCUAACAGUGGCACCAGCUAUAUCAUACAUACAUACGUAUAUAUUCUCAUCUUCAUCAGUUGGACUUGGCUGCAGGUUUUGGAUGUGGUUCCCUUCUACUCCAAUAAUGUUCUCUUCAUCAACUUGAUUCCCGUUCGCACAUGCAGUUGAUCACGAUCAAGAUUGUGCGAGUAAUGGGUGUUAUUGCUCUGAGAUUUCAGAGCCAAUGGAAAAUAUUAUUACAGUAUGAUCAAUAUGAAUUGACCAAGAUUCUUUUGUGGGUUGGCGAGAUGCUUUUGGCAAACCCUACCCAGUCUUUGCCCACUAAUUUUUGUUUAAAUUAAAUUAAGUAAUUAUUUAAUUAACCUAUUGAGUACAAAGGGCAAUUUGAUUCUCCUUUUGUUGUGGCUAAGACGUAUUGCACGAGCUUCUUUUUUUUUUUUUUUUUUUCUAAGUUGUAUUGCACGAGCUCUUAAUAUAAUCACAAACUUUAUAAAUUUAUUACUUUUUUUUCCUUUCUUUUCUUUUCUUUUCUCUCUCUCUCUCUCUCCCUCCCGGGACUGGGGAGCUUGGGUCAUAAUUAGUUUUAUAGCCUAUAGAUAUAAUAUUGAGUAGUGACAGGUUUUGACCUUGAGUGCUAAUCAGUAGGGAUCAAUAUUAAUUAAUCAAGAAUCUUUACAAAAAGUAUCGAGUCCCAUUGGUUCCUCGGGUUGGGGAAGUGCGUUUCUCAAGCCCCGCCGAGUCUCCGCGACUCCGCCCACUGAUUUUUGUUUAAAUGAAAUUAAGUAAUUAUUUAAUUAACCUAUUGAGUACAACGGGCAACUGGAUUCUCCUAUGUUGUCGGUAGGUUGUGUUGCACGAGCUUCGCUUUUUUUUUAAAAAAAAAUAUAUAUAUAUUAAGAAAAGACCUUACCCCUUCAGCACAUUCAUCUUUUAAACCGUAAGUAAUCAUUCCAGAGGAUGCAUCGUGGGAACUUCGCUGAUCGCUGAGUGUAUUGCCUCAAAAAAGAACUCUUAAAUUCAUUAUAAGUUUCAUAAGAUCAAAGCUGAGGGUAGAUUAAUUGAACAGAUAAACUAAGCUUGCUGUUGAUAAGAUAACUCAUCACAAUGAGACAAAGUUGGCAAGCAAGAUAACUACUGGCUCCAUGCAUAGCAACAAAGAAUCACCAGAAUCCAACAUUAAAACCAUUGAAACAAAUUUAGCAAUAUACUCAGUCGUGACUAGAGGAAUCCCACUAUCAAGAUUGAGUCUUCAUGAUUAAUUGAGUAUUAUUUACUAACUGCUAGAAUAUCUCUAGCCGGCUGUUAUUAUAUAUAUUAGGAAAGUAUUGUUUUAAUAAGUCACAAAUUUAUCUCUGUGAUGGCUUGUCAAAGUUGUAUAUAUAUAUGAGUCAUAUUCUUGUAAUUCAAAAUAAGAAAGAAUAAUAUAUUCUUUUGUCCUUUCAAUAUUAAUCUUUAGCUGUGACUAUUAAAAAUAUGUUCAUGACAUUAUACUCACAGAAAUUUAUUAAGGCAGUCAUAAUUUUGCCAUUUAUGUAUAGAGUAUUGAAAAUUAUUGAAUUUCAUAAAAAAAUGGGUUAAAUUAUAGAAUUUCAUUUCAAAAAAAGUUAAAUUAAACUUAUCAUAAAGCAACCUUAACUAUCAAUCCAAGAUCUAAGUGACUAAAAAACGAUUAUGAGAAUAAUUUAAUUGAUUAAUUAUCAAUUCUUUUUUAUAUGUAAAAUUGGUACUGUACAAGUUAAUUAUAAUUAACUAACGGAAAUGUAGUAAAAUAUAGGGUUAUUAGAGAUAUUUAACAAUUCCGAAAGUAUUAUGGUAUAAAAUGUUAUACCCUAAUAUUUCUUGCAGCAAUUUAUUUUAAAAUUUCUAAAAUAGUAAAAUGAAUAUAACACAUAAAAUUAAUUAAAUUAUUAACAUAGAUUCUGUCCUUUAUAGUAAUUUCAUUAGAUGUUUCAUGAGAUCAAAGUUGAGGGUGAGUUAGUCCAAGAAAAUGGUUGUGGAUGGUUAUAACAUUCGACCAAAAAUAAUAUUAUUAUUUGAUUGGAGCCAUAGUAGGCCCAGUCCCAGUUAGAGCUGGCAAAACGGGUCAUCUGGUUGUGUUCGUAUCGUGUCAGCUUCGUGUCGUGUCAAAUUUAAGUCAAUCCAAACCCGACCCACUUAAUAAUCGUGUCAAACUAUUAAGACCCAAACACGACACGAAAAAAUAACCCAAUAAUCCGUUUAAUACCUAUAUAUUGAACAAAAGUUACAUUAAAUAUUUACACACUAUCAUACAUAUGUAUGUACAUACAUACAUACAUAAUUUAUCGAUAUUAUAAAAUAUACAUAUCUACCUAUAUAUUACACAUUUACACUAUUGAUGUUUUAGUUAUAUAUAUAUAUAUAUAUAAUAUUAUAUAUCAAUAUUAUAAAAUAUACAUGUCUAUCAAUUUUUACACAUUUACACUACUGAAACUCUAAAUAUAUUUAAAAUUUAUAAAUACAACACUGUGUUUAUAUUCACCCUUUUAAAGAAUAAAAAAAAAAUCAUCAUUAAUAUUUCAGUUUUAAUAAUAAGAAUAUGUAAAUGAUUUUAAAAUAGAAAAUAUAAUCGGGUCAUUGUCGGGUAAAUGGGUCAAGAAUUUUAACCCUAACCCGACACGGAAAAAAAUCAUGUUGACUUGGAUUUGAUCCAUUUAAUAAUUGUGUUAAAUUUAACGACUCAUACCCAUUUAUUUAUGUCGUGUUCGUGUCGAGUAAUCCGAUCAUGUCAAAUUUUACCAGCUCUAGUCCCAGUCCCUUGUGCCCGUUCCGUCACUGGCAAGACAGUCUGGCAUGCAAGCAAGCGAAAGAGGAAAAUGUGAUGUAUUAUUACAUCACUUGCCAAAUGUGUAAUAUUUGCUUACUUGGACUUCAAAGUCGGUGGUUUAAUGAAAUUGGAACAUUUUCAGAAUUUAAGAAUUAGGAUUCUCUUCUAAUCUCAUAUUCUUUUGAGCAAAUUUUAUCAACAUAAUUAGCAGUUAGUAAAUGAUGCAGUGGAAGUUUAAUGUUCAAAAUAUUUCGUUGAUUUUAGAGAAUACCGGAAUGAAAAAACAAUUAAAUUCACGUUGAUUCAAAAGAAUACCGCAAAUUUAGGGGUUAAGACUCGUUGAUUCCGCAGAAUAUCGAGAAUUAAUUGUUCAAAUAUUCACAAAGAGAUUUAAAAAUUGAAAUAUUAUUGAACUCAAAAUUCUGCCUUCAAAGGCUAUAAAAGACACUUAUUUAUACUAAUUAAGAGACUUAUCUUAAUUUGAUUAGAAAACUUAUUUUAAUAAGACUUAUACCUAAAUUAGAAAUAUUACUCAAAUAAGCAAUGCCUAAAUAAUAAGACUCUAAAUAGGAAACCAAAUUAAGCUAGAAUACAAAUGAACUAAAAUAUUCCUAAAUAUUAUACAUGUAAAUCUAAUUAAGAUUUCUUCAAUUUCUUGCUCUGCAUCAGUAAAUUAACAAGUAAAGGUAGUUAAUACAUAUUAAGUCGAUUAUUAGGCAACUCGAUUAUUUUUCCAUGUCGGGUUUGAGUCUCAAUAUUUUGAUACGAUUAUUAAAUGAAUCGAGUUUGGGUCAACCUAAAUUUGACACAAUACGAAGACGACCCAAUGACCUGUUUUGCUAGCUUUAGCGAUAAGAUAUAAAUUUUGCUGAAGAUAUUACCUCACACAGGAGGGGGAAUAGUAACUAGUGUAAUAAUAAAAACUUGAGGAAUUUUCUAUUUUUGAAGUAGUUCUUAAGUUGAAUUAGACCGUGGGUUUCUAAAAAUCUAAAAAUUCCAAUAGGAUUCGGCCCCACAUACAAAGGCUUACCAAACUCAGAAUUUUUACUGAGUGAUUGUCAUGUAAAUAAUUGAUUGCAGACGUACAAAUCGAUCUCCAUUAACUACAAAAUUUCUUGAGGUAACACAAGUAGAUAUAUACUAUACGUGAUGUGCAAGACAAAAUUAUCGAGAAAACAGAUGUGCCAGUUAAUAAUGAAGAACUAGCAGUUGAAGAUGACCAAAGAAUUUUUAUGUGUGUAAGAUUGCAAAGAUAGCAAAUAAAGAUCGAUUUUGAACUUAAAUCACCAUUCAAUCAUUCAUAUAAAGAUAUAGAAUACUUGUUCCCAAUUCAAAAAUUUGAGUUGCUGCUUCUUUUUUACGCUUGGCUUCUCACUCUAUACAAUUCACGAUUUUGAAUUAUCCUCGUCCACUUUUUUCACCCCACUCAUUACACAAUAAUUAUCAUCAAGCCCACAAGUUUGCAAUAAUUAUUUGAAUUGGACCAUUAGCCUACGUUUUGGCCACGAGAUGCUCCACUCCAGCCUUUAUUUGUAAAUAUUAUUUUCCUCUUAACGAAGUUACUACUCAAAAAGGAACAAAAAAAAAGGUAACUUUUUUAUGAUCAUCUUCCUCCCUUGCAUGACUAUUUCGUUUCAAUUUAAAAUUUAUUAAAAAAAGCGUAGUUAAAUUUUGGUUUAAAAAGGACGUUGAUGAUGAUACAUCAGUGCCAAAAGCCAUCAAAGAAAGAAAAUUAAAAAAUCCCCAUUGGUUGCGGGUGGACAGAGUUUUAAGCAUAAGAGAUUGUAUGUGUUUCAAAUGUGAGUUUAAUUAGAUAUACAUUUGUCGUUUCAUCUAAUUUUAAUGAAAGUUAAAGUUAUAAAAUACCUAAGGGGUUUUGAAAGAUAUUUAAGGUGGUACUAAUAGUCCAACUGUGUUCGUUUUUCAUGCAGAUGAAUACUUAAAUAGACCAUGCAUCAAGAAAAAUAAAUGCAAGAGGCAAUAGCUGAUAUUGCCAAAAGAAUCGAGAGCUUUCUAAAAUGCAGAAAAUGUGACGGAUAGCGAGUAGGAAUUUGGUGGGUGGACAGAUGUAUAUUUGUGGCAGGAUAAGAAUAAAAAAGAAAGGUUUAAGCUUUAGAGGAUAUAGAAGGAGUUUGAUUUGUGCCUUCUUGGACCGACCAAUGAUUCCCAUUUUCGUUUUGUUUUGUCAUGCAAGAAUUAUUUUCGACAAAGAAGCUGAAAGCCAGGAGACAUAGAUAGGGGAGCGACGAAGAAAUCGUACGACUCUUCUCAUCAGCAAAUUAUCGGAUGAAACAGUUGACUGUCAGGUGCUCGUGGGGCCCACUUUUGGAACUUCGAUUUUCGUCCUUUUUUCCCACUUUGUCUUUUUGCGAUUUUUUUUUACCACUAGCACUAGGUAGCGUGUGUUUAUUUAUUUAUUUUUUAAAAUUUAUAAAUGUAAAAUAUUAAUUUAUAAAGCUGAAUCGGUGUGUACGUAUAGAAAACAGUCGACUGCUGCUCCAUCUCCGCUACUACUGUUGCUCCGUCUGUACUCAAUUUGGACUACUGCUCAUGCUGCUCUUUGCUUCGUCUCUGCUACCGUCUCUACUCGCUGGUACUAGUCUUCAAUUUUUCGAUUUGAGUAAAUUGUGAGUGUGGUUCUUUUUGUUUAUUUUAGAUCCAAAUCAUAUUCAUUUAAUUUUUUAGACAAAUAGGAUGGUCGUUUCUUGAGCUCUGCACUUGUAUCUUAUUUAAGGAAUGUUAGAGAAAGGAAUGAUAUGCUUUUGGCUCGAUUUGUGAGAAAAGAAACACAUAUCUAUUUAGAUGUCCAUAUGAGAAAUAUGAGAAGGAAAGAAAUUAGGAUACUUGUCCAGUGAAUUACAAAAUUUUGUGCUUGGUGGCUCCAUAAAAGUAGUUCAAAUUGAAAUUUGAUAGGAAAGCCUUUAAUGGGAAUUGUGAGACAGAGGAAAUAGCUUUUUUCUUAGAGUUUCUUAUUUUUAUUUUUUUACUCAAAAGUCUAUUAAUUCUUAUUUCCUAUAUGAAUUGUAGACAACUUUGUUUAGUUCUCUUACUUGUAUUUUCAUUGAUUAAAAGGGUAUGAAUUUGAUUGAGAAGUGUUUGGCUAAAGUGAAUCUUAGAUGUAUUUAUUAAGUUUAAUGGAACAAUCCUAGUUAAUUUUGAUGAUUUAUACAUGCAUUUAAUGUCAUUUUUAAUAAUUCAUGUACAGGAAAUAUAGAUUCUUGGCUUUGCUUGGACUUAUGGUUUGCGCAAAUUUCAUUUGGGAUCAAUAAGCUUCAAGGAUAAGCACUUGUAGUUCAUCCUUUUUUUUUUUUUCGGAUGGGACUUGCUUUUCUUCCAUCCAUCUUUUUAAUUCUCUAUUUCUGUGGCAGCAGUUUUAUGUUUUGUGUUGUUCGGGAAAGUACAUGUUGAAAUUUUGUCAAACCCUGUUGACGUACUCUAAUCACUUUGCUGCAUGGCGCAAGCAUAAACAUUGUUGUUGUUAGAGCUUGUUUACACAAAAUAAGUGUAACUUGAAAGUACAUUGUACACUAUUGAAUUUGAUUUAUCUCCAGCAAGUAUUAACAUAUGAUGUCUAUCAUGUAAUUUUUUAUAAUUAUUUUGUUUAAUUUAUUUGUGUUGUAAUAUGCAACUUAAGUAUACUGUAAAAAAUGAUGAUAAUGUCAAACUUUUCCCUAUUAAUGUUAAUACUAAAAACUUUAUCAUUAUAUGAUUUUUUAUAAUUAUUUUGUUUAAAUUAUUUAUGGUAUGUAUGUGUAUGUAUUAAUUAAACAAUUAUUUUUUAACUAUGACUUAAAUGUUUAGUAAAAAUUAUUUUUGAAAAAAGUAUUACCAAAUGUAUAUUCUCUGUUUUUAUGAUUUUCAACUGUGUCUACCAAACGCAUAUUACUACUUUCAGUUUUAAAAUACAUAAUACAGAAAAUGAUACUAGACGCAUAUUUAAAUUCGAAAUACAGCAACUGCAAAACACCAUUUUUAUUCUUAUUUUUAUUCUCAGAAAAUAUAAAUUCAGAAACAGUACCAAACAGGCCCUAAAUGGUCUGCAUUUGGCGGUUAAUACUCAACAAGCUCCAUGUGCUAGUUCGCUUUGAUGUCCCACUUUUCAAAUAUUUCAUCGCUUGCUUUGAAUAGUUGCAAAGCCUUUUUUCCGAAAAAAUGUUAAAAGUAAUACAAUGGAAAAUAAUUUAAUACAUGCAAGUCAAAAAUUAAAGUUCAACAAAGGGGUUUAGUGGAUAUUAGGGUAAUAAUCUUUGGUGGGGCUCUAUCAAUUUGACAUUAAUUUCUUACUAGAUGUACACUAAUUUCCUUUUGUUUCCACUUUAUUAGUCAACAAGCAUUCCCCAUAUUUUAAACCCUAACCAUGAUUGUUGUUUAUACCUCUAAGAUUUUAAAAUCAUAGUGGAGAGAAUCUUCAUGCCGAUAUCAAUUAGAUUUUCCACAUUGUUUGGUUUCUUCGUGGCUACUACAAUGCGAAAUACUAGGGCCAAAUUAGUCUUUGAGUCAGAUUGUAAGAAUUGGUUUGCGUGACCGCGUAUGCCAUUAAGGAACCUUUUGACCAUAUGUAGUUGGAGGGCUUGAGAGUACAUUGUUUCAAGCAAGAUGCAUGGGUGCUUAAAGGAAAAGUUUUAGGUGUGUUCAAUACUUUAUAAGCAUAAGAAUUAAGUAAUAUAAUGUUGUUUCGCUGUGAAACAUUUAUUUUGUUUUAAAAUAAUACAAUAUUGUGUCACUUUAAUUCUAUAUGCGCAUAAUGCUGCAAGCACUUAAUGCAAAAGGAAAAAAACUUAUUCUAAUCCCAUAAUUAAUAGGCAUAAAAUUGAUUUUCAUGGGUCCAAGUGCUUUUUAUUAUUAUGAUUCCGCUAUUAGCACAUUGCUUUCAAUCGAGGCUGUUUGUUCGAUUGCUAGAAAGGUCAUUGAAGCACAAAUUUCUAUUAGUGCUCUCUAGAUCAUGUCGUUUCUGAUAAUUUGGUUAUUAUUUGCUAAUUGAAUUACGAUCAUAAUUGAGCCCCAGUAAUCCAAAACAAGACAGCCAGAUUGACCCAUAUGAGGAAGACAUUUUUCCUAUUUGGUCUAUUGUUUUUGGACCGCUUUCGUAAUAAAGGAAUCAAUCAAAAUUGAUUAAUGGUUAGUCAUUUCGAUAUCCGAUUCGAUCGGAGCAUUUACUGAAUAACCUUUAACAAUUUAGGCAAAUAAACACUGCUAAUUAAGUUAUAUUAUUAUAAUGCGUGGCUUAGAAGCUUAAGCUCGCAGGUGAGUUUACAGAUUCAAUAAUGAGUUUGUCACCUGGAUAGUACAUACUCAAAUCAAUAAAUAACAACAUUUAAUUUAUUUAUUCUAGGAUUUUUAAUAAUUUUGGUUUCAUGGUUUGUGACUUUGUUCCAUUAGGCUACUGCUUAACUUGGAAGUUUAAUGUCGAAAGUAGGAGCUCAAACAACAAAUUUUAAGCUUUGAAAUUCUGACUUUGCAAGGAUUUUAUUUCAGUUCAAGGAAGUCAAACAGAAUAUAUGUAACGGUUAUAUUUGUUCUGACAACAUGUUAAAUUGAAGGUUCAAACAUCACUUGGGCUUGUUAGUCCAGUGAUUAACCAUUACCUUUAAAAUCAAGCAUGAUUAUGAGGGUAAUGGUUCGAGUCCCCACAAACUCAACCUCUUUCAAUUAAACAUAAUUGUAUGGAGAUUACUUAUAACGUCUUUUUCUCUUAUGAAAUGCGAGUGGAGUAGAGACAUCUUUCCUCCGUAAAGGGUAUUUGGCUGGACAUCUACUUCAUAGAAUAAAAAUGUAAUUAUUGCGAGUGGAGUAGAGACAUUCCUCCUUCGUGAGGGGUAUGAAAUGCGAGUGGAGUAGAGACAUCCCUCCUCCGUAAGGGGUAUUUGGCUGGGUAUCUACCUCAUAUAAUAAAAAUGUAAUAACGUUGUAAUAAUAUAAGUCUCAGGUAUAUAUCUGAUUGUAAAUAUCAGUGGAAUGAUCUGCAGUCAUAACAAUUAUAAAUAUUUGUGUAAUACAGUAACCUGAUGCUUAAUUAGUUUUAAAAAAAUUGAAGGUUCGAACAACAUUGAAUGUGAUAUUCCUACAUUUUUCUAUGUUUUUAUUCAAGAGGAGGCUAGGUUGCAACUUUUGCAACUAGCAACUAAGUUAAUAAAUUAAUAAAAAUAAUAAUAAACAAUUGAGACGAUCAGUGCUCUCACUGAUGAAAGAUUCGACAUUGGAUACAUUUUGAACUACAGUGAGAAUCUUAGAAUACGAAGUGUGUAACGAGAGUGAGAGUAAGUUAUUUACUUACACUAAAGUGGGAGUAUAAAAUCAGAAUCAGAAUUCAAUUUACUCGUUUAACUUAUCUUAAAUUGGGAGUAAAUAGUUUCAAAUUAUAAUUUGACCUUUAUUUAAAGAAUUAUAAUUUUAAUUAUAAAAUUAUAUUUGAAAUAUAAACUAGUUAUUUUAUCAUAUUUUUAAAUUAAUAAUAAUUAAUAUUCUUAAUUAUAAAAUUAAAAAAUUAUUGGUAAAGAGCAACCAAAAUUAAACUUAAUAAUAUAGUACAAAAUUAAUAUUUUCUUAGAAUAAAUUAUUUAUUAUUAUUAAUUAUUAAUAUUAAAUAAAUAUAAUACUAUUAUUUCUAAAUAAAUAUAAUCACAUUAUAUUUCAAAUAAAGAUAGUAUAUAGUAAUAUUAUUAAUUCUUUACAAAUAUAAUAAUAUUAUUUUUAAGUAAUUUUAACUUAGAAUCAAUGUAAAUUAUGAUUUUUAACUAAUAUAAUAAUAUUAUAUUUUAAUUAUUAUUUUUAAUAAAUGUAACAUAUAAAAUAAUUUAUUAUUAUUAUUCAAAUAAAUAUGAUAUCAUUUAUUUCAUUUUAUUAAAUGUAGUUAUAUUAAAUUUAAUAAAAAAGAGUAAAAACAAAUUAAUAAUUAAUCAAUUAAAUUGUUCUUAUAAUCUUUUUUUAAUUACUUAGAUCUGGGUUUGGUAGCUGAGGUUCUUUUACGAUAAGUUUAAUUUGACCUUUUUUUUAAUGAAAUUCAAUAAUUUAACAUGAAAUUGGAGAAUGUACUGCGUUUUGAUUGGACUGAUUUCUUCUGAUCUUCAUGUGUAUGAAACCGAGGCCACAAAUUGUGAUAACUGACAGUCUUAGCACUUGUCUGCCCUUACCAUGUGAAUAAAAUGAAUGCUUGAUUUUGCCUUAUCUGCCCUAUGCCCCAAUUUUAUUUGACUUUUAUUUUAUUUUCUUUUUAUUUUUAUUUUUUAGCAUUGAUAUUUAGAUUAAAAAAAAAGUAAAAAUGUUGAUAAAAAUAACGUUUAUCUUCAAUUCAGUCAAGUUUAAGUUUGCGAACAUAAUUUCUGACAUAAUGACCCGUCUAAAUGUAUAUACAAUUGUUUUUUCACCAUUUGUCUUUUAAUUAUUUAUUUAUUCAUUGAUAAUAUCUUAUCCCUCAAUUUCUCUCACCAGUCCUGCUAUUCAAUUUUAUUAUGUUAUAUAUAAAUACUAUGAUGAGAGCUUCAUAAAUUAUAAUUUAAAAAAAAAAACUUUAAACUGCAAAAUUGUUGUAAUUUUGCAGGCACUUGAACGGCUGUCCUUUGGAGGAAGUCGCAUUAGCGACACAGUGAUGGCUCAAAGCAGAAUCUUAUUGUUUUGGUAUUGCACCACUUACCUUCUCCUAGAGAAAAAGAAACCUAAAUACCAGCAGCUUGAGCUACCUAACCCGGAACAAACUCAACAAAAGAUACAGCUCGAACAGCUAGAAACCGACCUGCCUUCUUAAAAGGAGCAAAUAAAAUCAACCCGGCAAGUUGAGUCAGAGUCACCACCACUUGAUAUGUAUAACCUAGAAGGUUUGUAGUUGUUUGGGCAUUGUCUAAUGUUGUUAUGAGCUGAGCCAAACAAAUUUAUGAUUAUGUGAGAAAUAAUUUAUGAAGCUUUCAUUGACAACCAAAUAAAAUUGGAGUUAUUUUUAAAAAAAAAAGUAUAUGAAGAAAACACAUAUCUUUAUGUGAAUAUGAAGAAAAUAUCACGGAUCGAUCCAUUGCAUUUUAUAUAUGCAUGUGUGUAUAUAUAUAUAUGUAAAUCAAAACAAAAAACCAAAAAAGAAAAGAAGAGAAAUUGAAAUACUCAAAACAGUCACAUUAUCACAUAAUCUAAACAAAUUCAUAGUCAGAUUCACACGGUUUUGUUUAUUCAUUUAUUAUUUACAUCAUGCACGGUUUAGAGUUUCUCACCUUUGCUAAUAUCCACUCUUAUGUUCCCUCUUUGAAGCCUUGACUGUUGUAAUAUGGAGAAUGAGAAAGUGGUUACUUAAAUCACCUCUUGUGCUUUCUGAGUCAGCAAACCUUUGAACUUUUCCUUGCCAUUUUCUCUCACAAAAUAAUUGGAUGUAAAGCUUUUGUUUUAAAUGAUAUUAAUCAAAAUGAUUAAGUUACCAUUGAAAUUGUUGAUGCGAAAAUAUGAGAUCAGUGGUGUGUAAUCAAUGACUCUUCGGGUUGGAUCGCGGCACACCAAUAAUUAUCUUUUAAAGGAGGUGUCUCUUUCACAAAAGCCGACGCAAUUGAAUGAGGAAUAACUAUUGGUGUGCUAUUAGAUUUUUUAAUUAUAUCUACAGUCAUUUUUUAAUUAGAUUGUCAAAGAGGUUAUUGACUUGGCAAACAACAGAAGCCACAACAAGAUUGAAAUUUUUCGGGUGAUAUCAGAUAAUAAAGAAAGAAGAAUAAGUUUUUAGUUAGGUCAAAUUUCAACACACAAAUAAGUCUUGUAACGAUAAUGCUCGCACCUUUGCUAAAUUAGCCUUAAAAGUUUAUGGAUUGCUUACCAUUAAAAUUAAUGUAGUUACGCGUGUACUCUCUAUUUCUUAAUAAAGUAUUUUCCCUUAUCAAAAAAUUAAUUAAAAAAAUUAACUCUUUGACUAUGAUUAGUCCCUUGUUAUUAGGUUGCUUGGGUCCGUAUAUUAUCUUUAUCCAACCUUCGAUUAAUCAUAUGGGUUUGGGAUAUUUGGGUGAAUUACUUUUAAGUCCCGGUAACUUUUCAAAAUUUCAUUAAUUUAGUAACUAAUUAAAUCAUCUUUAUAAUAAAAGCAAUUUGAUUAUUUUAUCCUUGUAAUAUUAUAUUGUAAAAAAGUCUGAGAUAAUGCUUGAAUUUAUUUUAAAAAAUUAAAAGCAAAAACCCAUCAAUUAAUUAAAGCGAAGAACAUGAUAACGUUAACUUAAAUCAUCAUUCGAUCAUUCAUAUAAAGAUAUAGAAUACUUGUUCUAAAUUAAAAAAAUUGAGUUGCUGCUUCCUUUUUACACUUGGCUUAUCACUCUUAUACAAUUCACGGUUUUGAAUUAUCCUCGUCCACUUUUUUCACCCCCACUCAUUACACCAAUUAUCAUGAAGCCCCCAAGUUUGCCAUAAUUAUUUGAAUUGGACCAUUAGCCUGCGUUUUGGCCGCGGGAUGCUCCACUCCAGUCUUUAUUUGUAAAUUUUCUUUUCCUCUUAAUGAAGUUACUACUUACUACUCAAAAAGGGAGAAAAAAAGGUAACUUUUUUGUGAUCAUCUUCCUCCCUUGCAUGAUUAUUUCGUGUCAAUUUAAAAUUUAUUAAAAAAAAGUGUAGUUAAAUUAUGGUUUAAAAAGGAAAAGGAUGUUGAUGAUGAUACAUGCGUGCCAAAAGCGAUCAAAGAAAGAAAAUUAAAAACAAAAAUAAAAAAGAAUCCCCAUUGGUUGUGGGUAUAUAGAGUUUUAAGCAUAAGAAAUUGUUUGUGUUUUAAAUGUGAGUUUAAUUAGAUAUACAUUUGUCCUUUCAUCUAAUUUUAAUGAAGGUUAAAAUCAUAAAAUACCUAAGGAAUUUUAAAAGAUAUUUAAAAUGGUGUUAAUAAUUCAACUCUGUUCGUUUGUCAUUAAGUUAACUUUGGAUAACAGAGUGAUAAGACAAUGAGACAUAAAUAGGCUAUUAAGAAAAAUAAAUGAAAGAGGCAAUAGCUGAUAUUGCCAAAAGAACCGAGAGCUUUCCAAAAUGCAGAGAAAUGCGACGGAUAGUGAACAGGAAUUUAAUGGGAAAUUUACAGUAAUAACCAUUAAAGUUUUGAUUUUUUUCAUUUUAACCCCCCAAAAAUAUUUCUAUCAACAUUAGCCAUAAAACAACUUUUGAGACCAAAAUACCUCUCCCUCAUCUCUCCCCCAAUACUCCCUUUCACUCAUCUCUCCCAAACCGAUCCAACUCCCAUCAUCGGCGGCGACAUCAACCCUCGUCGGCGGUGGCUCCAUCUCUCACCGGCAUCCGAUCUACGAUCUACAACCUUAAAAAAAAACCUGGGUUAGUCAUUUUUCUUAUUUUCAUUAAUUUAAAAUGAGAUUUUAGAAUAAUAAUAGUUAUAGCUUGAGAAUAAUGGUGGUGGUGGUGAUGAUGUUUGUGGUGGUUGGUGGUGUUUGGGAGUAUUGUUUUUCGAUUUUGGAGUGUUGUGGCUUAAUUUUGGGGGUAGGGAGGAAGGGGGGCAGGGCGCGCGCGCGCCCCGCUGUCGCACAAAAAAUUAGAGUGCUUUUUUUUUUAACGAGUCAAUUUUUUUUUCUGUAAAUGUAAUUUAAUAAUUUUAUAAAUAUUACAGAUACAUGGCGAAAUCAGAAUCACCGGAUAUCGAAGUAGGCAAGAUGUAUUUUCGUUAUGCCGAUCACUUUCCUGGUCGAAUUUCGAGCAUGUGUAAGUUAUCUUCGGUCGUAAAAGCCAUCGAUGAAAAAUUAACAAAGCGGCAGUUGAGUAUGUUAAAAAAGGAUAUAUUUGGACAUUUCUUGGAGUGUCGAAGUUUUCCAUUUAGUGGGGUAAUUUUGCACAAUCUUUUACUGAGGCAAGUGGCCCAUGAAAAAGAUAGCCGUGAGGAUCAGUUAUGGUUUCAAAUUGGUGAGUAUUUGAUUCGCUUUGUCAAUUGUCGAAUGGUGCUUGGUUACUGGACUUUCAUUUGGUGUUGAUACCAAUAAAAAAAAUGAUGAAAUGGAGCAGAGGCUACGAAAUACGUAUUUUGGUGGUGUGGAUCGUAAGAUUAAUGUGAACCAAUUCGAUGCAGUAUUUAAGGAGUUGAAAUUUGAGGAAAUAGACGAUAUGGACGCAUUAAAAAUUGCGUUGUUUUAUUUUGCGGACAGAGUACUAAAUGCAAGAAAAAAUCACUGUCAAAUCAAUUUCGAUUGGCUUGACCAAGUUGAUGAUAUACAGUACUUUCGAAAGCGUCCAUGUGGUCUAUUGUCAUGGGAAAUGAUUUACGAGAGUCUUGACAAUGCACUGUUCGAGAAAGACGAGAAAUUUAAGAAGACUCGGUUGAAAAAUCCAGAUCAUAACAUUGAAAAAUACAAUCUUUACGGCUUUACGUCUAGGGUUCAGGUGUGUUUUUUUUUUAUUUUUUAAUAAGUUUUAUAGUAUUAAAUAUUUGAUAGUUGUUUUAUUUGAUUUUUCACUUUGGUUGUUGUAGGCUUGGAUUUACGAAGCAAUCGGAGGGUUGCCAUCAACAUGGGUCGUCAAAACGAAGAAUAAGAUUCCCCGCAUUCUGCAAUGGAAGCCCAUGGCGUCUUCGAGAAUAAACUUUGCGAAGGUUUAUUCGUUCUUCAACGACGAAUCUCAUCUUGUAAGUAAUAUGUAUUACUUAUUUUUUUAACUUUACUAAAUUUAAGUUAUGUAUACUUACUUAAAAUUUUCAAUUGAAUUUAUGGCAGGAGGACGUUUUACAAACUCUUGAGCCAAAUUCAAAGGAGAGUAACAGAAAAUAUUGGCUCUCUGUGAAGGAUUACUUGCCAAGCAUUCCAGACUGGGUUCAUAAGGUCGGUAUACUCUAAGUACUAAAAUUUUUUUAAUCGAAAUUUUUGACUUUUCAUUUACUAAUUUUAAAUGAUACUUUAUACAGCACCAACCCUCAAUCAACGCGAUGCCGUCAGUUACAAGGCAAUCAGACGAGCAUGACGAUCAUGACGACAUACCAAACCCAAUACCAGAGCAGCGUCAUGACACUUCUGAGGAUGAGGUGGCUGUUGAUGACCACCAGCAGCAAACAGACAACUCUGAUGACGCACGGGAUUCUGAGGUUAUAAAUAAUAUACGAUAUUUUUCCUUUAUAAAUUAUUAAUUUUUUAUUGUUAUUCUAAAGUUUUAUUUUUUUCUUUUGUAAUAGUCGAGAACAAAGUAGUUUAAUGAUUACAUACAACGACGGCUGGAUAAGAUUGAUCGUAACGUGUAUGAAAUAAAGUCAGAAUUAAAAGAUUUUAAAGAAACCGUUGUUGGCUUCAUCGACACAUUUUCUAAACGUCCAAAUAAGGAUUCUCCCACUGCACGCUCGUAUGCGGUGAGCAAAUUUAAAUUUAAUAAUUAUGUUCGUUUAACUUUUAAUUUGAUAGUUGUUUAAUAUGUUCUUCUUGGCGAAUGGACAUGCCCCGGAUGACUAUGGAGUGUAUACUGACGUGGGCAAUGAAAAUUUGUCUACACCCACGUCAUUGUAUAGUUUCUACGGGGAUGUUAGUGGGGAGAGCGUGCAGGUGUUCACCGAGGUGCCUCCGGGCGUUAGUAAGUUCGGCCGCGCGUACAUACCGUCGUAUGUUUAUAACAGUCCUUACAUGAUUCCUCCGGUCAGGCGAGGACAUAACGUCCGACCUUUACCUCGACCCCAAAUCAUGGAGCAUGCGAUUGACAUGAGUACGAGCGUGGAUGUAAAUCCACUGAGAGAAUUGGAGGACUCUAGUUUGUUUGCUGAGUUUGAUCGAUGAUUCACUGGUGAUAGCAGAGUCUGCCGGAGAGUCCAGCACCCGCGGUCAUUCUUUCAAAUAAUUUUGGGUACAGCUUCGAUGGGAUGGCUAGGCGAUGAGGUAUUUAUAUUUUCGAAGUUAUGUAUACUGUUGUGGAUUUGUUUCACCAAAAUUUUUCUUUUAAAUCGUAAUAUUUAUGUUUCUCUACAGCAUAUUCACAAGUAUCUCCGCUUGAUUAGCGAGAAACAACGACAGUAUCCAAAUGCCUUACUCCAACGUGUCACACAUACUGACACAUUCUUUUGGGUAACGUACCGAAAAAACUUAUAAAUACUAUUUAAUAUGAUUUUGAAUUAUUGCCUUUAAGUUUUGUUCAUUUAUGCAUUUCUUGGUUAUCUAUGUACUAGGUGUUCUUGAAUCAGUUAUGGAACAACGGGGAUUAUGCGGUCGAUUCAUUAGUAUUCGACGACUGCUUGAAUAGUUAUCUUUGUGGGCGACAGCACACAAUGUCCAAAUCAAUGACGGAUGUCGAUAUGGUAUGUAUUUUAUUGCAUUUCACAUGCUCUAUAAUGAAAAUAUUCGAGUCGUCGCUUUUUCUUUGUUUUAUUUCAAUUUCAUAUAUAACGAACAUGUUUUUUAAUUUUUAUAUACAGUUACUCAUCCCUGUUAACUUGGACGGCGCGCAUUGGGUACUAGCACGAGUUGACUUUCGGAAAAACAAAGUCUGGAUUUAUGACUCAUUACUCACAUUUCGCGACGACAAAAGGUACAAGUUGAAAUUCAAGCCACUUGAAGUUAUAUUCCCUCGAUGGUUUGAAUAUGUUGGCUUCUACAACAUCCGACCCGAGUUGCGGAGUGCAGACCCCUGGAAAGUUAUCGCAGUUAAGAACGCGCCACAACAAGAGCCCGGAACUGGCGAUUGCAGAGUUUUUGUAUUGAUGGUUACGAUGUAUUUAAUGUUCGGGCUUGAAUUGGAGUUUAACGCUAGUCAUGUCGAGUACUUUAGAAAGAAGAUUGCGGUUGACAUAUUUAAUGACAAUAUUGUAUUGUAAACUGUUGUAGUAAUUUGAAUGUUGAAAUUUGAAUUUUUAUUUUAAUUUGCGCACUUAAGUUUAUAUAAUUUUAAUGCUCACAUUUUAAUAUUUAAAAUAAAAUAAAGUUUUAUGACAUAUAAGUAUACAAUACAUAAAAAACAAUAACAGUUUUAACCAACGAAACACAAAAACAACUAACUUCAAGUCGACGCAAUGAGAUUCUUACAUCACUUACGAUUAUGGCCCAGUUCAUGACACCGCCCGCAUCUUACAGUCCGCCGGUUAACGUCCUCACCAGCCGAGGGUAUUCUGAGCUCUUUACGACGGCCAGGUGGUGGUGCCUCAACUGGUGGGUAUACUUGCAUCUCCUGAAUUUCAUCUAGAACUUCCCAAUCAGCCACAUCACCAACUGGCUCUACUGGUUGUGCAUAAGCCAUCGCCAACGAUUCUGUAGUGUAAAAGUCCGAGCAAAGGUUAAUAAAAUCCACCCGGUGUGUUAGACACGCCGCAAUUGCAUGAGCACAUACAAGCUGAUCAAGCUGAAACACUCUGCAGGUGAAAGUUCUCUGUUACAAGUCAACCAAACCUUCAUUAAGCCCACCGCCUAUAACUUGAAAUCGAUGCGGAGAAAUCGGCCGAACUAUCAUCCUCUCAGUGACUAUUUCAUCCGCCCAUGUUGUUAUCCGAGUAGUCAUUGAUUCAGCCACAAUUUUUCUAUCAUAAAACCAUUGCUGCAUUGUUUUCCUAAAGUGAUCAACAAGAUGAGUAACAGGAAAUUUUUGAGGUUCCCGCAUGAAAGAAUUAACACUCUCCGCGAUGUUGGUGGUAAGUAUGUUGUACCUCCUACCUUCAAACUGAGACAUUACCUAAUUACACGUACCGACAUUAUUUUCUAGGUAAUCAGCCGCACCCGAGUGGAUCAUCCACAACCCUUCGAGUUGUCUCUUAAAUUCCUCGUGGCCAUAUGUUUUUGCUGCAUUAAUAAAGGCAGGCUCAAAUUGAUCCCAAAGAGCUUUGGACAUUCUAAACUGAGACUUAAUGUUACCUUUGACGUGGUAAAAACAAACACCAUGAGUUGCAUUAUGAAAUACUUUAAGAAUGGCUCUCCUUAUGGCAAUGCAUCGAUCAGAGAUAAUUACCAACUCAGGUCUAUCGCCAAUCACUCCGUGUAACUUCAUCAUAAACCAUUCCCAAGCAUCAUUAUUUUCUGAAUCCAUGAUCCCAAUGGCUAACGGAUACAAUUGUUUGUUACCAUCAAGACAUGUUGCCACGAACAUGCUUCCACGAUAUAGUCCCUUCAGAUGAGUACCAUAUACAGCAAUGACAGGCCGAAUGUACUGCAUAAAAUCCUUGAUGGAAGAUCCGAGUGCUACAAAAUAGUAUAAGAAAUUAUCAUCUCCAUUCUGCUCGAGGUGAGUGACUGUACCCUCAUUCGCUGUAGUUAGUACGUGAGAGUAUUUAGGGAGCAAGUUGUAUGACUCUGCAGGGUUGUCUCGAACUAUUUCAAGACCAACUUCUCUUGCCUGAUAUGCCUGCUGGUCUGUUAACUGAACACCGUAUUCCUGUUGCAUAUAUGCUCUUAUGUCAUUCAGAGUAUAAAUCCUCUUCUCUUGAAUAUAUUUUUCUACGAUAAUAUGACCGACAAUCCGGCUCCUUACUUGACGACGUCCAUUAACCAAUACCUCGUUAUGACAAGUGUGUACAUUGUCAAUUCUCUUCACCACCCAAGGAACAUUUUGCUCAUUCGAACAUCUAGUUGCUCGAAUACGCCAUUUACAUGAUUCUGAACAACAGUGAGCCUUGAAACGUGUUGUAGUUGACCGUGCAAUCUUGAAAUCAAACUUAUCUCUAAAGGCAACCUUGCGUAGUUGUAAUAUAAACUCAUUCUUCUCAGCAAAUAGCUUACCCACACUGAUAUCAUCUGAAUCACAACUGCUAACAAAGCUUGGAGCAACCAUGUUCGAAGGCAAAGUUGGAGCAAGACUUGUAAGGGGGUCAAUUCGCCUUCUCGAUCGAACCAUAGAAGGACUAGGUCUAUUGCCUCUGUUAUUCACAGGAGUAUUGUCUUCACACUCAUCGUCGUGCUGAAACGACAGAACAUUCGAAGGACCGGCUCCUCCAUCAUCACCAUCAUUAUUGAAAUGAGUGCCCCUCGUAUUAUUAGAAGGUUCUGCACAAACAUUAUCCCUCUCUAUCUCAUGAUGAAAAUCAUCAUUGUCCCGAAAAUCAUUGUUGUGAUACGGAGAAUACCGUUGCUCCAACGACGUCGUUAUUAGAAAUACCGUUGCUCCAAUAUCCUCUAACGUAACGUUGUUAUCAUCAAUGUUGUCAUAAUUGUCGUGGAUUGGAGAGUAAUAUUGCUGCAGCGAUAUUGUCCUCGGCAACACCUCUUUAUCAUUAUUGGGGCCAGACAUAUUUGCUCUAAACGAAGUUUCUGUCUCGACAUGUGGCUCAAUACAUUCGCUCGGAACUCGAGGUGAUGUGGUCACGAAUAUAGGAAUGCAUCCAAAAUUGGCUACGUCGGAUGCCAUAUGCAACACAACCUUCACCAUUUCAUCAUCAAAUAUAUCCAUGGGCAGUGCACAUAUACGAUAUAAUGUGUUACUAGACCUCAAAGUUAUCUUCAUUGUGAUACUAUAUUCAUUAGGGUUUAUUUGUAACACCUCGUAUACUCUUGCCAAUAACUGAUCAAAUAGACAAUUUUUCCCAACCAAAAAAGCUCGAUUUUUACCAUUCACAUACUCCAUACGCCCAUCCUCUAAUGUCUCCCACCAACCAUCAUAACACAAUUCAAGUACAACUGAAUUCAUUAAGCCUGAAAUUAAAAAAAAAAAUUUAUUUGGAUUCGGAUCAAAUUAAUACAGUUUUAAUGAAUCUCCAAGGCUUAGUGCGACAGGCUGCCUGUCGCCCGAAGCUUGGUGCGACAGGCAGCCUGUCACCAGAUUCACCCACGACUCAGUUCAACAAGUUCAAAAAAUAACUCAUACCACUAAGUGAUGCCGAUUAGUGUUGAAUUCGGAUAGAUUAUGAUCGAAUUUCACUUUUACCGUCGUCUUUUGCUGUCGCCGUUGGUUGAUGAUUAAGCUGCGUUUGGUUUGACGAUAUGGGAGAAAGAUGGUUGCUUUUGGUCUGUAAAGAAGGGUAAUUUAGGGAGAAAGGCUUGUGUUUGGCUAAUGUUGAUAGAAAAAAAUUGAGAGGGUUAGUUGUGAAAAUAAUAAAAUAUUUAUGGUUAUUUUCAUAAAUUUUUCAAAUUUAAUAGGUGGGCAGAUGAAAAUCAGUAACAGUGGCAGGAUAAGAAUAAAAAGGAUAGGUUUAAGCUUUAAAGGAUAUAGAAGGAGUUUGAUUUGUGCCUUCUUGGACCGACCAAUGAUUCCCAUUUUCAUUUUGUUUUGUCAUGCAAGAAUUAUUUUCGACAAAGAAGCUGAAAGCCAGGAGACAUAGAUAAAGGAAAAAAUCGUACGACCCUUCUCAUCAGCAAAUUAUUGGAUGAAACAGUUCGACUGUCAGGUGCUUGUGGGGUCCACUUUUGAAAACUUCGAUUUUCGUCUUUUUUUUUUCGCAGUUUGUCUUUUUGCGAAUUUUUUACCACUAGCACUAGGUAGCGUGUGUUUAUUUAUUUUUUUAUUUUAAAUUUAUAAAUGUAAAAAAUUAAUUUAUAAAGCUGAAUCGGUGUGUACGUAUAGAGAACAGUCAACCGACUACCGAUAAGUUAAGUAUGGCUGUAUGGGUCUGCAUUUGGCUGUUAAUAAUUUGUUCGUUGCUCCUGCAACAGCCAACAGGCCAAUUCUCAAUAUUCAUUUAAAAUUUUAAUGGCUAUUACUGAGUGGGUACUGGAUAAAAAUGAAAAAUAGAAUAAAUUUGACACAACAUUUUAUUUAAUAUACCGUUCUCCAUAUCAUAACUAAUUAAACAGCCGCUAUUUUCUUGGAAAAUCAUAAGUAUUAAAGAAAAAGACAAAAGUAAACAAAUAUAGAAAUAUGGAAAGAAAGCUUUCAAGUCUAUUCAUCAAUAAAGCCGAAAAUAGCAUCUAACCAAAAGCUGAUAUUCACAGACACUGACCAUAUUAAACCAACCAUUUCCAAAACGGAAAAAAAAAGAUUUAGAUUCGACCUUAUAAAUAUAAUUAAUGUAAUUAAAAUUAUUAAUUCAAUAUUAUAAUCGGACCAUCACCGACCAACAUUCUCAAACCUCAACUUAAAUUAUUAACUCAUUCAAAUAGCAUCAUAUGUAAGUUGCCUUACAACAACACAUCACACCCAUGAUGCUUGUCAAUAAAAAUAGCUAUAGAUAACAGAAUCUCAGCACAUCCCCAGUUUAACGACCCAUCCACAAACUUAAACUGCACCAUAUCAUUGCAGGAUACAUAAACACAACUCAGCUAAACUACCCAUUCAAAACUUGGCUCUUAUCACUGUUAAAGUUUUAACUCUCAUUCAUGAUUGCAUCAACCCAAAUUAACUAUCAUAACUGAUUCGAGUAAUUUCAAUACAUGGUCUUCAAUUAAAAAUUACAAUCCUGUUGAUAAUUCUAUCAUAUUGUCAGGUAAUUAAAUGGCUAACCACACACCCACUGCAUUAAUUAUUAAAGGAAGAAAUUAAGCCAUUAACAAAAUCACUCAAUUGCAUAUAACCUGAUUUUUCAAGCAGGAGAAACAACCUGAUUUUUCAGUUUUGAGUAACAAAAUCACUCAAUUGCACAUAAUAGCAUUUCUUUUUCUACUUGCUGCUGUUCUCAGCUCCCUUAGGUGCACAACUACUCUCUAUAAAACCCAAUUGCUGUCUUUCCCUCCAUUUCCUUUUUCUUCCUCUUCUCUCUUCUUUAAUUUUUUAUUUUCUUCUGUUACAUGAGUUCCUUUCUCAUCAAUUAGUGUGGAGAAAAACGAAAACAGGAUAAAUUUCGACGCAAAAUUUUAUUAGUAUGCGUAUGUAAGUACACUAUUGAAUACGCCUUAAACAACUGCCUUUUUUUCCUGCAAUAAUCACACUAUAUCUAACAAAUAAUACAACAAAAGAAUAGAAGUUUAAGUAGAAAGGCAGCAUCCAGGUUGUCUGCUACUCGGCUUCCAGUUCCACCCAAAAAAACUGCUCAAACAUCUUCGUUCAGGUAACCAAGCACAGACUCUGUUAUUGCCAUAACUAAUUUAUCACAUGACCAUAAUUUCCAGAACACCUUGCGCUUGUUCAAUGGGUUGUUCAACUUGAGGGCGAGCUAGCAGAUGCGCGUUGACAGAGGCGACAAUGAAGACAGUGAGACGUCGAAGCCAGUUGAAGCAGUGCUUAAACAGAGAAGCUAGCGUUGCAUAACAGAGUGAUAAGAUUAUGAGGCAUAAAUAGACUACCAAGAACAGAGACGGAGCCAAAAUGACAGAGGCCACUGCUGAGACAGCCAACAGAACAGAGAGUUCUCCACAACUCACGCAAAUGGGUCGGCUCACAUUGAGAGGGACUCUGAUGGGUGUGAGGAGGAAGAGCAGUAAUGGGAUGACGACGGCAGGAAUCAGGAACCAGAACUGAAGCUUUAAAAUUGGAUACAAGAGUAUCUUACUCGUACCAUCUUGGACGUCCCAAGAGUUGCCAUCCUGAGACUUGAGGAACAGAAAAAAGAUUAUAAGAUUCAGCAAUGGAAGAAAUAGAAAACUCAAAUCGAUUGAAAUAUUCAUGCUUGUGAGUAUAAGACUUGGCAGAGAUGAUUGAGUUUAAUUAUUAUGAAUAAGAUUUGGCAAUGGCAGAGUUAAACACAGGCUGCCUUUUGCUUCCUCUCUCUCUUCUCUCCGCUUUUUUUCUUCUCUCUCUCUCUCUUCUCUCAGCUGUUUUUUAUCUCUCUCUCUCUCCUCUCAACACAUGCUUUCUUAGCAUUUAGCAUUUUUGUUUCUAAAAUACGGUGAGUCUGGUGGCAUUUUAUAGAGGUUUGAGGAUGAAAUCUUUUUGCAGCCAAUGCCAAAAAAAUUAGAGGUUUGGACAAAGUGAAAAAAAAAGAAAGAAGUGCAAAGCCAAAUGGAGCAUGGAGCAUGGAGCAUGCAGCAUGCAGGUUGUGGGAGAGGGACAUUUUUUCGAUCCUUUGAGUUAGUGGGAGAAAGCGAUUAGCCUCCUCCGCAUUAAGAUUUGAAGAUUCCGUUGGUUUGACUGAUUCAGCACAUAACAUAAAUUGCAACAAGCUGUCAAUUCACAUAAACAAGGAAAAUUAACUCAAUAAAGUGAAGUAGGCACGAAUUAGAGUGAUUUUUAAAAUGCGGUGAGUCGGGGGCUUUUUAUAGUGGUUGAGGUCCAUGAGGAUGAAAUGUUAUUGGUUCGAUACACGUCUUCAAUAAUAUUUGCGGAACCAAUUUGGAAGAUAAUGGAGUUGGGGAUUUUGGGGCUGAAUUUUUCCCUUUUUUUUUAUUUUGUUUUUACUGUGUGCCACGUGGAAAACACGUGAGACUACUAAAAUAUCAAAACAGUCGUUUCAGUCUUCUAGGGUUUAACCACUUGGGCCGACUAGAGCCACUCCCUCACAAAUGUAAGGGAAGUGGUUCGAGCCUCCGCAGACGCAUUGUAGGGAUUUAAUUUAAAUGUCCUUCCUUGGAGCCCCAGAGCUUGAGUGAAGGUAGUCUUUCUCCCAGGUUGGGAGUUUGACGUCCCUCGAAUAUUUGAUAGAGUUAAAAAUUUGCGCGGUGUCAUAUCAGCAUUAAUGUCAACAGGUCUCAGUAUAUAUAUAUAUAUAUAUAUAUAUAUAUAUAUAUAUGAUUGUACAUAUCAAUUAUAUUCUCAUGUAAUAUGAGUUGUAAUUUGAGUAAUAGUCUUAUGUCAUAAAAAAAAAAAAGUCUUCUAGGGUUUUAAAAACCUCAGUAUGUUUUUUUUUUCCUUUUUUCUGUACAUGUAUUUUCAAACUUAACUUUCCAAAGUUUAUAUAUAUUUUGUACAUUGCGCACAAAAUAUGUAUGAACGAAUGAUACAUGUUCCAAUAAAGGGAGCUGCUACCUUACAUGCAACGUAAGGUACAAGCCUCUCACAAACUCAAAUGUGGGUCCCACUUGGGCCCACCAGUCUUGUGAGAGGUUUUACCUUACGUUGCAUGUAAGGUAGCAAAAACCUCCAAUAAAUAGAUGCACCUAACAAAUUAGAACUAUUCAUGAGAUGCAAAUUAAAUUAGUGUUAGAUAGAAAUAUAUUGAGGCUAAACUAUAAUUACGUGUAAUUAAACUACUUUUGUUUUCAUGUUAGUGUGACCAAAAUGAGAUUAUGUACAACAAGUAUAACCAUAUGAAACAAAGUGAUAUAAUAAUAAAUGCCAACCAUAUUAUAUGUACAAGUUUUCCGUGCCAAUAUCACUAGUGGCAUGACCAAAAACACCGACAUACACAAUAAUCUCUCAAAGGAGAGAUUGUCAAUUUUCUUCAUUAAAUUCAUAUUAAAGUAAAUUAUAAAUUUUUUAACUUAAUAAAACCCACUUAAUACACACACAUAAAUAUUAUAUGCUUACAGUACAAUCAUUUUUUGGACUUUCUCUUAUGGGCUAUUUUUUUUUUUUGGAAUAAAUUUAUGGGCUAUUCAUUAGUUGCUUGGGUUCCUCUAUGAUGUUAUAUUUUUUUUUACAAUAUCAACAAUGCAAGAAAUAUGUACCAUUAUUUUUAUUAAUAAAAAUUUAUAUAAUUUCCAAAAAAUUAAAGGUUUGGACAAAACAAAAAGCGAUUAGAAAAGAAAAUAGAAAAAAAUACAAAGCCAAUGGGACCAAACCUCCAAAGAUAUGUUUUUCCAUUCUCAUCCAACACCUUCCCAUUUGUUUAUUAUUUUUUUAUUAAUUUAUUAACUUUUUUAGUGGGGAGGAGGCUGAUGCCUCCCACUAACUCUUUCUCGAGGAAGCUAAGCUAGCUGCAUAAGUAUCCGCUAAGUUAAUAAAUUAAUAAAAACAAUAAUAAACAAUUGAGAUGAUCAAAAGUUCAAAAUUUCUUACCAUCGCACAUGCAAGAUGAUCAAUAUUUCCAUCGCUUAGUAUAUGUAUACGUAGGUAGCAUUCACAUUUUAAAUUAGUACGAGAAUCUUAGAUUUCAGAGUGUAGAGAGGGGUGGGAGUGAAUUGUUUAUUUACACUGAAAUGAGAGCAUGAAAUCGAAAUCAGAAUUCAAUUUUUGUGUUUUAUUUAUCUUAAAUCGGGAGUAAAUAGUUUCAAAUUACAGUUUUACUUUUAUUUAAAAAAUUAUAAUUUUUAAAUACAAAAUUAUAAAAAAAAUUAUAUUUGAAAUAUAAAAUAUUUAUUUUAUUUUAUUUUAUUUAUUUGUAAAUUUACCGAUGUUUAGAAAAUAAAAAUAAAAAACUAUCAACUGCCUUCAGCAUAUAAAUUACAACAAGCUGUCAAUUCACAAAAACAAGGAAAAUUAACUCAAUCAAGUGAAGUAGGCCACAAAAAGACCUCUAAAAUCGAAUCAGAUUCAGUUAAAACAAAUAAUCACCCAUCAAUCAUAAGCAAAAGCCAAAAAGAAAUGAAUAACAGAAAGAAAUUUCUUAUAAAAAUUCAAUACAAAUAAAAAAACAAAUUAGCUAGUCUUCUUUUUUGGUAUAGUGAUUUCGUCAGCAAAUAAGACAAAAAUUGAAAUUCCGAAAUAUACCUAGGAUUUCUAGCUUUGGAAAUUUACCUUACAAGAAACCGGGCUCUCCGCUUCUGGUUUUGUCUUUGUAACGUUACUAUUGUGGACGAGCCACUCCGAUCAGCUGAGAUGAUCGCAUUUCGCACCGGCAACGAUGCAAAUGUUUGGGUUUGGAUUUGACGAUAGACGGAGGAAUGCUUAGGGUUUUGGGUGAAUUUUUAGAAUUUUUUAUCGAAGUGAAAAUAUCAAAAUAACCUUUACACAUUUAAUAUUCAGGGUACUUAUACAGUUAAAUUUUUCUUUAGAAUAAAAACAAAAUAUUAAUUUAGACUCAGAAUUUUAUUAAUAUACCGUUGUUCAUUUGGACCAUAAUACAAAAACCACGAAAAAAAAAAGAAAAGAAUAUAGAGUGUGUCUGCUACCGCUAAAAAUGCUUUUCAAACAAAAGCCGAACACAGCAACUAAGCUUUUACAGACUGUAUAUAGAUCAUUGUAAUAACUAACUAGAAAACGGCAAGUUAACAUUUUCCAUACAUAAAACACUCGUAGUUCUACACUAUGUUAUUUUAUUAGGCAGGGUUGAUUUACGAAAUAAUAUAAUUUUAAACAUUUUAUUGGGUGUAUUUUAUAGCUAAGAUGGGAUGGAAAUAUUACUAAAACACUCGUGGCACUGGCACCAGCAAAAUCAUACACUUUAAUAGGUACUAGGGCCUAACAGUGGCACCAGCAAUAUCAUACAUACAUACGUAUAUAUUCUCAUCUUCAUCAGUUGGACUUGUUUGCAGGUUUUGGAUGUGGUUCCCUUCUACUCCAAUAAUGUUCUCUUCAUCAACUUGAUUCCCUUUGCAGUUGAUCACGAUCAAGAUUGUGCGAGUAAUGGGUGUUAUUACUGUGAGAUUUCGGAGCCAAUGGAAAAUGUUAUUACAGUAUGAUCAAUAUCAAUUGACCAAGAUUCUUUUGCGGGUUGGCAAGAUGGUUUUGGCAAGCCCCACCCAGUCUUUGCCCACUCAUUUCUGUUUAAAUUAAAUUAAGUAGUUAUUUAAUUAACCUAUUGAGUACAAAGGGCAAUUUGAUUUGAUUCUCCUUUUGUUGUGGCUAAGACGUAUUGCACAAGCUUCUUCUUCUUCUUCUUCUUUUUCAAGUUGUAUUGCGAGCUCUUAAUAUAAUCACAAACUUUUUUUACAAAUUUAUUAAUUUAUUUUCUUCAUUUUUUUCUUUUCUUUUCUUUCUCUCUUUCUCUCUCUCUGUCCCGGGACUCGGGAGCUUGGGUUUUAAUUAGUUUUAUAGCCUAUAGAUAUAAUAUUGUGUAGUGACAUGUUUUGACCUUGAGUGCUAGUCUGCUAAUCAGUGGGGAAGUGCUUUUGUCAAGCCCCACCGAGUCUUUACAAAAAGCAUCGAGUCUCCGCGACUCCCAUUGGUUCCUCGGGUUGGGGAAGUGCUUUUGUCAAGCCCCACCGAGUCUCCGCGACUCCGCCCUCUAAUUUUUGUUUAAAUGAAAUUAAGUAAUUAUUUAAUUAACCUAUUGAGUACAAAGGACAACUGGAUUCUCCUAUGUUGUGACUAGGUUGUGUUGCACGAGCUUAGCUUAAUUUUAAUGACUCUAAUUUAUAAACAGAUGCGAGUAACAAUAAUAUAUUACUUUCCAAUUCGAAGUGGAGCCUUCGAAGGCAACAGCUUUUUCAAUUUUAUAAUUAUAUACUCUCAAAAUAAUUUUGAUAAAAAAACAGGUUGCUUUUAUAUACUGUUGAUGACAAGCGUCGUGCCGUCUUCUUCGUUGAGAAGAAUUGGACCGUAUUGCAAUGCCUUCUGGCUUUCUCUUUCCGAGUUCAACUUCUUUGUCGACAAUAAUUCUUACAUAACAAAAACGAAAAAAAAAAAAAAUCAAAUAUAGCGUUAGGGCUUCAAGGGAUUCUCCAUGGAGUGAUCUUUAAAUAAAAAACAAGCGCCGCCCUCCGUUUGAUUUCUCCUGAAGAAAAGAUUUGAUCCAUUUUUUUCUUUCUUUUUCACUUUUACUCUUUUUUUGAAAAAUUUCUUUCUGUGCUUAAAAAAUGUUUUGCCUACAGCUGGAACCGAACAUAUAAAAUUUAAAGAGUGCAUGUUAAGGUAUUAAUUUUUAUUACCUUGUAAUCUAGUGAUGGCAGACAUAUUAAUUCAUGAAAUCGAAGAAUCUUGUGGAAUAUUGGCUUGUGGAUUUGAUCCUGAUCCAGUAGCUUAUUGGGAAAUAUCCGAAGUUGUUUUUGUCCACUAAUCUUAGCUUUAGGAUAAGUAGUGAAAAUUUCUUCUUCGGUCAUGAAUAAAGAUCCAAUCAUAUAGCAUAUUCGAUCUGACUGUACCAUAAGCAUGUGUGUGUGUGUAUUAAUGACUGGAGUUCAGUUAAUAACUGCAAACUCAGCAACCGAUUCCAAGAAUGAGCUUUGAAAGAAUCCCAAUUUGUCAAAAUGUGACUGUUGAGAAGUUUCUUUUGAGUAGAUUAACUGAGAAGACCGUAGGCAAUUACCUGUAUACAUCUAUUUAUUGAAACUUUAAUUACCCGAGGACUAACGGAAAAAUGAAUAUACAUUGCAUUUAUAAAUAAUCGUUUUCCCUCUGAUAACUUGAAAAAUACAAUAAUUUAAUCCAUUGUCUAUUUGCAAUAAAUAAUAUGUUUUCUAAAUACGUACGGCGUUGUGGAAAGUUGAACCGUAUUAUUAUAUGCAAUUAACCCAAUACAUCAAAAUACAUAUAUAAAACAUGUGGACACUAUUUUGAGAGAUUGAUUGAGAAAUUUGUUAUAAUUUUAGGCAAUUAAAUAAAUCUUUUUGAAAUUUACAUGUGUUUUGGGAGAUAAUUGUCGUGUAAAUUAGUGCUCGCGCAUGUAUAAAAUUAAUCUCCAUUAACUGGGAAGUUUCUUGGGGUGACACAAGUGGAUAUACACUAUUCGUGAUGUGCAAGACAACAUGAUGAACAGUGAACUCGAAAUUCAAAGUGAUACAAGUCGUUUAGAGGUUACAAGCUCAGAUGACAUGUCGCUUGAGGGGUUCUUCAGAGCAAAACCGACAUAAACUCAUUCGUCACUCAAAACUUAAGUAAUACACGUGGUUUGCACGUGUGUUAAAGCUGAAUCUCAUUUAGAUCAAGAACGACGUCUGUGAUUGCCGUUUUAAGCUCACUUAUGUCAGCUUGUGAUAUGCACGUGAGAGAGGAGCGUCUUGGUUGGAUUUGGCGGGAAGGGUGAUCAGCCUAACAACCCAGAAACAGAGGUUAAAAGGUGCAGGCUCUGCAAUCAUCUCCAUUAUUGGGAAACACUGAGAGUAGAGAGAAGAUAGAGAGAGAAAGGGGUUCAUCAGUUCUUGUUCUCUGUAAAUCAUCUUCUGUUCUUGUAUUGUUUCGAUCUCAAUAAAGUGAAAGCUGUUGCUUUGUUUCCGGUGGAUGUAGGCACCACUUCUUGGUGCUGAACCACUUAUAUUUGGUGUCGUUUUGUUUCUUUUAAAGCUUUGAUUCUUGUGUGUGAUUCUUACUGUGUGAUCUGUGUUGAUUGGUCUUGGAUCCUUGAUACAUAAUUAACUUCUUGGGGUGAAUUUGGUUAGCCUUAUAAGGUCAAAUUCUCAACACAACAUUAUCAGGAAAACAUGAGAAAUUCUAGAAUACCUCAGAUGUACUACAACCAAUUGAUGCAUGCAUGAUAUGUGUAAUUGAAUUUAAUACAAUCACUACUUGCAUAAUAAUGGUUCAAAAUAAAUGCACACAUGUCAUGGCAUCAUUGCUUGUUGUAUGGAUGACAUGGUACCUCAGAUGUAUUUUAGAAUUUCUCGGAAAACAGAUGUGCCAAUUAGUAAUCUUCUGUGCGUAAGAUUUCAAGAUAGUUUCAUGUAGAAUUUAAUGGUUAUGUGUUUCUUCGGCUCCUUCCUCAAAUCCAGCAAAAUGGCAUAGUCACAUGCAUGAAGAUUUUGGAGUCUUUGGCUGCACAAUUUUUCUGGACUUUAAUUUGCAUUAGUUAUUGGCUCUUUUAUAUUGCUCUUUAAUCGGCUUUUUCAGAUUAAAUAUUUCUGUAUUAGUUUUCGAUUAACAUAGUCCUGGCCUCCUGGGAAGUUAUGGUACUAAUCAGAUUCUUUUAUCAACAUUUGACAAUUUCUUUUUCAAAGCUUGAGUUUUGAGGGUUUAUAGCUUUGAGUAGUGGAAUCAAUGAAAGAAGAAAUUAAUGUAAUAAGAAUAAUUAAAUGGGUACUCUCUUAGCCCCUUUAUCUGCUUAUAUAAAGAUUUUUGAAUACCUUGUUGGUGUGGCUAGUUAUGCUUGAAGUUGUUCUACAGUGGCUCGUUUGAAAAGUUCGAUACAAAAAAUUAAAAAGAAUCAUCUUCAUCACAUAGUCAACAGAACAUACACAUAUUCAACAGAGCAUACACAACAUACAGAACAAACGUAGGCUCAUAGAAGUGGGAUUAGGUUAUUGGUUAAGUUAGGGAUCAAUUUAGUAGAAAGCGACAGUUUGACAACUUAUUAUUAUAUUCUCCAAAUGCAAAUAAAAUUUGCCGCCUAAAUAAAAGUAGCAGCAAAGUGCCUUUUUUUGUUAUUUGCCGCCUAAAUAAAAGUAGCAGCAAACAGCCUUUUUUUUUUUUUUAAUAUUAAGAAAAGACUUUACCCCUUCAGCACAUUCAUCUUUUAAACCAUACGUAAUCAUCCUAGAGGAUGCAUCGUGGGACCUUCGCUGAUCGCUGAGUGUAUUGACUCAAAUAGGAGUGGCUUUAGGCAUAAGCGAACAAGGCAGUCGCCUAAGGCCUUAUAUUAUGUAAAGGCCUCAUUUUUUUGUUUUUUUUUUCUAAUAAUUCUUUUUUUUAAAUUACGUAUUUUAGGAAAUCAAAAAGCUUAUUAACAUCUCUCUAAUUUAUUAAUUAUCCUACAGUUAAGAAUUAUUUUUUAUGAAAAAUCUAUAUUUGAUAACAUUAAUGUUAAAGAGAUAUAAUUAAUAAUAUUAUUUAACCAUUAAUUCAUUCAUUAUUAGUCUUUCAAAAAAAAUUAAAUUAUUUAUCUUUUCAAUUUCCUCUAAAAAAUUAAUUAUUUAAUAUUAGAAUCUUUGACUUUUAGUAUUUCUUUUACUUUGUAUUAAAAACUUUGUAAUCUCAAAAAUCAGUAAAUGAAAAAAUUUCUUCCUCUCUUCUCUACAAAGAAAAUUAUUAUAUUCAUUGGUUCAUUUAAAAAUAAUCAGUUUAUAGAAAUACAAAGUCUAUUUCUAUUAUCUGAUCAUUAAUUCAUUAUCUCAACUUUUUAUAUUCUAUCAUUCUAAAUAUCCGAUUUGAAAAUAAUAUUAUUCUUAUUUAUUUGUUUGUUUAUUUGUAAUAGUUUUAAUGGAAUAAAAAGAUAUCUUCUUAACUUUUUUUUUAGGUUUUAUUUUUAAAAUUCAAGAAUUAAAAAUGGAAUAAAUUUUAAACUUUUUUUUUAAUUUCUUUUAGUAUUGAAAUUGCAAAACAAAUAGAGGCCUCAUAAAAAUAUUUCGCCUAAGGCCCCAAACACUCUAAGGCCGGCCCUGAACUAAAAAAAGAACCCUUAAAUUCAUUACAGGUUUCAUAAGAUCAAAGCUGAGGGUAGAUUAAUUGAACACAUAAACUAAGCUUGCUGUGACUACUAAAAAUAUGUUCAUGACAUUAUACUCACAGAAAUUAUUAAGGCAGUCAUAAUUUUGCCAUUUAUGUAUAGAGUAUUGAAAAUUAUUGAAUUUCAUUAAAAAAAUGGGUUACUUUUUUUGCGAAUUUUUUUUACCAGUAGCACUAGGUAGGGUGUGUUUAUUUAUUUUUUAUUUUAAAUUUAUAAAUGUAAAAUAUUAAUUUAUAAAGUUGAAUCGGUGUGUACGUAUAGAAAACAGUUAACCUGACAACCGAUAAGUUAAAUGGGUCUGCAUUUGGCGGUUAAUAAUCAGUUAGUGAUGAUAUAAUUAUAAAUUCUUGUAUAAAUUUAUCUUAUAUAAAUUAAUGUGAUAUUAAUUCUUUAGUUAAAUUAAAAUAUAAAAUAAUCAUGUGGGCCAAGAAAUAUUUAAUUCAACCAAUUAACGUCAUAUCAGUUUAUACAAAAUAAAUUUAUACAAAAAUUUAUAACUAUAUCAUUACUCGUUAAUAAUUUGUUGGUUGCUCUUGCAACAGGCCAAUUCUCAAUAUCCAUAUAAAAUUUUAAUGGCUAUUACUGAGUGUGUAGGGUACAGGAUAAAAAUGAAAGACAGAAUAAAUUUGACACCACAUUUUAUUUAAUAUACCGUUCUCCAUAUCAUAACUAAUUAAACAGCCGCUACUUUCUUAGAAAAUCAUAAGUAUUAAAGAAAAAGACAAAAGUAGACAAAUAUAGAAAUAUGGAAAGAAAGCUUUCAAGUCUUUUCAUCAAUAAAGCCGAAAAUAGUAUCUAACCAAAAGCUGAUAUUCACAGACACUGACCAUAUUAAACCAACCAUUUCCAAAACGGAAGAAAAAGAUUUAGAUUCCACCUUAUAAAUAUAGUUAAUGUAAUUAAAAUUAUUAAUUCAAAAUGCUAAUCUGACCAUCACCGACCAACAUUCUCAAACCUCAACUUCAAUUAUUAACUCAUUCAACAGCAUCAUAUGUAAGUUGCCUUACAAUAACACAUCACACCCAUGAUGCUUGUCAGUAACAAUUGCUAUAGAUGACAUAAUCUCAGCACAUCCCCAGUUUAACGACCCAUCCACAAACUUAAACUGCAAUCAAAGCACCAUAUCAUUGCAGUUUACAUAAACACAACUCAGCUAAACUACCCAGUCAAAAUUUGGCUCAUAUCACUGUUAAAGUUGAACUCUCAUUCAUGAUUGCAUCAACCCAAAUUAACUGAUUCAAGUAAUUUCAAUACAUGAUCUUCAAUUAAAAAUUGCAAUCCUGUUGAUAAUUCUAGCAUGUCAAUUUUUUUAUUUUAGCCAUAUAGUCAUGUAAUCAAAUGGCUAACCACACACCCACUGCGUUAAUUAUUAAAGGAAGCAAUUAAGCCAUUAACACAUUAAAUCUAAGCAAAAUAACUAAUGAGGACACCCCCCCCCCCUCGGGGCGCGGGCGGCAAAAAAAAUUCAAAUUAUCAAGCAGGAAAAACAACCUGAUUUUUCAGUUUUGAGUAACAAAAUCACUCAAUUGCACAUAAUAGCAUUUCUUUUUUCUACUUGCUGCUGUUCUCAGCUCCCUUAAAUGCACAACUACUCUCUAUAAAACCCAAUUGCUCUCUUUCCCUCCAUUUCCUUUUUCUUCCUCUUCUCUCUUCUUUAAUUUUUUAUUUUCUUCUGUUACAUGAGUUCCUUUCUCAUCAAUUAGUGUGGAGAAAAACGAAAACAGGAUAAAUUUCGACGCAAAAUUUUAUUAGUAUGCGUAUGUAAGUACACUAUUGAAUACGCCUUCAACAACUGCCUUUUUUUCCUGCAAUAAUCACACUAUAUAUAACAAAUAAUACAACAAAAGAAUAGAAGUUUAAGUAGAAAGGCAGCAUCCAGGUUGUCUGCUACUCGGCUUCCAGUUCCACCCAAAAAACUGCUCAAACAUCUUCGUUCAGGUAACGAAACCACAGACUCUGUUAUUGCUAUAACUAAUUUAUCACAUGACCAUAAUUUCCAGAACACCUUGCUCUUGUUCAAUGGGUUGUUCAACUUGAGGGCGAGCUAGCAGAUGCGCGUUGACAGAGGCGACAAUGAAGACAGUGAGACGUCGAAGCCAGUUGAAGCAGCGCUUAAACAGAGAAGCUAGCGUUGCUUAACAGAGUGAUAAGAUUAUGAGGCAUAAAUAGACUACCAAGAACAGAGACGGAGCCAAAAUGAUAGAGGCCACUGCUGAGACAGCCAACAGAACGGAGAGUUCUCCACAACUCACAGAAAUGGGUCGGCUCACAUUGAGAGGGACUCUGAUGGGUGUGAGGAGGAAGACCAGUAAUGGGACGACGACGGCGGGAAUCAGGAACCAGAACUGAAGCUUUAAAAUUGGAUACAAAAGUAUCUUACUCGUACCAUCUUGGACGUCCCAAGAGUUGCCAUCCUGAGACUUGAGGAACAGAAAAAAGAUUAUAAGAUUCAGCAAUGGAAGAAAUAGAAACCUCAAAUCGAUUGAAAAAUUCAUGUUUUUUUUUUUUUUUUGAUAUUAAUCACGAAGUAUCCUGGAGAGGGCCCCAACUGUGGGAGGCACCUUUAAGCCCGUACCACAAUCCAGACUAGAAGUCCCCGCUCGAACCGGGAGGCACAGGUUCUCCCAACAAAGGCGACUUCCCUGCGACUCGAACUGGGGAGCAAACCCAGUCAAACCACUUAAGGGGACUCCAUUGCCAGUGGAGCCAACACUUUGUUGGUUGAAAAAUUCAUGCUUGUGAGUAUAAGACUUGACAGAGAUGAUUGAAUUUAAUUAUUAUGAAUAAGAUUUGGCAAUGGCAGAGUUAAACACAGGCUGCCUUUUGCUUCCUCUCUCUCUUCUCUCAACACAUUUUUAUAGAGGUUUGAGGAUGAAAUCUUUUUGCAACCAAUGCCAAAAAAAAAUUAGAGGUUUGGACAAAGUGAAAAAAAAGAAAGAAGUGCAAAGCCAAAUGGAGCCAUGCAUGUGAGAGUGGGACGACCCAAGACAUUUUUUCGAUCCUUUGAGUUAGUGGGAGAAAGAGAUUAGCCUCCUCCGCAUUAAGAUUUGAAGAUUCCGUUGGUUUGACUGAUUCAGCACAUAACAUAAAUUGCAACAAGCUGUCAAUUCACAUAAACAAGGAAAAAUUAACUCAAUAAAGUGAAGUAGGCACGAAUUAGAGUGAUUUUUAAAAUGCGGUGAGUCGGGGGCUUUUUAUAGUGGUUGAGGUCCAUGAGGAUGAAAUGUUAUUGGUUCGAUACACGUCUUCAAUAAUAUUUGCGGAACCAAUUAUGAAGAUAAUGGAGUUGGGGAUUUUGGGGCUGAAUUUUUCCCUUUUUUUUUUAAUUUUCAAAACAGUCUUCUAGGGUUUUCAAAACAGUCGUUUUCAAAAAAAAAAUUUCAAAACAGUCGUUUCAGUCUUCUAGGGUUUUCAAAACCUCAGUACGUUUUUUUUUUUCCUUUUUUCUGUACAGGUAUUUUCAAACUUACCUUUUCAAAGUUUAUAUAUAUUUUGUACACUGCACACAAAAUAUAUAUGAACGAAUGAUUCAUGUUCCAAUAAAUAGAUGCACCUAACAAAUUAGAAAUAUUCAUGAGAUGCAAAUUAAAUUAGUGUUAGAUAAAAAUAUAUUGAGACUAAACUACAAUUAUAUGUGAUUAAGCUACCUUUAUUUUCAUGUUAGUGUGACCAAAAUGAGAUUAUGUACAACAAAUAUAACCAUAUGAAACAAAGUGAUGUAAUAAUAAAUGCCAACAAUAUUAUAUGUACAAGUUUAGUCUGGGUUGUGGUAUGGGCUUAAAGGUGCCUCCCACAGUUGGGGCCCACUCAAGAUCAUCUCGUGAUUCAGACAAAAAAAAAAUUUAAAUAAAUGCCAACAAUAUUAUAUGUACAAGUUUUCCGUGCCAAUAUCACUAGUGGCAUGACCAAAAACACCGACAUACACAAUAUUCUCUCAAAGGAGAGGUUGUCAAUUUUCUUCAUUAAAUUCAGAUUAAAGUAAAUUUAAAUUUUUUAACUUAAUAAAACCCACUUAAUACACACACAUAAAUAUUAUAUGCUUACACAGUACAAUCAUUUUUUGGACUUUCUCUUAUGGGCUAUUUUUUUUUUUGUGGAUAAAUUUAUGGGCUAUUCAUUGGUUGCUUGGGUUCCUCAAUGAAUCUAUAAUUUUUUUUCCAGUAUCAAUUAUGCAAGCAUCAAUAAGAUAAAAAAUAUGUACCAUUAUUUUUAUUAAUAAAAAAAUUUAUAUAAUUUCCAAAGUUAGAGGUUUGGACAAAACAAAAAGCGAUUAGAAAAGAAAAUAGAAAAAACUACAAAGCCAAGUGAAAAAACUACAAAGCCAAGAAAAUAGAAAAGAAAAUAGAAACCUCCAAAGAUAUGUUUUUCCUUUCUCAUCCAACACCUUCCCAUUUGUUUAUUAUUAUUAUUUUUAAUUUAUUAACUUUUUUAAGGGGGAGGAGGCUGAUGUCUCCCACUAACUCUUUCUUGAGGAGGCUAAGCUGCAGAAGUAACAGCUAAGUUAAUAAAUUAAUUAAAAAAAAAAAAGCAAUUGAGAUGAUCAGAAGUUCAAAAGUUCUUACCAUCUCACAUGCAAGAUGACCAAUAUUUCCACCGGUUAAUACACUUAGGUAGCAUUUAUAUUUUAAAUUAGAGGGAGAAUCUUAGAAUUUAGAUUGUGGAAAGGGAGUGAGAGUGAAUUAUUUAUUUACACUAAAAUGGGAGUAUGGAAUUGAAAUUAGAAUUCAAUUUAUGUGUUUACCUUAUCUUAAAUUGAGAGUAAAUAGUUUCAAAUUAUAGUUUUACUUUUAUUUAAAGAAUUAUAUUUUUUAAUAAUAAAAUUAUAAAAAAAUUAUAUUUGAAAUAUAAAAUAUUUAUUUUAUUUUAUUAUAUUUAUUUGUAAAUUUACCCAUGUUUAGGAAAAAAUUAAAAAAAUAAAAAACGAUUACCUGCCUUUAGCAUAUAAAUUACAACAAGCUGUCAAUACAAAAAAAAACAAGGAAAAUUAACUCAAUCAAGUGAAGUAGGCCACAAAAAGACCUCUGGAAUCGAAUCAGAUUCAGUUAAACAAAUAAUCACCCAUCAACCAUAAGCGAAAGAAAAAAAAGAAAUGAAUAACAGAAGGAAAUUUUCCUUGUUUUUGUGAAUAACAAAAGGAAAUAAUCACCCAUCAACCAUAAGCGAAAGAAAAAAAAGAAAUGAAUAACAGAAGGAAAAUUGUUAUAAAAAUUCAAUACAAAUAAAAAAAAAUUAGCUAGUCUUCUUUUUUGGUAUAGUGAUUUCGUCAGCAAAUAAGACAAAAAUAGAAAUUCUGAAAUUUAUAAGGAUUUGUGGUUAUGGAUUUUUCGGUUUUUUUGGAAAAAAUAAAGAAAAUCUCAAAUAAUUUAUAAGGAUUUUAUCUUUGAAGAAUGAUAAACUCUUAUCUAAAAAAAAAAAAAAGAGAUUUUAUGUCAAUUGAAAAGUUUAUUAAUGUUAAAACAAAGAGAGGGUUUAAAAUUAGAGAAUAAUGAGUUUAUAAUUAUGUUCGUAUUUUGAGAAUACUAAAUAAACACGUGGGAAUCAUUUAUAGUUAUUUAUGAGUUUAUAGAAAUACAAAUAAAGUAUUAGUUGUGGAAUUAAAAAUGAGUUCAUUUAGCACUGAUAUGAUGUUUAUAUAAUUUCAAGUGCGAUAUUAUAAUAACAAAUUCUUAUACAAACUUAUUAAUUUAUUAUCUUAUUUUUUUCCCUUUCUCCGCCGGGACUCGGGAGCUUGGUUUUUAAUUAGUUUUAUAGCCUAUAGCCUAUAGGUAUAAUAUUGUGUAGUGACAUGUUUUGACUUUGAGUGCUAAUCAGUGGCUAUAGGUAUAAUAUUGUGUAGUGACAUGUUUUGACCCUGAGUGCUAUUAAAAAGUAUUAAUUAAUCAAGAAUCUUUACAAAAAGCAUCGAGUCCCAUUGAUUCCUCGGGUUGGGGAAGUGCUUUUGCCAAGCCCAGCCGAGUCUCCGCGACGCCGCCCACUAAUUUUUGUUUAAAUGAAAUUAAGUAAUUAUUUAAUUAACCUAUUGAGUACAAAGGACAACUGGAUUCUCCUAUGUUGUCGCUAGGUUGUGUUGCACGAGCUUAACUUAACUUUAAUGACUCUAAUUUAUAAAUUAAUUUAUAAAUAGAUGCGAGUAACAAUAAUAUAUUACUUUCCAAUUUGAAGUGGAGUCUUCGAAGGCAACUGCUUUCUCAAUUUUAUAAUUAUAUACUGUUGAUGACAAGCCUCGUGCCGUCUUCUUCGUUGAGAAGAAUUGGAACGUAUUGCAAUGUCUUCUGGUUUUCUCUUUCUGAGUUCAACUUCUUUGUCGACAAUAAUUCUUACAUGACAAACACGAAAAAAAGAAAAAGGAAAAAUCAAUUAUAGCGUUAGGGCUUCAGGGGAUUCUCCAUGGAGUGAUCUUUAAAUAAAAAACCAGCGCCGCCCUCCGUUUGAUUUCUCCUGAAGAAAAGAUUUUAUCGAUAUUUUCCUUCUUUUUCACUUUCAAUCUUUUUUUGAAAAAUUUAUUUCUGUACUUAUCAAAAGUUUUGCCUACAGCUGGAACCGAACAUAUAAAAUUUAAGGAUGAUUUAGAAUGCAUGUUAAGGUAUUAAUUUUUAUUACCUUGUAAUCUAGUGAUGGCAGACCUAUUAAUUCAUGAAAUCGAAGAAUUCUGAAGCUGUUUUGGUCCACUAAUCUUAGCUUUAGGGUAAGUACUGACAAUUUCUUCUUCGGUCAUGAAUUAAGAUCCAAUCAUAUAGCUAGUAAAACAAACAUUCUGUAACUAAUUAGCCUAUAUCAUAUUCGAUCUGACUGUACCAUAAGCAUAUGUAUAUGUGUAUAUAUUAAUGACUGGAGUUCAAUUAUUAAAACUCAGCAAUAAAUAAUCUGUUAAUGGAUUCUGAUGUGUGUUCGUAGUGGAUUUACGAUGGUACUCAAAGUUCUCCAUGUUGAAUGAAAUUUCAAUUUGUAUUGAUAAAUACAAAUGACUUGCACAAUACAAACGCGGGACCCAAGUGGCCAAAAAGUUUUUCAUUACUCGCUUUAUCUCGCACUAGAAAACAUUUACAGCAAGCCGAGGCCUAAUUAAGAAGACCAAAAGGUCCAUUACGAAUAUGAAACUACAAGUUUAAGAGGGGAGAUAGGCCCCUUGCCCACUAUCUUCUUGUCUCCUAUCGAGUCCUGCUUAUCCCAUCAAUAGCACUCAAUUUGAAGCAGCCGAAAGGUGGCGGUUACCAAAUUGGAUUCAGCCCCACAGAUUGCCUACCAUUACACGUAUCAUCUCCGAACUGUGCCGUAAAAGGGGAAUCUUGCUGAGGAUAUUAUCUCAAGGAGAAUAGUAACAAGGCUAACAAUAUAAACUGGAGGAAUUUUUAAUUUUUGAGCUAGUUCUGGAACUUUUGAGUUGAAUUAGACCAUGAGUUUCUAUAAAUUUAAAAACCGCGAUUGGAUUCAGCCUGAUUGACAAAGGCUUAUCAAACUCAAUUGAGACCAAAGCACGAUCACGAGAUCCCCGCAGUAAUCUUAUUUGUCAAUAGAGCAGAAAAUGAUGUGUUCAAGUGAGCACGCUAAAGAUUGCUGGCAUCUUCCCCUCGUAAACCUGAAGAUAUGGCUAAUCUUUCAUAAAUGUUUGAGAUGCCAAAAGGCAGUAAAAGUUGUCUAAUAGGAAAUGUGAAAUGAGGAUGCUGUGAAGUCCCUUAUUUUUAGGAAUAGUUGGAUUAAGAUAAAGCAUGAAAUGAUUAUAAUUUUACUGAAGUUGUAGUUAGAAGUUUAUUGAUUUCUCGUGUUCUAUUUUCUAUUUUCUAUUUCCUUUUCAUUUAAUUUUUAUAUUUCAAUAAAAACAAUCUGUUUGUAUCACUCUCACUCUUGUUGAAUCAAAAAUCAAAAUCACUCUUUCUAAUUAAGACUGUGUCCAGUGCAAAAUAUAUUUAUUUAGAUAUCAUUCAACUUUAUGUAUUUAAAUUGUAAUAAAAAUAUAUCCUUCAUUCAUAAUAGCGGCCAAGAUUCGCACAAAGGAACACCAACUCGACUAUCGUGCAGGGAAAUAAUUGAUGACAAGAUUCUUACGUUCUAAACACGUACGACAUUGUGGAAAGUUGAACCGCAUUAUUAUAUGCAAUUAACCCAAUAUAUCAAAAUACAUAUACAAAACAUGUGGACACUAUUUUGAGAGAUAAUUGAUUGAGGAAUUUGGUAUAAUUUUAGGCAAUUAAAUAAAUAUUUUUGCAAUUUACAUGUGUUUUGGGAGAUAAUUGUUGUGUAAAUCAGUGCGCGCGCAUGUAUAAAAUUAAUCUCCAUUAACUGAGAAGUUUCUUGGGGUGACACAAGUGGAUAUACACUAUUCGUGAUGUGCAAGACAGCAUCAUCAGGAAAACAGACGUGCCAGUUAAUAAUGAAGGACUAGCAGUUGAAGAUGACCAAAGUAAUUUUAUGUGUGUAAGAUUUCAAGAUAGUUUCAUGUAGAAUUUAAUGGUCAUGUGUUUCUUCGCCUCCUUCCUCAAAUCCAGCACAACGGCAGAGUCACAUGCAUGAAGAUUUUGGAGUCUUUGGCUGCACAAUUUCUCUGGACUUUAAUUUGCAUUAGUUAUUGGCUUUUUUAUAUUGCUCUUUAAUCAGCUUUUUCCGAUAAAAUAUUUCUGUAUUAGUUUUCGAUUAACAUAGUCCUGGCCUCCUGGGAAGUUAUGGUACGAAUCAGAUUCUUUUAUCAACAUUUGACAAUUUCUUUUUCAAAGCUUUGAGUAGUGGAAUCAAUGAAAGAAGAAAUUAAUGUAAGAAGAAUAAUUAAAUGGGUACUCUCUUAGCCCCUUUAUCUGCUUAUAUAAAGAUUUUUGAAUACCUUGUUGGUGUGGCUAGUUAUGCUUGAAGUUGUUCUACAGUGUCUCGCUUGAAAAUUCCGAUACAAAAAAUUAAAAAGAAUCAUCUUCAUCACAUAGUCGACAGAACAUACACAUAUUCAACAGAGCAUACAGAACAUACACAUGUUCAAAAAAAUUUAUAUUGCGAUCAGACUUGAGCCUUGGUCAUUCCAUCACUAUCGUAGUUCCCCAUGAUACGUCAUGAGGGGAACUCAGCCAUUCCAAGACGGGUACAGUCAUCUUGUAAGGAGAUUAUUUAAUUUUACGAUAAUCAAAGAAGACUAUGCCUUCGCCAUAUGAAUUCUUAAUAUUAAGUAAUAAUAGCAUGGCACUUCGAAUUCGAUAUGAAAAUUGUUAGUGUUUUUUUUUUUUUCAAAAUAUUUGAUUAUGUAUCGAAGCAGUAGUAUGAGAUAAAGAAGGGGUAUUCCGAGUUUAUCUUACCUAUCGGAGGCCUAUUUCAGCGCCACACACCUUUUUCACGCCGAAAGGUUCUUAACAAUUAACAAUUAACAAGAUUUAUGGUAUGAAAGAGUACGAAAAUAAAAAAAGAAGAUUAUUUUUUAUUUAUUUCUUUUUUUUUUUUUCAAACCCCUUCAGUACACUCAUCUUUUAAACCGUAAGUAAUCAUCCUAGAGGAUGCAUCAUGGGACCUUCGCUGAUUACUGAGUGAAUUGACUCAAGAAAGAACUUUUAAUUUCAUUACAGGUUUCAUAAGAUCAAAGUUGAGGGUAGAUCAAAGCUGUGACUAUUAAAAAUAUGUUCGUGACAUUAUACUCACAAAAUUUAUUACGGCAGUCAUAAUUUUGCCAUUUAUGUAUAGAGUACUCAAAAUUAUUGAAUUUCAUUCAAAAAAGGUUAAAUUAUAGAAUUUCAUUAAAAAAAAUUUCAAAUUAAACUUAUCAUAAAAAAACCUGAACCGUCAAUGCAAAAUCUAAGUGAUUAAAAAAGAUUAUAAGAACAAUUUAAUUGAUUAAUUAUCAAUUCUUUUUUAUAUGUAAAAUUAGUAUUUUACAAGUUAAUUAUAAUUAACUAACAGAAAUGUAGUAAAAUAUAGGGUUUAUUAGAGAUAUUUAACCAUUCCUGAAGUAUUAUGGUAUAAAAUGUUAUACCCUAAUAUUUCCUGCACCAAUUUAUUUUACAAUUUCUAAAAUAUUAAAAUGAAUAUAACGCAUAAAAUUAAUUAAAUUAUUAACAUAGCUUCUGUCCUUUAUAGUAAUUUCAUUAGAUGUUUCAUGAGAUCAAAGUUUUGAGGGUGAAUUAAUCAAAGAAAAUGGUUGUGGAUGGUUAUAACAUUCGACCAAAAAUAAUAAUAUUAUUUGGUUGGAGCCAUAGCAGGGUAGGCCCAGUCCCAGUCCCUUGUGCCCGUUCCGGUCAUUGGCAAGACAGUCUGCCAUGCAAGCAAGCGAAGGAGGAAAAUGUGAGGUAUUUUUACAUCACUUGCCAAAUGUGUAAUAUUUGCUUACUUGGACUUCAAAGUCAGUAGUUUAAUGAAAUUGGAACAUUUUUAGGACUUAAGAGAUUCUCCUGAUCUAAUCUUCUUUCUAUAAUUUUGAAGUAGUUCCUAAGUUGAAUUAGAUCGUGGGUUUCUAAAAAUCUAAAAAUCUCAAUAGGAUUCGGCCUCACAUACAAAGAUUUACCAAACGCAUAAUUUUUAUGAGUGAUUGUCAUGUAAAUAAGUGAUCGCGGACGUGACCAAUUGGACUUUAGCCCAAUGGUGAACCACUACUUUCAAAGUUAAGAAGAAGUAUAAGAGUAGUGAUUCGAGAAUCCAAUUGGAAUUUUUAGAUUAAUAGAAACAUAUGGUCUAAUUCAACUCAUGAACUAGAUCAAUAACAGAAAAUUCUUUAAGUUUAUAUGGUUAGCCUAGUUACUAUUCUCCAUUGACGUGAGAUGAUAUAUCCACAACAAGAUUCCCUUUGUACGGUGCAGUCGGAGAUGAUACAUGUAGUUCAAAAACAGAAAAUUCCACAAUUUGAUCACCGCCACCUUGGCGGUGGCGGUGAUGCUGCAAUAAAUGAUGAAUCAGACGGCUGGGUUAGCAGGACUUAGGAGACCACAAGAUUCUGGGCUUGUUCUUUUCUUGGGCUUCUCUCCCUUCUAAAACUUGUAGUUUCAUCUUUGAAAUGGACCUUAGGACCUUCUUAAUUAGGCCCGGGCUUGCUAUAACCCCACGUCAACCCCGCAAAACAAAUUUUUAGGCAACUUAGGUCCUGCAUUUCUAUAGCACAGAUCAUUCUUCUUAGCCAAUUGUCUACAUAUACUAUUUAAUUUGAAAUAAAUUGAAAUUUCAUUCAACAUAGAGAGAUUUGAGUGCCGUCGUACAUCUUCUACAAACACACAUCAAAAUUGAUUAACCGAUUGUUUAUUACAAGAAGACAAUGGAUUAAAUUAUUGUACUUUCAAAUUAUGAGAGGAAAAAAGAUUAUUUACAAAUGCAAUGUACAUUCACUCUUCCUUUAAUCCCCAAGUAAUUAAAGUUUCAAUUAGAUGUGUACAUGCCUCUCGACCUUUUUUGAGUGGUGGGCUACUGUCCUCACACAGUGUGAGUUCUAAUGGACUCAACUCUCUCUCAAUUAAGAAUAAUUGAGUGGAGGCCAUUGCAGUCUUUCUCCCUUUCAAAAAUUGUAAGUGGAGCAAGAAUCCCUCAAAUAUUAAUAUUAUUACUUUUGGAUAGUAUUGUAGCAGGUGUUGCGGUGAUACUUUUGGAUAGUAUUGUUAUUUUAAAAUAUUAAUUUUUGGUCUGUUAAAAAUAUUUCAUACUUAAAUUUGAGAAUUGGUAUUAGAUCGAGAAUUGGUGUUGGACUUGUGGUUUUUUUUUUUUUUUGGACUAAUGUUGAAAUUUUAAUUUUCCAUUUACAUUGAUGAAAUUUAGAAUUGAAUAUUUUAUGUGAAAUUAUAGGUUAUUGUUACAAAUUUUUAUAUUGAGUUAUUUAAUUUAAUUUUUUAGGUAUUAUUAAAAGUAUUUUUUUAACAUUUGUGAUUUUAAAUGUGGGAACGCACAAAAAAUCCAUUGAAUAUCAUUGCGGUUUUGGUAGUUGUCAAAAUUCGUAGUUGGUGAGUUUUCUUAAAAAAAUUAAAAUCCAUAGCGGGUUGCAAGUAAAUUUAAUAAUUGAAAUUUUAUACGAGUAUAAGUUUAGUAAUAAUAAACCUGUGGACUAUGCACAAUUGCACAUUGCCAUCCCUAUCCCAACUAGUUGUCUGAUUAUAAUGCCGGUAGUUAUCUGCAAUAAUAGUAAUUCCUAAAUAUCUCUUAUGUAAUAUUAAGUUGUUUAAUUGUACCGGUAUAAAAAAAAAAAAAAAAGAUGUAUACAUGUAAAUAUGUAAUUGCCUAAAGUCUACCAAGCUUCUAAGUCAGUCUAGUCAAAAUUGUCAAAAGAAAUUUCAUAUUUCGCAAUGGAAGAAGUUGUGCCUGCCUUUUGGAUGAGGCCUCAAAAGUGCAUGCUUUUUGGAUUGAGGCCUCAGAGGUAGAAUUAACUAUUAAUUAAAGAACAAAAACAAAGCGCUCCCAAAGUAAAGUCAACCAAACCAUUAUUUUUGGUGCUGUACAUACUAACUAUUAUUUUAUAAUCAACAAUGACAUCGGCAGCUCUUUUAUCCACGCGCCAAAUACAAACUUUGAUUCUUAUUCAAUUAAAAGAAUUCCUUAACUUUAAUAAUAAUAUUUUUGUUUAAUAUUAAUACUUUUUUUUUAUUUACCAUUUUUUUCCAGUCUAAAGAUAGUCAAAAGGAAAUCUCGAAUUUGCCCAUUUUGUUAAAUUAAAAUAUUAAAACUAAUUAUUAUUUGCUGCAAGGAAUCUCCAGUUUGACACAUUCGAAAAUUUGGCAGUUAGACACACUAAUAAAAAAAGAAAAAAAACGUGGGUAUUCUUCCAUUUCAGAUUUUUUUAUUAUGUACAACAAAUAUAACUAUGUGGAACUAAUAUAACUACGUGACAAAUAUAAUAAUAAAUGCGAACCAUAUCAUACGUAUAAGCUUUCCAUGACAAUAUCCCCAAGAGGCAUGACCGAAAAUAAAGGCAUGGAUAAAUUGACAGGCCACAGUUCACCAGACAGACAUCAAUUCUCAGAAGCAAUUCACAAAGAGAUUGCAACACACGUCUUGUUACAGUAUCACUCAUCUCACCAGAUGACAGAUGUACAUCGUUCAUCAAUUAUAGAAAGUAAGUUUAUGCUUAGUGCGAUCAUACUUAAAAAUCACUAUGUUAAUUGAAAUUACAAUUUGACCAUGGACCGACAUAGAAAUGUUUCAUAUUUCCUUUCUAUUUCUGCCUUUUUACCCACUAGAGGGUUGUUUCACAAUGCACGAACGUUGAAAUCAAAGUCACCUUAAUUAAUCGAACCAUUAUUGAUCAUUAUAUCCAGUAAAGUUACAGCUUAGCUCGAUACGAUAUUGAUUCUGCAUGACUUAAUUCUCAUGAUACUAUUGUACGUACUAAAUAAUAUCCGAUUGGAUUGAGCACUUACAGAGGAAUCUCUUCGUUGCGGGGCUUUGAUGUUGUAAUAUGCAAUGAAAGCAACAAAUCAAAAGUAACUCCACCGAGUUUACAAAAGACUUAUCAAAAGAAAUGAGCAAUAAUUUCUGGUUUGGUGAAAGUGUUCUUAAUUUUUUUAGUAAAUAAUGGAAGAACUAGUAAGGCACAACGCGUCUUAUUGCCAGUGAUUUUCAGCAACUUGCAUUACCGAAGUCAUCCUCCAAAUUUUUCUCUAUGCGUAGUCUUCAAUUUAUCCCUUGCUUACCAACUCAGAUUUCUUUCUUUUCUUUUUUCUUUUUUUGGUCUAACAAUUGGGAGUUUAAUAAAGAAGGGAAAAAAAAACCUUGAAAGCUCCUUUAUUUGCAACAGAAGUCCAAAGGAUCGGCGACGCGAAAUGUGAACUGUUUUCACCUAUGCGAGAGAGGCUUGAUCUUCUCUUUCAUCUUCAAAAUCAUCCAUUUGUUAGUGAAUUAUAAGAAUAUGGAGGCAAAGAACAAAGAAAGUUUCUUAGGAUUUGAGACGUGUUUGCACACUUUCCUUUAAGGUUUUAUUUGCCCUCACCAAUCUUGGUUUGCUAUAGAGUUUUAAUGGCAAAUUACCCCCAAGAUAUAUCAAAUCCUGAAUACAAUCUCUAGCAAAUAAGAUUGUAUUUCCAGAACAUAUCUCAAAACCUGCAUAAAAUCUGAUCUAUAUCUUAUUGUAUCUUUUUUUAUUAUGAAGAAGAUGUUUUUAAUAAAGAAUACAACCAUUCGAAAUAGUAUAUCUUCUAAGACACUCUUUUGGUUUGAUUUUGCAACGUUUGACACUUGAAAUUUCCAAGCUUGCUAACUGUUUUUCUAGUUGACGCCUUUCUGGAAAUAAACGGUUAACCGUUUUCUCAAUAAACGGUGAGCCGUUUUAUUCCAGUAGGUCAAAUACGUUGCUCACUGUACAUAAACGGUUAACCGUUUUCUCAAUAACCGGUGAACCGUUUUCUCUAAAACAUAAAACAUGCUCUCUGGAGUAAAACGGUUAGCCGUUUUCUCCACAAACGGUGAGCCGUUUUCUCUAGACCAUAAAACAUGCUCUCUGGAAGAAAACGGUUAAUCGUUUUCUCAAUAAACGGUGAGCCGUUUUCUCUAGACCAUAAACAUGCUCUCUGGAGUUAAACGGUUAGCCGUUUUCUCAAUAAACGGCAAACCGUUUUCGUCCAGAUUAUCAAACCAAACAAACUUUAAAGAUGUUACAAUCUCUCUUACACCAUUCAUUUAUUUUGCCAAGUAACCAGGAAAAGAUCUUGAACAUCACAGUGCCUAAGAACCUGAUUAAUUUUCUUUCCUUGCCCAACAGAAACAUUAUUCUCCAUUAAUAACAAAGGGCUGCAAGAACUUGGAACAUCCCAAAAUAUUAUUUUCCAUUUCUCCAUUUCCUCGGGCUUUUAUUAUUCAUGGCAACAUUGCACUGUAAUUGAGAUAAAUGCAUUUAUCCGCAGCCAUAUUAAUUGAGGAGACAGGUUAGAAUUUCCCGUGCAUGAUAAACUAAUUAUCCAAUGGUACAAUUAAAAUUUCAAAUAGAUAUAUCCAAUUAUGUAAUUGCCUAAAACCUACCAAGCUUCUUAGUUAAUCUGCUAAAAAUAGAAUAUUCGACAGCCACUUUUUUGAUAAAUUGGGUUAUUUAACUCCUAAAAAUAAGCUUCAAUAGAAUAUUCUUAGUUAACCCAAAUGUAUUAGGUACUUCUCCUAAAGCUUAUUUUAAUGGAACAAAACAACUUCAAAUCAAAUCCGCAAGUCAAUAUUCCAAAUUUUUUUUCCUUCUCAUGAAUUAAUAGAUCUACCAAUAUACAAAAAAGAAUAUUUCAUGUACAUGUACGACCCAGUUUGGAAAAUCUUUUCUACUUUGUCCGUUUGUGACCAUUAUUAUUACUUUGAGUAUGUUAUUUUUUUAGCCUAAAUUUUAAAAAUAAAUGCAAAAUCGUAAUGUAUAAAGCCGAUUUAUUUUUCCCAAAUUGAACAUAAUGAAUUUUCAACCAUGCUUCCUUACAACUUAAGGAAUUAAGGAGUUGGAGUGUGUGUGUUCCGCACUUCCACUAAAGAAGAAGCACUGGAUUUUGCUGACAAAAACGUCCUUGUUUAUGAGAUCUUUUGGUCAAUCUCAAUUUGAUAUUCUCUCCCUUUUUUUCUCUUUAAUGUUUCUAUUCAAGUGAUGCGAUAAAAUUAGCGAACGAGUCCAAGUGUUGAUUCUUUGAUCCAAUAUUGUCAAUCUGUCCGGUUCAGGGAAGCAUAAUUGAAUAUAACACGAAAUCAUUUUAACUCAGAAUUGUUAUAUAUCAAAGGGGGAGAUUAUAAGUUAAUAUAUAGUCAAUACUCCUCCCAGAAUAAUUUUACAGUAUUUCCAUUAUUAUCAAAUAUACUUUUACUCAUAUUUAUUAUAAAUUAAAUAAACCAUAUGAAUAGAAAUUAAAAUAAAAAUUUGAGAAUUAAAAAUAAGAAAUAUAAGUUUUAGUUUGCAUAAAAAAUUAAUAGUAAGAUAAUUUUUCUUAUACUUUUUGUUAUUUUUUAAACAAUUUUCUUAAUACAAACACACACUCAAGAUAAAUUACCAAACAAAUGACCGAUUUUCCUUUGAAUUUUUGGUGCCAUGAGAGAUUUUGGAUUUUAUGAAAACAAUAUGCGAUAAGUGAUAUAUAUUGAUUUCAGUAGAGCUCAGAAGACCGACAAUCUUCCCAUAUCAAACCUAUUUGUAGUUUUUUUUUUUAUUUCUUAUAUUUAUAUGCAUGUUCUACUCUUCUUUUAUUAACAAAUCUGUGUUAAGAGAAGGAAAUUUUUUAUUUUUCACUUACAAGCAUACCCUAAGACGCCUGUUGCUUACAAAUUUAGUUAGCUGUUAAUGAUUUACUGUUAAUUUUUUUUUUUUUUUUAAAUUCACUAAGUUUUUCAGUGGCAAGAACAAGGAAAAGUUGUCGGUUAGAAUUGUGUUGUAUUGUCAAACAUUAUGAAUAUUCUUCUUUCGACUGGAAAGCGAUUUCAUCUAUAGUAGUUGAGGUAGGUUCCUCUUCCUCUACUAUUUCAUUAUAUUGUAAUGUAUGAAAUCAUUUAGUCUCCUUUAAAUUAUUAGAAAUUUGUAGUGUUUGAAGUUAUAUAUUAUUAUUAGGCAUUGUCCUAACUUCAUAUUGAGUCUUAGGUAUUAUCCCAUAAUUAUACUUAAACUUGAUGUCAUAUUGUGUGACGUUGUGUUUUAUCCAUUAUUGCUUUUCUAAUGAAAUGCAUACUAACUAUUAAUUUAUAAUCAACUAACGCCAGGGAUAGUCAAAAGGAAAUCUCGAAUUUGCCCAUUUUGCUAAAUUAAAAUAUUAACACCAAUUAUUAUUUGCUGCAAGGAAUCUCGAGUUUGACACACUCGGAAAUUUGCCAGCUAGACUCAGUAAUAAAAAACAUGUGGAUAUUCUUCCAUUUCACAUUUUUUAUUAUGUACCACAAAUAUAACUAUAUGGAACUAAUGUAACUAUGUGACAGAUAUAAUAAUAAAUGCGAACCAUACUAUACGUAUAAGCUUUCCAUGACAAUAUCCCUAGGGGCAUGACCGAAAACAAAGGCAUACAUAAAUUGGCAGGCCAUAAUUCAUCAGACAUCAAUUCUCAGAAGCAAUUCACAAAGAGAUUGUAACACACGUCUUGUUAUAGUAUCUCGGGUCUCACCAUAUGUAAAUCGUUCAUCAAUUAUAAGACGUAAGUUGAUGCUUAGUGCGAUCAUAAUUAAAUAUCACUAUGCAAUUUGACCAUGGACUGACGUAGAAAUGUUUCAUGUUUCCUUUACUUUAUAUUUCUGCUUUUUCACCCACUAGAGGGUUGUUUCACAAUGCACGAACGUUGAAAUCAAAGUCACCUUAAUUAAUCGAACCAUUAUUGAUCAUUCUAUCCAGUAAAGUUGCAGCUUAGCUAGAUUCGAUAUUGAUUCUGCAUGAGUUAAUUCUCAUGAUACAAUUGUACGUACUAAAUAGUAUCAGAUUGGAUUGAGCACUUACAGAGGAAUCUCUUCGUUGCGGGGCUUUGAUGUUGUAAUAUGCGAUGAAAGAAACAAAUCAAAAGUAACUCCACCAAGUUUGAAAAAGACUUAUCAAAAGAAAUGAGCAAUAAUUUCUGGUUUGAUGCAAGUGUUCUUAAUUAUUCAGUAAAUAAUGGAGGAACUUUUGUCGUCUCUCACAAAUUUUGUGUUCUAUUGAACAAGUUCUGCAAGUUAAAAGGAAUUCUAAUUGUUAUUGUCGUUUUUUGGGUUGCGUAUUAUUCACCCCAUUUUGAAGGACCAUUAGAACGAAAAUAAUGUUAAAAGCAAAAAGAGAAAUGAAGAAUAAGAGCAUCUUUUUAUAUGACAUUGCCGACCCGAGCUUGAGGAACUGUUUGAAUUCUUUCAAUGCGGGGCAGGUUUCGCUUAAUUUGUAUACCCAAUUUCUAAAACGGAUCAGCUUUAAAUAAUAUUAAAAAGAAAAAUUUAUCAUUUACCUUAUCAUCUUUGUAUUUGAUUGUGAGUUUGUAACAAAAACUAAGCUACGAGUAUGCGUAAGGGCUAAGGGCCACCUUUUUAUCCUAUCAAUGUGACCGCAAGAAUUUCUCGGAACCCUUAAAUCAAUGUGGAGAUAUAUGAGAUAUGAAGGAAUUAAGCAUCUUUAAAAGAAAAAAAUAUUUAAGGUAUUAAUUCUUUUGGAUUUUCAGCAACUUGCAUUGCCCAAAUCAUUAUCUCAAUUCAAUUUGCCCCUUCGUUAACAAUAAGGUUUCGCACACGAUCCAUGCUCUUGAUGAUUGACCAGCAUACAUAUCUGAUUUCAUGAAAACUUUUUCUGAAUGAUGGAUUUCAUUCUAGGACGCAUCGCUACAUUACCCUUCCCAAUACGUUACACGGUUUUAUCAUUUAAUGAUCAUAUUUUAAUCUGCAAUUUCUUCCAAGACAUUUCUUUGCGACUGAUACUACACAAUCCCUAAUUGUAUUCCCAUCAUACAAGGGUCGUCCAUCCUUUAAAGAAGAAGGGGGGAGAAAAUUAUGAAACUUAUUAAGUAAUUAAUUAGUAGAAAAUCUUGGGGAAAAUACUUCAAAAAGCAUAAAUUGUGUAUGACAAGAAACAACCAUGCAUGUUUAAUCUUUCGCAAGCAGAGCUCAUGUAUCAACUUUAAACAUUUAAGGAAAAUUUUCCUUGCAAAAAUAUGAAUGAAUCUACAAACACCUGAAAAGUUCAACCAAUCAGCGCAGUUUACUGAUGUUAAAAGAGACAUUCAAUCAAUUUGCCUGACUUCCACACUUCAAUUUAAUGCAAUCACAGUCAUCACCUCCUAUCCUUACAAUAGGAUUUGGAUUUCCAUUUAUUGUAUAUUUAACUGCAGUGCUAGACUCUAUUGUUUCGGAUAUUGUCUGCAAAAGUAAGACAGAUCAUUCUUGUUAAUUUCCCUGGAUGAUCAGCUUCUUUGGUAAAAUAACUCUCGGGCUCUAGCACUUAUAGCCGCUGGGACUUCAUAUAAGAGAAAACACUGGAGGUAGACCAAGGAAAAAAAUGCUAAUGGAAUUGAGCAAUAUCAUGAGAACCACAUUGAUUUCCAUAAUAAUGACUAGGGGCAUCAGGUAUGAUCAAAAUAACAGCAUGGCAUAAUCUCACCGCCAUUUAUAAGUCAUCAAUCAGUGUGAAAAUAAGAGACAGGAAGGAAGCAUGCACCUUUAAGAUAAACAAGAAAAAAUACAUACAUACAUAUAUGUAUAUACAUGUAUAGAUAUAUGCAUAUAUACAUAUAUACAUACAUACUAAGAUAUAUAUACACACUCACUCACGUACAAAAUAGCUCAUUCUCAUCAAAGUUUAAGGAACUACCAUUAUCAAGAUUAUGCUCUCAAUCUCUAUGCUUAGUCGUAGAUAUAGAACCAUGUAAAAAGCUAGCCCUUCCAAACUAAGUCCAAACAGAUGACAAAAAGUGAACAUCGCACUGCCAACUGGCAAGAAACUUGGACUUCCCCCUUAUCUUAAAAAAUACAAUGUUGCCACGUAACCCAAAAAAGAGCUAGAACACUGCAGUGCCAGAGAACUUUAGCUUUCUAUCCUUGCCCAAAAGCAAAAACAUUUUCCAUUAGCAAAGAGCUACAAGAACUCGGAGCAUCCCGAAAUCAAUAACAUAAUUGAGAAUCAAUGCAAGUAUCCACAAACAUUUAUUUAGUAGACAACUGAUUCCCAAACCAAUUUUAAAUUUCUGACAGACUUACUUCGUUGCCUAAAUUCUACCAAGCUUUUCAGUUAAUCUGCUCAAAAUACAAUCCAUGGGUGCAUUUAAAUAAAUUGGGUUAUUUAACACCUAUAAUCUUUAAAACCUCAUCAAAUUGCUAUCAAAAGUAAUCUACACCAAACGAUCAACACAUGAAAUACAGGGCCUUUAGACAGAGAAAAUACUGCUGAAGAAAAAAAUAAAAACCCAUAGAAGCACUAAAUACUUCUCCUAAUAUUAAUAAUGGAACAAAACAAUAUCAUAGAACACUCAAAUAUACUAUUAGAGGAAUAAAUCCAUACCAAUGAUAAGCUAAAUAUGAAAUUUUUCUAGAAUUAAUAAUUCUUCAAACAAAAAAGCACAGUAAUUAUCUGCAUUUUAAAUAAUCCAAAAAAAAGGGCAAUGACUUAUUUAUUUCAUAAAAUAAAAUAAAAAAGCUACAAACACUUGUUUUUUAAUCUAUUUUAUUUCCAGGAAAGAACGACAUUCUUCUAUUCUUUCUUCAACAAGAAAACAGGUUAUGUUACAGUCACUAGGCAGUAGGCAAAACACUCGAUAACCAAAUACAUAAAAGGAAAUAAAAAAGAGUUAAAAAAUCAAAAAAGUUAAAAUUGAAAAUACAAAAAGAUUAAAAAAGAAACUGCUUUUGAAAAAUGAAAAUAUCAAACCCCUUCUUCAGAACAAUUCAAACAGGGGGCUGCGGGUUCUUAAUAUAACAGUAAUUAAAAUUCCACUGAAACCCCAACCCUCUAUUUGAUUUUCCAUUUUUUUCCCCACAAGAAUUAUUUUCAACAUAGAACUUGAGCUUUGGAAGUGAUAAAAAGAAAAGACAUAGAUGACUGACUGAGUCCGACUGAGACAGAGUCGUCAAUAUACCGCACUGGUCAGCUCUCAGUUGAAUUUGUGAGUUUGGGUUGGAGUCCCAGUCCCACAGUCCACAGAUAGUGAAAGUAGGUAAUUAUCCUAACCAG